rnacentral:lncRNA from 1 species
AAAUUCGUCUCUGACAUCGGAAUGCCAGAAGGGUUGUCAUCAGAAAUACAGCUGAAAGAGGUGAACGAAGAGCCCUCUCAUCUCCUCGACCUUUUGCGAAGUGCUCUCCUAGGCCGGUUCCACAUGAUUAGGAGUCAGCCCGAAAAAGAGCAGCAACCUAAGAAAAAAGGAAAGUCGUCGUGGAAAAAAGGCAAACAACGGGGCAUUUGGCAGUCUUUUCGACACAUCAAGGAGCUUAAAGCUGCCGGGAUCUAUCUCAAACCGAGUAGAACGUGUUUCUUGAGAGACGUUUCUUUCAAAUCCUACUUCUUCUUUGGCCACCUGAAACUUCCCCCAAUAACUAUUGAUGACUUCACGAAGACCAAGUUCUUGAACAUCGUAGCCUAUGAAAUGUGUCCAGGUCCAGGUGCCCCAGAUGACUAUGCGGUCACUUCUUAUAUAUGCUUCCUUGACGACCUCAUUGAUCAUGCAGACGAUGUCAAGGAGCUGAGGUCUAAGCACAUUCUCCACAACCUUCUUGGCAGCGAUGCAGAUGUGGCCGAAAUUUUCAACGAGAUUGGCAAUGGCUUGGUAGAUCCCGGAAUUUAUGAAGAUGUGAAAGCUCGUAUUCAGAAACACUACAAGAAGAGAGUGAAUACUUGGAUAGCUCAAGCCCUUCACAACCAUUUCAGGUCUCCAUGGACUGUCAUGGCUUUCAUUGCUGCUCUUUUGGUACUAUUUCUUACUGCGGUUCAGACCUACUACGUUGUUUGGUGUGUGUGAUUAGAAAAAUAAAGAUUCUUGUUUGGUGUGUGUGAUUAGACAAAUAAAGAUGCUUAUAUUGUUAAGUUGUAUCACUGGAUUUCAUGCAUGCAAUAUUAUGAGUCUUUGAAUACUCUUCAACUCUUUUAGAAAUUUUUAAUCUUCUUGGAAUCUCUUUUAAGAGAUUUAGGGCUUUUCUUUAGUUUUUUUUGUCAAAACCCCAUGCACAGAGAUUGAGUUAGAAAUGAAAAUGGAGAAAAGAAAAGUACUCGAUAGUUUUGCAUAUUACUUGAUAGAACUCGUUAAAAUUGUUUAUGUCUCUGGCACUAAAAUACACCUUGUAGCACUUAGCAAUCAAAGCCUGUUUUUCCUCCUUACUUCCAAUUUAGACAUGGAGAGGUGACACAAACUUUGGGAUAUUCAAUGAUUCAACAAAGCAUUCAUCAAAUAUUAUAUUGUUUGCUUUGAUGGAGGGGCAAAGAUGAUGAUACCAGGAGUUAGUUUCAUGAGGGAUGCGCCUAUCUUUUGAGUGGUUGGAUAUGAUGACGUUGUUGGAAAGUGUCUUAGAAAUUAUUUUUGAGUCAAUUGAAAAAUUAUAGAUAAUCUCCUAAUACAAAAUAUUAUUAUAUUUGAGUUUUCUAUUAUUAUAUAAUGGGAAUAUUAUAUUAUAAGAAUUUUUUUUUUAGGAAAAGACACAUUUGACAAUUAUACAUUUAGUUUUCUAUAUGCAAUCUUCCUAUAUAUGUAAUUAGGAAAAUAUACAUAAGAAGACAUUUAAAAAAAAAAAAUUAUCUAUCAAAUGUUUUUCUAGAAAACAUUAUAGGUGACAAAUAUAUGAAUUUUGGAUGAUCACGAGGGAUAGUCAUCGGCAGUAGACCGAAGUUUAUGAAGAUGUGAAAGCUCCUAUUCAGAAACACUACGACAAGAGACUGAAUGCUCGAGCCCUUCAGGACCAUUUCAUUACAGCUGUUUUGAUACUAUUUCUUAAUGGGGUCAGACCCACUACCGUACUACGCUCUUGACCCACAUCGAAUUAUUGCUGCUACUCAUCCAUUCCUGGAGUGCCAGCUUGCAUCUGGUUACAAAUAUAUCCUGGAAUCCAUCCCCACAUUUCCCCGUGAACUAAUCUGUUUGGUUCCGGAAACCACUAAAAAAAAUAAAAAAGGAAAAUGCUAAAAAUAUAUUUCUUUAUACUUGAUUUUGUUAAAAAAAAAAAAAAAAAUGUCAAAGAAAGUCUGAAUAUAAAUAAAAUUAUUAAAAUUUUUAUAUAUUUUUUUAAUCCUUAUAUAAAAGAGUUAAAUAAUUUAAAAAAGUUUAAGGUACUAUAUACUAUUGAUUUUAAUUUUUGAAAUUUUAAUUUUUAUUAUUUUUCCUUUUAUCUUUUCUUUCUAUUUUCUUUCUUUUAUAAUUUUCUUUAAACUUUUCGGGAACUAAAUAUAACUUAAAUAACCUAUUAAUUUGAGGUUUAUUGUUGUUGUGUUUUUUUUAUUUAAAUCUAAAUAAAAUUUAAUUUAAUUUAAUUCUACAUAUAAUUUAAUACUAUUAAGUUGUUUAUUUUUUAUUAUUUUAUUUUUAUUAAGUAUUAAGUAUGAAUAGGUGGGAGUUGCGUUGAGGUUGUGUUUUAGUUAUUUUAAAAAGCGGUGAUCCAAUUCCAUGGGAGACCUGCAAGAAAGGAGGAACGUUGGAGAGAAAGAAGGCGGUCAACCAAGUAGGAACAAUGGCGAAACUGGCCCCAAGCCUAAGGAGCAUAGGAUUGACAUUGUUGAAAUCAAUCCUACGGUGAAAAAUUGUGGAUAAAAAUUGUGCACAUCACUAAAGAAAGUGUUUUCUAACUUUUUUAAUCCAAUAUGCAUUAAAGGUGUUUCUUGAAGAGACACAUUCCAUAAUUUAACAAAUUUGAAUGUCUCAUGAAUUUGAUUUUAAAGCUAAAGAUGUCUCUUGAAGAGAUAUUUUCUACAAUUCCUAAAAAUUUUAAUUUAUACAAAAGGUGUCACUUGAAGAGACACUUACCAUAGUUCCACAAUUUCACAAAUUCCAAUAUAUAAUAAAGGUGUCUUCUUCAAGAGACACCUUCUACAAUUCCAAAAAAUUGGAUUUAUACUAAAGGUGUCUCUAGAAAAGACAUUUUCCACAAUUCCACAAAAUCCAAUAUGUAUUAAAAAUUGUGUACAUGAUUUUAAAGCUAAAGAUGUCUUUCUUCAACAUAAAUUCGAAAUUUUCUACUGUGUAUGAAAAUUGUGGAAAGUGUUUCUUCAAGAGACACUUUCAGUAUAAACUCAAUUUUUUUUUAAAUUAUGGAAGGUGUCUCUUCAAGAGACACCUUCAGUGUAGUUCCAUUUUUGAGAAUUGUGAAAGGUGUCUCUUGACACCUUCCACAAUUUUAAAAAAAUUGGGUUUAUACUAAAAGUGUCUCUUCAAGAGACACUUUCCACAACUUAACCUCUAUUGAUGGUGACCUUUUAGUAUAAAUCCAAUUUUUUGGAAUUAUAAAAGGUGUACCUUUAGUAUUGUGGACCCGCAUUUUUCACGUGCGUCCCCAUUCGGUCGGCGAGACUCUCUUUUUAUUUGUGAAAAAUUAUUUAGUUUUGGAAAAGUUGGAGCCGUCACUUAUUUUAUUUUUAUUUUAAAGGGAAAAUAAAACAAGAAAGAAAAACCCUAAAAUGUGACUCCAUAAUUUUUGGAAAAAAACAUGUCUUUGAAAAACCUGAGUCUAGGUCCGAGGAUCAGGUUACUUAUUGGGAAGGUACCUCUAGGAGGUAGCACCCUUCUAAGCCCUAAAGAGGUCUUACUAAAUUGGGGAAAUGGGGCAAUUAAUUGAUUAAUUGUAGAUACCUAAGUAAGCUAGGUGAUUUUCAGAAAGUAGCAUGCUAAAUAAGGAGAUCAAUCACAAUAAAGGAGAGUUAGGGUGCGUACCUGAACCACUUCUUAAGCGCUAUCAUAAAAUAUCAAUGGUUAAUUCAGAAAUAUGACACACGACAUGCAUUUUAUCAAGGAUGAUCAAACAAGCAUCGAGACAAUCAAGUAUGGCAUCAAACAAGGGCAAUGACAUGCAUAUUCAUGAAAUUUUGGGAACGUACCUGGAUAGCAUAUAUAACUCCUAAUGUGCUUCCUCAGGAUUAGAUAAUAAAUAAUAAAUAAUAAAUCCUAGCAUGCUUAUCUAAUUAAUUAGCAAAAAUUAUCAGAAUUGGGAAUAAUUAAUUAUCAUACAUAUCUUGUAUACAAUUCCUACAAAGAAAAAAUGUAAAUAUGAUUACGAUAAAUAGCAGGGUGGUAGCAAAAGUAAAUUUUGAAAAAAUUUUCUUAUAUAGGGGUUUCACCAAUUCCCCAAAUUAAUAUACACGAAUUUAGCCUAAAAUUGUCCCAUUUAUUUGGGACCAUAAGCUUUGAUUCGCGUUUUGUUUAAAACCAAAAUUUUUGUUGAAAAUUGAGAAGGAUGCAAACCGAUUAAGAUAUGGUUGCAUAUUAUUUUUUAAAAAGAAAAUAGAUUUUGAUUCUAAAGGCUUUAAAUGAAUAAUAAAAAAAAAUUUUAAAACGAUUUUUUUGAGAAAAAGAGUUUUGUUUUAAAAUAAAAGAAAUUAAUUUUUAAAAUAACAAAAAUAGAAAACAAAAUAUCAAUCAAAACAAAAAACAAAGAUCACGAAAUAAAGAUUUUAGAAAAUCUUGUCAAUUAAAGUGGUGAGAGUAAAGGCCAACCUUCAUGGAUUUCCAGUGGCCCUAAAAAAAAAUUUGACCAACAAUCACUAAGGCAACAAAUUUAUGACUUCCUAAUAAAACAAACUAACAAAAUUAUCAUCCAAAAACUAACAUUUAAAUUUCAAGAAACACAUGAAUAACUAGAAUUAGACUAAUUGAAAUUAAAAAUGUAAACUUUACCUCACAAGAUCGAUUAAACUAAAGAAUUAAGAUCAAUAACACAUUCAAAUUAAAAAUAAACUAGAAUUUAAAAUAAUCGGAAUUAAAAAUAUAAACUUUACCUUACAAAACCAAUUAAACUAAUAGAUUAAGAUCAAUGACUCAUUCGAAUUAAAAAUAAACUAAAAUUAAACUAAUUAGAAUUAAAAAUAUAAAUUUUAUCUCGCAAGAUCAAUUAAACUAAAGAAUUAAGAUCGAUAACACUAUUCAAAUUAAAAAUAAACUAGAAUUAAACUAAUUGAAAUUAAAAAUAUAAAUUUUACCUUACAAGACCAAUUAAACUAAAGAAUUAAGAUUAAUAACAUAUUCAAAUUAAAAAUAAACUAGGAUUAAACUAAUUGAAAUUAAAAAUAUAAAUUUUACCUCACAAGAUCAAUUAAACUAAUAGAUUUAAGAUCAAUAACUCAUUCAAAUUUAAAAAAAACUAGAAUUUAAACUAAUCGGAAUUAAAAAUAUAAACUUUACCUUACAAGUCCAAUUAAACUAAAGAAUUAAGAUCAAUAACAUAUUCAAAUUAACAAUAAACUAGGAUUAAACUAAUUGAAAUUAAAAAUAUAAAUUUUACCUCACAAGAUCAAUUAAACUAAUAGAUUUAAGAUCAAUAACUCAUUCAAAUUAAAAAAAAAACUAGAAUUUAAACUAAUCGGAAUUAAAAAUAUAAACUUUACCUUACAAGUUCAAUUAAACUAAUAGAUUUAAGAUCAAUAACUCAUUCAAAUUAAAAAUAAACUAGAAUUUAAACUAAUCGGAAUUAAAAAUAUAAACUUUACCUUAGAUCAACAACUCAUUCAAAUUAAAAAUUAAACUAGAAUUUAAACUAAUCGGAAUUAAAAAUAUAAACUUUACCUUACAAGUCCAAUUUAACUAAUAGAUUUAAGAUCAAUAACUCAUUCAAAUUAAAAAUUAAAGAUCAAUAACUCAUGCAAAUUAAAAUAAACUAUAAUUUAAACUAAUCGGAAUUAAAAAUAUAAACUUUACCUUACAAGUCCAAUUAAACUAAUAGAUUUAAGAUCAAUAACUCAUUCAAAUUAAAAAUAAACUAGAAUUUAAACUAAUCGGAAUUAAAAAUAUAAACUUUAUUUAAACUUUCAUGUAAAUUAAAAAUGAACUAGCAUAGAACUAAUGAAUUGCAAUCAUAAAAGAGAGACAUUUAAUCUAAGAAAAAUAAAAGAUCGUUCGAAAUUGAGAUUUAAAAGAAUUUAUCACAAACAAUUAAUUAAACCAAACAACUAAAACCCAAAAAAAAAGGAAAUACGGUAUCAAAAAUCGAAAACUAACCUGUAUUGUAUCGGAAAAAAUACUCUCUUGAUGUUUCAAAAUGGCAACCCAAUUAGUCUUUCAGGUCUUCUACCGCUCCCUCCUAAAAAAAUUGCGUGUGUUCCUCUCCUUUAAAAAAGAUUGCUUUUUGUAUGUGAAUUUCUGCUCCCAAAAGAAAAAAAAUCUCCCUGCCAAAGAAAAAGUCCCCCACUUGUCUUCGAUCUCUCUCCUCCAGAAAAACAAUCCCCCCUCUAAAAAUAAAACUUCUCUGAUCCAAAAAAAGGAAACCCACUUUUCUUUCUUAUUUUCUACCCUUUUAUAACCAAUUUUCCCAUGGAAAUAAUAUAUGUGCUAUCAUUCUAAAAACAAAAUCUCCUCUUUUUCAAAAUUCUGUUGAUUCUCCUUCCAAAUAGAUGGCGACCCGUUUCCUCAUGCCCAAAAAGCUAAGAAAUAUGAUUUAGAAAACUAGUAAUAAGAUAAAAUAAAAUAAAAUAAAAAUAAUAAAGAAAUUCAUAUAAGCCACACAAGUCAUGUAGGCCAUGCAAUCAUGCAAGUCAUAUAAAAAGUGGGUUUAAAAAUGCUUAAAUGGGCCUAAGGCGUUCAAGAAAGUGCCUAAGUCUAAAUUAGGGCUGCCAAGGUCAUAAUAAGGGGUUAGGCAAUCCUUCAACCAGAGUCUCCGAGGUGGUUCAAGAAAGGUAAGUAGUGUGAGUAGAUAUGGGCCACCAAUGAGCUAACUGUAAAGUAUCGAACAAGUAUCUAAUAAGACAUGUGCUAGGAGGACAAAAUUGAGGGUUUACAAAUAUGCCCCUCUUCGGUAGAGAUCACGAGUGUAAGGAAUGUGAGUAAAAAUACGAACAAAGAAUGGAACGAAGUGAACUAUAUCGAAGAACUAGAGAAUGACCAGAGAUUUUGUCCUAGCACAUGACGAGAGUAAGAUCGGAACAUGGGUUUGUGACGACAAGAAUGGAACAACUCUACGUAGGGGAAUGAUAGUGAAGAGAGAAAGGUAUGUGAUGAGUAGCACAAGAAUGAGAAAAAAAAAGAUGAAAAUGAUGACCCAAAGUCAUGGAUGAGAUGAAUAACUCUAGGUCAUGGACAAGAUGAACGACUCUGGGUCAGAAAUAAGAUGAACGACUCUGGGUCGGAAAUAGGAUGAACGACUCUGGAUCAUGAGCUCAAGGCUAUAAAUUUUAAGAAUGACUCUAGGUCAAGAUGGAGUGAAUGACUCUAGGUCGUGAGCUCCGGGCUCUAAACGGAAAAGAAACGACUCUGGGUCAUAAAUGAAAAUUGACUCUGGGUUGAGAACUCAGGGCUCUAAAUGGAUAGCCGAUCAGGAUGCUUUCCGACUCAUGGUGCCGGGUCGAGGCCACUCACAAGUGGCUAAAAUGAUGAAACGAAACAUCUCAAGGAUGUGAAGGAUGCAAACGACUCUGGGUCGUAAGCUCAGGGCUCGGGAUGCUAUGAAUGACUCUGGGUCAUGAUGCGAUGAGUAACUCAGGGUUAUGAUGAAUAGCCCAAGGCUAUGGAUGGAAUGAAUGACUCUGGGUCAUGAUGCAAUAAGCAACUCAGAGUUACGAUGAAUAGCUCAGGGCUAUGGAUGACAUGAAUGACUCUGGGUCAUGAUGCAAUGAGUAACUCGGGGUUACAAUGAAUAGCUCAGGGCUAUGAGCUCCAGGCUCUAUGACUGAUCGGCUAGAAGGAGAAUGCGAUACGCAAACUCCUGGUCAAACCACUCAUGGGCGACCAAAUGAUGAAGGCUUAGCUCAGGGUUGGAAAGACUCUGGGUCUAUAGGAAACGAUAGCUCAAGGCUACCAGGCGCAGGACCUAAGGGAAGAAAGAGAGCUCAGGGCUAUAAGACUCAGGGUCUAGAAGGAGUGGAUAGUUCAAGGCUAUGAGGCUCAGGGCCUAGAAGGAACGGAUAAAGAAGACCAACUCGAAAGUGGAUAGGAAGUAAAUGGGCUCAAAGUCGUAUACUCAAAGUGACAAGAGUCGGACUACUGAGCUCAAGAAGGGAAAUAUGACCCAGUAUCCAGGGUGCUCACACUGCUAAAACAACCAAUAAAUCAAUCAUCCGCUGAAAUCAAUAGGUCAGAAACUGAUGCAUCAUGACAAACCUCUGAAAAGUCUAAGCUGAAAGAACUCUCUGUGUCUGAAAAGCUGCCCUAUCGACGGAUCUCAAAAGGUAAAUUUCAAAGUGCAUAAAAUACUGCUCAUUCGGGUAAUCCAAUCUGCAAGGUGACAAUGAUGAAAACAAAUCUAUCCCAUGAACAUCUGGCUAAAGGACCCACCCACGUUCCUCUGGUGAAAGCCGAUGUGAUCCAUCUCUAUCUCGAAAAAUCCAUGUAAGGAGGUCCUGAUAUAAUUAAUCUCCGAAAGCUCCAAAUUAAUCUCAAUCUAAAACCAAGCUGGCCACUGUCUCGAUCUCAAGGAUACUCAAAGAAAAUGGGGAAAUAUGCCCCAGUAUAAGAUUCAGUAUCAAAAUCAUGAGGUAAACAUCCGACACUAAUCACCCAUCCUCAUACCACUGCCCAAACAAAUCUCGCAAAGGAGAGGGGAAUAUGCCCCAGUAUGGAUAUCUGAUGUCGAAGUUAUGAGAUAAACAACCAACAAUGAUCAUUCAUCUAUGUACUGCUGCCCGAACAUAAUCUCAUCAUGGAGUAUGUUCACAUCAUUUGUUUGCUAUGAAUCUAAUAUGGUUAAUGUAAACACCAACACAUGGUGGAUUGAUUCUGGAUCUACAAUCCACAUUUCAAAUUCCUUGCAGGGUAUGUAAAACCUAAGGAAGCCAGUGAAAAAUGAGCAAUUCAUCUUAUCCGGAAACAAGAUGGGCUCGCAUGUGGAAGCAAUAGGGACAUGUUAUUUAACUUUAUAUGGUGGUUUUAUUUUGGAAUUACAAAAGACCUUUUAUGUACCAAGUUUCUCACGAAACUUGAUUUUAGUUUCUAGACUUGUACCGUUUGGAUAUUCCUUUCAUUUUUCAGAAACAUCUUUCAGUUUGAUUUAUAAAUCUGAUUGUGUUGGGAAUGGUAUCUUGUCUGAUGGUCUUUAUUGUAUAUUCUUACAAAAUGAUACCGCUCAUAAUUCAUUACAUGCCCAAACUGGCAUUAAGAGAUGUGUUGUAAAAGAGGAUUCCUCUAUAUUGUGGCACCGGAGAUUAGGUCAUAUCUCCAUAGAUAGAAUCAAAAGAUUGGUGAAUGAUGGGGUACUUAGUACUCUAGAUUUUACUGACUUUGAGACUUGUGUGGACUGCAUUAAGGGUAAGCAGACCAAUAAGUCAAAGAGAGGUGCUACUAGGAGUUCCACCAUACUAAAGAUCAUACAUACUGAUAUAUGUAGUCUUGACAUGGACUCUCAUGGUCAGAAAUACUUCAUCUCUUUCAUAGAUGAUUUCUCACGAUACAUGUAUCUCUACAUACUUCAUAAUAAACAUGAAGCUUUAGAUGCCUUUAAAGUCUUCAAGGCAGAAGUAGAGAAACAAUAUGGUAAACAAAUUAAGAUUGUGAGAUCAGAUAGAGGUGGAGAAUAUUAUGGUAGAUACUUGGAAGAUGGACAAUCACCUGGGCCAUUUGUGAAGUUUCUUCCACCAUGUCUGGUUCUCCAGACCAAAAUGGUGUAGCAGAAAGAAGAAAUCGAACUUUAUUGGACAUGGUGAGGAGUAUGCUUAGUAGCUCAAAACUUCCUAAAUUCUUGUGGACUGAAGCACUUAAGACAGCUGUGUAUAUAUUAAAUCGAGUUCCAACACAGGCUGUUCUAAAAACACCAUUUGAGUUAUUGAAAGGUUGGAAACCGAGUUUGCGACAUAUGCGCGUUUGGGGAUGCUCGUCUGAAGUGAGAAUUUAUAAUCCACAAAAGAAGAAACUGGACCCAAGGACUAUUAGUGGGUAUUUCAUUGGAUAUGCUGAAAAAUCCAAGGGGUACAGAUUUUAUUGUCCAUCUCAAAACACUAGGAUUGUGGAAUCAAGAAAUGCUAAAUUUCUUGAAUAUGACUUGGUCGGUGGGAGCGAUCAAUUUAGAAACAUAGUUUCUGAUAUUGAUCAUACAGAGUCUUAACCUUCCACUUCAAGCGAUAGAUUGUUUAUUGUUCAUAACACCCCUCAAGUACAAACGGGUGUUGAACGAACAAUCGAUGAAGUUCAACCAGUCAUUGAAGUUUCCACAAGUUGUUGACAACAUUCCAAUAGACCAAGUUGAUUAGGAGUUGCCUAACACUUCUGAACAACAAGUUGAACCUCAUACUUCCUCGGAAGAUAUUGGUGCAACCUUAAGAAGGUCUGCUCGAACUAAGAGGUCAGCAAUUCCUAGUGAUUAUGUAGUGUAUCUACAAGAAUCUGAUUACAAUAUAGGAGCCAAAAAUGAUCUAGAAUCAUUUUCACAAGCCAUGAGUUGCAAAGAAUCAGAAUUGUGGUACAAUGCCAUGAAGGAUGAGAUGAGUUCCAUGAGGUGCAACGAUGUUUGGGACCUUGUUGAGUUGCCUAAUGGUGUAAAAACCAUUAAUUGUAAAUGAAUGUUGAGAGAUACAAGGCCAGACUUGUUGCAAAGGGGUUCACUAAAAAAGAAGGAAUCGAUUACACGGAAACCUUUUCUCCUGUAUCUAAAAAGGAUUCCUUGCGCAUUAUAUUGGCAUUAGUAGCCCACUUUGAUUUAGAAUUGCAACAAAUGGAUGUGAAAACAACAUUUCUUAAUGGAGAGCUAGAGGAGGAGGUUUACAUGAAACAACCUGAAGGAUUCCCCUCUAGUGAUGGUGAGCAAUUGAUUUGUAAGCUUAAGAAAUCCAUAUACGGUUUGAAACAAGCAUCUCGCCAAUGGUAUUUAAAAUUCCAUAACAUAAUUUCUUCAUUUGGUUUUGUUGAAAAUGUUAUGGAUCAAUGCAUAUACCUUAAGGUUAGUGGGAGUAAAGUUUGUUUUCUUGUUUUAUACGUGGAUGACAUCUUACUUGCAACCAAUGAUAAGGGUUUACUUCAUGAGGUGAAAAAAUUCCUCUCUAAAAAUUUUGACAUGAAGGAUAUGGGUGAGACAUCUUAUGUCAUUGGCAUUAAGAUCCAUAGAGACAGAUUUAAAGGUAUCUUAGGUUUGUCUCAAGAAACCUAUAUCAAUAAAGUUUUAGAGAGAUUUCGGAUGAAGAAUUGUUCACCUAGUGUUUCCCCUAUAGUGAAGGGUGAUAAGUUCAAUUUGAACCAAUACCCGAAAAAUGAUCUUGAGAGGGAACAGAUGAAGAACAUUCCAUAUGCUUCUGCAGUCAGAAGUUUGAUGUAUGCUUAGGUCUGCACAAGGCCUGACAUUGCAUUUGCUGUUGGAAUGUUAGGACGAUAUCAGAGUAACCUAGGUAUAGACCACUGGAAAGCUGCAAAGAAAGUGAUGAGAUAUCUUCAAGGAACCAAAGAUUACAAGCUUAUGUACAGACGAACAAGCAAUUUAAAGGUAGUUGGCUACUCAGAUUCAGACUUUGCUGGCUGUGUUGAUUCACGUAGAUUAAUAUCUGGAUACAUUUUUAUAUUGGCCGGUGGAGCUAUAUCUUGGAGGAGCGUUAAGCAGACCAUGACUGCUACUUCUACUAUGGAAGCUGAGUUCAUAUCUUGUUUUGAGGCUACUUCAAAUGGUGUAUGACUUAAGAGUUUCAUUUCUGGACUUAGAGUUAUGGAUUCAAUAUCUAGGCCAUUGAGUAUAUAUUGUGACAAUUCAGCUGCAGUCUUUAUGGCAAAGAACAAUAAAAGUGGAAGUCGAAGCAAGCACAUCGACAUUAAGUAUCUAGCCAUAAGAGAACGUGUUAAAGAAAAGAAAGUGGUCAUUGAGCACAUUAGCACUGAAUUGAUGUUUGUUGAUCCUUUGACUAAGGGCAUACCGCCGUUGAAAUUCAAGGAUCAUGUAAUGAACAUGGGACUUAGUUCCCUUAUUUAGUUUUUAUUGUACAAACUCUUAUUAUGAUGUUUUCUCAUAUUGAUGUGCACCUUUAUUUAAUUUUGAGAAAAUUCAACUUCAUUGGACCAAGAAUGAACAUAGGGUUUAUUCAUUAAGUAAUAUUAAUAUUGCCACAUAAAGUAAAAUGUUAAGAAAUGAAUGCACUGUAAUACAUGGAAGAUAACACUCGUUAUAUAAAGGACUUAUCGCCAUGAUUCAUGUAUUUGUUACUUAAUAUGGAUAAUUGAUGGAUUAAGAUAGGACAUAAGUUAAAGGUGUGGACCAAGUGGGAGAAUGUUAUCACCACCCCAUGUCGUCUCCACGUUCACCACCAUGAAAAGGUGAUUCUGAAGUGGUCAGACCCACGUCCUCCACCAUAAUCACACUUUUUCUAUUGCGUUAAAGGAGGGUGUGGCAAAUCUGCAGAGACGUGGUAUGAUGGGAAGCCAUGCAUAUAUAUUUCACAUAUGGUCCCGAACUCGUGAUCUACCAUUUUUCUUUCUUCAGUAAUACACCAUUCAUAGGAGAUCAUCAGAGUUUGGAAACCGAUUACAGCAACUUGAAUCAAUGGUUGGAGGUAAGUAGACUAUGCCUAGUCUUUUACAGAUUCAGUUCAUCUUGCAAGUAUUAAUUUUGAAUUGAAUGUAUCAUAUGAAUUUCUCACAUAUCAUACCAUUUUAGUUCAUAAAAUUAUUGAAGGAGCUUAAUUUGUCAUAAAAGGAACCAACAGAUAUUUACAUGGACGAUAAAUGAGCGAUUACAUUAUAAAAAAAAAUUCCAACUUUCCAAGAUUGAAGUCAAUACAUCAAGAUAUCAUUUUAUUUGAAAGUAUUAUAAAGAAGGAAAAACAAUUAAAAUUUGUAAAAUCUUGAGAUCAAAUUACAAAUAUUUUGAUCAAAUUUAUCCGAUUUAAAGAUUUUAGAAGGUUAAAGAUAUUAUUGAGAUAUACAAAUCAAGUUGUAGUUUUUAUAUUUGAGUAAUCAAAUCGCAAAAAAUGUCUAUAUUUUACUUUGAGCAAUUUUAUUUGAUGAAGUUUAAGUAAUUAUAAAUGAGAAAUUUUGUAAUAUUCGAAUAAGAGAUGAUAUAAUAAAUUUUUAAUUCUUUCCGCUUGUAAUCCUUUUCUAUAAUUAUUUGUAUUCCACUUUCAAUCUCAUCACUUGAACACAAAUUAGGGUUAGCCAGGAGAGAGAUUUUUUGGUAGGAUGAGUUAUUGAAUAUAAAUUGGUGAUGUGUCAGCAUCUUGGAGGGUCCAUACAUGGUUUCGAUAUCAUUAUUUACGGUUCUUUUUAAUAAGAAUAAUGUUUAAACUUUGUAGUCAUCGAUCUUGGCCUACAUGCUUACCAAAAAGUAUUGAAUUAUUGCAGCUACUCAUCAAUUCCAGGAGGGCCAGCUUAAUUAAACAACACAUCCCAACAUUUUCCAUGAAAGGACAAUAAUUGCAUUUGAUUACAUAUAUAUCCUGGAAUCCAUCUCCACAUUUUCCACAUGUACUAAUCUAUUUUAAGAGUAUGAGUCCGUUUGAUAGUGAUUUUAGGAAGCACUUUUAACUUUUUUAACACUAUAAAAUUUUUAUAUUUCAAGUAUUAAAAAAAGGUAAAAACAUUUCCUAGAAUUAUUGUCAAACACACUCUAUAUUUGCCUUCGGAAACCACAAAAAAAGGAAGGAAAAUGCUAAAAAAAUAUUUCUUUAUAUUUGAUUUUGUUACAAAAAAUGUCAAAGAAAGUCUUAAUAUAAUUAAAAUUAUUAAAUUUUUUUGUAUAUUUUUAAAAUUAUUAAUCCUUAUAAAAAAGAGUUAAAUACGUUAAAAAAGUUUAAGGUAGUAUAUAUCAUUGAUUUUAAUUUUUAAUUUUAUUAUUAUAUUUUUUUGCAUUUUUUUCCUUUUACCUUUUUUCUCUAUUUUCUUUCCCUUGUAAUUUCCUUCAAACUUUUCGGGAACCAAAUAUAGCCUAAAUAAUCUACUAAUUUGGUGUUUGUUGUUGUUGUUUUUUUUUUUUUUUUACUUAAAUCUAAAUAGAACUUAAUUUAACUUAAUUCUAAUAAGUUGUUUACUUUUUAUUAUUUUAUUUUUAUUAAGUUUUUGUAUUUUACAUUAGAGAUCUCAUUCCUUUCUUAAUUCGCCCAUUUUGGGUCUUUUCAUUUCUAAUUUUCUUUUCUUUUCAUUUUUUUGCCCUCAUUCUCAUUUCCAUUUCAUAUAACAAGUUCUCUACUUUUCUUUCUAUACAACCAUGGAUGCAAAAUGAAUCCGAUAUAAUAUUAUUGUGUAAUCCAAACUCAAAUGAUAAUACCCAGUAAUAUAAAACAAUUAUUUUAAACCUAUAACAAUACUAAAAUUUUUUUACAAAUAAUUACCCUUAUUUUCAACAUUGAUAUAUUACUAACAAGAAAUUACCUUGAUCUCAUUGGUAUGUGUUUUAGAACGUAAAAGGAAUCCUUGGGUUUACCCAAGUCCUUACAAUAAGGAAUUAAUAAAAGAAAAGGAAUAUGCCACUUUUUCCUCCAUGUUCCAAGUAAAUAUGGGAAAAGACUUAUAUAAAGAAAUUAAUACGUGUUCCAAGUAAAUUUCGGAAAAGAUUUGUAAUAAGAAAUUAAUAAAUGUUCCAAGUAAAUGUGGGAAAACACUUACAACAAGAAAUUAAUAAAUGUUCCAAGUAAAUGUGGGAAAACACUUACAACAAGAAAUUAAUAAGAGAAAAGGACCAUACCACUAUUCUAUGGGAAAAAACUUACAACAAGAAAUUAAUAAAAGGAAAGGACCAUACCACUAUUUCCUUGACAGAUGUUAGGAUGGAUUUAAGAUACAUUUAUAAUUAAUGGUGGAAAAUGUCAAGAUGCAAAAUAUCCUUUGAUCAAGGUAAGAUUGAAUAAAUCGUUUGGUAAGGGCUAGGUUUACAGUACUCAAAUAUGUUUUUUUUCAAUAGGUAUGAGAAAGACAUCAUCAAUUAACUAGUGUCAAGUAUAUAUUUUUAAGUCUUAUUAUUGUACCCCAAUCUUAUUUGUUUGUACUCUUAUACGUUAAUAUCAUUAAUAUGUAUCCUCAUUGUAAGUAAAAAAAGGGUAUUUUACUUUAGUUUUAUUUAUUUGUAUUUCAAAAUCUAAUAGAUUUCGUUAGGUUUAUAUAAGCUCUUACAAUGAGGAAUUAAUAAAAGAAAAGGAUCAUACCACUUUUUCCUUGAUGGAGGUCAGGAUAGAUUCAAGAUACAUUUAUAAUCAAACGAAAUUAUUGUGUGUUGAUGGAAAAUAUCAUGAUGUGGAAAAUGUCCUUUGAUCAAGGUGACCCUCUUGUAAUUGAUAUCGGAUUCAAUUGUUGUUUGUCAAUGGAAAUUGAAUUCCAAACCAUAUAAAAUUAAAUUAAUACAAAUGGUCCAUUUUUUUGUUUUAAUUAUUUAUAUUAUGUCAAAUAUUUCUAAUUUUAUUGUACAAAAUAAAUAAAUUAUUUUAUUCUCUAAUUAUAGAUUUAAACAUAUAAUUGAUAUCAUUCAAUCAAUUGAUACAUAAAUCAUUCUUCCAAAUUUAAACAUAAUGUAAAUGCAUACACACAAUUAAGCGGUGCAAUAUUGUUCUUAGGUUUUCACUGAAGAAUACACGUGUAUACCAAAAUACACUUCUCAUUUGGAGUGUUCUCGGGGUAAGUUUUUGUAUUUUAUAUUAGAGAUCUCAUUCAUUUCUUAAUUCGCCCUCUUUGGGUCCUUUCAUUUCUUAUUUUCUUUUCUUUUCAUUUUUUUGCUCUCAUUCUCGUUUCCAUUUCAUAUACAAGUUCUUUACUUUUCUUUCUAUACAACCAUGGAUGCAAUAUGAAUCCGAUAUAAUAUUAUUGUGUAAUCAAAACUCAAAUUAUAAUACCAAAUAAUAUAAAACAAUUAUUUUAAACCUAUAACAAUACUAACAUUUUUUUUACUAAUAAUUUCCCUUAUUUUUAACAUUGAUGUAUUACUAACAAGAAAUUACCUUGAUCUCAUUGGUUUGUUUUUUAGAAUGUAAAAGAAAUCCUCGGGUUUAUCCAAGUUCUUACAAUAAGGAAUCAAUAAAGAGAAGACCAUGCCACUUUUUCCUCCAUGUUCCAAGUAAAUAUGGGAAANNNNNNNNNNNNNNNNNNNNNNNNNNNNNNNNNNNNNNNNNNNNNNNNNNNNNNNNNNNNNNNNNNNNNNNNNNNNNNNNNNNNNNNNNNNNNNNNNNNNAAGACUUACAACAAGAAAUUAAUAAGAGAAAAGGACCAUACCACUAUUCCAUCUGUGUAUUUGUGUUCCAACUAAAAGUGGGAAAAAACUUACAACAAGAAAUUAAUAAAAGGAAAGGACCAUACCACUAUUUCCUUGACAGAUGUCAGGAUGGAUUUAAGAUACAUUUAUAAUUAAUGGUGGAAAAUGUCAAGAUGCAAAAUAUCCUUUGAUCAAGGUAAGAUUGAAUAAAUCGUUUGGUAAGGGCUAGAUUUACAGUACUCAAAUAUGUUUUUUCAAUAGGUAUGAGAAAGACAUCAUCAAUUAACUGGUGUCAAGUAUAUAUUUUUAAGUCUCAUUAUUGUACCUCAAUCUCAUUUGUUUGUACUCUUAUACCUUAAUAUCAUUAAUAUGUAUCCUCAUUGUAAGUAAAAAAAGGGUAUUUUACUUUAGUUUUAUUUAUUUGUAUUUCAAAAUCUAAAAGAUUUUGUUAGGUUUAUAUAAGCUCUUACAAUGAGGAAUUAAUAAAAGGAUCAUACCACUUUUUCCUUGAUGGAGGUCAGGAUAGAUUCAAGAUACAUUUAUAAUCAAACGAAAUUAUUGUGUGUUGAUGGAAUAUAUCAUGACGUGGAAAAUGUCCUUUGAUCAAGGUGACCCUGUCGUAAUUGAUAUCGGAUUCAAUUGUUGUCCGUCAAUGGAAAUAGAAUUCCCAACCAUAUAAGAUUAAAUUAAUAUAAAUGCUCCCUUUUUUUGUUUCAAUUUUUUAUAUUAUGUCAAAUAUUUCUAAUUUUAUUGUACAAAAUAAAUAAAUUAUUUUAUUCUCUAAUUAUAGAUUUAAACAUAUAAUUGAUAUCAUUCAAUCAAUUGAUACAUAAAUCAUUCUUCCAAAUUUAAACAUAAUGUAAAUGCAUACACACAAUUGAGCGGUGCAAUAUUGUUCCUACGUUUUCACUGAAGAAUACACGUCUAUACCAAAAUACACUUCUCAGUUGGAGUGUUCUCGGGGUAAGUUUUUGUAUUUUAUAUUAGAGAUCUCAUUCAUUUCUUAAUUCGCCCUCUUUGGGUCCUUUCAUUUCUUAUUUUCUUUUCUUUUCAUUUUUUUGCCCUCAUUCUCGUUUCCAUUUCAUAUACAAGUUCUUUACUUUUCUUUCUAUACAACCAUGGAUGCAAAAUGAAUCCGAUAUAAUAUUAUUGUGUAAUCAAAACUCAAAUUAUAAUACCAAAUAAUAUAAAACAAUUAUUUUAAACCUAUAACAAUACUAACAUUUUUUUUACUAAUAAUUUCCCUUAUUUUUAACAUUGAUGUAUUACUAACAAGAAAUUACCUUGAUCUCAUUGGUUUGUUUUUUAGAAUGUAAAAGAAAUCCUCGGGUUUAUCCAAGUUCUUACAAUAAGGAAUCAAUAAAAGAGAAGGACCAUGCCACUUUUUCCUCCAUGUUCCAAGUAAAUAUGGGAAAAGACUUAUAACAAGAAAUUAAUAAAUGUUCCAAGUAAAUGUGGGAAAAGACUUACAACAAGAAAUUAAUAAGAGAAAAGGACCAUACCACUAUUCCAUCUGUGUAUUUGUGUUCCAACUAAAAGUGGGAAAAAACUUACAACAAGAAAUUAAUAAAAGGAAAGGACCAUACCACUAUUUCCUUGACAGAUGUCAGGAUGGAUUUAAGAUACAUUUAUAAUUAAUGGUGUAAAAUGUCAAGAUGCAAAAUAUCCUUUGAUCAAGGUAAGAUUGAAUAAAUCGUUUGGUAAGGGCUAGGUUUACAGUACUCAAAUAUGUUUUUUUUCAAUAGGUAUGAGAAAGACAUCAUCAAUUAACUAGUGUCAUGUAUAUAUUUUUAAGUCUCAUUAUUGUACCCCAAUCUCAUUUGUUUGUACUCUUAUACCUUAAUAUCAUUAAUAUGUAUCCUCAUUGUAAGUAAAAAAAGGGUAUUUUACUUUAGUUUUAUUUAUUUUUAUUUCAAAAUCUAAAAGAUUUCGUUAGGUUUAUAUAAGCUCUUACAAUGAGGAAUUAAUAAAAGAAAAGGAUCAUACCACUUUUUCCUUGAUGGAGGUCAGGAUAGAUUCAAGAUACAUUUAUAAUCAAACGAAAUUAUUGUGUGUUGAUGGAAAAUAUCAUGACGUGGAAAAUGUCCUUUGAUCAAGUUGACCCUCUCGUAAUUGAUAUCGGAUUCAAUUGUUGUUUGUCAAUGGAAAUUGAAUUCCCAACCAUAUAAAAUUAAAUUAAUACAAAUGGUCCCUUUUUUUGUUUUAAUUAUUUAUAUUAUGUCAAAUAUUUCUAAUUUUAUUGUACAAAAUAAAUAAAUUAUUUUAUUCUCUAAUUAUAGAUUUAAACGUAUAAUUGAUAUCAUUCAAUCAAUUGAUACAUAAAUCAUUGUUCCAAAUUUAAACAUAAUGUAAAUGCAUACACACAAUUAAGCGGUGCAAUAUUGUUCCUAGGUUUUCAUUGAAGAAUACAAGUCUAUACCAAAAUACACUUCUCAUUUGGAGUGUUCUUGGGGUAAGUUUUUGUAUUUUAUAUUAGAGAUCUCAUUCAUUUCUUAAUUCGCCCUCUUUGGGUCCUUUCAUUUCUUAUUUUCUUUUCUUUUCAUUUUUUUUGCCCUCAUUCUCGUUUCCAUUUCAUAUACAAGUUCUUUACUUUUCUUUCUAUACAACCAUGGAUGCAAAAUGAAUCCGAUAUAAUAUUAUUGUGUAAUCAAAACUCAAAUUAUAAUACCAAAUAAUAUAAAACAAUUAUUUUAAACCUAUAACAAUACUAAAAUUUUUUUACUAAUAAUUUCCCUUAUUUUUAACAUUGAUGUAUUACUAACAAGAAAUUACCUUGAUCUCAUUGGUUUGUGUUUUAGAAUGUAAAAGAAAUCCUCGGGUUUAUCCAAGUUCUUACAAUAAGGAAUCAAUAAAAGAGAAGGACCAUGCCACUUUUUCCUCCAUGUUCCAAGUAAAUAUGGGAAAAGACUUAUAACAAGAAAUUAAUAAAUGUUCCAAGUAAAUGUGGGAAAAGACUUACAACAAGAAAUUAAUAAGAGAAAAGGACUAUACCACUAUUCCAUCUGUGUAUUUGUGUUCCAAGUAAAAAUGGGAAAAAACUUACAACAAGAAAUUAAUAAAAGGAAAGGACCAUUCCACUAUUUCCUUGACAGAUGUCAGGAUGGAUUUAAGAAAAAUUUAUAAUUAAUGGUGGAAAAUGUCAAGAUGCAAAAUAUCCUUUGAUCAAGGUAAGAUUGAAUAAAUCGUUUGGUUAGGGCUAGAUUUACAGUACUCAAAUAUGUUUUUUCAAUAGGUAUGAGAAAGACAUCAUCAAUUAACUAGUGGCAAGUAUAUAUUUUUAAGUCUCAUUAUUGUACCCCAAUCUCAUUUGUUUGUACUAUUAUAUCUUAAUAUCAUUAAUAUUUAUCCUCAUUGUAAGUAAAAAAAAAGUAUUUUACUUUAGUUUUAUUUAUUUGUAUAUCAAAAUCUAAAAGAGUUCAUUAGGUUUAUAUAAGCCCUUACAAUGAGGAAUUAAUAAAAGAAAAGCAUCAUACCAUUUUUUCCUUGAUGGAGGUUAGGAUAGAUUCAAGAUACAUUUAUAAUCAAACACAAUUAUUGUGUGUUGAUGGAAAAUAUCAUGACGUGGAAAAUGUCCUUUGAUCAAGGUUACCCUCUCGUAAUUGAUAUCGGAUUCAAUUGUUGUCCGUCAAUGGAAAUUGAAUUCCCAACCAUAUAAAAUUAAAUUAAUAAAAAUGGUCCUUUUUUUGUUUCAAUUAUUUAUAUAAUAUAAAAUAUUUCUAAUUUUCUUGCACAAAAUAAGUAAAUUAUUUUAUUCUCUAAUUAUAGAUUCAAACAUAUAAUCGAUGUCAUUCAAUCAAUUAAUACAUAAAUCCUUUUUCCAAAUUUAAACAUAAUGUAAAUGCAUACACACAAUUAAGCGGUGCAAUAUUGUUCCUAGAUUUUCACCUAAGGAUACACAUCUAUAUCAAUACACUCCCCAUUCUGAGUGCUCUUGGGUUUUGUAUUUUACAUUAGACAUCUUACUCCCUUGUUAAGUCGUCCUCUUUGGUCUUUUCAUUUCCUUUUCAUUUUUUUUUUCCCUCAUUCUCAUUUCCAUUUCAUAUAACAAGUUCUUCACUUUUCUUUCUCUACAACAAUGGAUGUAAAAUGAAUGCGAUCUAAUAUUGUUGUGCAAUCCUAACUCAAAUGAUAAUACCGACUAAUAUAAAAUAAUUAUUUUAAACCCAUAACAAUACUCAAAAUUUUCGACAAAUUAUUUCCAUUAUUUUCAACAUUGAUAUAUUACUAAUAAAUUUUAAUUUUAUCUUCCUAACACAAUCCAAAUAAUUAUAACACUUCACACAAAUAUUUAUCUUUGAUUCACAUGAAUUGAAUUUUCUCCAAUAUAAUUUCCCCUAAAAAUCAAUAAAAAAUUCAUAUCAUCAUUCAAAAAAUAAAAUAACUACAUAACUAGAAUCACUUGCAAAAAAAUAUUAUAUUAAAAGUUAGUUUGAUAGUGAUUUUAAAAAAUGUUUCUAACAUUUUUAACACUUAAAUUUUUUUAUUAAAAUAAUCAUGUUGAAAUAUUAAAAAGGUUAAAAAUGUUUACAAAAAUCACUAUUAAACAAGCUAAAAAAAUUUGUUCUACAAUGAUUUUAGGAAGCCCUUUUAGUCAUCCCAACAUUUGAAAUUUUUUAGUAGAAUAGUUGUAACCUUUCUAUCCUUCCAUUUGGUAGGAAGCGUUGGUAGUGAUUAUUAGUAUUAAGGUCGAAUGGGAAGGUGUUGUUCAUGAUGUGUGGGUCUUUUUAGAGGCAUUAAGAAGGCCAGAAUUGGGUUUUCCUCAUCCACCUAGAGGUUUGUGAAUAACAAUAUCAAACUUGUUUUUGUGAUUGAAUUUUUAUUAUCUAAUAUAUAUUUUUGUUUUUGUUUUGUUGGUAAAUAUUAUUUGGUCGAUGUUGGUUAUCCUCAAAUGAAUGGAUAUUUAGGCAGUUAUAAACGCGAGUGUUACUAUCUUCUAGAUUUUUGAUGAGGUAGUUCACUUUGAGGUAAAAAGGAAAUAUUUAAUCAUAGGCAUUCAUCAUUGAGGUGCACAAUUGAAAGAACGUUUUGUCAUUUUGAAGAAUAGAUGGAGAAUGCUACGAGAAAUGCAUAGUUUUUCUCUUGAAAAACAAGUAAAGAUUGUUAUUGCUUCCAUGACUCUUCAAAACUUCAUAAGGAUUAAUGCUAGAAUGGAUAUGGAAUGUAAACCUUAUGAUGAUGAUCAAGGGUUGCUUCCACUUAAUGAAGAAGAGAGUAGAAUAGAUUCACUUGUUGAGGAAGAUGGUUCACAUCAUGCAAGAGAGAUGGAAAAAAAAUGUGAUCGAAUUGCAAAUCUUCUUAUAUUUCAUUGAUGUUUGAUUAUGACUCUAAUAUGUAAUAAUAUAAUUUUCCCUCUAUGAAAACAUUUGUCUUCCAAUUUACUUUUAAUUAGAAAAGUUUAUGUUCUGCAAAAUAGAUUUCAUUGUUGUGAGAAACAAAAUGUUUGGAAAUUGUUUUCUAAAAUAAUUUUUAAUAACAGUUUUUGAAAACCGUUCUUUAAUAUUUUAUAAAAUAAAAGUCUAUUUAAAAACUUAAAAUAUUUUUAACUUAUUUUUAAUAAUUUUAAAUAUGUUUAAAUUUUUUUUAUGUAUAAUGUUUUAUUUUUAGAAUUCAUUUGAAUGAGAAAUAUUUCUACAUUUUCUAAUACUUGAAAAAUAAAGAAUUUUAAAUGUUAAAAAGACUAAAAACACUUUCUAAAAUCAUUGUUAAAUACACUUUUAAAAUAUGUUUGAUAGUAAUUUUAAAAAACGUUUUUGCUCUUUCUAAUAUUUGAAUGAUAUAAAUUUUUAAGUGUUAAGAAGGUUAGAAACACUUUUUAAAAUCGACAUGAAUAAAAACAACAUAAGCCAACUAAAAAGAUGUUAUAUGAAAAUACUCUAUUUUAUAUUAUUAAGAAUAGAAAACAAAAAACAAUUUUGGUUGCCAUAUGCGUUUUUAUAUUUUUUUUUUUUGAAAAACAAAAAAUUAUUCUCGAAAAAACAUAUUCCACAGUAACUCAAAUUAGUUUUCUAUGUUUAUUCCCUAUAAAAGAUAUAUAUAUUUUUUUAUGUAUAAUGCAAAAAAUAUAUAUUUAUUUUUACAUUAUUAAUUAUUGUUCAAAAACACCUAAAAUCAUUUUUAAAAAACAACCUGAUUUCAAAAUAAAUUCUUAAAAAAUUAUUUUCUAAAAAAAAAAUUAUCAAAUGCUUUUUCUGAAUCAGGAAAUUGUUUUUCGUUCUAAAAACAGAAAAAUAUUUUUAAUAACAAUUUUCAAAAGAAGACCCAAUCGAAUAAGGGUUCAAUUUAGGAAUUCCACAACUUAAAGCUCUAUUUACUGGAUGGGUGUUUUUUACUACAAUUUCAUCCGCAGCACAGAAGACGGCAGCACAAUCAAUUUGAGUAACGUUCUUAGAUGUCACCAAAUUUAUUUUGUGGGGCUGGACUUGUUCUUGCUGGAGAACCAACUUCCCUUCGGACUCCUCAAGUUGAUUUUUGAGGAAGCAAAAUUCAAGGGUGGUUCAUUAAUGCAAGAGAAGAUAAAAAAGUUGGUCACUCUUGACACCAGAAGGCCAGAUGGGUCGACAUAAAAAAGUAAUGAAUUAUUGCAUACAAGGCACGAAGACAACCUUUCAAUGCUGCUACUACUCAUCAAUUCCUGGAGGGACAACUUAAGGGGUUGAAGGGCGAUAACUGCACAUCCUGACAUUUUCCAUGAAGGUACAAUCAUUGCAUAUGUAUUUUGGAAUCCAGUCUGACAUUUUCCAUGAAAGAACAAUAAUUGCAUCUGAAUAUAAAUGUAUUUUGGAAUCCAUCCUGACAUUUUCCUCGUGAACCAACCUUUUUCAUACUAUGUUUGGCUCGGAAGUACCAAAAAAAGAUACAUUUGCCAGUGGAAAAAAAAAAAAGAUGCAUUCGUUCCAUGGAGAGAAUGUGUGGUCUGUAAAGAUUGAAGAGAUGGAUUGCAGGCGAAGACGGGGUGUUGUAGUGGCCUUGCACUUCAUAAGGAUUAAACAAUAAAUAAUGGGUGUGGAGACUUGGGUGAAAUACAAAGUAACAUGAUACUAUAAUGAUAAAAUAAUAAUAAUAAUAAUAAUAAUAAUAAUAAUAAUAAUAAUGUUAGAUGCUAAGUUAAUAAAUGAAAUAAAAUUAUAGUUUAAUUAAAUUAGCUAUAUAUUCUUAGAAACAUUAUAAAUUAGAAACUUAUUAAUUUUAAUUGAAUAAGGAAUAAAUGAAUUAAAUUAAUAUUAAUAAUUAGGAAUAAUAAUAUUAAUAAAUAAAAUUAUUAGGAUCAUCGAAUCUAUAUAAUUUUAGUUAAUUGUCUAUAGUAAGAAACUUAUUGAUUUUAGUUAAAUAAGGAAUAAAUUAAUUGAGUUAAUAUUGAUAAUUAAGAAUAAUAAUAUUAAUAAAUAAAAUUAUUAAGAUAGUGGAAUCUAUAAUUUUAGUUAAGCUUCUAUUUUUUUUUUUUCAAAUAUAUUAACUUUAGAUAAUAAGCUAUCCAUUAACCAUUUAUUAUUUAAUCAUUCAAUCCUUCAAAAUGACAUUAAUUUAACCCACUUCCUUAACCAAUUAUACAUUGAUUAAAUUCACCUUUCAAAAAUUAAAUAUACUAAAUGAUAAUAUUCAUAUUUAAUCAAUUUACCUUUUUGUAUAAAUUCUUAAAUUCAUAUUUAAUUUCAUUUUGAUUCAAAUUUAUUUCAUGUUUUAUAAUUUUAUAAGGUUGAAUUUCAAUUAUAAAAAUUAAAUUGAUUCAUAUGGUAAUAUUAAAUUAAAUAUCUUUUGAAAAAUUUAUUAUAACCAGUUAAUAUAAUACAAAUUUCAUCAAGUUUUUCUAAUUAAGGUUUUCUGAUAAUUACUUUAUAAUAAUAAAAUUAAUUCUUCUAAUACAUAUAAUAUUCAAAUUUCAAAAAUCCAAUCUCAAAUAAUUUAAUUGCUAAAUUUAUAUUUAAUUUUUGAAGUUCCAAAUUUCGAAAUGUGAAGAAUUUAAACUAUUGACCUUCCACUAGGCACUAACUUCUCAAAAGUUUCGCCUAAUUAAAGAAAAUAUCGACACGUCAAUGUUCACUAACAUCGUUCAUUUAUUUAGACCAUUCAUUUUGGUUGAUUUUGAGGAUAGUCAUCGGCAGUAGACUUGUAUCUUCUAGACCAAUUAGCAUGCCAACAGUGAUUAGGCUAAGGUGGUGAUCCAAUUCCAUGGAAGAGCAUCAAGAAAGGAGGAACGGUGGAGAGAAAGAAGGCGGCCAACCAAGCAGGAACAGUGGCCAAACUGGCCUCGAGCCUGAGGAGUAUAGGAUUGACAUUUUUGAAAUCAGUCAUAGGAAUUGGAUUGAGUCUCUCAGAACGGCAGAAGAAAGCACUCGAUCUCAGAGUCAAUGGCCAAGGAUACCAAAGGUUCCUCAGAUGCUGAGGGGGACCCAGGAUUUCAAGAAAUUCUACGAACCGGGGUUAAUUUCAAUCGGUCCUUAUCACCAUGGCAAGCCCCACCUUCACGCAGGGGAAAUAAUCAAGCGUCUAUGUGCCCGAAAAUUCCUUGCUGAUAGUGAGCAGGACAUGGACGCUUUGUACACAAAAAUUCAAAGUAAUAUCGAGGCAGUGAGGACGUGCUAUGAUAUGAUACCGACGAACAAGUAUGAUGAUGAGAAACUCGCCCGGAUGAUGCUUCUGGAUGGGUGUUUUUUACUACAAUUUUUCUGCGGGCAGGGUAAUGAAAACUUUCUUAGAUGUCACCAAUUAUUUUUUGCGGAGCUGGACUCGUUCAUGCUGGAGAACCAACUUCCUUUUAGAGUCCUCAAGUUGAUUUUUGAGGGAGCAAAUUUUAAGGGACCAGUGGAAAAGAAAAUAAAAAAAUUCGUUACUAGCACCCUAUGGCCAGAAAGGUCGACAUCAGAAACAGAGCUGGAAGAGGACGAAGAGCCCUCUCAUCUCCUCGCCCUUUUGCGAAGUACUCUCCUAGGCCGGCAACCUGAGAAAAAAGAAAAGUCGUCGUCGUGUCAAGGAGGAGAUGGGAGGUCCUGUUGCCCAUGGAAGAAAGGCCAAAAACGAGGCUUUUCAAGGUCUUUUCGAAACGUCAAGGAGCUUAAAGUUGCCGGGAUCCAUCUCCAACCGAGUGGAACGAGUUUCUUGAGAGACGUUUCUUUCAAUUCCUACUUCUUCUAUGGCUGCAUGAAUCUUCCCCCAAUAAUCGUUGAUGACUUCACGAAGCCCAAGUUCUUGAACAUUGUAGCCUAUGAAAUGUGUCCAGAUGCCCCAGAUGACUAUGCGGUCACUUCUUAUGUAUGCUUCCUUUACGAGCUCAUUGAUCAUGCAGACGAUGUCAAGGAGCUGAGAUCUAAGCACAUUCUCUACAACUGUCUUGGAAGCGAUGAAGAUGUGGCCAAAAUUUUCAACGAGAUCGGCAAUGGCUUGGUAGAUCCCGAUGCUUAUAAAGAAGUGAAAACUAGUAUUCAGAAACACUACGACAAGAGAGGGAAUACUUGGAUAGCUGAAGGCCUUCACGAGCAUUUCAGGUCUCCAUGGACUAUCAUCGCUUUCAUUGCUGCUGUUUUGAUACUACUUCUUACCGGGUUUCAGACCUACUUCGCUCUUCCCGCUAAACCCAAAUGAGUCAUGGUAAUAUAUGUUGAAGACUGAUUCAAAGUGGCUGUUGGUAUAUUCCUAUUCUUAUGGUUGAGUUAGUCAAAUAAGGAGCUUGUUGCUAAAAUCGAGUUAGUGGGUGUAGUGGGUCAAGUGUUAGUGGUGUAGUGGGGCAGAUUGUGUCCUCUUUGUUUUUUUUUAUAAAUAGACAUGUUUGCUGUAGUGGAAAAAUGACUGCAAUAAAAUAUCCAGAAGCAUUUUCUUUGGUCUGGUGAAGCUCUGUUUUUUAGAGUUAAAGAGCUCUAUUUUUUUCCUUGCUAUUGUUUUGUCUUGUUUUUGUCCAACAAUUUUUGGUAUCAGAGCAACCAGGUUCCUUCUGAACUGGGCGAAUAAUGGCAACAACCAACGGCAGUAUGGUGAGUGUGUCUCAACCAGCAAUUCCCAUUUUCAAAGGUGAGUGCUAUGAGUUUUGGAGCAUCAAAAUGAAGACUUUAUUCAAGUCUCAAGAUCUGUGGGACUUGGUUGAAAAUGGCUAUCCUUAUCCGGACGAAGAAGCUAGGUUGAAAGAAAAUACGAAGAAGAACUCCAAGGCAUUGUUCUUUAUUCAACAGGCUAUACAUGAAUCAAUCUUCUCAAAGAUUGCAGCAGCAACCACAGCAAAAGAGGCGUGGACAACCUUGAAAACUGCAUUUCAGGGUUCCUCUAAAGUGAUCACGGUGAAGCUCCAGUCCUUGCGCCGUGACUUUGAAACCUUGCACAUGAAAAAUGGAGAGUCAGUGCAAGAUUUUUUGUCAAGAGUUGCUGCUAUAGUUAAUCAAAUGAGGUCGUAUGGUGAAGAUAUUCUUGAUCAAACUGUCGUAGCAAAGGUGUUAAGGAGUUUAACGCCUAAGUUUGAUCAUGUAGUUGCAGCCAUUGAGGAGUCUAAGGAUCUGUCAACCUAUUCAUUUGAUGAGCUCAUGGGAUCCUUGCAAUCUCAUGAAGUGAGGCUGUCCAGAACAGAGGAGAAGAAUGAAGAAAAGGCAUUUUACACGAAGGGGGAGACAUCAGAUCAGAAGAAUGGAGGCAGAGAAGCUACUGGUAGAGGACGUGGCAAAGGAGGUGCUCAUGGAAGAGGUGGUCGUGGCAGAGGCCGAGGUGAUGCACAAGGUGACCAAAGGCAGUCAACUGAGAAGAGCAGAAACAAGAGUAAUAUCCAGUGCUACUACUGCAAGCGGUUUGGACAUGUUCAAGCUGAAUGUUGGAAGAAAGAAAGGCAAGAAAAACAAGCUAACUAUGUCGAGCAAGAGGAAGAUCAAGUCAAGUUGUUCAUGGCCUAUAAUGAAGAGGUAGUAUCUUCCAACAAUAUUUGGUUUUUGGAUAGUGGAUGUUCUAACCACAUGACAGGGAUAAAGUCACUCUUUAAGGAGCUGGAUGAAUCACACAAGUUGAAGGUGAAACUUGGUGAUGACAGACAAGUGCAAGUGGAAGGCAAGGGGACCGUGGCAGUAAACAAUGGUCAUGGUAAUGUAAAGCUCCUUUACAAUGUGUACUUUAUUCCUAGUUUGACUCAAAACUUGUUAAGUGUGGGGCAACUUAUGGUUAGUGGAUACUCCAUUUUGUUUGAUGGUGCUACUUGUGUGAUCAAAGAUAAAAAGUCUGAUCAAAUAAUAGUUGAUGUUCGUAUGGCCGCAAACAAGUUGUUUCCUCUUGAAGUGUCAAGUAUAGAAAAGCAUGCUCUUGUUGUUAAAGAGACUAGUGAGUCUAAUCUGUGGCACUUAAGGUAUGGUCAUCUAAAUGUCGAAGGGUUGAAGUUACUAAGUAAAAAGGAAAUGGUGUUUGGACUACCUAAAAUUGACUUGGUGAAUGUGUGUGAGGGCUGUAUUUAUGGGAAACAAAGCAAGAAACCAUUCCCUAAGGGAAGGUCAAGGAGGGCAUCUAGUUGUCUUGAGAUUAUACAUGCUGAUCUAUGUGGUCUUAUGCAAACUGCUUCAUUUGGUGGCAGUAGAUAUUUUUUGUUGUUUACAGAUGAUCAUAGCAGGAUGAGUUGGGUGUAUUUUCUUCAAUCAAAGGCAGAGACUUUUGAGACCUUCAAGAAGUUCAAAGCAUUUGUAGAGAAGCAGAAUGGCAAGUGCAUUAAGGUGUUGCGGACUGACAGAGGUGGAGAGUUCUUAUCAAAUGAUUUUAAAGUAUUUUGUGAAGAGGAAGGCUUGCAUAGAGAGCUGACUACUCCUUAUUCACCAGAGCAAAACGGUGUGGCUGAGAGGAAGAAUAGAACGGUGGUUGAGAUGGCUAGAAGCAUGAUGAAGGCCAAGAACCUUUCAAACCAUUUUUGGGCAGAAGGAGUUGCUACAGCUGUAUACUUGUUGAAUAUUUCUCCAACCAAGGCAGUGUUGAAUAGAACUCCAUAUGAAGCUUGGUAUGGGAGGAAACCUUGGGUAAGCCAUUUAAAGGUUUUUGGUAGUGUUGCCUAUACGUUGAUUGACUCACAUAACCGUAGUAAGCUUGAUGAAAAAUCAGUAAAGUGCAUCUUUAUUGGUUAUUGCUCUCAAUCAAAAGGAUAUAAGCUAUAUAACCCUGUUAGUGGUAAGAUAAUUGUUAGCAGGAAUGUGGUGUUUGAUGAAAAAGCUAGCUGGACUUGGCGUGUAAGUGAAGACGGUGCUCUUGUGGAGAUUUCAAGUGAAAGUGAAGUGGCACAGAGUGAAGAUCAGCAGCCUUCUGUUCAGAUUCCAGCAAGUCCAACUCUCUCGCAUUCACCUAGUUCCCCAAAUUUGAGUAGCAGCAGUUCUUCACAAUCUUUAGAGGAAACCCCUCUAAGGAAAUUCAGAUCUUUAAGGGACAUCUAUGAGACUACACAAGUCUUGUUUGUAGCUGAUCCAACAACCUUUGAAGAAGCAGUGGAGAAGGAAGAAUGGUGCAGUGCUAUGAAAGAAGAGAUAGCUGCCAUUGAGAAGAAUGAGACUUGGAACUGGUGGAGCUUCCUGAAGACAAGAAUGUGAUAGGUGUUAAAUGGGUUUUCAGAACCAAGUACUUAGCAGAUGGUAGUAUACAAAAGCACAAGGCACGGUUAGUGGCAAAGGGCUAUGCACAGCAACAUGGAGUUGAUUAUGAUGACACCUUCUCACCAGUUGCACGGUUUGAAACAGUAAGGACCUUAUUAGCCUUAGCUACUCAUAUGCAUUGGUGUGUUUAUCAGUUUGAUGUCAAGUCUGCUUUUCUUAAUGGAGAGCUAGUAGAGGAGGUGUAUGUAUCUCAGCCUGAAGGCUUCAUAGUUCCUGGUAAAGAAGAGCACGUGUAUAGACUAAAGAAGGCCCUUUAUGGGUUGAAACAAGCCCCACGAGCAUGGUACAGUAAGAUAGAUUCUUACUUUGUUGAGAAUGGCUUGGAAAGGAGCAAGAGUGAGCCAAAUCUUUACCUGAAAAGGCAAGGUAAAAAUGAUCUUCUUAUUAUUUGUCUUUAUGUAGAUGACAUGAUCUAUAUGGGUUCAUCCUCUUUUCUUAUUAAUGAGUUUAAAGCCUGUAUGAAGAAGAAGUUUGAGAUGUCAGACCUAGGGCUGUUGCAUUCUUUCUUGGUUUAGAGGUAAAACAAGUAGAGGAUGGAGUCUUUGUUUCACAAAGAAAGUAUGCUGUUGAUUUGCUUAAGAAGUUCAAUAUGUUAAAUUGCAAAGUAGUAGCUACUCCUAUGAAUUCAAAUGAGAAGUUGCAGGCUGAAGAUGGCACUGAAAGAGCUGAUGCUAGGAGGUUUAGAAGUCUGGUUGGAGGCCUCAUUUAUCUGACACAUACACAGCCAGAUAUAGCUUUUGCAGUUGGGGUGAUCUCCAGAUUUAUGCAUUGUCCUUCGAAGCAACAUCUUGGAGCUGCAAAGAGAUUGUUGCGAUACAUUGCUGGAACAUAUGAUUUCGGGAUAUGGUAUGGUCAUGUUCAAGAGUUCAAAUUGGUUGGCUACACUGAUAGUGAUUGGGCAGGGUGCUUAGAGGAUAGAAAAAGCACUUCAGGCUAUAUGUUUUCUCUUGGGUCAGGUGCAGUCUGUUGGAGUUCAAAGAAGCAAGCAGUGACAGCCUUGUCCUUUUCUGAAGCUGAGUAUACAGCUGCAACCUCAUCCGCAUGCCAGGCAGUGUGGUUGAGGCGAAUUCUUGCUGAUAUUAAUCAAGAACAUGAGGAGCCAACUGUAAUUUACUGUGACAACAAAGCUGCCAUAGCAAUGACCAAGAAUCCAGCCUACCAUGGAAGGACAAAACAUGUUGAUAUUCGGGUUCAUUUCAUAAGAGAUCUUGUGGUUGAAGGUAAAGUUGUUUUGCAGUAUUGUAACACAAAUGAGCAGGUAGCGGAUGUGCUGACAAAAGCUUUAUCUAGAGACAAGCAUGUCUACUUCAGAAGCAAGCUUGGAGUUUGCAACUUUGAAUCAAGGGGGAGUGUUGAAGACUGAUUCAAAGUGGCUGUUGGCAUAUUCCUAUUCUUAUGGUUGAGUUAGUCAAAUAAGGAGCUUGUUGCUAAAAUCGAGUUAGUGGGUGUAGUGGGGCAGAUUGUGUCCUCUUUGUUUUUUUUUUAUAAAUAGACAUGUUUGCUGUAGUGGAAAAAUGACUGCAAUAAAAUAUCCAGAAGCAUUUUCUUUGGUCUGGUGAAGCUCUGUUUUUUAGAGUUAAAAAGCUCUAUUUUUUUCCUUGCUAUUGUUUUGUCUUGUUUUUGUCCAACAAUAUAUAUAUAUGGGUUAAUUAUGAAUGUGAUGUGUUUUUUUCUUGUUUGGUGUGUAUGAUUCUUGUAUCACUGGAUUUCAUGGAUGCAAUAUUAUUCGUCUUUUCCUCCCAUUGAGUUUGCUAUCAUCUAUAAUAUCUGUUUCAACUCGCAAUUUCCAGCUACCUUCUUGGUAUUCUUUUUCAUAGACCAGGAUAAUAGGUUGUUAAACAUCCACAUAGAAAAUUUUCAGUCAACAAUUUGUAAUUCCGUGGAUGGGAUGGGAUUGAAUAAUAUUUUUCAAAUGAGAAAAAAGUGGAUAAAAUCAUAAUUUUUAUAUAUUUAUAAAUUGAGGGAAGAAUCUCAUAUAUGUGCUCUAAUAUUUUUUUUUUUAAUAAAAGACGGAAAUAUCAUUCUAAGCAAUUUAAUGCUUGAUUUUGGAUCAAAAGAGAUUUCAUAAAUAAAUAGUACAUUUUUAAUGAAGUCUUCCAAUCCUCGUCUAAGAAUCUUCAAGUUUUCAAUUUCUUUAAGAAAUCUUGAAUAUUCUUCAACUCUUCAAAAAAUUAUUCAAUCAAUAGUUUGUUAUUCCAUGGAUAGGAUGGGAUUGAAUAUUUUUCAAAUGAGAAAAUAGUGGAUAAAAUCAUAAUUUUUAUAUAUAUUUAUAAAUUGAGGGAAGAAUCUCAUAUAUUCUCUCUGAUAUAUAUAUAUAUAUUUUAAUGAAAGACAGAAAUAUCAUUUUAAGUAAUUUAAUGCUUGAUUUUGGAUCAAAAGAGAUUUCAUAAAUAAAUAGUACAUUUUUAAUGAAGUCUUCCAAUCUUCGUCUAAGAAUCUCUUCAAAAAAAUUUAAUAUUUUUUCAAUCUCUUUUAAGAGAGCUCUUGGACCUUAAAGAAAGAGCCCAUCGUGAUACUUUUAGGGGGUGUUUGGUAUACGGGAAUAGGGAGUGGGAAUAGACAUCUCAUUCCUUUUCUCCCUUAUUCCUAUGUUUGGAUAAAUGUUAAGAAGGCGGAAAUGAAAUAAAAAAUUAUUCCGUCAGAAAUCAAAUUCAACUUAUGAGUCGGAUUUGCAUUCAUUAAAAGUAGGUGGUAUUCUGAUUCAUUAAACCUAUUUGAUAAUAUAAAAUAACCUAAAUUACUAUUUUACCCUCUUAUCUUGUUCUUCAAACCCGAUGUUUAUCUUCUUUGCAAAGGUAGAGAUCCAUUCAUCAUCCACUUCUUAUCUUCUUUGCAAAGUUAGAGACCCACUCAUCUUCCAAUUCUCUGCAACAAGUGAUUCUUCCAAAUUGAAUCAAUUAAACCUUCCACGAUAUUUAAAAAAAAAAAAUCAAUUUCUAAUUUAUAGGGUUUUGGAUGUUCAUUUUGAUUGUUGGAUCUAGGAUUCGUCAUUGUUUGCUGUAACUAGGUUCUGAAAACUCCCUUCUACAUCUUCGAUCAGGUUUACCUUAUUUUCUCUUUCUUCUUCUACUUCUUUAUAUGUGUUUCUUCUUCUCUAUAAAUCGAUUAAAUUUUUUUUAUUAAUUUAUGUUUGGAAUCUUUGAUGUUUCUUUAUCUUGUAUUAAUGGAAACUGGAGAGAAAAAUUGAAAUGGUUGGAAAAAGAUUUUUCGAUUUCACGUGUUUACAAUAUUGAAAAUUUUUAAUGGUUAGGAAAAAAAUAAAAAGAAAAAAACAAACAAAAACAAAACUUUUGGUUUUUUUUCCCCUUUGUUUAUUAUUACCGGCAUCUUCCUUUCCUAGUUGAAAAUAGGAAAAACAUUUGCUAGCUUUGAGAAUUUAAAUAUUAUAAUAAAUAAUUUUUUUUUAAAAAUAUAAUUUUAUAACUACUUAAGCAUGACAAAUUAUUCAAAUUUUUAAUAAAAAUAAUAAUUGAAUAUUUGUGCAUUAGGGUUAUACGAUUUUUUAUGGUUAAUUUUUUAUUUAUUGAGUAUAUAUAUAUUUUUUAGUCUUAUUAUUUAAUAACAAAAAACCUCUCAAAUUUUAUUUUUUUAAAUAAAAGUAAAAAUAAAAAAAUAUUUUAAAUUAUAUGUAAGGAUAUUAUUGUAAAUUUAUUUCUUUUUCAUUUCUAUUCAUAUUAUUAUCAAACAUUGGAAUGGAAACAAAUAAUCAUUUCAAUCUUGCAUUCUUAAGUUCAUCCAAAUGCUAGAAAUGAAAUCAUCAAAUUCAUUCCAUUCCACUAAGAAAUAGGAAAGGAAACAAAAUAUUAUUUUCAUUCCCUAUUCCGACGUACCAAACACCCCCUCAAUAUUAUGUGUAUGUCAUGGAAUUUAAUUCUAAAAAUCCUUAAAAGAGUUUAAUUUACCAUAAAAGCAACCAACAGUGAUCUACAUGGACAAUAGAAAAAACAAAAAUCCAACUUUCCAUGAUUGAAGUAAUGAAUUGUACAGACUUUAUGCUGCUACUCAUCAGGAAGGCCAACUUAAUCAAAGGGCCAUAAGUACUGCACAUCCUGACAUUUUCCUCGUGAACCAAUUUUUUUUUUUUUAUGCUACGUUAUGACAUUUUCGUCGAGAACCAAUCUUUUUCGAUACUAUGUUUGGUUCAGAAAUUCUUAGAAAAAAAAAAAAAGAAAUAAAAAAGGAAAAUGCUAAAAAAAAAAAUUAUAUUUAAUUUCAACAUGAAAAAUGUGAAAGAAAGUCUCACUAUAAUUAAAAUCAUUAAAAAACUUUAUAUAAUUUUAAAUUAUUCAAUCACCACAUUAAAGAGUUAAAUAUAUGAAAAAAGUUGGAGACAAUACAUAAAACUAAUUCAAUGAUUUUAAAUUUAUUUUUUUUCUUCAUUUUUUCUUUUCUUUUGUUUUUCUUUUUCUAGUAUUUUCCUUUAAUUCUUUCAAGAAUCAAACAUAACCUAAAUAACCUACUAAUUUGGUGUUUGUUUUUGUUUUUUUUUUACUUAAAUCUAAAUAUAAUUUAAUUAUAAAUACAAUUUAAUAGUAUUAAAUAUUAAGUUAUUUAUUUUUUAUUAUUUUAUUUUUAUUAAAUAUUAAUAAGAUAAGAGUUAUGUUGAAGUUAUAUUUUGGUUAUUUUAAAAAAUUAUUUCUAACAUUAAAGCAAAAAAUAAAAUAUUUUGAUUUUUUUAUUUAGUCAAAAAGUUUAAAAAAUAAUUAAUAAGUAAAAAGAAUUUAAAAAAUUAUUUAUAGUUUGAAAGCAAAUUACAUUCAACAUUAAAUAAAAAAAUCAAACGUCACGUUAAGAUUCAAAAUGAUUAUAAAUGUGUGACACUAAGCUUAAUAUAAACUUUUGUAUAUUUCACAUUAAGACUUCUUAAUUUAUUCUCUUUAGUUAUUUCAUUUUUUUUCCUGACAUUUUUUGAGGUCUUUUUAUUCUCAUUUCUGUUUCAUAUAACAACUUCUUUAGUUUUCUUUCCAUAUAACCAUAGAGGCAAAAUGAGUGUAAUAUAAUACAAUUGUCCAAUAAUAAUAUCUAAUAAUAUAAAACAAUUAUUUUAAAUAUAUAACAAUAUUUAAAAUUUUAGACAAAAAAUAAUAAUAUAUGUAUGGUAUAGUUUAUUAUAUUUGAAAAUAAUAUUAUAUGCGUUGAUAAAAAAAUAUUAAUUUUGUAAGUGUAUAUUUAUUAUUAAAUUACAUCAAAUAUUGUCCGAUAAUAAUAUUAUGAUAUUUGAUUAUAAUAUAUUUAAUAUUAAAAUUAUGAUACAUUUAAUUCAAUUAUAUUAAAUGAUAUAAAAUAAAUAAUAAUAUAUGUAUAAUUUUUUAAUAUUUAAUUAAUAAUAUUAAAAACACUAAAAAAAAGUUCUCAUGAUAAUUUUUAUAUUUUUAGUAAUUAAUUAAAUAAAAAAAAUUAUUUAAUUAUAAAAUACCUAUAAUUAAUUUGUUCUUCAAAAUAUAUCACGGUGGAAUAUAUUUAUGAAGGGUGAGCUUGCCCUAGUGGUUGGCAAAGUUUAUUUCGAACCUUUUGUUUGAGUCCCCUCAUCUGCAACACAAAAUUAAGAUAUUUUGAUCUUUGACCGUCCCUACCUCGCGUUGCAGCCUAUUUGAGCGCGCCCCCCAACCUGCAUUGCAACCUGUUUGAUCGCCCACGACCCGCGUUACAGCCCGCAGUUGGCAGACCGUCGUUGCAGUGGGUCGACUUUCUUUGCUGAAAUUUCAUCGAAAUUUGCCAAAUUUUCAUCGAAAAAUGCCAGUAGCUGGAGAUAUUUUUUCUAUUUUGUCAAUUAAUCAGCAAAUUCUGAAAUUUCGAAACUUGCCCGUGUGUGUUUUUUUUUUUAAAAAAAAAUCACCUCAUGGAUUUUGAGCUUUUAUUUUUUCAAAUAUAUCAACUUUAGGGGCUAACCAUCAAUUAUUUAAUCAUUCAACGUACAAUAAUGAGAUUCUCAAUCCUUCGUAAUGACAUUAAUUUAAUCCACUUCUGUUGUUAAUUAUACUUCAAUUAAAUCAGCCUUUCAAAAAUUAAAUUAAAUCUAUUAAAUGAUAAUAUUCAAAUUAAUUAAUCAAUUUACCUUUUUAUAUAAAUUCUUAAAUUUAUAUAACAUAAUGUAAUCUUGAUUUCAUUUCGAAAGAAUUUUGCUUCAUGUUUUGUAAUUUUAUAAGGUUGAAUUCCAAUUAUAAUUAAAAAAUAAAUUGAUCUAUUAUAAUAUUAAAUUAAAUAUCUUUUAAAAAAUUUACUAUAACGAUUUGAUAUAAUAUGAAUCUCAAGUAUUUGUAAUUAAAGUUCUUUGAUAAUUAGCUUAUAAGAAUAUAAUUAAUUUUUAUAAUACAUGCAAUAUUCAAAUUUCAAAAAUCCAAUCUCAAAUAACUUUUAAGUUUAAUUUUUGAAAUGUGACUUGGCAAGAAUUUAAAUUAAUGACGGCUUGGCCUAAUUAAAUAAAAUAUUUACACGUGAAUGUUCACUAACAUCAUCAUGAAUGGUCUAAAUAAAUGAAUGUUCUAGACCCUUCAUUCUGGAUGCUGUUGAGGAUAGUCAUCGGCAGUAGAAACAUCUUCUGAACCGAUUAAAAUACCAACAGUCACCAUUCAUUUAUUUAGACCAUUCAUUUUGGUUGAUGUUGAGGAUAGUCAUCGGCAGUAGACCUACAUCUUCUGGACCAAUUAGCAUACCAACAGUGAUUAGGCUAAGGUGGUGAUCCAAUUCCAUGGAUGAGCAGCAAGGAAGGAGGAACGUUGGAGAGAUAGAACCAGUUGGCGGCCAACCAAGCAGGAACAGUGGCCAAACUGGCCUCGAGCCUGAGGAGCAUAGGAUUGACAUUGUUGAAAUCAGUCAUAGGGAUUGGAUUGAGUCUCUCAGAACGGCAGAAGAAAGCACUCAAUGGCGAAGGAUACCAAAGGUUCCUCAGAAGCUGAGGGGGACCCAGGAUUUCAAGAAAUUCUACGAACCGAGGGUAAUUUCAAUCGGUCCUUACCACCAUGGCGAACCCAACCUUGGCCCAGUGGAAAUGAUCAAGCUUCCAUGUGCCCAAAAAUUCCUGGCUCAUAGUAACCAGGACAUUGAAGCUUUGUACACAAAAAUUCGAAGUAAAAUCGAGGCAGUGAAAAAGUGCUAUGAUUAGAGUAGUACAGAAAAGUAUGAUGAUGAGAAACUCGCCAGGAUGAUGCUUCUGGAUGGGUGUUUUGUACUACAAUUCAUCCGCUGGAAAGGUAUGAGAAAAUUUCUUAGAAAUCACCAAAUAAAUUUUGUGAUGCAGGACUUGUUCUUGCUGGAGAACCAACUUCCCUUUGGAGUCCUCAAGUUGAUUUUUGAGGGAGCAAAUUUCCAGGGUGGUCUACCAAUGGAAAAGAAUAUAAAAAAUUUCAUCACUUACUUCGGAAUGCCAGAAGGGUUGUCAUCAGAAAUACAGCUGUAAGAGGUGAACGAAGAGCCCUCUCAUCUACUCGACCUUUUGCAAAGUGCUCUCCUAGGCCAGAGUCAGCCCGAACAAGAGCAGCAACCUGAGAAAAAAGGAAAGUCGUCGUCGUCGUCUCAAGGAGGAAAGUGGGGGUUCUGUUGCCGAUGGAAAAAAAGCAUACAACGGGGCAUUUGGCAGUCUUUUCGACACAUCAAGGAGCUUAAAGCUGCCGGGAUCUAUCUCAAACCGAGUAGAACGUGUUUCUUGAGAGACAUUUCUUUCAAAUCCUACUUCUUCUUUGGCUACCUGAAACUUCCCCCAAUAACCAUUGAUGACUUCACGAAGACCAAGUUCUUGAACAUGGUAGCCUAUGAAAUGUGUCCAGAUGCCCCAGAUGACUAUGCGGUCACUUCUUACAUAUGCUUCCUUUACGACCUCAUUGAUCAUGCAGACGAUGUCAAGGAGCUGAGAUCUAAGCACAUUCUCCACAACCUUCUUGGCAGCGAUGACGAUGUGGCCCAAAUUUUCAACGAGAUCGGCAAUGACUUGGUAGAUCCCGAUGCUUAUAAAGAUGUAAAAGAUUGUAUUCAGAAGCACUACAAGAAGAGAGUGAAUACUUGGAUAGCUCAAGCCCUUCACAACCAUUUCAGGUCUCCAUGGACUGUCAUGGCUUUCAUUGCUGCUGUUUUGAUACUAUUUCAGGUCUCCAUGGAUUAAUUAUGACUGUGAUGUGUUUUUAUCCUGUUUGGUGUGUGUGAUUAGAGAAAUAAAGAUGUGUAGAUUGUUAAGUUGUAUCACUGGAUUUCAUGCAUGCAAUAUUAUGGGUCUUUUCCAGUUUUCCUCCCCACAUGAAUUUGCUAUACAAUCUCCAGCUUGCUUUUUUCUGUUCUUUUUCAUAGAGCAGGAUCAUAGAUAACACAACAUCAACAUAGAAAAUUUUCGGUCAACAGUAUGUGAUUCCGUGGAUGGGAUGGGAUUGAAUUUGCUCACACACUUUUUUAUCUAAGGAGAAAAUUGUGGAUAAAAUCAUAAUUUUGAUAUAUUUAUAAAUUGAGGAAGGGCUAUCUCUAAUUUAUUUUUAAUAUAAAAGAUAAAAUCAUAAUACAUAACUAAGAAAGGGGAGCGAAGACAUUUUUUAUUUCAUUGUUGAACUUGUUUCAAAAAAAAAAUCCACACACAGAGAUUGAGUUAGAAAUGAAGGUAGAGAAAAGAAUGAUAGAACUCGUUAAAAUUGUUUAUAUCUCAGGCACUAAAAUACAUCUUGUAUCACUUUUUAGGGUAAAAGUGUUUUUAAAGAGCAUUGCCAAUUGGAUUUUAAAUAAUCUAGAUUGUCACUUUUUUUUUUCAAUUAUAUAUAUUAUAUCAAAUAUUUCUAUUUUUUUUGUACAAAGUAAAUAAAUUAUUUAAUAUAUUCAAACAUUGUCAUUCAAUCAAUUGAUAUAAAUCUUUCUUUUAAAGUAAACAUGAUGUAAAUAAUUACGUAUAAUCAAGCAAUCAACUAUCGUUCUUAAUUUAUUUUCUUUGGUUAUUUCAUUUUUUUUUUUUUUUUUUUGCCCUUUUAUUCUCAUUUCUGUUUCAUAUAACAUUUUCUUUACUUUUCUUUCCAUAUAAAAUGAGUGUGAUAUAAUACUAUUGUCCAAUAAUAAUAUCUAAUAAUAUAAAACAAUUAUUUUAAAUAUAUAACAACAUUUAAAAUUUUAGACAAAUAAUUUUCGUUAUUUUCAAUAUUGAUGACACUAAUAAAUUUCAAUUUUAUCUUCAUACAAGCCAAAUAACUCUUAACACUUCACACAAUUUAUCUUUCAUUCACUUGAAUUGAAUUUUUCUCCAACAUCAUUUCCACUAAAAAUCAAUUAUUGCAAAAAAAUAAAAUAAAAUGACAACUAUACACGUAGAAUCCCUUACAAGUAGAAUCACUUGCAAAAAAACACCAUGAUAAGUAAAUCUAAAUCCAAAAAAUAAUAAUCACAAAUUUUUUUAUUAAAAUAUAUUUAUGGACCCCGCAUUUCGGCUUAUACGCCUCCACUCGACGGCGAGCUCGAUUUUUAUUUGAAAAUGACUUGGAGUCGCCACUCAUUUUUGUUUUAUUUUAAAAAGGGUAAGCGAAAUAAAAAAGAAAACCCUAAGUGUGACUCCUUAUUUUGGAAAAGAUGGUUUGUGAAAAACUGGAUCGGGCUUAGGGGUCAGGUUACUUAUCAGGAAGGUACGACAUAAACCGUAGCACCCCUCAAAGUCCCUAAAGUCGGGUCUCUACUAAUACAAUGAAACUGACGUAGCAAUCGACGAGAAAGUCAAUGGAUACUCACCUCAAACACGCACAAUAGGUGAAUCGGAACAUGAAUAGAGAAUGAUCAGAAUGAAAGUGUAUGCGUACCUGGGCCACGGACCAUAAUGCGCUAUCCAAAAAUGGGAUUAGCACACAAUUAAUGAAUACGGAAUAUGGCUCAUGCAUAUUGGAGUGCAAAUCGAAGAUCAAACGAAAUACACUAAGUACGACAGUUAUCAAUCAAAAGGGAUCAAACAUCGGGCCCCCACUAAAGCCCAAUUUAUUGUUCAUGAAUUAGUCUUACAAAUUCCGUGUUUAAAAUUAUGAAGACUUCACUUCUUGCUUAUGUAGAAUCAAGAAGAUCAGAAGAUUAUUUAAUAACCGAAAUGGAAUUAAAACUAUUCGAGUGAAAACUGGAUUCUUGGAGUUUAUUUGAAAAUUAGGAUCUCAAAAAUUACUUGGAAAUUGGAGCCUGGGGAACUGAAUUUAAGAAUGGGAAUUUUGGAAGUUAAGUUUCAAAAAUUGGAAUCCUGAAGAAUUAUUUAAAGAUUGAGUUUCAAAAAUAAACAAAUAAAUAAAAUAAUAAUGAUUAAAUAAAUCAAUAUGGGAAUUAAAUAUUUUGGAAAUUGGAAUCUAAAUUUAGAAAUCGGGAUUUUGAAGAAUUGUUUGAAGAUUGAAUUUUAAAAAUAAAUAAAUAAAUAAAAUAAUGAGGAUUUAAAUAAAUUGACAUGAGAAUUAAAAUUUCGGAAAUUGGAAUUUAAUUUAGAAGCCAGAAAAUUGGAACUGUUUUAAAGAAGGAAAUUUUGAAAUGGAUAGCUGGAAUAAUAAUAGUGAUGAUAAUAAUAAUUGUUUUGAAAGCUAAAUUUUAAAUAUUAAAACUUUGGUAAUUAGAUUGAAAUUCGUAUUUUUGACAAUUAACUCUGGAAGUUGAGAAUUUAAAAAUUAUUCCAAAAUGAAGACCUUGAUAAUGAGAUUUAAGAAAUGAACCCUAGGAAAUUAAACUGCGAGAAUAUGGAUUUUGAAAGUUGAAUUUGAAGAUUUAAGUAGUAGUAGUAAUAAUAAUAAUAAUAAUAACAAUAACAGUAAUAAUAAUAUUAAACUGCGAGAAUAUGGAUUUUGAAAGUUGAAUUUGAAGAUUUAAGUAAUAAUAAUAAUAAUAAUAAUAAUAAUAAUAAUAAUAAUAAUAAUAAUAACAACAACAAUAAUAAUAAUAAUAAUAUUAAACUGCGAGAAUAUGAAUUUUGAAAGUUGAAUUUGAAGAUUAAAAUAGUAAUAAUAAUAAUAAACUACGAGAAUAUAGAUUUUGAAAGUUGAAUUAGAAGAUUUAAGUAAUAAUAAUAAUAGUAAUAAUAAUAAUAUUGAACUUGAAUAUUUAAGUAAUAAUAAUAAUAGAAAUGGGCUUAAGACAAUGGCUAGAAAUGGGCUUAGGACAAUGGCUACUCAAAUUGAGCCCUUUAAUGGGCCUAGGGUGGGAAGAUUGAAUUUGAAGAUUUAAGUAAUAACAAUAGAAAUGGGCUUAGGACAAAAUGGGCUUAGGACAAUGGCUACGACUUGAGCCCUUUAAUGGGCCUAGGGUGGAAAAAUUGAAGAUUUAAGUAAUAACAAUAGAAAUGGGCUUAUGACAAUGGCUACAAAUUGAGCCCUUUAAUGGGCGGGAAAAUUGAAGUUGAAGAUUUAAGUAAUAAUAAUAGAAAUGGGCUUAGGACAAUGGCUACAAAUUGAGCCCUCUAAUGGGCUUAAGGUGGGAAGAUUAAAUCUCAAAGAAAGAUAGUGGGCCUUGGGCAUCUUGGUGGUGCAUGGAUUCUCUAUAUUGUAGCCAUAGUUUCAAGGUGAACAAGAGGGAACGACGGCACGAACCAGCUCCAGGGGUAUAACCGAAAGUGUAGAGAUGGCGCGGAGGUUGGGGCUUGAUGAACAGCAUGGGAUAGGUUGAUGGUGAUGAGCUUGUGGUACGAGAGAUAAGAUGAGCUUGGUGAUGGAAACGAGUGAGCAUGCAACUUGGAGAGGUGAGGAGAGUAGGAUAUGCGACUUGGAGCAUUAGUGGGUAUGAUUGUGGUGUAGAGAGGGAAGAGGUGGUGGGACGAAGUGCGCAUAAGAGAUUUGACACAAAGAGGCGAUAUGGGAAGAGUGGAGAUGGGUGGUAUGAAAAGUGAGUACAUGCGGAUAUGAGUGUGAAGAGGUUGGUGAGAAGCGGAGAUGUCCAUGCAUGCUUGAAAUGGGUGACAAAAUAAUGAUAUAAGGGGUAGUGGAAGGUGAUGACGGGAAGUGGGUUCAAUGAAACUGUUAGAGAGAGAAAGGGGUGCUAUUGGUAGUGAGAAGAGUGGAAGCACGAGCGUGAGUGAUGGUGAGUUUGAGUGGGUUUGGGUGAUGAUGUAGAUAUAGAAAGUGAAUAAAUAGAAGAGGUGGGUGAAGAAUAGGGCAUGAAACGUAUGAGGUGUGUAGAUGGUAUGAAAAGGUGGACAUGGUCUCCAUGGACUAUCAUGGCUUUCAUUUCAGCUGUUUUGUAGUCCACUUUCAAUCUCAUCACUUCAACACAAAUUGGGGCCAGCCAGGAGAGAGAUUUUUUGGUAGGAUGAGUUAUUGAAUAUAAAUUGGUGACGUGUCAGCAUCUUAGAGGGUCCAUGCAUGGUUUCAAUAUCAUUAUUUACGGUUCUUUUUAAUAAGAAUAAUGUUUAAACUUUGUACUCAUCCAAAAAGUAUUGAAUUAUUGGUACUAAACCGCACAUCCCAACAUUUUCCAUGAAAGGACAAUAAUUGCAUCUAAUUACAAAUAUAUCCUGGAAUCCAUCCCAUAUUUUUCUCGUGAACUAAUCUGUUUGGUUCGGAAACCACUGAAAAAAGAGAUGGAAAAUGCUAAAAAUAUAUUUUUUUAUAUUUGAUUUUGUUACAAAAAAAAAAAAAUUAACCAUGAAAGUCUGAAUAUAAUUAAAAUUAUUUAAAUUUUGUAUAUUUUUAAAAUUAUUAAUCCUUAUGUAAAAGAGUUAAAUACUUAAAAAUAAUAUUUAUCAUUGAUUUUAACUUUAAUUUUUUUUUCCUUUUACCUUUUCUCUCUAUUUUCUUUCCCUCACAAUUUCCUUCAAAAUAUUCCCUCAAUAACCUACUAAUUUAGUGUUUGUUGUUAUACUUUUUUUUUUUUUUAAACUUAAAUUUAAAUAAAAUUUAAUUUAACUUAAUUAUAAUAAAAGAAAAGGAUCAUACCACUUUUUUUUUUUUUUUUUUUUUUUUUUUUUUUUAUGGAUGUCAAGAUGGAUUUAAGAUACAUUUAUAAUAAGAUGAAAUUAUAGUCUGUUGAUGGAAAAUAUCAUUAUAAAAAAUGUCAUUUGAUCAGUGUGACCCUCUCGUAAUUGAUAACAAAUUCAAUUAUUGUCUGUCGAUGGAAACUGAAUUUCCAACCACACAAAAUUAAAUUCAUAUAAACAAUGACUUUUCUUGUUUCAAUUAUUUAUAUUAUAUCAAAUAUUUCUAAUUUUUUUGUAUAAAUAAAUUAUUUUAUUCUCUAAUUAUAGAUUCAAACAUACAAUGUCAUCCAAUCAAUAGAUACAUAAAUCUUUUUUUCAAAUAUAAACAUAAUGCAAAUAUAUACACACAAUCAAGUGGUGCGAUAUCGUUCCUAAGUUUUUACUGAAGAAUACACGUUUAUACCUAAAUACACUUCUCAUUUGGAGUGUUCUCGGGGUAAGUUUUUGUAAUUUAUAUAAGAGAUCUCACUUAUUUCUCAAUUCGCCCUCUUUGAAUCUUUUCAUUUCGAUCUUAUUUUCUUUUCUUUUAAUCUUUUUGCCCUCAUUCUCAUUUCCAUUUCAUAUAACAAGUUCUUCACUUUUCUUUGUCUACAACCAUGGAUGUAAAAUGAGUGCGGUAUAAUAUUGUUGUGCAAUCCUAACUCAAAUGAUAAUACCAACUAAUAUAAAAUAAUUAUUUUAAACCAAUAGUCAUCGGCAGUAGACUUAUAUCUUCUGGACCAAUUAGUAUACCAACAGUGAUCAGGCUAAGGUGAUGAUCCAAUUCCAUGGAAGAGCAUCAAGAAAGGAGGAGGAACGUUGGAGAGAAAGAAGGCGGCCAACCAAGCAGGAACAGUGGCCAAACUGGCCUCGAGCCUGAGGAGCAUAUGAUUGACAGUGUUGAAAUCAGUCCUAGGGUGAAAAAUUGGAUUAAGUCUCUCAAAAACGCAGAAGAAAGCACUCAAUCUCAAAGUUCAUGGCCAAGGAUACCAAAGGUUCCUCAGUUGCUGAGGGGGACCCAUGAUUUCGAGAGAUUGUACGAACCGAGGGUAAUUUCAAUCGGUCCUUACCACCAUGGCAAACCCCACCUUCAACCAGUGGAGACGAUCAAGCUUCAAUAUGCCCAAAAAUUCCUGGCUGAUAGUGACCAGGACAUCGAAGCUUUGUACACAAAAAUUGGAAGUAAUAUCGAGGCGUUGAGGAAGUGCUAUGAUAAGAUACCGACGGAUGAUGAGAAACUCGCCUGGAUGAUGCUUCUGGAUGGGUGUUUUUUACUACAAUUCAUCCGCAGCAGAAAGGACGGCAGCACAGUCGAUUUGAGUAACGUUCUUAGAAUUCACCAAAUAAAUUUUGUGGAGCGGGACUUGUUCUUGCUGGAGAACCAACUGCCCUUUGGAGUCCUCCAGUUGAUUUUUGAGGGAGCAAAAUUCAAUGAUGGUUCAACAAUGGAACAGAUGAUAAAAAAUUUCGUCACUCGCAUCGCAAGUCUACAACCGUCAUCAGAAAAACCGCUGGAUGAGCGCUCUCAUCUCCUCGACCUUUUGCGAAGUGCUAUCCUAGGCAAGAGUGCGCCCAAACAAGAGCGGCAACCUGAUAAAAAAGGAAAGUCGUCGUCGUCUUCAGGAGGAGAUGGGCGGUUCUGUUGCCCAUGGAAAAAAGGCAAACAACGAGGCAUUCGGCAGCCUUUUCGAAACAUCAAGGAGCUUAAAGCUUCCGGGAUCCAUCUCCGACAGAGUAGAACGAGUUUCUUGACAGACAUUUCUUUCAAUUCCUACUUCUUCCGUGGCUACCUGAAUCUUCCCCCAAUAAUCGUUGAUGACUCCACGAAGUCCAGGUUCUUGAACAUUGUAGCCUAUGAAAUGUGUCCAGAUGCCCCUGAUGACUAUACGGUCACUUCUUAUUUAUGCUUCCUUCACGGGCUCAUUCAUCAUGCGGACGAUGUCAAGGAGCUGAGAUCUAGGCACAUUCUCAUCAACCAUCUUGGCAGCGAUGAAGAUGUGGCCCGACUUUUCAACGAGAUCGCCAACGACGUGGUAGAUACCGGAGUUUAUGGAGAUGUGAAAGCUCGUAUUCAGAAAGACUACGACAAGAGGGUGAAUACUUGCAUAGCAGCCAUUAACGGAUUGGCACUGCUUUUACGGCUGUACAAUUGAUACUAUUUCUUACUGGUGUCCAAACCUACUACGCUCUUCCAGGUAAUUAAUGUAUGUGUGUAUGUAUGUGAUUAAUUAUCAUUGUGAUGUGCUUUUUUUUUCUUGUUUGGUGUGUUUAUGUUUGAAAAAAAUCCAACUUUCCAUGAUUGAAGUAAAUAUAUCAAUACAAGAUAUCAUUUUAUUAGAGAGUAUUAUGUAGAAGGAAAAACAAUUAAAAUUUGUAAAAUCUCUAGAUCAAAUUACCAAUAUUUGUAUCAAACCUAUCAAGUUUAAAGAUUUUAAAAAUUAAAGGAUGUUAUUCAAGAUAUACAAAUCAAGUUUUGAGUAGUCAAAUCAUAAAAAAAGUUUGAGGUAACAUAUAAAAAUAAUUUAUUAAUUAAAAUUUUUUUUCUUUCUCUAUUUUCUUUUUCUUAUAUUUUCUUUCAAACUUUUUAGGAACCAAACAUAACCUACUAAUUUAGUGUUUUUCUUUUACUUAAAUCUAAAUAGAACUUAAUUUUACUUAAUUCUAAAUACAACUUAAUAAUAUUAAGUAUUAAGUUGUUUAUUUUUAUUAUUUCAUUUCUUUUAAGUAUUAAGCAUUAAUAGGUGGGAGUUGCAUUGAGGUUGUGUUUUGGUUAUUUUAAAAGGUUACUUCUAGCAUUAAGUAAAAAAAAUUAAAUAUUUUGACUUUUUUCAUUCAAUCAAUUUUUUUUAAAAAAAAUAAGUAAUAAGUAAAAAAUAAGUAAAUCAUCUCAAGUCUGAAAGCAAAUUAUAUUCAAUAUUAAAAGAAAAAAAAAUCAAAACAACCGUAGAACCCCAUCUAGUUGCAGCUCGUUUCUUAUCAGGUGCAGCAUUUCUGAGGUUUUAUGCGUGUCAACUCGAGAAAGGCUGGGGCGGGGACCGUUUUCUGGAAACAUCAGCUGCAUGAAACGUGUGGGGAGCAACUGACCACAGCCAUAGUGGUGGUUGGGGCUCCAGACAUGCUGAGCGGGGGAACAGGGGAGUGGAUAUUGGCUUGUGAGAGGAGAAAAAAAGAAAGAGUUGCUUAUCUUCCCACCCAUUCACCUAUCCCACAUUCUCUCACGUCCGUGCAGCCCACAUGCUCCCCUCAUGACAUUCCCUUGCUCAUCCUAUCAUGCAUUUUUCACUCCCAUGUUCAUGCCAUACUCACCGCCAUCUUUUCUCUCUCUACACCGUGUCAUGCACCCAUUUGUUUUCCUAAAAAGACCACAACCCCUGUUUUGUGCUCCAUCACAGCCCAUGCUUGUGCCACCACAUAACCCUCGUUUUCACCCCCACUUUCAUACCCAUGCAACCAAUCUUUCUCACCCUCUCAUCACCCACUGAAGUGUAUGGAAGUCGUGGUGAUUUCCCUCCAUCUCGCGUUGCCUAGGCUGUCCUCAGUCCGCGUGUUUUCCUGCGCGCUUGCUUCAGAUUAAACUUCGUUCGUCGGCUUCUUUAAAACCCUUUCAACUCGUGUUGUAGUUUAAUGGAUCAAAGCCCAAAUCAGAGAGGAAGGCAAACCUGGGUUCUUGGGUGCAAGUGUAUGCCAAAGGGGAGGUGUAGGAGGGUGAAUUUCACGAGUGGUGGUGUUCAGGAAGUGGGGUUUAUUAUUAUCAUAGGAGUGGGAGGAUAUGUGGGCAUGGAUCAACCUACAGGUAUGGGCAUAAAAGUGGGCCUGAGCAUGGGCCUGAGCCUGGGGGUGAAUGUGGGCCUGAGCAUGGGUUUGAAUAUUGAAAUGUGGCAAGUAGCCCGGAUGCAACAACCAACUUUGCCUCCUGGAGGUUAUAACCUCAUGAUGGGCUCAGGUGGUUAUACUCUUUAGCAACCAACCAUAUGGUAAUGGCUACCAUUAGGAAUGCUAUACACGUAAUGGAUGCCUAUUAUUUCAAGUGAUUCCUAUAUUCCCAAUUUACGCAAUUUAAUUCUUAAAGCCCUAAUUUCUCGAUAUUCUUUCAAAUUUCGAUUUUCACACUAAUAUAUUUGAUCACUAUUACCAUUAUUUCAUUAUUAUUUGUUUAUUUCUAAAAUUCGAUCUUUAAACACAUCUUCAAAAAUUCCAUUUUUUUAAAAUUUAAUUUCUAAUCCUGAUAAUUCCCAUACUCGCUUUAAUUUAUUUAAUCAUAAAUAUUUUAUUCAUUUAUUUUAAAACUCUAUUUUUAAUCUAUUCUUUAAAAUUCCCGAUUACCGAAUUAAAUUCCGAAAAUUCCCAUACUCACUUUAAUUUAUUUAAUCACUAAUAUUUCAAUCAUUUAUUUUAAAAUUCCAUUUUUAAUCUAUUCUUUAAAACUUCCGAUUUCAAAAAUUCCAAAAUUCACGUUUAUUUAUUUAAUCAUUAUUUUCGUUCCGUUUUAAACAAUUCAUUAAAAUUUUCGACUUCCAAUUUUAAUUCCGAAAAUUCCAAUAUUCACAUUAAUUUAUUUAAUUAUUAUUAUUUUAUUUAUUUAUUCUAAAAUUCCAUUUUUAAACAAUUCAUUAAAAUUUCCACUUUUGCUAAUUCCAAAAUUCCAACAUUCACAUUAAUCUAUUUAAUUAUUAUUAUUUUAUUUAUUUAUUCUAAAAUUUCAUUUUAAACAAUUCCAACAUUCACAUUAAUCUAUUUAAUUAUUAUUAUUUUAGUUAUUUAUUUUGAAAUUCCAUUUUAAACAAUCCUUCAAAAUUCCAAUUUCUGAACUUAAUUUCCAAUUUCCAAAAUUCUAAUUUCUUUCAAAUUUAAUAUCUAAAAUUCCAAUUCUUAAAUUUAAUUUUCAAGACUCCAAUCUUCAAAUAAUUUUCGAGACUCUAAUUUUCAAAUAAAUUUGAAAAAUCCAGUUUUCUCUCGAAUAGCUUUAAUUCCACUCCGAUUUUUAAAUAAUGUUCUAUUUCUUUUGAUUUUUUUACACAAGCAAGAAUGAUGAAUCUUCAUAAUUCCGAAAUAAUGGGAUUCGCGAGAUUAAUUCAGGCAAGAUCAAUCGGGCUUUGGUGAGGGCCCCACAUAUGUGAUUUUAUGACUGACUGAUUGAUUAAUUAAUUUAUUUACCAUGCUUGUUUGAUUUAUUCUGUUACUUGACAUGCGCAUAAUUUUAUCUAUUCGUCAUUCACUAAUCCUGUUUCAUGAUAGCGCAUUCGUGACUUGAGGACCAGGUACGCAUCCACUCAUAUUUUGUUCGUUCUUUAUACAUGCUCUGCUUCCCACGUCGUGCAUGAUUAAGGUGAGUAUUCAUUGGCUUUCUCAUUGAUUGCCGCGUUAGCUUCAUUCUAUUAGUAGAGACCCGAUUUCAGGGACUUAGAGGGGUGCUACGGUUCAUGUCAUACCUUCUCGAUAAGUAACCUGACCCCCGAACUCGAUCCGGUUUUUCGUAGAUCACCUUUUCCAAAUAAGGAGUCACACUUAGGAUUUUUCUUUCUUAUUUUGUUUACCCUUUUAAAAAUAAAACAAAAAUAAGUGGCGACUCCAAGUCAUUUUCUUAAUCAAAUAAAAUCAUUUUUCAAAUAAAAAUCGAGCUCGCCAUCGAGUGGGAAAUACAUGAGCCGAAAUGUGGGGUCCACAACAACAUAAGAUUUAAAAUUCAAAAUGAUUAUAAAUGUGUGACACUAAGCUUAAUGCACGCGUGCUAAAGGUCACUAAUGUUAUUCGUAGUUUUCCCAUGGCAAUUGGUAUGUUUCACAAUCUUUCUUGGACGUGGGAGGGGCUUGGGUUUUUGAAUGAGAAUGAAGCUUUUUGAAAGGUUUGUAAUAAUAAAAUAUAACAUCAAAAAUAAAAUGAGGUAUUUAUGUAAAAUAAAAAGAAAAUUGUCUAAAAAAAUUCAUUAAGGCUGUGUCUCUCUGGUUUAAAAAAUUUGAGGGAAAGAAAAUAGAUAAAAAAAAGUGGAAGGAAAAAAAAUGAAGGAAAAUAAAAAAUAAAUUAAAAGUCAAUAAAUUAUUUUUAUAUUCUUCUUCAAAUUUAUUUCACUUGCUCUUCUUCAUUAUAUAAAGAUUAUAUAAUUUUAAAAUGCAUAUAUUUUUAACUAAUUUGAAUUAUAUUUGAUUUUUUUUUGUAUUUUUUUUAUAGUAAAACCAAAUAUAAGAAAAUCAUUUUCCUUAAUAUUUUUUCAUUUUCUUAGUACUUUUUGAAAACCAAAUAUAACCUAAUUCUUAAUUAAUUUAAAUUAUAUUUGAUAUUAAAUAUUUAAUUAUGUAAAUAUUAAAAAUAAAUAAAAUCUAAUAAUUGUACUAAUAUUUUAUAUUUUCAUUUUCUAAUUUUUACUUUAUUUUAAUAGAUACUAAACAUGAUUUUUAAAUUUUAAAAAAUUUUUUAAUUAUAAAAAUAAGAAUGGAAAAAUAAAUAUCGGAUAGCUAAUUUUGACAGACAUGUAAUUUUGAUAGUGAGUGGUGUGAGGAGGGCUUUUUUGCCCAAAUUUUUGUGUUUUCCAAAUCUAAGCCAUUUCCUUGCCUACUUUUUUUCUCCAUGUUCCAAGUAAACAAGGGUAAAUACUUACAAUAAAAAAUUAAUGAAAGACAAAAACCAUACAACUAUUUCCUCCAUAGAUACCAACAUGGAUUCGAGAUUUAAGAUACAUUUAUAAUUAGACGAAAAAUGGCACGAUGAAAAAUAUCAUUUGAUUAAGGUAAGGUGGAAAAAUAAGGGCUACAUUUAAAGUACUCGAGUAUAUUAUAUAUGCUCCCUUUAGGGUGAUUCCCAUAUCAUUUAUAUAUUUCUUUUUAAUUCAAUUUGAAAUUUGAAUUCAAUUUUAUAUUUAUAUUGUAUAUAUUUAUAAUAAUAUAUAUUAUAUAUAAUUAUUUAUAAUAAAAUAAUAAAAAUUAUAAUAUUAAUUAAUUUAAUAGGAUUAAAAAGGACUAAUUUUUUUUAAAUUAUUAUAUAUAUAGGUCUGAAUGGAAAAAAUAUCAUCCAUUUAUUUAUACUCUUAUAUGUUGAUAUCAUUAGUUUGUACCCUCAUUCUAAACAAGGGUACCUUAUCUUGAUCUCAUGCAUUGGUUUGUGUUUUGGAAUUUGAAAGGUUUCCUUAGGUUUAUUUAAGUUUUGACAAUAAAUAAUUAGUAAAAGAAAAGGACCAUACCACUUUUUCCUCCAUAUUCCAAGUAAAUAUGGGAAAAGACUUACCACAAGAAAUUAAAGAAAGGAAAAGAACCACACCACUAUUUCCUCAAUAAAUGUCAAGAGGAUACAUUUGUAAUCAAUGUUGGGAAAUGUCAACAUGGAAAAUAUCCUUUGAUCAAUGUAAGAUGGAAAAGAUCAUUUGACAAGGGCUACAUUUACAGGACUCAAAUAUAUUUUUUUCAAUAGGUAUGAAAAAAACAUCAUCAAUCAAGUGGUGUUAAAUAUAUAUUUUUUAAUCUCAUUAUUUGUACCACAAUCCUAUUUAUUUAUACUCUUAUACCUUGAUAUUAUUAGUUUGUAUCUUCAUUCUAUCUUACCUUGAUCUCAUUAGUUUGUUUUUCAAAAUAUGAAAGGCUUCCUUAUGUUCAUCCAAGUCCUUAGACUCCUUACAAUAAGGAAUUAAUAUAUGAAAAUGAUCGUACCAUUUUUUUCUUGAUGGAUGUCAGGAUGGAUUCAAGAUACAUUUAUAAUAAGAUGUAAUUAUUAUUUAUAUAUUGAGAUUGAAUAUUAAGAUUAUUUUAAUUUUUUAAUUAUAAAAACAAGAAUUGAAAAAUUAAAAUUGGAUAGUGUCAACCCCUUAGCCUUUUGACCCAAUUUUGGAGAAAAGGGUCUCAUGGGUAGGCCUUGCACCCAUGGGAGCCUAGAUAGAGAGCAAGAAUGGCCUGGAGGUUUGGCGGUUCAAACCCCAAGAGUUAUAAUGAGAAGGCCAUGUUUGAGCCAAACGUGCACCACAUGCGAGCUAGAUGCGUACCGCGUGCACACUACAGACAAGCUAAACAGGCACCGCACGCGCACCUCGAGUGAGCCAAACAGGUACCGCGCAUACACCAGGCAUAUGUUGGCUAUGGAGUUGGUGUAGUUGGAGGGCGAGGUUUAUUUUGAAAUAUAAUUUAUAAUUAUUUAAAUGUUUCAUUAUGUCUCCUCCAGACAUCUUGAUAACGAUCCGUAUUGCUCUUUAAGGGGGAAAGGGGAUAGGUAAUUCGAGGGGGCACCAAGGGAAGGCCUUGAUCGCACCAAGGGAGCACCAUGGCACGACUCGUGGCGUGCCUAGGACACACAGAUAGACACUCAAGCACACACACAUGGGUUCCACAAUAUGUGUGGCGUGCACCCUGUGGCUGCAACAGCCCGGGGUCUGGUACAACCUACCUCCUCCCCGCACAGGCAUGAAGGGGCCUAAGCCUUGUGCAACUAGCUAACUGAGGAAGCCAUGGUUUGAUGAGGCACUAGACAGACAGUUGGCUUGUACCCAUAAUGCUUACGCACGACACAGGAGCGCAAUGCCAUAGUUCAUUGCUAUAGAGCUUGACCUGACAGUGGGAGAUAGACAUAGGCCCAUACCAUGGGCACCUUGACAUGGCAUGGACUGACACGUCAGUGUGGGGAAGACACACUGAUGCACCAAGCACCUGGUCAGUUGGUUGGUGCAUGUUGCUAGUUCAGAUGACAGCUAGCUAGUGGUAGCAAGUGUGUGAUCCGGACAAUAGUCAGUUUCAAGGGAUUGACAGAUGGUUGGUGCGAAGAGACGCCUUGGACUAAGGGAGUGUCUCCAGCUAGGUGGUUACAUGAGCAGUUCACCAGUUGGGUGGUUAUGCAAGCAGUUUAUGGGCGAUUGUGGCAGUUGCAAAACCACCAGAUUGGCUCCUUGGUUUUGAAUUUUGAAAUUUGAAAUUGUAACUUGCAGGCUGGUCAUUUAAAAAGGGGCCUCUUCCAUCUUUGAGAUAGAGGAUGAGAGCAUGGGAUAUGUCUUUGAAUGCUUAAGGGUUCUAAGCAUUGUACUCUGACUUAGACCAAGUGUUGAGACACUUUGGAAAACGAUUUUAUAUCUUGUAGUGACUGAAAUAAUACAAGUUAGGAAGGGUUCCCGUAAUUGUUGUGUCAUGUUACUUUGUUUUUCUAAGGGUUGGGAAGAAAGGUUAGCUAAGGAAAGGUCCUUAGUACUGCACACUCGAUGAAAAAAUUAAUGCAAUUAUCAGGGGUGUGAUAGAUAGCUAGUAUUUACAGGCAUAUGUAAUUUUGAUAGAGAUGAGAAGAGAAGAAUGAGUGGUAUGAGGAGUGCAUUUUUGCCCAAAUUUUUGUGUUUUAGGAAUCCAAAGCAUUUCCUUUCCCACUUUUUUCUCCAUGUUCUAGGUAAUCAUGGGAAAAAAGUUGCAAAAAAAAAUUAAUUAAAGAAAAGGAAUAUACCACUAUUUCCUUGAUAGAUAUUAGGAUGUAUUUAAGAUUUAAGAUACAUUUAUAAUCCGCAGUGGAAAAUAUCAAGAUAGAAAAUAUCAUUUGAUAAGGACUACAUUUUUAGUACUCAAAUAUACUUCUUUUUAUAGGUAUGAAUGGAUGAAAAGAUAUCAUCAAUCAAUCAAGUGGUGUCAAAUUUAUAUUUUUAAGUAUUAUUAUUUGUGCUCAAAUCCCAUUUAUUUAUACUCUUCUACCUUGAUAUUCUUAGUUUGUACCCUCAUUAUGUGGAAACAAGGGUACUUUACCUUGAUCUCAUUGGUUUUAGUUUGAAAAUUUAAAAGGUUUCCUAAGGUUUAUCUAAGUCCAUACAAUAAGGAAUUAAUAAUAAAAAAAAGGACCAUGCCACUUUUUCCUCCAUGUUCCAAGUAAAUAUGGGAAAAGACCUACAACAAGAAAUUAAUAAAAGAAAAGGACCAUACCACUAUUUCCUUAAUAGAUGUUAAGAUGGAUUCAAGAUACAUUUAUAAGUAAUGGUGAAAAAUGUCAAGAUGGAAAAUAUCCUUUGAUUAAGGUAAGAUCGAAUAAAUCCUUUGCUAAGGGCUAUAUUUAUAGUACUCAAAUAAGCUCUUUUUUGAUACGUAUGGAAAAGACAUUAUCAAUUAAUUGGUGUCAAGUAUAUAUUUUUAAGUCUCAUUAUUAAUGGACCCCAAUUCCAUUUAUUUAUACUCUUAUACCUUGAUAUCAUUAAUAUGUAUCCUCAUUAUAAGUGAAAAAGGGUACCUUACCUUAGUCUUAUUUAUUUGUAUUUCAUAAUCUAAAAGAUUUCCUUAGGUUUAUAUAAACCCUUACAAUAACGAAUUAAUAAAAGAAAAAGACCAUACCACUUUUUCCUUGAUGGAUGUCAAGAUGGAUUCAAGAUAUAUUUAUAAUUAGAUGUAAAUAUUGUCUGUUGCUGGAAAAUAUCAUUAUGGAAAAUGUCCCAUGAUCAAGAUAACCCUCUUGUAAUUGAUGUCGAAUUCAAUUAUUGUCAAUCGAUGGGAAUUGAAUUCCCAACCAUACAAAAUUAAAUUAAUAUAAAUGGUCACUUCACUUUUCUUAUUUCAAUUAUUUAUACCAUAUCAAAUACUUCUAAUUUUUUUGUACAAAAUAAAUAAAUUAUUUGUUAUCUAAUUAUAGAUUCAAAUAUACAAUUGAUGUCAUUGAAUCAAUUGAUACAUAAAUCCUUCUUCCAAAUAUUAACAUAAUGAAAAUGCAAACACACAAUCAAGUAAUGCAAUAUUGUUCCUGAGUGUUCAUAUAAGGAUACACGUGUAUAUCUAAAUACACUCCCCAUUUGGAGUGUUCUUGAGGUAAGUUUUUGUAUCUUAUAUGAAAAAUCUCACUCCCUUCUUAAUUCAAUUUCUUUGGGUCCUUUCAUUUCUCAUUUUAUUUUCUUUUAUUUUUUUUGCCCUCAUUCUCAUUUCCAUUUCAUAUAAGAAGUUCUUAACUUUGCUUUCUAUACCACCAUGGAUGCAAAAUGAAUGAGAUAUAAUAUUAUUGUGCAAACGAAACUCAAAUGAUAUAUAAUACUCAAUAAUAUAAAAUAAUUAUUUUAAACCUAUAAAAAUACUCAAAAUUUUCAAUAAAUAAUUUCCAUUAUUUUCAACGUUGAUAUAUCAUUAAUAAAUUUCAAUUUUAUCUUCCUAACACAGUCCAAAUAAUUAUAACACUUCACACAAAUAUUUAUCUUUGAUUAAUAUGAAUUGAAUUUUUCUCCAACAUAAUUUCCACUAAAAAUCAAUUAAAAUUUCAUAUAAUCGUAAAAAUAAUUAAAAUAACAACUAUAUACUUAGAAUCACUUGCAAAAUAUUAUCAUAAUAAGAGUUUGUUUGAUAGUGAUCAUAAAAGAUGCUUUUAAUAUUUUUAACAUUUAAAAUUUUUUACCAAAAGAAUUGUUUUAAGUACUAGAAAAACUAAACACGUUUUCAAAAAUCACUAUCAAACAAGUUGAAAGAACAUGUUUGAUAUUAUGAAACCCUUUUAACCUUCCCCACAUUUGAAAAUUUUUAGCCAAGUAUUUGUAACCUUUCUAACCUUCCGUUUGGUAGGAAGCGGUGGCAGUGAUUGUUAGUAUUAGUAAUAAUCACUAGACGAAGUCAUGGGCAGUAGACCAAGUCAUCCCUCUUGGUAGGAAGCGCUUUUAACACCAAGCCAUCGGCAGUAGACUUACCUCUUCUGAACCAACAUAUUAACAGUGAUUAGGCCAAAGUGGUGACCCAAUUCCAUGGAAGAGCAGCAAGAAAGGAGGAACGUUGGAGAGAUAGAACUAGAAGGCGGACAACCAAUCAGGAACAGUGGCCAAACCGGCCCCGAGCUUAGGGAGCAUAGGAUGGACAUUGUUGAAAUCAGUCCUAGGGUGAAAAAUUGGAUUGGGUCUUUCAAAAAAGCAGAAGAAAGUACUCAAUCUCAAACUCAAUGGCCAAGGAUACCAAAGGUUCCUCAGAUGCUGAGGGGGACCCAGAAUAUCAAGAAAAUCUACGAACCGAGGGUAAUUUCAAUCGGUCCUUACCACCAUGGCGAGCCCGACCUUGGCCCAGUGGAAAUGAUCAAGCCUCCAUGUGCCCAAUAAUUCCUGGCUGAUAGUAACCAGGACAUCGAAGCUUUGUACACAAAAAUUGGAAGAAAUAUCGAGGCAGUGAAAAAGUGCUAUGGUUGGAGUAGUACAAAAAAGGAUGAUGGUGAGGAACUUGCCUGGAUGAUGCUUCUGGAUGGGUGUUUUUUACUACAAUUCAUCCGCUGGAAAGGUAUGAGAAAGUUUCGUAGAAAUCACCAAAUAAAUUUUGUGGUGCAGGACUUGUUCUUGCUGGAGAACCAACUUCCCUUUGGAGUCCUCAAGUUGAUUUUUGAGGGAACAAAUUUCCAGGGUGGUCUACCAAUGGAAAAGAAUAUAAAAAUAUUCAUCACUUACUUCGGAAUGCCAGAAGGGUUGUCAUCAGAAAUACAGCUGGAAGAGGUGAACGAAGAGCCCUCUCAUCUCCUCGACCUUUUGCGAAGUGCUCUCCUAGGCCAGAGUCAACCCGAACAAGAGCAGCAACCUGAGAAAAAAGGAAAGUCGUCGUCGUCUCAAGGAGGAAAGUGGGGGGUCUGUUGCCGAUGGAAAAAAUGCAAACAACGGGGCAUUUGGCAGUUUUUUCGACACAUCAAGGAGCUUAAAGCUGCCGGGAUCUAUCUCAAACCGAGUAGAACGUGUUUCUUGAGAGACAUUUCUUUCAAAUCCUACUUCUUCUUUGGCUACCUGAAACUUCCCCCAAUAACCAUUGAUGACUUCACGAAGACCAAGUUCUUGAACAUGGUAGCCCUAUGAAAUGUGUCCAGAUGCCCCAGAUGACUAUGCGGUCACUUCUUAUAUAUGCUUCCUUUACGACCUCAUUGAUCAUGCAGACGAUGUCAAGGAGCUGAGAUCUAAGCACAUUCUCCACAACCUUCUUGGCAGCGAUGACGAUGUGGCCAAAAUUUUCAACGAGAUCAGCAAUGACUUGGUAAAUCCCGAAGCUUAUAAAGAUGUGAAAGAUUGUAUUCAGAAACACUACGACAAGAGAGUGAAUACUUGGACAGCUCAAGCCCUUCACAACCAUUUCAGGUCUCCAUGGACCAGGGUUCAAAGUCGCAGUAUCGGUCAUUGACUCGGGAGGUCCUGAGACACAUCGGUCUCGAUAUCUCGGAUCGGUAUCGGGUGAUACGCAAAAAAUUUUAAUUUAAGAGCUCAAAAUAAUUUUCAAAAAUUAUGAAAAUUAUUAAAAAAAUAAAAUACAAAUAAGAAGAGUAAAAAAAUUAAUAAAAUAAACUUCUAUUAUAUUAAAAUUAUUCAAAUUAUAAUAAAAGCAUAUUUUUGGGAUGAUUUAUAAUAAUAUUAAAAAUCUUUAAAAAUAUUUUAAUUUAAUUACUUGAUGAUAAAUAUUUCUUAUUGAAGAUGAAAAUAAUAAAAAGUAAAUUUUUUUAAUAAAAAAUUAUUUAAAUUAAAUAUUUUGAAUUUUUUUAAAAAUGUUUUCAAUUAUUAAAAAAAUAAAACCAUGAUUCAUCUUUAAAAAAAUAAAUAUAAUUUUUCUUAUAAAAUGUAUUCAUUAAUUUUAAUUUUUAUAUAAAUAUUUAUUUGAUAUAAGUCUAAUAUUUAUUAUUUAUUUUUUAUCAUUAUAAUUUUUAUCAAAUUAUUUAAAAUCCAUAUCCCAUCAAAUACUCAUAAUCUAAUUAAAAAAUAAAUACAAAUUAUUUAAACCUAAAUCCUCCAAAUAUCCAUAACCCUCCGGCGUGAAAUGGUUUUGGAAAGCGAUUUGAGAGUGAGUUAGGACAGCAUGCCUUCGGUGAAAAGCUUGGCCUCUGCCCCUCUGGAUUGUGGUGCCUCAACAGGUGAUUGUAGAAGUGGGAUGUCAGCCUACAUGAUCACCGGAGGCAAAUCCUUGCAGAAGUUCCAUAACACAGUCUGUCCCGACUGCAAACCCAUCAGGACCGUUGAUGAUAACAGCGGUGCCGAAGUCCGGCGACUCUACUCCUCAUGUCGCUCAAAUCCAUCUCCGGCGGGAACUUGGGCGAUCCGAACAAGCAGGCGUGCUUCUUCAACCUCGCCGGCGACUCCAAGAUGCAAGGUUCUAACUCUGUAUUUUUCAUUUUCGUGGGUUUUGAUCCUCUCAUCUGAUCUUCUCCACAAUUUCUACUCCAACUCGGGUAUCGGUCCGGUACCGACCAUGGUCGAGGCGGAUACGACUCGGCCGAGUCGUACCGGUCUCGACCGAGAUUUUGAACCAUGCCAUGGACUGUCAUGGCUUUCAUUGCUGCUCUUUUGAUACUAUUUCUUACUGGGUUCAGACCUACUACGCUCUUCCCGGUAAUUAAUAUAUAUAUAUACAUAUAUAUAUAUAUAUAUAUAUAUAUAUAUAUAUAUAUAUAUAUAUAUAUAUAUAUAUAUAUAUAUAUAUAUAUAUCUGGAUUAAUUAUGACUGUGAUGUGUUUUUAUCCUGUUUGGUGUGUGUGAUUAGAAACAAAGAUGUAUAGAUUGUUAAGUUGUAUCACUGGAUUUCAUGCAUGCAAUAUUAUGGGUCUUUUCCAGUUUUCCUCCCCACAUGAAUUUGCUAUACAAUUUCCAGCUUGCUUUUUUCUAUUCUUUUUCAUAGACCAGGAUAAUAGAUAACACAACAUCAACAUAGAAAAUUUUCAGUCAACAGUAUGUGAUUCCGUGGAUGGGAUGGGAUUGAAUUUGCUCACACACUUUUUUAUCUAAGGAGAAAAUUGUGGAUAAAAUCAUAAUUUUGAUAUAUUUAUAAAUUGAGGAAGGGCUCUCUCUAAUUUUUAUUUUUUAUUUUUUAUUUUUUUUAUAAAAGAUAAAAUCAUAAUACAUCACCCAAGGAAGGGGAGUGAAGGCAUUUUUUAUUUCAUCGUUGAACUUGUUUGAAAAAAAAAAAACCCCACUGUAGACCCCCCCGAGGAGCUGAGAGUUUUUUUUUUAUGAUUAUUCUUUUUGCUAUUUUUCUGACUCCUCUGAAGUGGGCUGCUCUCGGGCGGCAGAUGGGACGGGGGUAAGGAGAUGGCUUGGAGGAGAAGCUAAAAAAGAAAAGAGGAAAAGGAAAGAAAAGAAGGGGAAUCCAGAGAGAGAGGGAGAGAGCUCGGAGGGAACAACAGAGUAAGCUGAAGAGUAUUCUCAGGUAUGAAUGUAACAGGUUCAUUGUUAGAUUUAGAUCCUUGCUAUCCCUCCGCAUUUUUUUCUUGUUGAUAUUUUGGAUAUUUGUUGUUUUGCUUGGGGUGGAUUGUUGCUUGUUGAGAUAUAACCUUGAAUUCAUGCUUGCCAUCAUCCAUCUUAAUAUGCUCUGUUUCUAUUGUGAUUGCGGAAUGCCCGAGAAACCCCUCCAAUAUUUACACUUGAUGCUGUUUUUCUCACCUAAUGAGAAGAUUCACUGAUGAUUCAUGAUGUGAAGCUUCCUUUGAGAACCUUACUAUUUGUUUUCUGCUAUGCUCUGUUCCAUGUUUUUUUUUUCUUUUUUUUUCUUCUUUGUUUUGACUACUCUUUGUCCUUGGACCGUGUUCAAUGCAUAGAUGGUGGGAGAGGAGCAACUCUUGGCUUGAGGAGAGCUUCCCAGAAAAACGGGCAGAGAAAACUUUUCGGGGAUGGUCCGAAACAAAGAAGAAAGGAGAAAUGAGCUUUUCUGACGCUUAAGAGGAUUCCGAAAAUUUUUCGAGGCUGGUGCUGGUGCUGGCUGGUGCUGGUGCUGGUGCUGGCUGGUGCUGGUGCUGGUGCUGGCUGCUGGCUGGUGCUGGCUGGUGCUGGUGCUGGCUGGUGCUGGUGCUGGCUGCUGGCUGGUGUUGGCUGGCGUCGCCGCUGCCGCCGCGGGGAGGUGGUGAUCGUGCUGGAGCCAGGCGGGAGGAGGAGCUGUGGAGAAGAUGAAGUUUGGGCUUGGGCUUGAGUUGGGGUACUAGGCCCAAUUUUGUGAUGAAGCCCAGGCCCAAGUGGAAAGAUAUAAAAAAAAGAAGAGAACGAAAGAAGGUCUAAGGCUUAAGUGUUUUUGCUAUUGGCUUUGGGCUUGAUGGAAAUGGGCUCUUUUUAAUAAAAUGGACAUGGGCUUAGGCUUAUAGAUUUGGGCUUGAUGGAGAUGGGCUCUUUUUAAUAAAAUGGACGUGGGCUUUAGGCUUAUAGACUUGGGCUUAAUGAUAUGGAUAUUAUUAUUAUUAUUACUAUUAUUAUCAUGGUUAUUAUUAUUAUUAUCAUUCUUAUUAUCAUUAUUAUUAUUAUUAUUAUUAUUAUUAUUAAUUCAACUUUUAAAAUCCUAUUAUUAUUAUUACUAACCCAACUUUCAAAAAUCUCAUUACUAUUAUUAUUAUUAACCCAACUUUCAAAAUCUCAUUAUUAUCAUUAUUAUUAAUUCACACUUUCAACAUCUAUUUAUUAUUAUUAUUAUCAUCAUUAACCCAAACUUUCAAAAAUCUCAUUAUUAUCAUUAUUAUUAUUUCACACUUUCGACAUCUAUUUAUUAUUAUUAUUAUUAUUAUCAUUAAUCCAAACUCUCAAAAUCUCAUUAUUAUUAUUAUUAAUUCACACUUUCAAAAUCUUUUUAUUAUCAUUAUUAUUAAUUCAACUUUCAAAAUCCUACUAUUAUUAUUAUUAACCCAACUCUCAAAAUAUUAUUAUUAUUAUUAUCAUUAAUUCAACUUUUAAAACCUUAUUAUUAUUAUUAUUAUUAUUACUAUUAUUAUUAUUAUUAAUUUGAUUCUCAAAAUCUUAUUAUUAUUAUUAUUAUUAAUUCACAUUUUCAAAAUAUUAUUAUUAUUAUUAUUAUUAUUAUUAAUUCACACUUUCAAAAUAUCAUUAUUAUUAUUAUUAUUAUUAAUUCACGCUUUCAAAAUAUCAUUAUCAUUAUUAUUAUUAUUAUUACCUCAACUUUCAAAAUAUUAUUAUUAUUAUUAUUAUCAUUAAUUCAGACUUUUGAAAUCAUAUUAUUAUUAUUAUUAUUAAUUCAAACUCUCAAGACCUUAUUACUAUCAUUAUUAUGAAUUCAACUUUCAAAAAUCUAGGGUCUCGCAAUUCAAUUUCCUAAAGUCCGUUUCUCAUUUUCUUUAACAAAUUUCAAUUUAAUCAUCGGAGCUGUAAUCUUCAAAAUUUAAUUCCAAAUACUCCAAUUUUCAAAUAAGCUCCAAUAAUUCGAUUUUCACUCGAAUAGUUUUUAAUCACAUUUCAGUUCCUAAAUAAUCUUUGGAUCUUCUUGAUUUUACAUGAGCAAUAGCGAUUCCUUCAUAAUUCUAAAACGCGGGAUUUGUGAGUUUAGCUCAUGAAUAAUAAAUCGGGUUUUGUUGGAGGCCCUGUGUUUGACCCCUUUUGACUGUCAAUUAUCGUGCUUACUGUAUUUUGCUUGAGUUUCAUUUUGCACUCCGAUAUGUAUGAGCUAUGUUUUGUAUUCAUUAAUUGUGCACUAAUCUCGUUUCUUGAUAGCGCAUUGUGGCUCGUGGCCGAGGUACGCAUCCACUCCCUUUUCUAGUCAAUCUCUAUUGCGUGUUUUGAUUCCCAUAUUGUGCAUGAUUUAGGUGAAUAUCCACUGACUUUCUCGUUUGAUUAUCACGUCAACUUCAUUUUAUUAGUAGAGACCCGACUUUAGGGGCUUAGAGGGUUGCUACGGUCUUUAUCGUACCUUCCCGAUGAGUAACCUGACCCCCGAACCCGAUCCGGUUUUCACAGACCACCUUUUCCAAAACAAGGAGUCACACUUAGGGUUUUUCUUUCUUAUUUUGUUUACCCUUUAAAAAUAAAACAAAAAUAAGUGGCGACUCCAAGUCAUUUUUUUAAUCAACAAAUCAAUUUUUCAAAUAAAAAUCGAGCUCGCCAUUGAGUGGGAAACGCAUGAGCCGAAAUGCGGGGUUCACACCCAUGCACAGAGAUUGAGUUAGAAAUGAAAGUGGAGAAAAGAAUGAUAGAAAACAUGUCAUUCAAUCAAUUGAUAUAAAUCUUUCUUUUAAAGUAAACAUGAUGCAAAUAAUUACAUAUAAUCAAGCAAUGAACUAUCAUUAUUAAUUUAUUUUCUUCGGUCAUUUCAUUUUUUUUUUUGGCCCUUUUAUUCUCAUUUCUGUUUCAUAUAACAUUUUCUUUACUUUUCUUUCCAUAUAAAAUGAGUGUGAUAUAAUAUGAUUGUCCAAUAAUAAUAUCUAAUAAUAUAAAACAAUUAUUUUAAAUAUAUAACAACAUUUAAAAUUUUAGACAAAUAAUUUCCGUUAUUUUCAAUAUUGAUGACACUAAUAAAUUUCAAUUUUAUCAUCAUAACACUUCACACAAAUAUUUAUCUUUCAUUCACAUGUAUUGAAUUAUUCUCCAACAUCAUUUCCACUAAAAAAAUCAAUUAUUGCAAAAGAAAAUAAAUCCAAAAAAUAAUAAUCACUUGCAAAAAGACACCAUGAUAAGUAAAUCUAAAUCCAAAAAAUAAUAAUCACAAUUUUUUUAUUAAAAUAUAUUAUAUGAAAGUUUUGGGGAACAAACUAUUCUAUCAAAAAUCGAGAAUCUAAUCGAUAAUUUUGAAAUUAGACUUCAUGAUAUUUCUCACAUAAAAUAAAACAUUCUCCUAAAAUUUCAUACAAAAAAUCAAAUUUAUUUGCUUCAUCAAACAGCCUUCUGAAGAUCUAUGAUACUGAAUGCUCAGUCUUUUUUUUUUUUUUUUCCUUUUAAUUCAUUCUACACCUCUCUUUCUCUCUCCUAAUACUAGACUUUUUCUUUCUGUUUAUUAUUAUUAUUUCCCUUAGUUGAUUUUUAUCGUUUCUCAUUCAGGAUUUCACACCACUUUCAUAUCAUAAUAAAACUGUAUUUUACCAUAUUCCCAUUUUAAGCUUUUAUUUUUUCAAAUAUAUCAACUUUAGCUAAUAAUAUAAUAAUCCACUAACCUUCGUUCAAUUUACAAUAAUAAGAUUCUUAAUCCUUUGAAAUGACAUUAGUUUAAUUUACUUCUUUUAUUAAAUAUACUUCAAUUAAAUCAACCUUUUAAAAAUUAAAUCUACUAAAUGAUAAUAUUCAUAUUUAAUUAAUUUACCUUUUUAUAUAAAUUCAUAAAUUUACAUAACAUAAUUCAAUUUUAAUUUCAUUUUAUUCAAUUUUGUUUUGUGUUUUUAUAAUUUAUAAGGUUGAAUUCCCAUUAUAAUUAAAAAUUAAAUUGUUUUAUUAUAAUAUUAAAUUAAAUUAAAUAUCUUUUGAAAAAAUUAUUAUAACCAUACAACAUAAUACAAAUUUCACCAAGUUUUUCUAUCAAGGGUUUUCGGAUCAUUACCUUAUAAUAAUAAAAUUAAUUUUUACCAUAUAUGUAAUAUUUGAAUUUCAAAAAUCCAACCACAAAUAAUUUAAUAGUUAAAUUUAAAUUUAAUUUUUGAAAUUCUUAAUUUCGAAAUGUGACUUGGCAAGAAUAUAAACUUUCUAUUAGCUUUGCAAAAAUUACACACAAUUAAAUAAAACGUUGACACGUGAAUGCUUAGUAACAUCAUGGCAGUAGAUUGACAAAUAUAUGAAUUUUGGAUGAUCACGAGGGAUAGUCAUCGGUAGUAACAUCAUGGCAGUAGACUGACAAAAAGCCCAACAUUUUCCAUGAAAGGACAAUAAUUGCAUCUGAUUAUAAAUAGGGAGAAUUACCCUUAAGGGUAGGCUGGGGAAAAAAAUUACUGAAAAGGGUGGGUAGAUUUGAUAAUUCUUAUAAAGGCCUUAUAUUUUUAUUAGACCAAUUUACCCUGAUUUCUCAAGUCCAUUUACCUAUUGAAAAGUACAUCUUCUUUCUUGAUAAUCAUAAAGUAUAAGUACAAUACAAAUGCAAUAAAGUUACAAUGAAAAAAUAUUAACAUUACAAUACAUUACAAUAUACCAAAAUGACAAAUUAUUGAAUUCGUUUUUUUUACUGAACUAGUAUUUCUAGGCUAUCAUGUUAUAUUCCUAUCAUAAAGCAUCCUUGCAAGCCAAAAUUAUAAAAAGACAAUAAAAAUACAUUAUUAUAAUUUUAAUACAUAAAGUUAUUCAUGGUAAUCCAAUGAUAUAUAUAAAAAAAAUCUAUAAAAUUAAUUUUUUAUAUAAAAAUAUAAAUGUACAAUAAAAAUACACUACGAUUAUAAUAUAAAUACAAUAACAUUACGAUAAGGUAAAAUUUUGAAAAUUUCAAAUUUCUUAUGAAAUUGGGCAGUUGUCUAAUAUACAUGUCUAAUAUACAACAAAUAUUGUUCUUUAUUAUAUAAAAUAUGUUUCAAUUGAUUAUAAUUUUUAGUUUUCAAUGAAAAUCCGAAUAUGUUAAUAAAUACCCAAAUAAGCAUGAAACAACUGAGAAAUUUUUUUAUUCUGCCAUGCCAAACAAGUCUCAACAACAAAAUUAAAGUGCAAACCUUUUCAAUGGAAAUCAAUAAUAAUCAUAUCAAACAACCCACCCAGAAAAUAAAUUAAAAAUAAAAACACAUCUUCAAUAUGACCAAAAUAAUAUAAAAAAAUUCAAAAAAAAAAAUUUAAUAACAUUUUACACAAAAAAAAAAUGUAAUUUCUUUCUCAAAACCUCCUUCAAUAUUUCAGAUCUACAUUGUUAAAAUUAUUAAUAGUUCUUUCCUUCAAUCCAAAUUUUAAAUUAUUUAUUUAUUUGCAUAAACUAACGUAUUUUUUUUUUUGGCAUUUUUUUUUUAAAAAUCUUACAUUUAAUGGAUUUCUUGCUAGAUUCACACAAAAAUACAAGCUUUGUGGAGACGGUUCAGAUCAUAACCUGAAGUGCUGGAGUUUUUUCCUCUUUCCCUUUUCUUCUUCAAUACCGAUAAGCUACAGUUGGAUUAAAAGAAGAUUUUUUUUUUUAUGCAUAUUUUUUUUAAAUCUUACCUUUAAUGGAUUUCUUGCUAGAUUCACACAAAAAUACAAGCUUUGUGGAGACAGUUCAGAUCAUAACCUGAAGUGCUGGAAUUUUUUCCUCUUUUCCUUUUCUUCUUCAACAUCGAUAAACUACAGCCGGGUUAAAAGAAGAUUUUUUUUUUGUUUGCUGGCUUUUCACUUGUUAAGGGUAGUCUUGGCAUUUAAACAAAAUAAAGCCUUUGAAAGAAUUAUCAUAAUUCCACCCUACCCUUCAUAAGAAUUAUUAAAUAUACCCACCCUUUUGGAUCAUAUGUUUUCCCAGUCCACCCUUAACAGGAAUUCUCCCUUACAAAUAUAUCCUGGAAUCCAAUCCCCAUAUUUUUCCCGUGAACUAAUCUGUUUGGUUCCAGAAACCACUAAAAAAAAAAAAGGAAAAUGCUAAAAUUAUAUUUCUUUAUACUUGAUUUUGUUACAAAAAAAAAAAAAAAAAAAAAAUCAAAGAAAGUCUGAAUAUAAAUAAAAUUAUUAAAAUUUUUGUAUAUUUUUUAAAUUAUUAAUCCUUAUAUAAAAGAGUUAAAUAAUUGAAAAAAAGUUUAAGGUACUAUAUACUAUUGAUUUUAAUUUUUAAAAUUUUGAUUUUAAUUUUUAAAAGUUUAACUUUUUUUUUUUUAAUCUUUUCUUUUUAUUUUCUUUCUCCCGUGAUUUUCUUCAAACUUUUUUGGAACUAAAUAUAACCUAAACAACCUAUUAAUUUGAGGUUUGUUGUUGUUGAGUUUUUUUUUUACUUAAAUUUAAAUAAUAUUUAAUUUAAUUUAAUUCUAAAUAUAACUUAAUACUAUUAAGUUGUUUAUUUUUAUUAAAUAUUAAGUAUUAAUAGGUGGAGUUGGGUUGAGGUUGUGUUUUAGUUAUUUUAAAAAGUGGUGAUCCAAUUCCAUGGGAGAGGGGCAAGAAAGGAGGAACGUUGGAGAGAAAGAAGGCGGUCAACCAAGCUGGAACAGUGGCGAAACUGGCCCCGAGCCUAAGGAGCAUAGGAUUGACAUUGUUGAAAUCAAUCCUACGGUGAAAAAUUGGAAUCGGUUCAUCCAAAAAGCAAAAGAAAGGAUUCAAUCUCAAAGUCAAUGGCCAAGGAUACCAAAGGUUCCUCAGAUGCUGAGGGGGACCCAGGAUUUCAAGAAAUUCUACGAACCGAGGGUAAUUUCAUUGGGUCCUUACCACCAUGGCAAUCCCCACCUUCGCCCAGGGGAAAUGAUCAAGCCCCUAUUUGCCCAAAAAUUCCUGGCUGAUAGGAACCAGGACAUCGAUGCUUUGUACACAAAAAUUGAAAGUAAUAUCGAGGCAGUGAAGAAGUGCUAUGAUUGGAGUAGUACAAGCGAGUAUGAUGAUGAAGCACUCGCCUGGAUGAUGCUUCUGGAUGGGUGUUUUUUACUACAAUUCAUUUGCGGUACAGGUAUGAAAAACUUUCUUAGAUAUCACCAAAUAGGUUUUGUGGAGCUGGACUUGUUCCUGCUUGAGAACCAACUUCCUUUUGGAGUCCUCAAGUUGAUUUUUGAGGGAACAAGUUUACCAGUGGAAGAGACGAUUAAAGAAUUCGUCACUAACACCAUAAGGCCAGAAGGGUCGACAUCAGAAAUACAACUUAAAGAGGAGUACAAAGAGCCCUCUCAUCUCCUCGACCUCUUGCGAAGUGCUCGCCUAGGUAGGUAUAAAAAGAUUAGCAAGCAAGAACUAGGGAGUCAACCGGAACAAGAGCAGGAAGCUGGAAAAAAGGGAGAGUCGUCGUCGUCUCGAGGAAGAGAUGGAGGGUUCUGUUGCCCAUGGAAAAAAGGCAAACAACAAGGCAAUUGGCCGUCUUUUCGACACAUCAAGGAGCUUAAAGCUGCCGGGAUCCAUCUCCAACCGAGUGCAACGAGUUCCUUGACAGACAUUUAUUUCAAUUCCUACUUCUUCUAUGGCUACCUGAAACUUCCCCAAAUAAUCGUUGAUGACUCUACGAAGCCCAAGUUCUUGAACAUUGUAGCCUAUGAAAUGUGUCCAGAUGCCCCAGAUGACUAUGCGGUCACUUCUUAUGUAUGCUUCCUUUACGAGCUCAUUGAUCAUGCAGACGAUGUGAAGGAGCUGAGAUCUAAGCACAUUCUCUACAACUGUCUUGGCUGCGAUGAAGAUGUGGCCAAAAUUUUCAACGAGAUCGGCAAUGACUUGGUAGAUCCCGAUGCUUAUAAAGAAGUGAAAACUAGUAUUCAGAAACACUACGACAAGAGAGUGAAUAUUUGGAUAGCUAAAGGCCUUCACGAACAUUUCAGGUCUCCAUGGACUAUCAUCGCUUUCAUUGCUGCUGUUUUGAUACUACUUUUUACUGGGGUUUCGACCUACUACGCUCUUCCCGAUAAAUCUUCUUAUCGGGUUUCAGACCUACUUCGCUCUUCCCGCUAAAUCCAAGUGAGUCAUGGUAAUAUAUAUCUUCAAAUUGAUAAAUGGUAGUUUUUUCUAUUCAUUCUUUCAUUCGUUCAUGUACAGAGAAUAUAUAGAGGGUAAUCACCAUUCUAAGAAUGGGAAAGAAUGAUACAAGGAAAGAAUGAUAUAGGAAAUAACAAUUAAUAUUCUAAUAUCUCAACUUUCCUAAUAUCUCAAUAUUCUUAAUAUCUCAACUUUCCUAAUAUUUAAACAUUCCUAAUAUCUCAACACUAAAUAAUAUAAGGAAAGAAUGAUAUACGGAAAACAUUCCUAAUAUCUCAACACUUCCCCUCAAGUUGGUGCAUAGAUGUCACACAUGCCCAACUUGUCUAAAAAUUUUGAGAACACUUGACUUGAGACAACUUUGGUGAGGAUAUCGGCCAAUUGAUCUUCUGAUCGAAUCUUAGGCAAUUCCACAAUCUUAUCAUCCAAAUUUUCCUUAAUGAAGAAUCUAUCCACCUCGACAUGCUUUGUACGAUCAUGUUGUACUGGAUUAUGAGCAACGUCACAUGCGACUUUAUUGUCACAAAACAAUCGAAUUGGUCGCCUAGAUAAGUAACCUAAAUCCUGUAAGAGAAGUCUUAGCCAUAAUGCCUCACAAAGUCCUAGAGUCAUACCUCUAAAUUCUACUUCUGCACUUGAACGAGCGACGACAUUCUGCUUCUUACUUUUCCAUGUCACAAGAUUACCACCUACAAAGGUAAAGUAACCAGAUGUAGAUUGCCUAUCAUCCACUGCACCGGCCCAAUCAGCAUCAGUAUAUACUUCUAUACUCUGAUGAUUAACAUUUUUAGCGAACAAAAUUCCCUUCCCAGGAGCAUUCUUCAAAUACCUCAAAAUACGCAUAACUGCAUUCAUAUGUUGCUCUUCAGGAUUAUGCAUGUAUUGACUCACUACACUCAAUGCAUAAGCAAGAUCUAGUCUUGUAUGAGCUAAGUACAUUAAUCUCCCUACAAGUCUCUGGUAUCUUCCCUUAUCCGUUGAUACUUGAUUAGGCUCAACACACAAUUUCAGACCUUCUUCUAUUGGUGUAUUAACAGGUUGACAUCCCGACAUUCCAGUCUCCUGUAAAAGAUCUAAGGCAUACUUUCUUUGAGACAGAAAAAUUCCUUCACUUGAUCGAUAAACUUCAAUCCCAAGAAAGUAUUUCAGAGGACCUAGAUCUUUCAUUUCGAAUUCUUUAGAUAGAUAAUUUUGGAGAGCUUUUAUUUCUUUAGGAUCAUUUCCUGUAACUACCAUGUCAUCCACAUAUACGAUGAGUGCGAUAAUCUUACCAUGUUGCUUUUUCAGGAACAAAGUAUGAUCUGAAUUACUUUGAUGAUAGCCAAAAGCUCUCAUUGACUUUGUGAACCUUCCAAACCAUGCUCUCGGGGAUUGCUUCAACCCAUACAAUGACUUCUUCAAUUUGCACACCUUCUGACAUUGCUUUUCUGACACCAUGCAUCCUGGUGGAAGAUCCAUAUAUACUUCUUCAGAUAACUCGCCAUGCAGAAAGGCAUUUUUCACAUCGAAUUGUUGUAAUGGCCAAUCUAGUUUUGCAGCUAAAGACAGUAAUACUCGAACUGUGUUGAUCUUAGCUACAGGUGCAAAUGUCUCUGUGUAGUCAAUUCCAUAAGUUUGAGUGUACCCUUUUGCUACCAGUCUUGCUUUAAAUCGUUGAAUACUACCUUCUGCCUUGUACUUCACAGUAUAGAUCCAACGACACCCAACUGGCUUCUUUCCUGGUGGACAUUCUACGAGUUCCCAUGUUUCAUUCUUCUGCAAUGAUUUCAUCUUUUCAUUCAUGGCUGCUUUCCACCUUGGAACAGCUAAGGCUUCCUGCACACUGUUAGGAAUAGCUACAGUAGAUAAUUGAUUUACAAAUGACUUAUUUGAUUCAGACAAACGAUGGUUAGACACAUAGUUGCUCAUUGGAUAUUUGACUUUGGUAGACAAUUCAGGUUCAUAUGUAGGUUUAGGAAUACCUCUAUUAUGACGGUGUGGUAACUGUUUCAUGAAUGGAUCAGGUUCCAAAUUAAGAACACCUUCAACAGACGACGAUUGGUUUGGUAUUUCAGUAAAGACAUUUUCGAACCCAAAUUGUUGACCACUCAUAUCCAACUCACCCGCUUCUUGGUUCACUAGUUUAGAUUGUCCAGAUUCAUUCUCCUUAGAGAUAUGAUAAUCAUAAUCGAGAGUCUGAAUUUCCUUAUGGUACUCCCCCUGAAGUUCAGACUCAGAUGAAAAAUACAUCGAAUCUUCAUGAAACACCACAUCCAUUGUAAUAUACAUUUGUCGAGUUGGAGGAUGGUAACAUCGAUAUCCCUUUUUGUGCAAUGCAUAUCCAACAAACACACAUUGCAAUGCAUGGGAAGUUAAUUUGGUGCGUUGGUGUUUGUGUAGAUGCACAAAUGCCACACAACCAAAAACACGAGGAGGUAGAUUUGGGACAGUUGGGGCAACUACGAUAUUAGUAAGAGCUUAGAGAGGUGUUUGGAAGUUAAUUGAGUUAGAAGGUACCCGAUUAAUCAAGUAUGCGGCAGAUGUGAUUGCUUCUCCCCAAUAAGAUAUCGGUGUUUUUGCUGCUAUCAAGGAAGCACGAACAACCUCUAACAAGUGCCGAUUUUUUCAUUCAGCGACUCCAUUUUGCUGGGGUGUAUUGGAACAAGUAGUCUGAUGAAUGAUGCCAUGUCCUUCCAAAUACUUUUGAAGAUCAAAACUUUGAUAUUCUCCACCAUUAUCACUAUGCAGAACCCGAACCUUUGCAUUGUACUGAGUUUCAAUCAUUUUAUGAAAAUUUUGAAACAACAAGUUCACUUCAUCUUUGGUCUUCAUCAAGCAUAGCCAUGUCAUUCUGGUACAAUCAUCAAUAAAAGUAACAAACCAACGUGAGCCACUCAAAGUUGGGACUUUGGAUGGGCGGCCCCAAACAUUAGAAUGUAUAACCAUAAAAGGAAACGGACUUUUGUUCAAAAUUAACGGAAACGAAACACGAUGGCUUUUAGCCAAUUCACAAAUAUCACAAUGGAAACCAGAAAUAUCACUCUUUGCAAACAAACUAGGAAACAAUUUUUUUAAAUAACCAAAGGAAGCAUGUCCCAGACGUCGAUGCCACAACCAAAUUUCAGACUUUUUCUUCUCCCCCUCAGAUCCAUCUGCCAUCAAGGCUUGUUGCAACUUAUUUGAAUCCUUUGACUGCAAGUCCAAGUAAUAGAGUUUUCCCCGCUUAAUACCCCAACCAAUCGUCUGUCUUGUUUGGAUGUCCUUAAUCACACAAAAUUCAGGCCAAAAAAUGACAAUACAAGAUAAGGCUGCGGUGAUUUGAGAAACUGACAAAAGAUUGUAAUUUAAAGAUGGAACAACUAAGACAGAAUCCAAAUUCAAAGUAUCAGUAAGAGUUAAGGAUCAUUCCCCAAUGACUGGGGUUAUGUUACCUUUGGCUGUGGAAACAAUUUUUUGUGAGGAAGGUCUAAGGGGUGAAACCUGUCUAGAAUCAAAAGUCAUAUGAUCUGUAGCACCAGAAUCAAUUAUCCUUGCACUAUUAAUAACAGGUGUAAAAGUAUUUAAAAACUUACCACCAUGAUUUGUAGCGGCUACCAAUGUAGAGGCUUUCUCAGCAACAUUAGCCUCUGUUUUUAUUUCGGCAACAGUUGCAAUCGAGGUUUUCUUGGAAUCCUUCUUCCGUUGAUCAAGAUUAUUAUCAUUAAUAACAAAGUGUUGAUAGCCUAAACAUGAUCUAAAGGUCCAUAGUUCAAACCCUCGGUUCCUCAUUGUUUUCCUGGUCAUACCAAGAGUCGUUGCUUUGAAAUUGUGGCAUAUCCAGAUUGGUGGGAUCAAUCUUAUUGUAGUGAGUGCAUUUGAAGGUUGACUUAUCAACAUUAGGGCUUGUCUUAGGAUGGAUGAUCGCUGUCGGACUACCAUAGCGACAAAAUAUCUAGGAUUUCAGUUCCAUGGCUCUGAUACCAUCUUCAAAUUGAUAAAUGGUAGUUUUUUCCAUUCAUUCUUUCAUUCGUUCAUGUACAGAGAAUAUAUAGAGGGUAAUCACCAUUCUAAGAAUGAGAAGGAAUGAUACAAGGAAAGAAUGAUAUAGGAAAUAACAAUUAAUAUCCUAAUAUCUCAACUUUCCUAAUAUCUCAAUAUUCCUAAUAUUUCAAUAUUCUUAAUAUCUCAACUUUCCUAAUAUUUAAACAUUCCUAAUAUCUCAACACUAAAUAAUAUAAGGAAAGAAUGAUAUACUGAAAGCAUUCCUAAUAUCUCAACAAUAUAUAUGGGUUAAUUAUGAAUGUGAUGUGUUUUUUUCUUGUUUGGUGUGUAUGAUUGUUGUAUCACUGGAUUUCAUGGACGCAAUAUUAUUAGUCUUUUCCUCCCCAUGAGUUUGCUAUAAUCUAUAUAAUAUAUGUUUGAACUCACAAUUUCCAGCUACCUUCUUUGUAUUCUUUUUCAUAGACCAGCAUCAUAGAUAACAAACUAUCCACAUAGAAAAUUUUCAGUUAACGGUGUGUAAUUCCGUGGAUGGGAUUGAAUAUUCAACACACAAUUGUUUUUUCGAAUAAGAAAAUUAUGGAUAUAUUAAAAUCAUAAUUUUGAUAUAUCUAUAUAUAUAUAUAUAUAUAUAUAUAUAUAUAUAUAUAUAUAUUUAGAAAAGCAAUUAAAAACUGCAUUUUUUAAUGAAGUCUUCUGAUUUUUAUUGAUUUUUUUUUUUCAAAUUUCCAACUUUUUUAAGAAAUCUUCUAAUACUCUUGAAUUCUUCAAGAGAUUUUUAAUCUUCUAUCUCUUUAAGGCUCUAGGACAUUUCUUUAUAAAAAUACGUACAUUCAUUUGGAGAUCAACUAGGGCUCCAUUAGACCCUAUGUUGGUCUAAAUAUUCAUUUUGCGAACCUUGGGAAUGGAUUUGAGGCAUUUGCCUACCUUGAAAUGUGAUUUACAAUCCCCACACAUUAUCCUUAAGAAAAAUAUAUACAUUCUUCACAAAAAUACAUACACUUUUUUGGAGGCUAACCUUGAUCCCAUUAGAUUCUAUUUAGAUCUAAAUAUUUAUUUGGGGAUCUUUGGAAUGAAGUUAAGUCAUUUUUCUAUCUUGAAAUGUGAUUUAGAACCCCAUGUACAUCUUUAAGAAAAAUAAGUAUAUUCCUCACAAAAAUACGUAUGUUUUUUUAAAAGCCAAUCGUGACCUCAUAGGCCUUAUUUGAGUCUAAACAUUCAUUUGGGGAACCUUGGGAAUGGAUUUAAGCUCUUCGUCCACCCUAAAAUGUGAUUUGCAAUCGCACGUAUAUCUUUAAGAAAAAUAUAUACUUCUUUUAAAAAAAAAGUGUGUACAUUCUUCACAAAUAUAUAUAUAUAUAUAUAUAUAUAUAUAUAUAUAUAUAUAUAUAUAUAUAUAUAUAUAUUUGAUAGCCAACCAAGGCUCCAAUAAUCCCUGAUAAAAAUAUAUGUAUUUUUUAAAAUGAUGUAUGUAGUUUAACAAAUAUAAGAAAAAUUAAUUAAGGGGAAAUUAAUGUAAAAUAUUAAAUACAAUUUUUUUUUUUAUGAAAAAUAUAUUUUCUUUUAUAUUUUAUGUUAAUAAAAAAUUAAAGGUUUUAACAAAGCAAAAGGUUAGAACCAGAAAUUAAGUUAAAACCAUAAGAAAAAAAAAAAUAAAAGCACCAUCACUUACUAAUAUUUGAUUUGAAAAAAUAAAAAUAAAAAUAAUAAAAAUAAUAAAAUAGUGUUACAAAGAUAUUCUUACUUUCACAUGUAAUAAGAUUUAAAAAAUAAAUAAAUAUUUUAUUUGACAUUAAUAUAAAAAAUCUUAUAUCAUAAACCUCUAAAUAAUAAAAUAAAUUUUCUAAAUUUAAACCUUAAACCAUUAAAUGUAUUAUUAUAAUUAAUAUUUAAAAUCAUCAAGUAUAUUACUUUUGGGAUAAUAUUUUCAUUUUUGUUCAUUAUAUAUUUAUGUUUUUAUUUAAUUUCUUAUUAUUAGCUAUUUAUUAUAUAUUAUUAUUUUAAGUUUAAUAUAUCCAAAAAAUAAUUAAAAUCAAUAAAUACGGAGAGUGAAAAAAUUUGAAAUUAAAGAGGUUUUAUAAGAGAAUACAUGAGCAUAUUAAGAGAAAUGGUAAAAGAAAGAAAGAAAAAUAACAAUAUUUUUAAAUGUGAUAGGUGGCAAUUGAUAGGAUGGUUAAGGAUGGUAAUGAGACAGGUUUUUUCGGAUACUCGUCCUGUCCAGGCCCUAAUGGGACGGAUUUGAAAUUUAAAUAAACGGGUUUGAGAUAUUUUUAAAGCUUGAGAUAAGUUUGGGGCAAGUUCGGGUAUUAUCUUGUCCCAUCCCGUCACACCUUGAUUAUAUAUAAAAUUAAUUUUAAAAAUUAAAUUAAAUUAAUUUUUAUUUUCUUAUUUUUAAUAUAUAGAUAAUAAUAAUAAUAAAUUUUCAAUAAAUAAGUUUUAAAAAAAUUAUAAUAAUUCAAUUAUUUAUAAAAUAUAUUUAUUUUAAUGUUUUUUAGAAAUUAAAAUAAUUUUUUUAAAAGAAUUAAAAUUUUUUCAAAAAAGGGUUAAAUGGGUAAGGCGGAACGGGUAUGAGAAUUUCUCAUACCCGCCCGCAUUAUUUAAUUUUUUUAAUGGGACAACGAUGAAAGUUAUUUUGAAUAAACGAGACAAGGUUGGGAUGAGAGCUACUCAUCUUAAACAUGCCUUGUUGCCUUUCCUAGUGAAAGAGGAAAAAAAAAAAAAAAAACAAAAGCCAAAAAACAAAAAAAGGAAAAAAGUAGGAACAUGUUUUUUUCCCAAAUAGAAAACGUAAAAGUAAAGUCCAACAAUUUUUUUUUUUUUGGUUAUAUAUAUAGCAUGGUGGGGAGGGUAUAUUCCAUAUUACAUGAGACUUCCAUGGCGGGGAAGGUAUAUUUCAUAUCACAAACUUACUCAAUUGUGUUUUUCCUUUUAGGAUAUGGAAGGGCUUUCCUUAUGCCCAAGAAAUGCAUAGAUUCAAUUGAAGAAAUUGAGGAAUAUGGUUGUUCUUUUUUUUUUUUUUUUUUUUUUUUUUUUUUUUUUUUCUUUUUUUCCUUUUUUCCUUUUUUAAAAAAAGAUGAGCCAAGGUGGAACUCAGGUGGAACACAUUGGUUCCAGUCAUUUUCUUGGGCAAAGAUAUGUCCAGGAUAUGGGAAAGGGGCAUUAAAUUAAAUAUCUUUUGAAAAGUUUAUUAUAAUCAUUUCACACAAUAUAAAUUUCACUAAAUUUUUCGAACUAAGGUUCUCUGAUAAUUACUUUAUAAUAAUAAAAUUAAUUCUUACAUUACAUGUAAUAUUCAAAUUUAAAAAAUCCAAUCUCAAAUAAUUUAAUAGCUAAAUUUAAAUUUAAUUUUUGAAACUCCAAGUUUCGAAAUGUGACUUGGCAAGAAUUUAAAGUACUGAUUUUCGACUAACUUUUCACAAAUUUUGCCUAAUUAAAUAAAAUAUUAGCAUGUGAAUGUUCACUAACAUCACGUAAUUCAUUGAUUUAGAGGAUUCAAUUUGGUUGAUGUUGAGGAUAGUCAUCGGCAGUAGACUAACAUCUUCUCGACCAAUUAACAUACCAACAGUGAUUAGGCCAAAUGUGGUGAUCGAAUUCCAUGGAAAAGCAGCAAAAAGGGAGGUGCGUUGGAGAGAAGGAAGGCGGUCAACCAAGCAGGAACAGUGGAGAAAUUGGCCUCGAGCCUAAGGAGCAUAGGAAUGAAAUUAAUGAAAUCAGUCCUAGGAUGAAAAUUUGGAUUGGGUCUGUCCAAAAAGCAGAAGAAAAGACGAAACCUCACUAUCAAUGGCCAAGGAUACCGAAGGUUCCUCUGAUGCUGAGGGGGACCUGGGAUUUCGAGAAAUUCUAUGAACCAAGGGUAAUAUCAUUCGGUCCUUACCACCAUGGCAAGCCCCAACUUCACCCAGUGGAAAUGAUCAAGCCUCUUAUGUGCCAAAAAAUUCCUGGAUGACAGUAACCAGGACAUCGAAGCUUUGUACACAAAAAAUGGAAGGAAAAUCAAGGAAGUGAGGAACUGCUAUGAUUGGAGUGGUACAAACGAGUAUGAUGAUGAGGCACUCGCCUGGAUGAUGCUUCUGGAUGGGUGUUUUUUACUAUAUUUCAUUCACUGUGUAGUGAGAAGAAAUCAGAGUAAGUUGCAUGGUUUGAAUGUUAAAGAUUAUAUGAUUACUUUUGUGCACCAGGACUUGUUCUUGCUUGAGAACCAACUUCCCUUUGGAGUCCUCAAGUUGAUUUUUGAGGAAUCAGAAUUCAAUAUUGAUGGUUCACCAAUGCAAGAGAUGAUAAAAAAAUUCGUCAUUGACACCGGUAGGCCAGAAGGGUCGACAUCAGAAAUACAGAUGGAAGAGCCCUCUCAUCUCCUCGACCUCUUGCGAAGUGCUCUCCUAGGCGGGUCUAAAAAGAGUAGCAAGCAAGAAGCUCAGGGGUUCUGUUGCCCAUGGAAAAAAGGCAAACAACAGGGCAAUCGGCUGUCUUUUUGACACAUCAAGGAGCUUAAAGCUACCGGGAUCUAUCUCAAACCGAGUAGAACGAGUUCCUUGACAGACAUUUCUUUCAAUUCCAACUUCUUCUAUGGUUACAAGGAACUUCCCCCAAUAAUCAUUGAUGGCUCCACGAAGCCCACGUUCUUGAACAUGGUAGCCUAUGAAAUGAGUCCAGAUGGUCCAGAUGGCCCAGGUGGCUAUGCGGUCAGUUCUUAUAUAUGCUUCCUUGACAACCUCAUUGAUCAUGCAGACGAUGUCAAGGAGCUGAGAUCUAAGCACAUUCUCUACAACUAUCUUGGCAGCGAUAUAGAUGUGGCCCAAAUUUUCAACGAGAUUGCCAAUGACUUGGUAGACACCGAAGCUUAUGAAAGUGUGAAAGCCCGUAUUCAGGAACACUACGGCAAGAGCGUGAAUACUUGGAUAGCUGAAGCCCUUCACAACCAUUUCAGCUCUCCAUGGAUUCUCAUGGCUUUCAUUGCUGCUGUUUUGAUACUACUAGUUCCUAUGCAUUUGAUUUCAGAAUUUAAAUUGUUUUUUUCUUUUUACUUUUUCAUGAAUUAUUAUAAACUUUUGAUCGAAUAGAAAAAACCAAAAUAUUUGACUUUUUCUAAAUGGAAAAAGUAACAUAUUGGUUUUUCUUUACUAUUUUAAUGUUUGAUAGAUGAUCUGCACCCAUCGAGUUAAUCAAUUCAAAAAGUGUUGUUCAACAGUGUUGGAAAAUCAUCUAAUCCUGUCUCCUUGUAGAACAACUUGAACAAAAAUUUAUUGCUUACAGUUAGCAACCAUUGUGGGGCAUCCUGGCUGCCCAAACACACAUUUUCUGUUGGAAUGUGAUGCAUCAGAGACAACACUUCUUUAAUUCCUUCCCAAUCAUGGGAGUCUCUAAUAAAAUUAGGAUUCCGAAGCUCUGCAUCCUCGUCCUGUACAGAAUGGUCUGCCACACAUGCCUCCUCAUUCACCAGAAUUAUAAACUAAUUUAGGAACCUCAUCUUAAGAGAUCCACCCAUAGACCAAACAUCUUAACCAUAAAUCACAUUUGAGUCCUUUCUAUGAUUUUAUUGGAAACUUUAUAGCCUCAACAACACAUAACCAUUUGUAAAUCAAGCCCUUCACUAUUGCCCCAGUCAACAUCUUAUUCAGCCUCAACAUUAUGCUAAUAGCACCUUCAACUACAAUUUCGACAAUGCCACUCCUUACUGGUGUGGUUGUAGUCUUUUGUGCACAUGACCAGUUGUAACUUUUCUCUAACUACUGAGCAUUUCUAUCACAAAGGAUUUAUUGAUUUAACAUCCUGUUGAAAAAACUUCUCCUUCAGUCGAGGUAUGCAUAGAUCAUACAUAAUCCCACAUUCCACAAACACCUUUCCACUUCAUUCCUUCCAUUCUAAUAUUAAUGCACAAAGAAGUUGCAUGCAGAACAGAGAAUCUAAAUGUCAGAGGGUCUACCUGAUCAUCAACCUUCAUAUGCUUUUAGAACAGAUUGGCAUCAGGGCAUUCUCUAGUCAAUGGUCGUAAGCCCCUACCAUAGCACAAAGUAUUUUUAAGCGGCAAGGUACUCAAGAGAAAGUAAAGAAAAAGAAAAGGAGAAAAGAAAAAGGACAGAACAAUAGGUUCCUUAUUAUUUGUACACUUCCAUUAUUAUAUAUCACAAUGUUGCUUGGUGUUUAGCAAUAGUAUUCCCACCAGCAUCUUGAGUCUGCCAGGGAGAAAUAAACGUACUCGGGUCUAGAACUUACAAAGCUCCCAACUUGCUAGUGGAAACUGGUAUAGAACCAACCAAAUUAUUUCUGUAUCCUAUGAAGAUUUGAAAAUUAUAUAAUCUUCCUAUGUCAGAAGGGAUGACACCAUUGUGAUUGUUGUCAACAAUGCCCAGCAUCAGCAAGCCAGUGCAGUUACAAAUGCUUUCAGGAAUGACACCUUCCAAAAAGUUAAGUCCAGAACCUAGAAAUGCAAGAUUUCCAAGGAAUGUUGAACAAUUCUACAUGGAAUGGUACAACACUAGUUGCUUCAUAGUGCCAAGAUUAUGGGGGAUGCCCUCAUUGGAGCCAACUAUUGGAACAAAUUAGCAUGCUAUUGACAACUACUCCACUGUGUUGCCUGCAAAUUAAAUUUUCCAUUGGUGGUCUUCUUCCACAUAUCUGGUGCCACACAGCUCUUGAUAUAGCAAGGAUUGCUCUAGACUUGAUGAGUACCUCAAAAAAUGCCAAGGAAAGUACAGUGAUUAAUCUAACAUGCUUUAAGUCAGAGGCUCUUCCUCCCAUCCAUGACCAGGGAGUCUCUUUGAUUUCAACCUUUUUAACACUCAAUAUUAGUUUUCAAUAUUUGUUUCAUCUUAUAGUAUAGAGUUACUGAAACAGAGUAACUUGCUUCAAACAUAUUCUUAAGAGACUCACAGGCGAAGACGGCACAAACCUAGAUUACCUCAAAGUGUUGGAUCCCUGCCUGUAUGCAAACACCCCUUCAUAAUAUAAGAUCUAUCCAACUAAGCACCAAAAAUCCAUAUUCCUAUACAUGACCAAAAUAGUAAAGCUAAUCCAUACAUUUUUAGGCACAUAUAUCAGGUAAAUAAGAACUAAGAAUCAAAAGAAUAAACCUAAACUAGAUGAUUCAACAGGACGUAAUUCAGAAGUGAUAUUUCACGAAAUGUGAUUUAGAGAAUUAAUACCCUGAAGGUGGUAGGCCAAACUUAGGUUCUGCAUAAAGGGAUACACCAAAAGACAUUCUGUUGGUCUUGUGUCUGGAAAGCUGCAUCUCCACCAGGACUUUCAUAAUCUAUUAAUUGUUUCACUGCAACUUUGGUGUUAUUUGCAAGCACUCCCUUAUGAACUUUUCCAAAGCAUCCCUGUCCAUGAACAUUUUUCUCACUAAAAUUGUCUAUAGCUAGCUGUAACUCCCUCCAUGCAAAUCUUCUCAAUUGGCCAAAUGCAAUUCUUUGGUCAACUUCACCUGAAAACAGAUGGAAAGAUGUCUAGAAAGAAAAUUUCCAAGAGAAUCAAAUUUUGCAUCAAAUCCUUAAAAUCUGUCCAAGUAUUUAAAAGAGAUAAAAGCAUAGUUCUUUUCAAUACAGAACUAUGGCAUGAUCUGUAAAUCUCUUCAAACUUUUUGUACUUGUAGGCAUCCCAAGAUAACAUCCAAUUGAGAACAAGCCUUUGAAAAUCUAACAAAAACUUGCUUUGAUGCUAUUAUCACCUAAAAAAGAAGAAGAAGAAAGCAUUGUAGCCAUUGCACAGAACCAGUCCCAUUCAUAAGGGUGGACGGGUGACACACCCAACCUUCACCAUUUUUUGCAUGAUUUGGUCAUACAUAAAGCAAUCAAUAUAUACUUGGUUAAACAUCAAGCUUAAUUUUAGCCUAAUCAAUUGACUAAAGCUGCAAUUACACUUAAGUUUAAACUACCAAAAGUUCACCCAUUUUCACAACAUUAAAAUUAAGCUAAAAUUACAGUGAAAGUGAUAGAACUUCAAGCCAAAAUUUAGGUGGAGAAAUGAAUUUAAUUUGUCUCAAGAGCUGAAUUACAAUGAAGUCAAUAAAUAAUAUUAUCUUCUUCGGUUCAUGAACACCAAACUGAAAUUACAACAAAAUUGAAAUCAACAUUUUGCAUCAAAUUAACCUAAUUUCACUCAUCUUUUAUCUUAAACUAAAAUACAUCUUGUAGCACUCAGUGAUCAAAGCCUGUUUUUCUUCCCCCUUACUUCCUGUUUAGACAUGGAGAGGUGAAACAAACUUUGAGAUAUUCAAUGAUUCAACAAAGCUUUAAUCAAAUACUAAACUGCUUGCUUUGAUGGAAGAGUUAGUUUCAUGAGGGAUGUGCCCAUCUUCCUUGAAGCUUGUACCUAUGCACUUACGAUUGGUAAAAGCCAGGCACCAUAAACAUAAGAGUUUUUGAAUUUUUAAGGGAAAAUCAUGCUUUCAAACACUAAUAAAAAAAGUACAUCUGUUCCUAGGGGAACUAGAACCCCUAUAUCCCCAAUCAUGAUCUAUAUAUUCCUUUGGGAACCCUCAAUAAGUGAUUACAGGUCCUCCUUAUUCCCAAAAUGAACUUUGGAACCUCAAGUACAUCCUUAAAAAAAAUAAGUACAUCUGUUUCUAAGGAAACCGAGACUCCUAUCCCCCUUAUAAUGGUCUAUCUAUUCCUUUGAGGACUCUCGAGAAUUGAUUAUAGGUCAUCCCCAUACCAAAACGGACUUUGGAACCCCAAAUACAUCUUUAAGAAAAAUAAGUACAUUUGUUUUUAGGGGAACCAAGACCCCUAUCUCUUUUAUCCUGGUCUAUAUAUUCCUUUGGGAGCCUUCUAGAAGUGAUUGGAAGCCCUCCCCUUCCCCAAAAUGGAAUUUGGAAUUUUAAGUACAUCAUUAAAACAAAUAAGUACAUCCUUAAGAAAAUUAAGUACAUCUAUUCCUAGGCAAACUAGGGUCCUAUCUCCCUUAUCAUGCUCUAUAUAUUCCUUUGGGUACUCUUUGGAAGUGAUCGGAGGUUCUCCCUAUCCUUAAAAUGGAAUUUGGAACCCCAAGUACAUCCUUAAGAAAAAUAAGUACAUUUGUUCCUAUGGGAAUCGAGACCCCUAUCUCUUUUAUCAUGGUCUAUAUAUUCCUUUGAGGACCCUUAGGAAUUGAUUGGAGGUCCUUCCUAUCCUUGAAAUGAACUUUGGAACCCUAAGUACAUCCUUAAGAAAAGUAAGUACCUCUAUUCCUAGGAAAAUCAAGACCUUUGUCUCAUUUAUCAUGGUUUCCAUAGAUUUCUUUGGGGACCCUUGGGAACUAAUUGGAGGUCCUCUCCAUUCUUGAAACGGACUUUAGAACCCCAGAUAUAUCCUUAAGAAAAAUAAGUACAUUUAUUCCUAAGAGAAUUGAGAUUCUUAUCUCCCUCAUCAUGGUUCAUAUAUUCUUUUAAUGACCCUCUAGAAGUGAUUUGAAGUCGUCUCUCACCCUGAAAUGGAUUUUGGAACCCUAAGUACACCCUUAAAAAAAAUAAGUACAUCCUUAAGGUUAAGGAAAUGCAUAUUGUUAGGAUAUGUAGAUGGAGUGAAAAUGUACAAGUUAUGGUGCUUAGAUUCAAAAUUCUCUAAUUUAUAAUUAACAGGGAUGUGGCUUUUAACGAGUAUGAAAUGUUGAGUCCAAGAAAGGAGCAACUUCAUGUAGAAAACAACCCUAGUAUGAGAGAAAAUGUGGAGUUUGUGCCUAACAUAGAAAAAACGAUUUCAAAAAAGCCAAAUGAGGAAGAAGUGCAACAUCUUGAUGAUAAAGAAAAGACAUCACAAUAGCAACAAUAUUAUUUGGCUAGAGAUAGAACGAGGAGGCAAAUUAAACCACCACAAAGGUAUGCUUAUGUAGAUUUGGUUACUUAUGCACUUGGUGUGGCAAAGAACAUUGAAAAAGAGGAAUUUCAAACUUAUCACUAGUAGAGAGUCUACACAAUAGAUUGUUGCCAUGAAUGAGGAAAUUGAAUCUCUUCAAAAGAAUCAUACUUGGAAACUAGUUGAGAAGCCUAAAAAUCAAAAGAUUGUUGGUUGCAAAUAGGUCUUCAAAAGAAAUUAAGGGAAGGAAUUUCAAGAGUAAGGAUGACAAGUUUAAAGCAUGCUUAGUGGCAAAGGGUUACACACAAAAGAAAGGAGUGGACUUCAAUAAAGUUGUCUCCAGUUGUGAAGCAUAGCUCAAUCAAAGUGUUACUUGCUAUGGUUGCUUUAUUUAAUUUAGAUUUAGAGCAACUUUAUGUCAUGACUGUUUUUCUACAUGGUAAGUUGGAAGAAUAGAUUUAUAUGAAUUAACCCGAGGAAUUCAUUAUUUCAAAAAAGACCAUGUUUGUUUGUUGAAGAAAUCUCUUUAUGGCUUGAAGCAAUCUCUUAAGCAAUGGUAUAAAAGGUUUGAUACUUUUAUUAUUGGCAAUGGCAACCAUAAGAGUGAGUAUGAUAAUUAUGUUUAUCACAAGGAAUUGUUUGAUGGUUCUUUCAUUUAUUUAUUGUUAUAUGUUAAUGACAUGUUAAUUUCCUGCAAGAAUAUGUUUGAUAUUAACAAGUUGAAAACUCAACUCUAAGGAGAGUUUGAAAUGAAAGACCUUAGAGUUGUGAAGAAAAUAUUAGGUAUGGAUAUUCAUAGAGACCAAAAAGUAGGGGAAUUGUACUUUUCACAAAAAAGUACAUUGAGAAAGUGUUAAAAUGCUUUGGAAUGCAAGGGUCAAAACCUAUGAAUACUCCAUUAGCAACUCCAAACUUUCAAGUGCUUUUGUUGGGAACCCUAUAUUACUUCGUUCCCAUGCCCUAGAUCUCAUAGGGUGCAUGCAUUUAUCCCUAGACAUCUCUAAACCUACUGUAGCGAAAAACUAAGUAUUCAAAAACCAAUAUUGAUACCAUAGAAAUCUUAGAUCUAGAGAAAAAAAAUCACAUACCUUUGAUUCAAAUGUUCUUGAAUUGAUUCCUAUUGAUGUAGAUAAGUCCAAAGUCAUAAUGGAUCUUGUAACACCAUGAUCUUCCGCCCGAUAACUCUUUAUUGUGUCUAGGCACUGAAAUGGUUGACAUCUUAAGGGUGGAGGUUAGACUUCUCUCUUUGGACUAUAUGGAGAAAAUGGCAAGACAUGGAAACCCUAACCCUUAACGGGUAUUUAUAGGCUUCUUAGUAAGCUUAAGUGACUUAAGCCCACCCAAAAAGGUUGCUAAUUAAUUAAUUAGUUAACAAUACAAGAUCCUAAUUAACCAAUUAGCUUAGUUAAGAGAUAUCACUAACUUAUCACCAUGCAACCUUGCAUAAUCACUAAAAUAUCCUUAUGCACAAAAAUGAACUAAAAACCUUUCCAACCCUCAUAAACUAUACCAUCAAGGAAUAUGAGCUCAAAGUAGGGACCACUAGGACCCAUAGGAGUACUAGCUCCCUUAGAAUAAAAUUCUAAAAUUGACUCAACAUCUCACUAUAGAAAGUCAACUGCACUCUAGUACCUUAUGUGUAUUACAACGAGACACCAAGUGCUCGGGUUCGUGACCUACAAUCUACUACAUGCAAACUCUCCAUGAACUGGUGUUUGUAGUCUAACAAAGUAGUGCUAUCACUUAUUAAGAUUAUCUCUCAAAUCCUUAAGUUAUAGAUUCCAUUUUUUUUAUGUGAUCAAAUGACAUACUCUAGCUCAAAGAAGGAUUUGUCAAAUUCCACUAAAUGAAUUAUUGUGGCCACAUAUUUCAUGAUUACAUAUCCUUUAGAUCACCCAAGGAGACGCGCUGUCUCAAUCCCAUGAGAUAUCAUGGUGCCUCUAUUGAGAAUACUUGUUGCCACCAACCUCCAUCAACAAUGACCCAAUCCAUGGGGAUAUGUGACCACUUUAGGGUCUCAUCCAUAAGUUAAAGUCUCUUAUUGAUUUCAACAUAUGCUUAAUAUUCUCUCAAGGUUGAGAGUCCAUGUAGUAUAGUCACUUAGUUAAUCAUAAAAUUUGAUAGUCUUGCAUCAUGAUUCAUCGUAGGUCCUAUCCAGUGUGCACCACAUAUACUAGCGUACUCACCAUAGGAAUCCCAUCCUAACGACCUAGAUAAGCAAUCCCUCCGAUUAGGAGGUGGUGCACUAUAGUCUCUACUAGAUUGUCCAAAUCCAUGAACCAAUUGUGGACAACUUAUCUAUUUAUAAGAAACCCAUGACUUGUAACUUUUGUGCAACUCCUAAUAUACCAAAGUCAUGUACAAUGUAAGAGACAUGUGUUGAAUGUUCAAAUCAAUAUUAAUACACCAAAAGGAUAGCAAGAGGAUGGUUAAGUCUGACUUUGUUACAUUAUGUUAUGCUUUUAAGGGCUCAAUCCCAACAACUUUAUCACCAUAGAUCAAAGAAGAAAUGGAGCACAUGUCACAUGUUCCUUAUGCUAGUGUAGUUGGGAACAUUAUGUAUGUCAUGGUUUGCACUAGGCUAGACAUUUCACAUGUAGUUAGUGUGGUGAGUAGAUAUAUGGAUCACUCUCGAAAGAUCCAUUGGCAAGCAGUGAACAAAUAUUUCGAUAUUUGAGAGAAACAUCACAUGUUGGCUUAACAUAUGAUAAAAGUAGUGACAUCUCUGAGAAAAUUGUUGGUUAUGUUGAUUCUAAUUAUGCUAGAGAUUUGGGGAAAAGAAGAUCUCAAACAAUUUGUGGUAGUGUUAUUAGUUGGAAAGAACCUUUGCAAUUUAUAGUUGCUUUAUCAACCACUGAAGUAGAAUACAUGGCGGUCAUAGAAGCGGUGAAAGAAGUUAUUUGCCUUAAGGGCUUGGUUGGAGAUUUAAGCUUACAAUAGGAGUUGAUUGUUGUGUAUUAUGAUAGCCAAAGUACCAUACAUUUGACUAAAAAUCAAAUGUUCCAUAAGAGGAGCAAACAUAUUGAUGUCAAUGCAUUUUAUUAUGGAUGUGAUCGCAAAGGGUGCUAUUGCAAUGAAAAAAAAAUCCCUAUAGUGGAGAAUCUUGCAGAUAUGAUGACUAAGUUCGUUUUUACAGUUAAAUUCAGGUAUUACUUGGACUUAAUUGAUGUUAAUAGUAUCUAAAGACUCCUUUAGGGUGUGGGAGUGAAGAAACAUGGAAGACUUUCGAGUUUGUUUGAAUCUUGAGAAUUUGAGCCAAGGUGGAGAUUAUUGAAAAGUGUCUCAGAUUCUAUUUUUGAGUCAAUUGGAAAGUUAUAGAUAGUUUCCUAAUAAAAAAAUAUUCUUGUAAGUGGGUUUCCUAUUAUUAUAGAGGAAAUAUUCUUUUAGGAAAAAACAUUUUUGAUAAUUAUACACUUAGUUUCCUAUAUAGAAUCUUUCUAUGUAAUUAGAGAAAUAUGUAUAAAAAGAUAUUUUGACCAAAAUAGUGGAAGUUUUUUUUUUGGGUAUAAUUGGGACUUUGGGAUUUGAAAGCUCUAAGAUUGUAAUAUCCUUCAAUAAUAAUGGAAAUUAUUUUUUAUCUUCACCUGUGGAUGUAGGUUUGAGGUCGAACCACAUAAAUUGUUAUGUACUUUGUGUGUUUUGUUUUUGUUAGGAAUUUGAGGCUAAUCCAAACUAUGGUAAUCACCUUGGGGGGGGGGGGGGGGGGAUAAAUAGGGUGAUGGUCUCUUUUUCACAAAUUUAAACUAUGCAAAAAUAAGAGUCAAUUAUAUGCAAAUAUAUAAUAAACAAAAUAAACACAAUUGCAUAUAAUUUAAAAGAGUUAGGGAAGAGAGAGUGCAAACAUGAGAGUUUAUAGUGGUUCGGUACUUCCUUGCCUACAUCCACUCUCCUCAACCUCCUAAUCGAGUGAGGGUUCCACUAUCUUGAAGCUUCAACCAAGUUUCCAAUCUCUUUACAAUUGGAUUAUGGUUCCAAUUCACCCUCUUGGACUUUUGGCUCCAAGCACCCUUUACACUUCUUCAAGAGAUAUCCCUCUCUUGAAUAACCUCUCAAGUGAUACCCCUCACUUGAGAAAAUCCCUCACAAAGAUAUACAAAUAAUGAUCUCACAAAAAUCCUAGUAAUAGAACUUUAGGCUCAAAGAUACAAGAAAAACUAGGAUUGAAUGGUGCACUAAAGAUAUGCAAGUUAUGAAACAAUGGUGCACUCAAAAACACUCUUCCAAGGCUCAAAUAUAAUCAAGAAUGAUUUGGAAAGGUUAAGCUCUUGAAACAAUGAAGAUUGGAGCCUUUUUAUAGAAGAGAAAAUCCAAACUAGCCGUUUGGGGGUUCGUCCGGUCGAGCUAUGGGUCGACUGGUUGACUAGCCAUUAGCAUUAAAUGCUUGGCAGGUGACCGUUGGGCCUUAGCCGGACCUCGACCGGGAAGAGAGUUACCUUGAUCGGGAAAAGAAGGCCACUAGGAGAGAGAGAAACUUUUGGCCUCCCUCGACCGGUACUCGACCGGACGAGCACAACUGGUUGACCGGUUCCUCGACCAGUUGAACUGGUUGAGCCAUUUUUUGGCUCAACACCCAACCCUUUUCAACUUAAAACCUCUUAACACAAGUUUGAAAAUUAUUUAACACAAGGUUUUAGUUGAAAACAUGAAAUCAUCCAAUUUUAAAGAUAUUUAAAACAAUAUUACUCUUGGAUGAUUUUGGUGCAUAAAUAAAGAAUGAAAUGCAUGAAAGUCCUAGUGCACCAACAACCUUACAAAGAGAUCUUAAGAAGUUUUGGUCUUGAAAAACUCUUCUCUUUGAGGUGGUCUUCUUCUUCGUGAUUUCUCCUUGGCUUGAUUUGUCUUUGGAUUGACACUUUGGAAGUCGUCUUGCCUAAUCACACUUGAAAUAUAAUCAUUAGUUCUAAACCUUGUUUUGUUAUCAUCAAAAUCAAGAUUAACCAAACCUUGGUUUCACAGUUUUCAUUUUUUUUUUCUCCCUAUUAUUAUUACUAUUAUUAUUAUAUAUACACCCAUGUGACUUGCAUGGUGGAAAGAGAAUAUUUCAUAUUCCAGGCAAGAAGCAAAGGUUACUCAAUUGUGUUUUUCCUUUUAGAAUGCAGAAGGGGUUUCCUUAUACUGAAGAAAUGCAUAGAUUCAAUUGAAAAAAUUGAGAAAUAUGGUUGUUCUUUUUCUUUUUCUUUUUCUAAAUCAUAGAUGAGCCAAGAUGAAACCCAUGUGGAACACAUUGGUUCCAGGCAUUUUCUUGGACAAAGAUAUGUCCAAAAUAUGGGAAAAUGACAUUUUAAAAUUAAAAAUGAUUUUAAAUUUUAAAUUUCUUUUUUUAUAUGUUUAAAAGCUUUUCAACUAGUAGAUUCGAAUUAUAACUUCCAAUUUAAUCGAAGAUUAAAAAUUACAAUAAUGAGAUUCUCAAUUCUUCAAAAUGAAAUUAAUUUAAUCCAUUUCCUUUGUAAAUUAUACCUCAAUUCAAUCAACCUUUCAAAAAUUAAAUUUACUUAAUGAUAAUAUUCAUAUUUAAUCAAUUUACCUUUUUGUGUAAAUUCCUAAAUUUAUAUAACAUAAUUUAAUCUUAAUUUUAUUUUGAUUCAAUUUUGUUUCACGUUUUAUAAUUUUAUAAGGUUGAAUUCUAAUAAUAAUUAAAAAUUAAAUUGAUUUGUUAUAAUAUUAAAUUAAAUAUCUUUUGAAAAUUUUAUUAUAACUAUUUGACAUAAUACAAAUUUCACCAAAAUUUUUAAUUAACUUUCUCUAAUGAUUACUUUAUAAUAAUAAAAUUAAUUAUUACAAUACAUGUAAUAUUCAAAUUUCAAAAAUUCAAGCUCAAAUAAUUUAAAUUUAAUUUUGAAGUUCCUAAUUUCCAAAUGUGACUCUCGACAAGAAUUUAAACUAACUUUCGACUAUUUUUUCACAAAUUUCACCUAAUUAAAUAAUAUAUUGACACGUGAAUGUUCACUAACGACACGUGAUCACGAUUCAUUUUGGUUGAUGUUCAGGAUGGUCAUCGGCAGUAGACUAACAUCUUCUGGACCAAUUAACAUACCAGCAGUGAUUAGGCCAAGGUGGUGAUCCAAUUCCAUGGAAGGGCAGCAAGAAAGGAGGAACGUUGGAGAGAAAGAAGGCGGCCAACCAAGCAGGAACAGUGGUCAAACUGGCCCCGAGUCGAAGGAGCGUAGGAUUGACAUUGUUGAAAUCAGUCAUAAGGUGAAAAAUUGGAUUGAGUCUCUCAAAAAAUGCAGAAGAAAAGACUCAAUCUCAAAGUCAAUGGCCAAGGACACCAAAGGUUCCUCACAUGCUGAGGGGGACCCAGGAUUUCAACAAAUCUACGAACCGAGGGUAAUUUCAAUCAGCCCUUACCACCAUGGCAAGCCCCACCUUCACCCAGGGGAAAUGAUCAAGCCUCUAUGUGCCCCAAACUUCCUGGAUGAUAGUAAGCAGGACAUCGAAGCUUUGUACACAAAAUUGAAAGUAAUAUGAGGCAGUGAAAAAGUGCUAUGAUUGGAGUAGUACAAACGAGUAUGAUGAUGAGGCGCUCGCCUGGAUGAUGCUUCUGGAUGGGUGUUUUUUACUACAGUUCAUCCGCAGCAAAGAAUACGACAGUAAAGUCGAUAUGAGUAACGUUCAUAGAAAUCACCAAAUAAAUUUUGUGGUGCAGGACUUGUUCUUGCUGGAGAACCAACUUCCCUGUGGAAUCCUCAAGUUGAUUUUUGAGGGAGCAAAAUUCAAUGAUGGUUCACCAAUGAAAAAAAAGAUAAAAAAAAUUCGUCACUAACACCGCAAGGCCAGAAGGGACAUCAGAAAAAGAGGUGGAAGAGUUGGACGAAGAGCCCUCUCAUCUCCUCGACCUUUUGCGAAGUGCUCUCCUAGGCGGGUCUAAAUAGAUUAGAAAGCAAGAAGCUCAGGGGUUCUGUUGCCCCGAUUGGCCGUCUUUUCGACACAUCAAGGAGCUUAAAGCUGCCGGGAUCCAUCUCAAACGGAGUAGAACCAGUUUCUUGAGAGACGUUUCUUUCAAUUCCUACUUCUUCUAUGGCUGCCUGAAUCUUCCCCCAAUAAUCGUUGAUGACUUCACGAAGCCCAUGUUCUUGAACAUUGUAGCCUACGAAAUGUGUCCAGAUGCCCCAGAUGACUAUGCGGUCACUUCUUAUAUAUGCUUCCUUUACGACAUCAUUGAUCAUGCAGACGAUGUCAAGGAGCUGAGAUCUAAGCACAUUCUCUCCAACCUUCUUGGCAGCGAUGAAAAUGUGGCCUAACUUUUCAACGAGAUCGGCAAUGACUUGGUAGAUCCCAAAGCUUAUCAAGAUGUGAAAGAUCGUAUUCAGGAACACUACAACAAGAGAAUGAAUACUUGGAUAGCUUAAGCCCUUCACGACCAUUUCAGUACUCCAUGGACUAUCAUCGCUUUCAUUGCUGCUGUUUUGAUACUAUUUCUUACUGGGGUUCAGACCUACUACGCAAUUCCCGGUAAUUAAUAUAUAUAUAUAUAUUGGGUUAAUUAUGUCUGUUGUGUGUUUUUUUCUUGUUUGGUGUGUAUGAUUAGAGAAAUAAAGAUGUAUAGAUUGUUAAGUUGUAUGACUGGAUUUCAUGGAUGCAAUAUUAUUAGUCUUUUCCUUCCCAUGAGUUUGCUAUCUAUAAUAUCUGUUUGAACUCACAAUUUCCAGCUACCUUCUUUGUAUUCUUUUUCAUAGACCAGGAUCAUACAUAACACAACCACAUAGAAAAUUUUGCGAUUGAAUAUUGCACACAAUUUUUUUUUGAACGAGAAAAUUGUGGAUAAAAUCAUAAUUUUCAUAUAUUUAUAGAUUGAGGGAACAAUCUUAAUUAUGCCCUUUGAUUUUUUAUUUUUUAUUUAUAAAAGAUAAAAAUAUCUUUUUAGGCAAUUUAAAUGCUUAAUUUUGAAUCAAACGAGAUUUCAUUAAUAAAUAUGACAUUUUUAAAUGAAGUCUUCCAAUCUUCAUUGAAAGAAUCUUCAAGUUUUCAACUUCUUUAAGAAAUCUUCAAAUACUUUUCAACUCUUCAAGAUAUUUUUAAUCUUCUUGAAUUCUUUUUAAGAGCUCUAGGGCUUUUCUUUAGUCUUCUGCCAAAAUACAUCACUGAAUGAAGGAGAGAACAAAGGCAUUUUUCAUUCAUCACUGAACUUGUUUGAAAAGAAAAACACACACACACAGAUGGAGUUAGAAAUGAAAGUGGAGAAAAGCACUCGACAGUUUUGCAUACUGCAUGAUAGAACUCGUUGAAAUUGUUUAUAUCCCUGGCACUAAAAUACAUCUUGUAGCACUUAGUGAUCAAAGCCUGUUUUUCCUCCUCACUUCCUGUUCAGACAUGGAGAAGUGAAACAAACUUUGAGAUAUUCAUUGAUUCAACAAAGCUUUAAUCAAAUACUAAACUGCUUGCUUUGAUGGAAGGGCAGAGAUGAUGGUACCAGGAAUUAGUUUCAUGAGAGAUGCGCCCAUCUUCCUCCAAGCUUGUACCUAUGCGCUUGCGAUUGGUAAAAGCCAGGCACCAUAAACAUAAGAGUUUUUGAAUUUUUAUGGGAAAAUCAUGCUUUCAUACACUAAUUAAUAAUAAUAAAAAAAUUCUCCAUAUUUAAAAAAAAUAUAUAUAUAUCAAGACCACUGUAGUUUUCCUUUUAAAACUUUUUUAAUUUCAAUUUUUUAAUGUUUUAUCUUUUCAUAUUUAUUGGUUUCAAUCAUUAUAUUGAACACAUUAAACACAAAAUGAUAACAUUAUUGAGAACAAAUAAAAUAUAACCUAAAAUACAAUAGACAAACAAUUGAAGUUUCUUAGUAAUAUCUAAUUUAUAAUUUUCAAGAAUAGAAGAGCGAGUAUAUGAAUACUCUUGAGAAAAAAAUUAUUAUUUUAUUAAAAAAAACAAGUACUUUUAUUGUUCUUUAUGAUUAAAAAAUAAUAUUUUAUUUUCCUCCAUUUUUUUUAAUAUAAUCUAUUAAAUUAUAUUUGUUGUUGUCAAAUUUCUUUGUAUUAUUAUUAUUUUAAAAUUUGCAAGUCAUGCAAAUUUGUCAUAAUCUCAUAACAAUAAUUAACAUACAUGUUAGAUAUAAUUUCUAAGUUUUUUAUGUUCGAUAUAGAAAUUUUUUUAUGUUGCAUAAUAUAUUUUUAUUUAAUAUAAUAAAUUUAGAAGUAAUAUAUUAAUAAAGUUGAUCAUACACCUUCAUGAAAUAAAAUAUUCAAAGAAUAUUAAAAUUUAGAUGAUCCUGUCACUAUAUCCAAUUAUGUAGGAAAAAUGUGUACAAUCUUCAUCAAAAUAUAUAGGUACAUUCUUUUAGGGGGAAUCGGGACACUCACACUUGUUAUGUCCUAAAUAGUCAUUUGGGAGACCUCGAGGAAUGAUUUAUGACCUUACCCCAACUAGAAAUCAAAUUUUGAACCUUAUACACAUCUAAAAGAAAACUACAUACAUUCUUUUUAGGGUGAAUUGGGACCCCAACCACUCUUAUUACAUCCUAAAUAGUCAUUUGGGGGACCUCGAGAAGCGAUUUGAUUCCCCCACCCCAAAAUUAAAUUUGGAACCCCAUAUAUAUCCUUAAUAUAUGUAUACACACACACACACACAUAAUUAAAAAAAUACGUAUAUGUUUUAUAAAAAUAUAUGCAUUUUUUGAAGGGUGAACCGGGACCCCAAUCACACUUACUAUGUCCUAAAUAGUAAUUUAGGGACCUCGAGGAGUCAUUUGUAACCUUCUCUCACCUCGAAAUCAGAUUUGGAAUGUCACAUAUAUUCUUCACAAAAAUACAUACAUUUUUUUAGAGUGAAUCCCAAUCACCCUUAUUAUGACCUAUAUAUUCCUUUAGGGACCAUCAGGAAGUGAUUUGAGGUAUUCCCCCACCCCAAAAAGGAUAUUGCAACCCCAUAUACAUCCUUAAGAAAAAUAAGUACAUUUGUUCCUAAGGGAACUAGGACUCCUAUGUCCCUUAUCAAUGUCUAUAUAUUCUUUUGAAAACCCUCGAGAACUGAUUGAAGGUCCACCCCAUCCCCGAAACGGACUUUGGAACCUUAAGUACAUCCUUAAUAAAAAUAAGUACAUAUGCUCCUAGGGAUAUUGAGACCCUUAUCUCCAUUAUCAUGGUCUAUAUAUUCUUUUAGGGACCUUUGGAAAGUGAUUGGAUAUCUCAUAAACUCGUAUACCUCUUAAGAAAAAGAGGUGUUACAUAGUCUAUAGGACAUAUCCCCAAAAGAAUAUGAGAAAAGAUGAAAAACCUUUCCACGAUCUCACUUAGUCCUUCAAAGUUUGAUAUCUUUUUUCCAUCUUUCCAUUUUGCAAUGGAGACUCUAGUGCACAUAACUAGGAAAUAAUCUCAUGCUCCAACAAAGAGAAUCAAACUUACUAGACAUAUCACCCUGAUAUAAUCAAAGUGCCUUGAUAUCCGACUCCACCUUAAAUUCAAUGAAUUUAUCCCAGUUAUCAAAUUCUUAUACACAUAUUCAAACCUAGACUAAUCAUCACUAAAAAGUGAUGAAGUACACAUACCCUCCCCAUGCAUGAAUACUAAAAGAUCCAUGCAUGUUAGUAUGCACUAACUCCAAACAUUCCUUGGCUCUAAUCCUCUUGGCCAUUUUACCAUCUAUAUAAAAUUCACAAACUAGAAGAUCCUUUGAAUAAAAAAGUCCAAACCUAACUAGUCUUUAAAUCCUACUCAAAUUGAUAUGACCUAGGUCUUUAUACCAAAUGUUUGAUUAGUGCUAAGUUCAAUCUUAAGAUCUAACUAUUCUCAUCAUUUGCCAAAAUGAUAAUGAAAUACAUAUAAAAAAAAAAAAAUUGGAAGAUAUUACAUUCCACUGACCUGCACAACUAACUUUGCAAUUGAAGUUAAGGUAAAUAUAAUCUCAUCAUUUAACCUUCUCACUUGUUGAAUAUCCUGUAAAGACUACAUAUUGUAGGCAUAUAAUCUAUUCACCAUAAAUGGUAAAAUCCACCACUAAAUAUUCAACAAUGAGAAAAUGAUGCAUAUUUUUUUUUCUUUUAGGUAAACUAAGCAUUUCUUUUCUAGUGUCCUAAAAGAAUACAAAGGAAUCACCUGCCCUUGAACUUGCUUUCUUAUUUCUUCUCUUGAAUUUUCUUUAUUUGGUAUUGUUGUUCUUCUUCUUGGCUAAAAAAAAUGUAAAGAACCUUUUACUUCCAUAUGAACACCCUUAUAAUCUUUAAGAUUCCCCUAAACCAUCCCAAGGGAAACUAACAAUGUCUCUAAGAUUAUAUGAACUCUACUGUUUAUAAUAGUCCUAAGGACAACUUGUUAAAGUUGACCUGCCUUUAUCACCAAAUAGCCUUUGCAAACUAGAAAGAGAACAUCAAAGUCCUUGGUAAUAGAUAUGUGUUGCUAUUGCAACACAUUAUCCAAAGAUCUAAGUACGAGACACUUGGUCUUUUGAUCCAUCUAGCACCACCUUUAAUAUACCUACUUUUUCCUUUUUUACUAGGUUGGUUCAAAAGAAAUAGCUUGUUUUGCCUAAACUAGUUUUUAUGCAAUUAGUUACUAUAUCCAAAUUAGUUCAAAUGAUUAGUUGGGUUUGGUCUAUUGUGAGAAAGAUAGUGAUAAUAAAACCAACAUGAUAUCUUAACAAAGAUUAUAACCAUGCAUAUGACAUAAUUGAGCAUUCAAGGCAAUUGGUAAUUAAUUUAGCAAAAAUGUAGUGCUCUCAAACUACAUGUCAUUUCGCAAGGUAUCUUAGUGUCAUAAGAAUCAAGCUUACAAUGGGGAGGUCAUGAUUUUAUUACUAGUUAGAGACCUUCUCAAAUUGACCUCUUUGUCUUAACCAUGAAGGUAUCUAAAGGCAAGAUUAACAUACAUUUUUAUUUGGCUCAUGAACUAUGCAAAUGGGACCACAGUGCAGGCGUUUCAACAACUUCAAAUCCACUGAUAAGUGUAUAACCAUUGUCCUUGAACUAUCAGUGUCACCAAGUAAGGAACCCCACCAGUGGGAUGGUUUCUCCCACUACAGACAUGUCUAGUCUCAUCCUAAUGGAGAGUUCUUAUCCUUUGAUUCUUAAGACCUAACCUACCGUGGGGGUGGUGAUGAGCCCAAAUCUAGAUGGGCUCGAUAAUGGAGGCAUGGGCUUUCCUAAGGCCCUCUCCCACUUAAUUUUUUGAGAUAGAUGACCAUUUUAAAACAUUGUAAUUCCCUUGAUGAAUAAAUUAUCUACUUUGAGAAUUUUCAAAAAUAUUUAUUUCCUAAUUGGAAACUUAGUGUAAUAGGAGAAUAAAUUCUCCUUCUCUUACACAAAUCCAAUUAAUAAAUAUUUUAUUUAGGAAAUGUCUCAAAGAAAUUUAUUUCCAUCAAAUUACUAAGCCUUUUGAUAAUGAUUUUUUAAUGAAAAAUUAUCUUUAAUGAAAAUUUCCAAAAUGUUUAUUUUCCAAAUUGGAACUCUAGUGUAAUGAGGAAAUUACCAAUUUAUGAGAUUUUGAAAAUCUUAAGAGCACCUUAUCCAGGAAAUCAACUUUUGCUUCUCAUAUUCAAAAAUACUUAUAAGAUUUACUUAUUUCUUUUGCUUCUCAUAUUAAAAAAUCCUUAUAAGAUUUACUUAUUUCUUACACCUUUCCAACUUAAUAAAUAUUUCCAUGACAAUUUUAUAAUAAUUUAUUCCAUUAAAUAAUACCAAAAAUAGAACCUUUUAGUAAUUCCUUAAAGGAUAAACUAUUCUCUAUGAAAAACUCCUAAAAAUGCCUAUUUUCAAAAAAGGAAUUAAAUAAUUCAUUUUGGAAAGUAUUUUCAAAAUAUUUUAUAUCUCCAUUGAAUUACUAAAACUUUCCAAAAAUUAUUUUGAUAACCCUUCCUAUCAUAAAUUAUCCAUCAUGAGCUAAGACUCCUCUGCUAGAAAAAUUACUCUCUCAAUCCUUAUUCUUGAAUGAUCCAUAUCCAAACUGAAUGGUUUCCUUAUUUUAUUUUAUUUUUAGGGGGGAGAGCUUGGAGGAUCAUUAUAGAUGUAGUUCUCCUUCUCUCGAGAUGGGGGGUUGGGAAGCCUAGAGGACCACCUAUAUAAAACCAAGUAGAUAGUUCCAAAAAGAAUAACAUUAUUCUUAGCAACAACCAGUUUAAACAAAUAAUCUUUGGAAAAUAUCUUCUCAUGAAAAUUUACUAAGAAUACCAAAAUACUUAUUCAAAAUUAACACUUAUUUUGGUAACCUUCUUAAUUAUAAAUUAUCUAUCAUGAAUUUUCAAAAUUAACUUAUUCUCUUUAACUAAAAAACUUAUGCAAAAAGGAAAAAUAUUAUUUUAUAAAGAUUUGGAACAUCAAGAGCUUUUUCUUAAAAUAUUAUUUUUAGAGAUCUCAAAGAUUUGAGAAGAUUUUAAAUAAAAUUAAAAUCUAUAAGAAUUAAUUUUAAAAAGAAAAGAAAACUUUUAACCCUUUUUCAACUUAUCUUUUCUUAAAAUAAAAUUUCUCAACCAUUCACAUUCUAAUUUAAAUAAGUUUUCCAAUUUUGAAAAAUCCAUGAAAAUUUUUAUUCAAUUGAGAAUAUCAAAAUAAUUUAAUGUCGCAUAUGCAAUAAAUAAAGAGCAUAUAUAAACAAGGAAAUAAAUAAGCAAAAUUUCCCCAUGGCCUUUAGGGAUCCUACUGCGUAGUCUAGUAAUACAUUUCAAUAAAAUCCAAAUCACCAAUAUUAUCAAAUCAAACCUACAACAAAUAAAGGGUUAGAAAAAAGGAAAAACCCUUCAUCAGUAUGCCAAAAGUGCCAAUCUAUUGUCACUUGUGCUCGAGCGCCCAAAAAUUUGAAGAAAAUGUUAGAUACAACUUGCAUUGUGAUUACUACUCAAAAAAUACUCUUUUAUAGGUUGAAACUAACUGUUUUAAACACUUUUGAGUGGUAGUUAAUACCUUUUAACUCAAUUGGCACAUUAAGUAACCUAGCAAGGGUUACUAAUCAGUUUUGGCAAGUUUUGGUGUUUUUGGUAGCUAUUUGAUCAUUGAAACAAGCCAAGAAUGAGGGAGAAUUUUGUGAAAUCCAUGGCAAUGCAAGUUGAAGCUCAAAUACAUGAAGAAUCCGAGCUUUGGAGCACUUCAUAGCCCUUUGCCAAGCUUGGCAAUAGGUUGCCAAGCCAAUCAGAGAUGCAAGGAAGAAAACUAGAGGAAAAGUCCAACAACCAGCAUUUUCGCAUAGCAUGCGAAAUAAAGAGGAAGAGCAGCUGCAGGAAUGAGAGCAGGAUUGAGUGAAAGACAAUUUCGCACACCAUGCGAAACCACAAGAAGCAGCCAAAGAAUUUCGCACACCAUGUGAAAUUUCGCAUGGUAUGCGAAAUCCUCUUGUGUACCGACUCCGUUAGAUUUUUAUCUCCAGAUAUUUUGUAUAAUUUCCUAUUUUCUCCUUGUAAUCAAGCUAGAUAUUUUCAUGUAUAUCUUUUCUAGACAUGAAAGAAAUUCAUUCAUGAAACACUUGUAAAAUUCCCGUAGAAGAAAUAUAUAGAGAUUUUGCUCUGUCUUUCCUUCUCAUUUUGUUUUCACUUUUCUUUCUAGCCAAACAACCUCUGAGGAUGAUUUCUCAGGGGAUGAGUGGCUAGGUUUUACAUUUCUUGGAGUGAUGGAAACUAGGUGAAGGACCCGAAUGCAAAGAUGGGAGUUGUCCUUGCUUUAAAUGAAAGUAGUUGUUAACGUGAGGAAAAGAUCCAAAAUCUCCCUUUUUGCCUAAGGAACCCGAUCCUAGUGACCUAAAGCUCCAAGAGACCUUUUCUUUGUAGUUAACUUCACUAAUUAUUUUUGCUUAACUUAAAAUCAAUCUUUGCAACCAAAAUUCCAUUUUCUUUAAAAACUAAUUUUCAUAAGGAAAAACACCAUUUUAUUUCCUUCACUAAUGUGAACUGUAUGAUGAAAACCCAUCCCUAUGGAUGAUCCUAGAGCCACUAGACUAAGUUAGCUAUGCUAUCCUAGUGUGAGGUGAUUUAGGUUUGAUAAAUUUUGUUGAUAACACCUGCCUGAGCCAGAAUCAAAUGGCAUGACUGUAAUGAAGACGAAUCAAGUAUGCAUACUUGAAAGAAGACAAGCAGUGCCAUGUUGUUAUAUCUUCAGCUCUUACCAUUCAUUAGGAGGAUUGUCUACUUGAAGUCCUUAGAAGAUGUAGGAAGGAAAUAGGGUGGCAAAUUUCUGAUUUGAAAGGGAUCAACCCUUUAGUCUGCACCCAUCAUAUUUACAUGGAGGAUGAAGCUAAGCCAGUUUGUCAACCUCAGAGAAGGUUGAAUCCUCACAUGCAAAAGGUGGUGCAAACUAAAGUUCUUAAGCUACUUCAGGCCGGUAUUAUCUACCCCAUAUCAGAUAGCCCAUGGGUGAGUCCUACUCAAGUUGUGCCAAAGAAGUCUGGGAUCACGGUGGUGCAAAAUGAUAAGGGAGAAAAUGUCUCUACACGCCUCACUACAUGUUGGAGGGUGUGUAUCGAUUACAGGAGAUUGAAUGCGGUGACAAGGAAUGACCAUUUCCCGUUGCCCUUUAUUGAUCAAGUGCUUGAGAGGGUCUCUGGGCAUCCUUUUUAUUGUUUCUUGGAUGGCUACUCCGGGUACUUUCAGAUAGAAAUUGAUGUUGAAUACUAGGAGAAGACCACUUUCAUAUGCCCAUUUAGAACCUAUGCAUACAGGAGAAUGCCUUUCGGCUUAUGCAAUGCACCCGCAACUGUCUAAAGAUGCAUGUUAAGCAUUUUUAGUGAUAUAGUGGAGCGUAUUAUGGAAGUCUUUAUGGAUGAUAUCACCAUAUAUGGAAGUGCAUUUGAUGAAUGCUUGAUCAACUUAGAAGUUGUUCUGAACCGAUGCAUUGAGAAAGACUUAGUGCUUAACUGGGAGAAGUGUCAUUUCAUGGUACAACAAGGGAUUGUCCUUGGACACAUCAUCUCCAAGCAAGGCAUUGAAGUAGACAAAGCAAAUGUUAAACUCAUUGUUAAGUUACCAUCCCCAACAAAUGUCAAAGGAGUAAGGUAAUUCCUUGGCCAUGUCAGGUUCUAUAGGAGGUUUAUAAAGGAUUUCUCUAAGCUUGCAAGGCCUCUUUGUGAACUAUUGGUGAAGGAUGCUAAAUUCAUAUGGGAUGAUAGAUGCCAAAGGAGUUUUGAAGAAUUGAAGCUAUUUCUGACAACCGCACCAAUAGUGAGGGCUCCCAACUGGCAACUGCCCUUUGAGGUAAUGUGUGAUGCCAGUGACUUUGCUAUAGGAGUUGUUCUUGGCCAAAGAGAAUAUGGAAAGCCCUAUGUGAUCUACCAUGCGAGCAACACAUUGAAUGAGGCGCAAAGAAACUACACAACCACUGAGAAAGAAUUGUUAUAUGUGGUUUUUGCCUUAGAUAAGUUUCGUGCUUACUUGGUGGGGUCUUUCAUUGUGGUUUUCACUUAUCACUCUGCUUUGAAGUAUCUGUUGACUAAGCAAGAUGCGCAAGCAAGGCUGAUUAGAUGGAUUUUCUUGCUUUAAGAGUUCAAUCUCUAAAUCAAAGACAAGAAAUGAGUGGAGAAUGUGGUAGCAGACCACCUUUCAAGGCUAGCUAUAGCACAUAAUACCCAUGGUUUGCCCAUUAAUGAUGAUUUUCCAAAGGAGUCUCUCAUGUUGGUGGAAGUUGCCCCUUGGUAUGCUCACAUUGCGAACUACCUAGUCAUAGGAGAAGUUCCAAGUGAAUGGAAAACACAAGAUAAGAAACAUUUCUUUGCAAAAAUUCACGCCUAUUAUUGGGAAGAGCCAUUUCUAUUCAAGUAUUGUGUGGAUCAGGUAAUAAGGAAGUGCGUUCCUGAAGAAGAGCAACAGGGGAUCCUCAGCCAUUGCCAUGAAAAUGCAUGUGGAGGCCACUUUGCUUCUUAGAAGACAGCCAUGAGGGUGUUGCAAUCGGGUUUCUAUUGGCCAUCACUUUUCAAAGAUGCCCACACCAUGUGCAAGAGUUGUGAUCGAUGCCAGAGGCUUAGGAAAUUGACACGCAGGAACAUGAUGCCUUUGAACCCCAUUUUGAUAGUUGAUCUUUUUUAUGUUUGGGGCAUUGACUUCAUGGGACCUUUCCCUAUGUCUUUUAGCUACUCUUACAUCUUGGUAAGAGUAGAUUAUGUUUCUAAGUGGGUUGAGGCAAUCCCAUGUAAACACAAUGACCAUAAAAUGGUUCUCAAGUUUCUCAAGGAGAACAUCUUCUCAAGAUUUGGGGUGCCCAAAGCCAUAAUUAGUGAUGGGGGUACUCAUUUUUACAACAAGCCUUUUGAAACUCUCUUGGCCAAGUAUGGGGUGAAGCAUAAGGUAGCUACACCUUACCACCCUCAAACUAGUGGGCAAGUUGAGUUAGCGAACCGGGAUAUUAAAAACAUAUUGAUGAAGGUGGUGAACACAAAUAGAAAAGAUUGGCCAGUCAAGCUCCUUGAUUCACUAUGGGCAUAUAGAACAGCUUAUAAGACCAUUCUUGGAAUGUCUCUGAUUCGUGCCCAGUAGGGUAUUUUAAUCAAAAAUAUUUAUAAAUCCUAUGACCUUAUACUAGCGUAGCAAAGCUACUAUAGUACAACAGCUCUAGGGUCGAACUCUGGGAUGGGUUUUCAUUCUACCAGUGAUAGACUCAAGAUUAGAAAUUGAAUCUGAUGAUUUCCUUUGUCAAAAACUUAAAGUUUAAAAGAAAAUAAAAUUUGUUUUGAAAGUGGUGUUUGAAACUAAACUAACAUAGAACUAGGUAAAAAUGGAAGAAAGAAAGUCUCCCGGAGCUAGAGGUUGCUAGGAUCAAGUUCAGAAUGCAAAGUGGGAAAUUCCGGAUUUUUCUCCUCGUAUUAGGGACAACUGAUUACUACUCAAAAAGUGCUAUUUGAUAGCUUAUAAUUAAUCCUUUUAAACACUUUUGAGUAGUAGUUUAGGCCUUUUAACUCAAUUGGCAUGUUAAGGAUCCUUUAAAGCAAUUUUAAUCACUUUGUGCAAGUUUUGGUGUUUUUGUUAGUAUUUUGAUCACCAAAGCAAGUCAAGACUGAGGAGAGCUAUGAGGAAUCUUGGGCAAAGCUUAGAAGUCAUUUUCCAAGAGUGAAUCCGGAUUGCAAGGAGAAAAAGCAAAGAGAAUCUACCAUAGAGCAUAUUCUUGAUGACAGUCACAGAGGCCACUUUUGGAGCACUUUCUGAAGUCCAAAUAAUGCAUGCUAUAUACCAUUUCAAAGCUCAGGAAGUCAACAAUCUAAUGCUUCAAACGGUGUGCAAUUCGGAGUUGAAACGAAGAAGUUGCAGCCAUUACAAGCCAAUCACUCCGAGUUGAAGGAAGCAUUUUGCAAAGUGCUGCGAAAUCACCCUUUUGUUGCGAAGUGAUUUCGCAGCAUUUUUGUACAGUAAGUUGUUUCUCCUUCUGAUGAUGCACGAUUUAUGCCGCGAGAAGGAAGCUAGGAACCUCAAGGUGGAAGCCAACUUCGCAGCCCUGUGAAGAUAGCUUGGUGUUGCGAAAAUAUUUCGCAGCCCUCUUGAGUGUCUGCGAAAUCUCGCAGACACCAUUUUUCUCCUGCGAAAUGGUUCCUGAAGCCUCCCGAUAUUUGCUACCGACAUUGGGAGAUAUUUUCCAUUAGAUUUUUGUUGUCUAAAUCCCAAAAUACUCCUUGUAAACCUCCAAUUACAAGAUUCCUUAGCUUUUAAGUUAGUAAAAAGACUAAAUAUCUUUGUAACAAUUAGUUUUAUAUUAUGUUCAUAUAUAUACCUCUCGGGAGCCUGUUCUCGGAGAGGAGUUCCUUCUGAAAAAGUUUGGGUAAGCAAGUAAAGUCUAUUUUCUUUCUACUGCCUUACCUUAUCACUUUGUAUUUUCAUUUCAUUUCUAAGUUAUGAAUUCUCUGAGGAGUUUUCCCCAGAGAAUGAGUAACUAAACCUCUAGUUCCUUGGAGCUAAGGUUGCCGGGGAAGGUUCCAAGUGCAAGAAUGCAAAGCUUUGUGGUUUUAGCUUUUAAUGAAGAGGAAGUGAAAUCCUUUAAUGAUUUCUAUGUUUUUAGUUAACUUAAAACACCUUAGAGUCACCUGGGCCAACACUUGGUAAGGCAAGUGAUUUCCAACCAUGGAAAUGCACUAGUUUACCUCUUGCGAGCCUCUGGGAGGUGAUUUCAAGGUAGGAUUUUCUGGAAUUACCAACACUUGGUAAGCUUUUGGACUCCUAGGAGACAUCCAUUAGUUAUCUCUUGCGAGUUUGUGAAGGGAAGUCCAAGGUUAAAGAUCAUCUUGAAUGGUAAGUGCUCGUGAGAGGCAUGAACCAUUGCAAGUUGCAUCAGUGAGAGAAUUAAAGUGAAAUCUAAUUGAAGGAAUCUCUGUACAACACCGGUUAGAGAAUUGACUAUAUGUUGAAUCUCUAACGCGAGGAAAUGAACCAUCUGACCGGAGCUAUGUCUUUUGCAUGAGGAAUCACCCCAGUGAACCUAACUCUCCAGGGAAUGCUUUUCUUCCUAAAUUAUUCCAAACUUCUGUUAUGUUAGUUAGUUUAAGUAUAAACAUUUACCAAUCAAAGUUUGUGUUUUACUUCUUAAGCUAACCGUGAAAUGAAACAAGACCAAUUCACUUGGAAUUGGUAUCAUUGAUAGCUUGCUAAUCCUUCCCAGUGAACGAUCCUAGAGCCGCUAUACUAUAGUAGCUUUUUCUUUGCUACCCUAGUAUAUGGUGUAAUAGGUAUAAAUUUUGUUGAUUACUCCCUCAUCCAAGGAGCACCAGCUGGACAUGAAUCAGCUGAGACACCAAUUGGGCACGAAUCAAAUGGCGCCGUUGCCGGGGAAGAUGUCAAGUUUAUAUUGAUACCAUUUUUGAGCACUUGUGAUUUUCAUCACAAGCUGGUAACGUUUCUUUCACUUUACUAAUUUUCAUUCUUUCUUUAUGUAUUCAUAAUCUAAGUUUAUCUUAUUAAAUUUAGCCUAGUUUAAUUUUGCUGUUGUAGCCUUGUUUCUCUUGUUGUCCUCUGUUUUUUUUUUAAGUUGUAGAUAGAUACUAGUUGUGUAUGCCCAAGUGGAUACGAGACAGUGGAGGAAGGCUUGUUAAGUGUGAUACACCUCAGAGGGGAGAAUUUGAAGUAAUCUUGAAUAUCAUGGAAGCUACACCUGAAGAUCAGCAUAGUCACCAAGGUCGUCAAGACAAUCUCAAUGAAUUCAGAUCAAUGAGGGACCGUAUGCAUCCACCUCGUAUGAGUGCACCAUCAUGCAUAGUGCCCCCUACAGAGCAGCUAGUGAUCAGACCGUAUCUUGUUCCACUUCUACCAACUUUCCAUGGGAUGGAAAGUGAGAAUCCGUAUGCACACAUCAAGGAAUUUGAAGAUGUUUGUAAUACAUUCCAAGAGGGAGGAGCUUCAAUUGAUUUGAUGAGGCUUAAGUUAUUUCCUUUUACUUUAAAGGAUAAGGCCAAAAUUUGGCUUAAUUCUUUAAGGCCAAGGAGUAUCCGCUCUUGGACUGAUUUACAAGCUGAAUUCCUCAAGAAAUUUUUUCCUACUCAUAGAACAAAUGGCUUGAAAAGGCAAAUUUCAAACUUCUCAGCUAAAGAGAAUGAGAAAUUCUAUGAGUAUUGGGAGAGAUACAUGGAAGCUAUAAAUGCUUGUCCUCACCAUGACUUUGAUACUUGGCUAUUGGUGAGCUAUUUUUAUGAUGGUAUGUCUUCCUCAAUGAAGCAACUCCUCGAGACAAUGUGUGGAGGAGAUUUCAUGAGCAAAAAUCCAGAGGAAGCUAUGGAUUUCUUGAGCUAUGUAGCUGAUGUUUCAAGGGGAUGGGAUGAACCAACUAAAGGAGAAGUGGGAAAGAUGAAGUCUCAGUUGAAUGCUUACAAUGCAAAGGCUGGGAUGUAUACUUUAAAAGAAGAUGAUGACAUGAAAGCAAAGUUGGCAACUAUGACAAGAAGAUUGGAGGAGCUGGAACUGAAAAGAAUACAUGAAGUGCAAGCUGUUGCUGAAGCACCAGUGCAAGUGAAGCUGUGUCCUAAUUGUCAAUCAUUUGAACAUUUGGUGGAGGAAUGCCCUGCAAUUUCAACUGAAAGGGAGAUGUUUAGAGAUCAAGCAAAUGUUGUUGGACAAUUCAGGCCCAAUAACAAUGCGCCAUAUGGAAAUACCUACAACUCAAGUUGGAGGAAUCAUCCAAAUUUCUCAUGGAAGGCCAGAGCAACUCAAUACCAACAGCCGGAUCCACCAUCUCAACAAUCUUCAAGUAUUGAACAAGCAAUAGCCAAUCUCAGCAAGGUAAUGGGAGAUUUUAUUGAAAAGCAAGAAGCCACUAAUGCUCGAGUCGAUCAAAGAAUUGAUAGAAUGGAGAGUAUGUUGAAUAAAAGGAUGGAUGGAAUGCAAAAUGAUAUGAACCAAAAGUUUGACAACAUCCAGUAUUCAAUUUCAAGGCUUACAAAUUUGAAUACACUGCAAGAAAAGGGAAGAUUUCCUUCUCAACCUCACCAAAAUCCCAAGGGUGUCCAUGAAGUGGAAAGCCAAGAGGGAGAGUCAUCACAGAUGAAAGAUGUCAAAGCCUUGAUCACUCUAAGGAGUGGUAAGAAAAUUGAGCAGCCAAUACCCAAGCCACAUGUUGAGAAAGAAGAAGAGAUAAAGAAAGGGAAUGAAAUGGAAGAUAAAGAGUGUGAGAUCAGUGAAGAAAAGAAGGACUCUGAUUCAACAAUGAAAGCAAUUCCAGAGAAAGAGCUUCUGAAGGAAGAAAUGCUGAAGAAAUCAACUUCUCCACCUUUUCCCCAAGCAUUACAUGGGAAAAAGAGGAUUAGAAAUGCAGCUGAAAUCCUUGAAGUCUUGAGGCAAGUGAAAGUUAAUAUUCCACUGCUGGAUAUGAUUAAACAAGUUCCAACAUAUGCAAAAUUCCUAAAGGAUUUAUGUACUAUCAAAAGAGGGUUAACUGUAAACAAGAAAGCCUUCUUGACUGAGCAAGUAAGUGCAAUCUUACAGUGUAAGUCUCCUUUGAAGUACAAAGACCCUGGAAGUCCUACCAUUUCAGUCAUGAUUGGAGGAAAGGUAGUGGAGAAAGCCCUGUUAGAUUUGGGAGCAAGUGUGAAUUUGCUUCCAUAUUCCGUCUACAAGCAAUUGGGACUUGGAGAGUUGAAGCCAACAGCAAUCACUCUAUCUCUGGCAGAUAGAUCGGUGAAAAUUCCAAGAGGGGUAAUUGAGGAUGUAUUGGUUCAAGUGGAUAAUUUCUACUAUCCAGUAGAUUUUAUUGUUCUUGAUACAGAUCCUACUGUAAAGGAAGCUAAUUUAGUUCCUAUCAUCCUUGGAAGGCCAUUUCUUGCAACUUCAAAUGCAAUCAUCAACUGUAGAAAUGGGCUUAUGCAACUCACUUUUGGUAACAUGACACUGGAUCUCAAUAUUUUCUACAUGUCUAAAAAGCAAAUCACUCCGGAGGAAGAAGAAGGUCCAGAAGAGCUAUGUAUAAUUGAUACUUUGGUGGAGGAGCACUGCAAUCAACAUAUGCAAGAAAAGUUGAAUGAAAGUCUUGAGGAUAUUGAGGAAGGUUUUUCUGAAUCUCCUAUUGGGCUUGCUACUCUACAAAGUUGGAGAAAGAUAGAAGGAAUUCUACCUUUGUUCAAUAAGGAAGAGGAGGCAGCUGUUGAAAAAGAAAUUCCAAAACUCAAUCUGAAGCCUUUACCUGUGGAGCUGAAAUAUACAUAUCUUGAAGAAAAUAAUCAAUGUCCUGUUGUGAUAUCCUCAUCUCUGACCAGUCAACAAGAGAAUUGUUUAAUGGAAGUUCUCAAGAGGUGUAAGAAGGCAAUAGGAUGGCAAAUAUCUGACUUGAAAGGCAUUAGUCCUUUAGUUUGUACUCAUCAUAUAUAUAUGGAGGAGGAAGCAAAGCCAAUUCGUCAAUUUCAAAGAAGGUUGAAUCCUCAUCUACAAGAGGUGGUGCGAGCUGAAGUGCUGAAGCUACUUCAAGCAGGAAUCAUUUACCCUAUAUCUGAUAGCCCUUGGGUGAGUCCUACUCAAGUGGUACCAAAGAAGUCAGGGAUCACAGUGAUUCAAAAUGAAAAAGGGGAAGAAAUUACUACACGCCUCACUUCAGGUUGGAGGGUGUGUAUUGAUUAUAGAAAGCUGAAUGCUGUCACUAGGAAAGAUCAUUUUCCAUUGCCAUUUAUUGAUCAAGUGCUGGAGAGAGUCUCUGGACAUCCAUUCUAUUGUUUCUUGGAUGGGUAUUCAGGGUAUUUUCAGAUUGAAAUUGAUUUGGCAGAUCAAGUAAAGACCACUUUUACAUGUCCAUUUGGAACAUAUGCUUAUAGAAGAAUGCCUUUUGGUUUAUGCAAUGCACCUGCUACAUUUCAAAGAUGUAUGUUGAGUAUUUUCAGUGAUAUGGUGGAGCGAAUUAUGGAGGUUUUCAUGGAUGACAUCACCGUAUAUGGAGGUACAUUUGAGUAAUGCUUGGUUAAUUUGGAAGCAGUUCUUCAUAGAUGCAUUGAAAAAGAUCUGGUGCUCAACUGGGAGAAAUGCCAUUUUAUGGUACGUCAAGGAAUUGUCCUUGGCCAUAUCAUCUCUGAAAAAGGCAUUGAAGUUGAUAAAGCAAAGGUGGAGCUUAUUGUCAAAUUACCAUCUCCAACAACUGUAAAAGGAGUAAGGCAGUUCCUUGGCCAUGCAGGGUUCUAUAGGAGGUUUAUAAAAGGUUUUUCAAGUCUUUCAAAACCUCUUUGUGAGCUGUUAGCUAAGGAUGCUAAGUUUAUAUGGGAUGAAAGGUGUCAGAAUAGCUUUGAUCAACUGAAGAAAUUUUUAACAACUACUCCAAUAGUGAGAGCCCUUAACUGGCAAUUACCUUUUGAACUGAUGUGUGAUGCCAGUGACUUUGCUAUAGGAGCUGUGCUUGGCCAAAGAGAAGAUGGGAAGCCCUAUGUGAUUUACUAUGCAAGUAAAACACUGAAUGAAGCUCAAAGGAACUACACAACUACAGAGAAAGAAUUGUUAGCUGUGGUAUUUGCUUUGGACAAAUUUCGUGCUUAUUUAGUGGGGUCUUUCAUCAUUGUCUUCACUGACCAUUCAGCCUUGAAGUAUUUAUUGACAAAGCAAGAUGCAAAAGCAAGGUUGAUUAGAUGGAUUCUUCUGUUACAAGAAUUCGAUCUUCAAAUCAAAGAUAAGAAAGGAGUGGAGAAUGUAGUAGCUGACCACUUGUCAAGGUUAGUUAUAGCACAUAAUUCCCAUCCCUUGCCUAUCAAUGAUGAUUUUCCUGAAGAAUCACUCAUGUUUCUAGUGAAAACUCCUUGGUAUGCUCAUAUUGCCAAUUAUUUAGUAACUGGUGAAAUUCCAAGUGAGUGGAAUGCACAGGACAGGAAGCACUUCUUUGCCAAAAUUCAUUCUUAUUAUUGGGAAGAGCCCUUUCUCUUUAAGUAUUGUGCAGAUCAGAUUAUUAGGAAGUGUGUCCCCGAAGAUGAGCAGCAAGGGAUUCUAUCUCAUUGUCAUGAGAAUGCAUGUGGAGGCCACUUUGCCUCUCAGAAAACAGCCAUGAAGGUAUUGCAAUCAGGGUUUACUUGGCCAUCUCUUUUCAAAGAUGCCCACAUCAUGUGAAGAAAUUGUGAUAGAUGCCAAAGGCUUGGAAAGCUAACAAAAAGAAAUCAAAUGCCUAUGAACCCCAUUCUGAUAGUAGAGUUAUUUGAAGUAUGGGGCAUUGACUUCAUGGGACCUUUCCCAAUGUCUUUUGGUAAUCCAUAUAUCUUGGUGGGGGUAGAUUAUGUUUCUAAAUGGGUUGAGGCAAUCCCCUGUAAACAAAAUGAUCACAGGGUGGUUCUCAAGUUUCUUAAAGAGAACAUUUUCUCAAGAUUUGGGGUGCCCAAGGCCAUAAUCAGUGAUGGAGGUGCUCAUUUUUGCAACAAACCUUUUGAAGCUCUGUUAUCCAAGUAUGGAGUGAAGCAUAAGGUGGCUACACCUUAUCAUCCUCAGACUUCCGGGCAAGUUGAGCUAGCUAAUAGGGAAAUAAAGAACAUCUUGAUGAAAGUGGUGAAUUCCAACAGAAAAGAUUGGUCUAUUAGGCUUCAUGAUUCAUUGUGGGCAUAUAGAACAGCUUAUAAGACUAUUCUUGGGAUGUCUCCCUAUCGUCUUGUCUAUGGCAAAGCAUGUCAUCUCCCUGUGGAAGUUGAAUACAAAGCUUGGUGGGCAAUAAAGAAGCUGAACAUGGACUUGAUCAAGGCAGGAGAAAAGAGAUUUCUAGACCUUAAUGAGAUGGAGGAAUUAAGAAAUAAUGCUUAUAUCAAUUCCAAAGUUGUAAAACAGAGGAUGAAGAAAUGGCAUGACCAACUCAUCUCUAACAAGGAAUUUCAGGAAGGGCAAAGAGUUUUGAUGUAUGACACAAGACUCCAUAUCUUUCCUGGGAAGCACAAAUCGAGGUGGAUAGGCCCGUUUGUUAUUCACCGAGUAUGGUCCAAUGGAGUGGUGGAAUUAUUGAAUUCCAAUGGCAAGGAUAGCUUUAAAGUCAAUGGAUAUCGUCUCAAGCCAUUCAUGGAGCCAUUCAAAUCAGAAAAGGAGGCAAUCAACCUCCUUGAGCCUCAAAAAGUCUAAGCAAAGAAGGGUUUGCUAGACGUGGUUUUACCACAGUCCAAAAUUUUUGUAAAUUUUGUAAAUUUUCAAGUUGUUUCCAUAUUUUUGAUCUUAGUUUUUGAUCUUAAAUCAUGUUUUUAGGUGUGUUUUAAUUGUUUUGAAUGAUCCCAGGUGGAAGAAAUUUCAAGGAGAUUGAAAGAAAAAAAAAUCGGGUCGAAAUCAGAGCCAAAACAGAGGAAAAACAGAGGAAAAACAGGGGAAAAACAGAGCUCUGCGAAAUUUCGCAGAGUGAAGGAAACCUCUGCGAAAUCAGCACUAUGCUGCAAAUCCAUUCCGCAGCACUGUAGAAGUCUCUGCGAGGGUAUUUCGCAGCUACGAAAGCAAAUUUGGCACACGAGUGCCACUUCGCAGUACAGUAGCAUCCAUUUGGUAGCUGCGAAACACAUUGCGAAAUGGAAAAGCGUGAUUUCGCACCAAAAGUCCCAUUCCGCAGGGUAUUUCGCAAUUGCGAAAGUGGUUUUGGCACACGAGUGCCACUCCGCAGCACAGUAACAUCAAUUUCGCAGCUGCGAAACUCACUGCGAAGUUGCUGCGAAAAUGGCAUUUUGCUGCGAAAUUGGCGUUUUGUUGCGAAACUCAAACUGACACUUAGGCUUCCGUUUUUCCUAUUUAUACCGGUCAUUUGAGCUGCGAAAAGGGUUUCAAAAAUCAGAGCACCAUUCUCGCAGCCUCUUCGUCUUCUUCAGUGAGCCUCGCCGUCCAAACCCCCGGUCAUCCUCUCAGAUCAUCUACGUCAGCCAAAGUUCGGUAGCCUAAAAUGGCGCGAACACGAGGGGCUAAGUCUUCUUCUCCUUCGAACCGCAAGAAGAGUCUGCGAAAGGAGCCAAGUCCAGGUUCUGUUCCAGAACCUGCUCCAGAGCCCUCGCCGUCGAGACCAAUUCCUCCUCCGGUGAAGCCCGUGCCACCAAAGCCGCCGGCAAGACGAUAUCUAACCAGGUCAGGAGGUAGGCCAUUACAGAAGAGACCCAGGGUGGAGAGCUCAGAACCCAUCGAUUUGACUGAGCAAUCUCCAGAGCCUUCACCAAUCCCAUCACCGGUUCAAACUCCAGUGCCAUCUCCGGUUCCCUCGCCAAGUCCCCUGCCAGUUCCAUCGCCGGUACCAUCUCCAACGCCGCAAGAAAAAUCUCAGGAGCCCCAAGCGCCACUUCCCGAACCCCAAAUUCAAGCUGAAACAGCUCUGGAAGAAGUAAUUAGGAGGCCAAUGCUACCUCAGCCCCCAAUUGAAGGAAACUUGGAUUGUCGAACUCGAGCAUUCCAUUCCGAGCUUUGUUUCGACUUAGCAGCAUUCAGAGUGAGGCCGGAGCUUGCCCAAUCAUUCCAGCUGCUGAGGAGGUAUCAUAUGGAGCAUCUGCUAGCUCCAAGAGACUUUUUCUAUCCCCGAAUAGCCACGGAUUUCUACCAAUCCAUGACAACCAAAGAGGUCAGGAAUCCAACCUUGAUUCAUUUUACUAUCGAUGGGAGACAUGGUAUAUUGGGAGCACGACAUAUUGCUGAAGCCCUGCAAAUUCCCUUUGAGCCAACCCAAUUCGAUAAUUUUAGAGCUUGGGCAAAUCCUACUGAGCUAGAGAUGGUUCGCACCCUUUCUAAAGGAGCUGCAAAUCGAUCACAUCUGCUGAGGGGGGAGCUUCCUCCAGUUAUGUUUUUGAUUGAUGCCUUUUUGAGGCAUAAUAUCUAUCCAUUGCAGCAUUGGACCCAAAGAAGGGGAGUCCUCCUGGAAGCUCUUUACAAGAUGUCAGAAGGAUUUUUCUUUGGGCCUCAUCAUCUGAUCAUGGCAGCCCUUCUCUAUUUUGAAGAGAAGGUGGACAGAAAGAAGCUUCAAAGAGCUGAUUGCAUUCCCCUCCUCUUCCCAAGGCUGCUAUGCAAAAUUUUGGAGCAUAUGGGAUAUCCCUUUGAGCCUCAGCUGGAGAGAAAGCGAAUAUGCCGUGAGCCAUUCACUCUUGAUAAAUGGAACAAUAUGACGACCUACAAAAUUGAUCAGCCUGGGCAGCCUCAGCCAGCUGCAAGGAGAGCAUCCCCAAGACAUAUACCCGAAGGUAUAACAGUUGCUGCUCUUGCCAUUCCUAGAGCUCCUCCAGCUGCACCUGCUUCAUCUCAGCCAUCCACAUCAGCUGAGCCGAGGAUGGCUAUUCCUAUAUCUGAAUAUCGAGAGUUGUGCCGUGCAUUGGAGACUCUUACAGCUUCUCAGAGCAGUCUUGCUCAAGAGAUGGCAGCCAUCAGAGCAUGCCAAGAGAAGAUGUUAGCCACUCAGGCUCAACAAGCUGCCAUCUUAAGGCAGCUCUAAGUCCAUUUCGAUCUGCCACAAGCUGUAGAGCCCUCCACUGAUACUCCAGCAGAGCCACACUCUCAGCCUUCAGAAUCUCAUCCUCCAGAGCCAGAAGCCCCAGCUGAUCUACUAAAAAGGCAGCAGAUCCAUCUGCCUAAUUCUAGCCACAACCCCACUCAUCAGACUACUAUCUAUCUAAUAUUUCUAUGUAUUUCGUUUUUUUUAGUUGAAAAGAAGUCCCAGUAUUUUGGUACUAUAUAUGGGAUUCCUUGUGUUACUUGUCCUUGGCACUAUACUCGAAUGAAUUGAAAGUAAUACAAGUUGAAUAUUUCUUGUUUAAAGUUAGCAUUAAGUUAUUCUUAUUUCCUUUUCUCACAUAUUCUAUUCUUUUUGAAACAUGUGGUUUUCCCCAAUCAAUAUUCGAAUUUGAUAUCAGCAAGGAGGUACCACUUCCUCCCUUUAAUUACAGUCACUCAUAUCACAUUGAGGACAAUGCUCAGUUCGGUUGGGGGGAAUGAGGAAGGAAGUAUGCUAAAUCUUUUUGGUAUUGCAAGUAUAUUGGUUAAUUAGUUGUAGUUUUUGCUUUUUACUCUUGUUACUCUAUUCUCCAUGAAUUUUGAGGAAAAAUUUUCAAAUUAAACCAAGAGAAAUUGAACUGUUGUUUUUCACUUGACUUAGAGUAUGGAUUAUGCUUACUAAAGUGGUUCAAUUGUUGAAGCUUCUAUUGAAAUUGAAUUGAGUUCUUCCACUUUAAGCUAUCCACACAAUGUGCACAUUAGAUUCCGAUUAUAAGAUGAAAAGCUAUUUCCCUCCUGACUUAGGAUAAUUUUGGGACUUGGUAUAUUUGACCUCAUUUGAUAAAAAUUGAAACACCCUGCAAAAGGCCAAAGAGCCUUUGAAAUAAAGAAAGUUGUUUGCUUGCCUUGAAACCCGAGUAAGGUCUGAGGGGUAUAUGGUGAAAAUCUUUAAAGCCUGGUGCCCUAAGCCUUAAUUGGUUGGGAGUCACCGACCUCAAUGCUCAUUAUAAGGGUGAAUAGGUAAAGUUAGCAUAUGGUAGAUGCUUGGGUAUUAGAAAUUCAUUCUUAAAAGUCCGGGGAAAAAUCCGAGGAGUUAGUGGUUGAAAGAUCCUUAAAGCUUGGUGCCCUAAACCUUAAUUGGUUGGGAGUCAUCGAUGGACCCCCAUUACAUGGACAAGUCAGAAAGAGUACCCCAUAAAGCUACCUUGAAAAAAAAAAAAAAAAAAAAAAAAAGGUGUGUUCUUUUCUUAUUGAUUAUGGUCAGAUUAUUGCUAAAGUGUUAAAAAGAGAUAGGUUGGGGGGUGAGAUUAGUAGCAUAUUAUUCUCGGAAGCUAAGGAACUAAUACACAUAGAUUUGUGUGGAAGAUUAAAGUUUGAUUCUUAGGAAGUGGAAAUGAUUUUAAAACUUCAGUUUGCAUAAUGCACUCCCUUGAUUGAUAGUGUUUAGCAUAGUUUGUUAUGACUCUUGUUGAGAUUUGGGUUUGUAUUUCUUUAAUGCUUCAUGUGAGAAUUAGAUCAUCAUGCCACUUGAGAAUUAUUUUCUUUCAGCAUGAUGUUGUAAAUUUUAGAUUAGUUUGCUAUUUAUUUUCAUUUUUCUCUCCUAUAUUGCUAAGGGACUAGCAAUAUGUCGGUUGGGGGGAGUGAUUACUACUCAAAAAGUGCUAUUUGAUAGCCUAUAAUUAAUCCUUUUAAACACUUUUGAGUAGUAGUUUAGGCCUUUUAACUCAAUUGGCAUGUUAAGGAUCCUUUAAAGCAAUUUUAAUCACUUUGUGCAAGUUUUGGUGUUUUUGUUAGUAUUUUGAUCACCAAAGCAAGUCAAGACUGAGGAGAGCUAUGAGGAAUCUUGGGCAAAGCUUAGAAGUCAUUUUCCAAGAGUGAAUCCGGAUUGUAAGGAGAAAAAGCAAAGAGAAUCUGCCAUAGAGCAUAUUCUUGAUGACAGUCACAGAGGCCACUUUUGGAGCACUUUCUGAAGUCCAAAUGAUGCAUGCUAUAUACCAUUUCAAAGCUCAGGAAGUCAACAAUCCAAUGCUUCAAACGGUGUGCAAUUCGGAGUUGAAACGAAGAAGUUGCAGCCAUUACAAGCCAAUCACUCAGAGCUGAAGGAAGCAUUUUGCAAAGUGCUGCGAAAUCACCCUUUUGUUGCGAAGUGAUUUCGCAGCAUUUUUGUACAGUAAGUUGUUUCUCCUUCUGACGAUGCACGAUUUAUGCCGCGAGAAGGAAGCUAGGAACCUCAAGGUGGAAGCCAACUUCGCAGCCCUGUGAAGAUAGCUUGGUGUUGCGAAAAUAUUUCGCAGCCCUCUUGAGUGUCUGCGAAAUCUCGCAGACACCAUUUUUCUCCUGUGAAAUGGUUCCUGAAGCCUCCCGAUAUUUGCUACCGACAUUGGGAGAUAUUUUCCAUUAGAUUUUUGUUGUCUAAAUCCCAAAAUACUCCUUGUAAACCUCCAAUUACAAGAUUCCUUAGCUUUUAAGUUAGUAAAAAGACUAAAUAUCUUUGUAACAAUUAGUUUUAUAUUAUGUUCAUAUAUAUACCUCUCGGGAGCCUGUUCUCGGAGAGGAGUUCCUUCUGAAAAAGUUUGGGUAAGCAAGUAAAGUCUAUUUUCUUUCUACUGCCUUACCUUAUCACUUUGUAUUUUCAUUUCAUUUCUAAGUUAUGAAUUCUCUGAGGAGUUUUCCCCAGAGAAUGAGUAACUAAACCUCUAGUUCCUUGGAGCUAAGGUUGCCGGGGAAGGUUCCAAGUGCACGAAUGCAAAGCUUUGUGGUUUUAGCUUUUAAUGAAGAGGAAGUGAAAUCCUUUAAUGAUUUCUAUGUUUUUAGUUAACUUAAAACACCUUAGAGUCACCUGGGCCAACACUUGGUAAGGCAAGUGAUUUCCAACCAUGGAAAUGCACUAGUUUACCUCUUGCGAGCCUCUGGGAGGUGAUUUCAAGGUAGGAUUUUCUGGAAUUACCAACACUUGGUAAGCUUUUGGACUCCUAGGAGACAUCCAUUAGUUAUCUCUUGCGAGUUUGUGAAGGGAAGUCCAAGAUUAAAGAUCAUCUUGAAUGGUAAGUGCUCGUGAGAGGCAUGAACCAUUGCAAGUUGCAUCAGUGAGAGAAUUAAAGUGAAAUCUAAUUGAAGGAGUCUCUGUACAACACCGGUUAGAGAAUUGACUAUAUGUUGAAUCUCUAACGCGAGGAAAUGAACCAUCUGACCGGAGCUAUGUCUUUUGCAUGAGGAAUCACCCCAGUGAACCUAACUCUCCAGGGAAUGCUUUUCUUCCUAAAUUAUUCCAAACUUCUGUUAUGUUAGUUAGUUUAAGUAUAAACCUUUACCAAUCAAAGUUUGUGUUUUACUUCUUAAGCUAACCGUGAAAUGAAACAAGACCAAUUCACUUGGAAUUGGUAUCAUUGAUAGCUUGCUAAUCCUUCCCAGUGAACGAUCCUAGAGCCGCUAUACUAUAGUAGCUUUUUCUUUGCUACCCUAGUAUAUGGUGUAAUAGGUAUAAAUUUUGUUGAUUACUCCCUCAUCCAAGGAGCACCAGCUGGACAUGAAUCAGUUGAGACACCAAUUGGGCACGAAUCAACAACAACAUAAAGGAUGGUUGUUUCUUGAACCGGUAUAGAUUUAACAAUGAAGAUUUAAUCCAUAAAAAGUCAAUAGAAAUGGUAGUCAAGUUCCAUUAAUGGCUUUAGACACUAUGGGUCUUCACCUUGAGCCACUUUCCAAUGGCUCGUACAUGAUAACUAAUGGUCUUAUGUGGAUCUAGCAAUAAGUAUCCACAGAGACCUAAAAGCUUAUCAUGUAUUGGCCAUUCAAAGUGAUUCAAAGGGAUUUAAAGCAAAACUUUAGAUUUUAAAAACCAUUUAUGAACUCCAACUACCUGUAUUUAAAGCACUAGAAUUUUCCACUUUUGCAUCUGGACUUUUCACCUAGCUUCCUUCACUCCAAGAAACUAAAGGUUUAGCCUCUCAUCCUCUGGGAAAACAUCCUCAGAGGUUGUUUGGCUUCCAAGAAAAAGAAAAUACAAUAAAAAAGAGAAGGUAAAAGCAGAGCAAAGCUCUGUAUUUUUCUUCAUUUCAAAACUAUACAAAAGAUGUGUCGUCCUCCUUCCCCUGAGAACAGGCUCCCAAGAGAUAUUUAUAUAGAAAAUUACAAAACAAAAUAUCUUUUGGAUAUUCAUCCUUUUUCCAAACUUAAUAACUAAGGAAUCCUAUAAUUGGUGGAUUACAAGGAGAGUUUGGGAAUUUAGACAUCAAAUAUCUAAAGCAAAAUAUCUCACAAUGUCGGUCGCAAAGAUGGGAAGCUUUAGGAGAAAACCACGGCACUGCAAGAUGGCCGCAAAACUCUCCGGGUAAGCGUUAUCCUCGGAUCCGAAUAUGUAUAUCCGGAUAGUUGAAACGCCUUCUCUCCCAUCCGGAUAUGUCUACCGAAUAUGAGACAUCCGGAGAAGGUAGAACUUCGAUCGGACUGUGAUACAUCCGGGUAAGUGCUAUUAGAAAAGAGGAUCCGGAUAUGUCUGCUAGAGGAAGUUGAAACGCCUCUUUUCCCAUCCGGCUCCUGAAUUCCGGAUGUCAUCCGGAAUGAUGGCGGCGCUGGAUGUAAGUGGCAGUAGCCGGAUUCCGGAUGUGAUACAUCCUGGUGGUAAGUGGCGGUAGCCGGAUGGAAUUCUUACCCGGAUGGAAUGAGCUGGAUCCCAUACUCCUUGUAUUCUGGAUUUGCUUAAGGAUUCCAAAGAACUCUCCUCAAUCUCAUAUUGCUUUGGUGAUAAAAAAGCUAUCAAAACACCAAAACUUAACACAAUUUGAUUAGAAUUGAUUGCAAGGGUCCUUAACAUGCCAAAUGGGUUAAAAGGUAAUAACUACUACUCAAAAGUGUUUAAAAGAGUUAAUUACCAGUUAUGAAAUAACACUUUUUGAGUAGUAAUCACUCCCCCCAACCGACAUAUUGCUAGUCCCUUAGCAAUGAAGGAGAGAAAAAUAAAAAUAAACAAUACUAUAAUUUACAACAUCAUGCUGAUCAAAAAACAAUUUCCAAGUGGCAUGAUGAUCUAACUCUCACAUGGAACAUUAAAGAAAUAAAACUCAAACUUCAACAAGAGUUAUCAAAUAACUUGUCUAAUCACUAUUCUUAAAGAGAAGACAUUAUGCAAACUUAAGCUUUAAAAUCAUUUCCACUUCCAUAGGAUCAAACCUUACUCUUCCACAAAAAUCUAAGUGUUAUUUAUUAGCUUCUGAAUAUAGUAUGUUGAACUAAUCUCUCCCCCAAACCUAGUUCUUUUUCAAAGCUUCGCAAACUGGUCAACCUCCAAUAGGCUAAGAACGCACCUCUUUUUUUCACAAUUUUUUUCUUGUAGGAGUACAAGGCUAAAGGUAUUUUUUUUCUAAAUUGUCCAUGUAACGGGGGUCCAUCGAUGACUCCCAACCAAUUAAGGCUUAGGGCAUCAAGUUUUAAGGAUCUUUCAACUACUAACUCCUUGGAUUUUACCCCGGACUUUUAAGAAUGAAUUUUUAAUACCCAAGCACCUACAGUAUGUUAAACUCCACCUAUCCACCCUUGUAACGAGCAUUGAGGUCGGUGACUCCCAACCAAUGAAGGCUUAGGGCACCAGGUUUUAAAGAUUUUCACCAUAUACCCCUUAGACCUUGCUCGGGUUUCAAGGCAAGUAAACAUUUUUUCUUUCUUUUUUUUUUUUUUUCAAAGACUCAUUGGCCUUUUAUAAGGUGUCCCAACACUAUUAAAUGAGGUCAAAGGUACCAAGUCUAAAUUUUCCUAAGUUAAGAGGGAAAUAGUUUUUCAUCUUAUACUCGGAACCUAUUGUGCACAGUGUGUGAAUAGCUUAAAGUGGAAGAACUGAGGUUGAAUUCACUAAAAGUUUCAACAAUUCAUCAACUUUAGUAAGCAUAAUACAAAAUCUAAGUCAAGUAAAAAGACAAAAAUUCAAUUUCUCCCAUUUCAUUUUGAAAAUUUUUCCUUAAUAACCAUGGAGAGUAGAAAAAAACUUUAAAAAUUUUAAAAAUUAAGCAAAAAACAACUAAAUUACCAAAAUACUUAGCAUUAUUAACAAAAACUUCCUUCCUCAACUCUCCUCCCAACCAAGCUGAACAUUGUCCUCAAUGUGACAACAACGAUUGAACAAUAGGGAGGAAGUGGUGCCUCCUGAGUGGUAUGAAGUUCAAGUAGAAUAGGAGAACCCACAUGUUUCAAAAAACAAUAAAAGAUAUGAGUAGAGGAAUUAAAAAAAUAUAAUGCUAAGUGCUCACAAAUGAUAGAGAUUUGUAUUACUUGAUGGCAACACAAUUUUAUAUAAAAAACAAGCAAUACAACCAAUCCCACUAUAUAAUACCAAAAAUAUGGGAUUUCAUAAAGGAAAUACAUAAAGUAAAGUAUGUAAAUGAUCAGAAAUAGGGAGGAUGAUGAUGGUAAGCUGAUGGCUCAGGUAGAUGUCUCUGCAUCUUCAGUAGCCGGCUCAGGAGGGGCAUGGGGCUCCGUGGCCUCUGAGUGGGGCACUGCAGUGGUAGGGGUAAGAUGCUCAGUAGCUGAUGGAAGACCCAGAUGGUGCUGAAGCUGCCUCAGGAUGGCAGUGUGUUGAGUCUAGGUGGUCAAAAUCUGCUCCUAGUGAGCACGAAUAGCUGACAUCUCUUGAGCAAGGCUACUCUGAGUCGCAGUCAGUGUCUGCAAUGUGUGGCAUAGAUCUCUAUACUCUGAAACGGGUAUGGUCAUCCUAGGCUCGGCUGAAGUAGAGGGCUCUGAUGCAGUUGGAAUAACUAGAGGGGUACUAUGGGUGGCAGGAAAAGCAAAGGGUAUACCCUCAGGUAUGGGCUCUGGAGAUGCUCUCCUGGCAGCUGGUAUCUCAGCUGGCUGUGGGUCCUCUGGCUGCUGUGGCUGUGGAAGCUCUGGAUGCUCUGCUCUAUAUGCUGUCAUAUUGGUCCACUUGUCGAGAGUGAAUACCUCUUGGCAUAUACGUCUGCGCUCCAGCUGAGGGUCUGAUGGAUACCCCAGAUGCUCCAAAAUUUGACAUAGCAAUUGUGGGAAAAGAAGUGGAAUAGCAUCUGCUCUUAGCAGCUUCUUCCUAUGCACCUUCUCUUCAAAGUAGAGAAGGGCAGCCAUAAUCAGAUGGUGAGGGCCAAAGAAAUAUCCCUCUGAUAUCCUAAACAGGGCCUCUAGCAGAACUCCUCUCCUCUGCACCCAAUGCUGAAGUGGAUAAAUGUUGUGGCGCAGGAGUGCAUCAAUGAAGAACAUGCUCGGAGGAAGUUCCUUCCUCAACAGAUAUGGAUUUGUGGAUGUUCCUCUGGACAAAAUAUGAACCAUUUCAAGCUGGGAAGGAUUAGUCCAUACUCGGUAAUCCUUUAGACGGGCUGGCUCAUAUGGAAUAUGCAGGGCCUUUGCUAUGUGGCGAGCUCCUAAAAUACCAUGACGUCAUUCAAUGGUGAAGUGGAUAAGAGUAGGAUCUUUGAUCUGAUUAAUAGUCAUGGACUGAUAGAAGUCCAUUGCUACUCGGGGAUAGAAAAAAUCCCUGGGGGUCAGCAAUUGCUCCAUGUGAAAUCUGUGUAGUAGAUGGAAUGAGUCUGCGAGCUUCGGCUGAAACCUGAAGGUGGCUGUGUCAAAACACAGCUCAGAGUGAAAUGGUCGAGCCCGACAAUCUAAAUUCCCCUCAAUGGGCGGCUGAGCGACCAUCGGACGCUUGAUCAGCACCUCAGGAGCUAUCCCUGAGGGAAUUUGAGACUUUGCAAAUGGCGGUUGCGACGGCUGAGGCUCCACUGGAUUCUCUGAAGAUAGCGCCGGAGACAGCUCUGUAGAUGGGUCCGGAGAGGGCUCUGGAGAGGAGUCCAGAGACUGCUCCGUUAAGUCUAUUGGCUCUGAAUCUACUACCCUAGCUUUCUUUUGUGGGGGAUGCCCCCUUGACCUGGUCUGAUAACGCUUCACCUAAGGACUCAACGGCGCGGGUUCCGCCGGAGGUGGUGCGGCUACUUAUCGCGGAGGCUCUGAUGUGGAGCCUUGAACAGGCGCCUCUCGCUCGACUCUCUUGCGGCCGGACGAAAAUGAUGACUUUGCUCCUCUGGUUCGCGCCAUGGCGGACCGAAGAGAAUGGUCAGAGGUGAUGGCCGGUGGCUCGCUCGGCUUCGGGCUCAGGUGAGAGAGCGAACGAACGGUUGCUCUGGUGUUUUUUCUUUCUGAAACCUUUUGGCAGCUCAAAUGACCGGUUUUUAUAAAAAAUAAAGGAAUAUAAAGGGUCAUUUUGAUUUUCGCAGAGGAAGGCUGAUUUCGCAGCAAAAGGUUGUUUUCGCAACAAAAGGCCAUUUUCGUAGCCCAUUUCGCAGCUGCGAAAUGGGGGGAACUAUGCUGCGAAAUGGCACUCGUGUGCUUAAGUGUGGUUUCGCAGCUGCGAAAAUUUUCGCAGAGAGGGGCUUGAGGCUGCGAAAUGAUUUCGCAGCAAAAUAGCGAUUUUGCAGCGAAGUGGCGAUUUCGCAGAGGCUUUUUUUAGGCUGCGAAAUCUCGCAGACCCUUGUUUUUCCCCUGUUUUACACUCUUUCUUGCUCCAAACGACUUUCCUUCAAUUUCUUUGCAAUGACUCCUGAUUUUGAUCAUCCAAAAACCUAUAUUACAUCAAAACAAAUUAGAAUGAAAUUAAGGUCAAAAAUAAAAAUCAAAACAUGCAUAUACACAAGAAAAAACACUAGAUUAAACUAAAAUCAACGCAAAAGGAAACAAAAAGAGGGUGAACUUUUUAGUCUUUGAAGAGACUAAAUUCAACCACGAACUGAGUGUUUUCAUGUUAGAGGUGGAUCAAGGAGGAUGAAUUCCUCCUUGUCUCGGGAAAAUGAUUCCAUAUAGGGCUUGAGACGAUGCCCAUUCACUUUGAAAGUUCGAGUGCUCUUGAAGUUGAGUAGUUCCACUACUCCAUUUGAUUGCACGUCAUGAAUUAUAAAAGGACCCGUCCACCUUGAUUUCAAUUUUCCCGGAAAAAGAUGAAGUUUAGAGUCAUAAAGCAAGACUCUUUGUCCCUUAGUAAAAUUCUUCUGAUUUACCAACUGAUCAUGCCAUUUCUUCAGCCUCUCUUUUGCAAUUUUUGAAUUGAGGUAAGCAUCAUUCCUCAUUUCCUCCAAUUCGUUCAAAUCCAAACAUCUCUUUAACCCGGCUCUUGUCAAAUCCAUGUUGAGCUUCUUGAUUUCCCACCAUGCUUUAUAUUCAACCUCCACUGGGAGAUGGCAUGCUUUGCCAUAAACAAGGCGAUAAGGAGACAUUCCAAGAAUGGUCUUAUAAGCGGUCCUAUAAGCCCAUAAUGAAUCCAGGAGCUUAAUAGACCAAUCCUUCCUAUUCACAUUCACCACCUUCAUCAAUAUAUUCUUGAUCUCCCGGUUGGCUAACUCAACUUGGCCACUUGUUUGAGGGUGAUAAGGUGUAGCUACCUUGUGCUUGACCCCAUAUUUGGCUAGAAGAGUCUUAAAAGGCUUGUUGCAAAAGUGGUUUCCUCCAUCACUGAUAAUGGCCUUAGGCACUCCAAACCUUGAAAAGAUGUUCUCCUUGAGAAAUUUGAGAACCACCUUAUGAUCAUUGCUCCUACAUGGGACUGCUUCUACCCACUUAGAGACAUAAUCCACUCCCACCAAAAUGUAGGAGUGUCCAAAUGACAUUGGAAAUGGUCCCAUGAAGUCUAUCCCCCAAACAUCAAAGACAUCCACUAUCAAGAUGGGGUUCAAGGGCAUCAUAUUUCGGCGUGUUAGCUUCCCAAGCCUUUGACACCGAUCACAUCCCUUGCACAUAGAGUGGGCAUCCUUGAAAAGAGAGGGCCAUCAAAAACCUGAUUGGACCACUCUCAUGGCUGUUUUCUAGGAAGCAAAAUGACCUCCACAUGCACUAUCAUGACAAUGGGAUAGAAUUCCUGAUUGCUCUGGUUCAGGAACACAUUUCCUUAUGAUUUGAUCCGCACAAUAUUUGAAGAGAAAAGGCUCCUCCCAAUAAUAGGCAUGGAUCUUAGCAAAGAAAUGCUUCUUGUCUUGGGCACUUCACUCACUUGGAACUUUUCCAGUAACCAAGUAAUUUGCAAUGUGAGAAUACCAUGGAGCUACCUCUAUUGACAUGAGAGACUCCUCAGGGAAGUCAUCAUUAAUAGGUAGGCCAUGUGAGUCAUGUGCUAUCACAAGUCUUGACAAGUGGUCAGCUACCACAUUUUCUACUCCCUUUUUAUCCCGGAUUUGGAGAUUGAAUUCUUGAAGCAAAAGGAUCCAUCUUAUCAAUCUUGCCUUGGCAUCUUGCUUGGUUAGCAAGUACUUCAAAGCAGAAUGGUCAGUGAACACCACUAUACAGGACCCUACUAAAUAGGCACGAAACUUAUCCAAGGCAAAAACUACUGCCAACAACUCCUUCUCAGUAGUUGUGUAGUUCCUUUGAGCCUCAUUCAAAGUUUUGCUUGCAUAAUAAAUCACAUAGGGCUUUCCAUCUUCUCUUUGCCCCAAAACAGCCCCCAUAGCAAGAUCACUUGCAUCACACAUUACCUCAAAAGGUAAUUUCCAAUUUGAGGCUCUCACUAUUGGUGCAGUUGUGAGGAAUUGCUUCAGUUCCUCAAAACUCUUCUGACAUUUCUCAUCCCACACAAACUUGGCAUCCUUUACCAAGAGUUCACAAAGAGGUUUUGAGAUUUUUGAGAAAUCCUUAAUGAACCUCCUAUAGAACCCGGCAUGUCCUAGGAAUUGCCUAAUUCCUUUAACAUUUGUGGGAGGUGGCAACUUAACAAUUAGCUCCACCUUUGCCUUAUCUACCUCAAUGCCAUUCUUGGAGAUUAUAUGUCCUAAGACAAUUCCUUGUUGUACCAUAAAAUAGCACUUCUCCCAAUUUAGCACUAGGUCUUUCUCAAUACAUCUUUGGAGAACAGCUUCUAAAUGCAACAAACACUCCUUAUAAGAACCUCCAUAUACAGUGAUGUCAUCCAUGAAGACUUCCAUGAUGCGCUCCACCAUAUCACUGAAGAUGCUUAGCAUACAUCUUUGGAAAGUUGCAGGUGCAUUACAUAGACCAAAGGGCAUCCUCCUAUAGGUAAAAGUACCAAAGGGGCAAGUGAAGGUUGUCUUUUCUUGAUCUUCCAAAUCAAUCUCUAUUUGGAAGUACCCCGAGUAACCAUCCAAAAAACAGUAGAAAGGAUGCCCUGAGACUCUUUCAAGGACUUGGUCCAUGAAAGGCAAUGGGAAAUGGUCUUUCCCAGUCACUGAAUUCAACCUCCUGUAGUCUAUACACACCCUCCAUCCUGAGGUAAGACGUGUAGAGACUUCCUCCCCUUUCUCAUUUUGGAUCACAGUAAUUCCAGAUUUCUUUGGGACUACUUGGGUUGGGCUCACCCACAAGCUAUCUGAAAUGGGAUAUAUGAUCCCUGCUUGAAGUAGCUUCAGAACUUCACCCCUUACCACCUCUUGCAUGUGAGGAUUCAACCUCCUCUGGGGCUGCCUCACUGGUUUAGCAUCUUCCUCCAUGAAGAUAUGGUGGGUGCAUACCAAAGGGCUAAUCCCUUUCAAAUCAGAAAUGUGUCAUCCAAUGGCCUUUUGCAUUUUUUGAGGACUCCCAAAAGACUAUCCUCUUGAUCACUUGUGAGAGUUGAAGAAACCACCAUUGGACAUUUCUCAUCUUCCUCCAAAUAUGCAUACUUCAAAUCAACAGGAAGUGGCUUCAAAACUAGUUUUGGAGGGUCCUCCCUAGCUGCUCCUUGUGAGUCCUCCUUAUUGAACAAGGGUAAGAUCUCUUCCCUUCUCCUCCAAGGAGACAUGACGACUAACACAUCAGAGGGUUCAGGUAACCCUUCUUCAAGCACUCCAAGGCUUUCAUUCAAGCUCUUUUCUAAAUUCUUGUCACAAUGCUCUUCAACCAAAGUGUUGAUCAAGUACGCCUCCUCCAAUCCUUCCUCCUCUUCGGGGUGAAGAUGCCUCUUGCAUAGGUGGAAUAUGUUUAGUUCCAAGGUCAUGUUUCCAAAUGUGAACUGCAUCACCCCAUUCCUACAAUUGAUGAUGGCAUUGGAGGUAGCUAGGAAAGGUCUCCCUAGGAUGAUUGGCACAUGAUUUGUUUCCUUAAUAGUGAGAUCAGUAUCAAGCACCACAAAAUCCACGGGAUAGUAGAAUUUGUCCACUUGAACUAAAACAUCCUCUAUCACUCCCCUUGGGAUUUUGACUGACCUAUCAACUAAGGAGAGAGUGACGGUUGUGGGCUUCAAUUCUCCAAGUCCCAGUUGCUUAUACACAGAGUAUGGGAGCAAAUUCACACUUGCCCCCAAGUCUAGUAAAGCCUUCUCCACAUGUGUCCCUCCAAUGUUGACUGAAAUGGUGGGACACCCCGGAUCUUUGUACUUAACUGGAGACUUACACUGAAUGAUGGCACUUACUUGCUCAGUGAGGAAUGCCUUCUUUGUCACAAUUAACCCUCUCUUGACCGUGCACAAGUCCUUUAAAAUUUUUGCAUAUGUGAGGACUUGCUUGAUCAUAUCAAGGAAGGGUAUAUUCACCUUCACUUGUCUCAAAAUUUCAAGAAUUUCUGAUGAAUUCUUGAUUCCCUUCUUUCCAUGUAAAGCUUGAGGAAAAGGGGGAGGCAUAUGUUUCUUCAUCAUAUCCUCUUUAAUCACUAUCCUUGGCUCAUCUUCAAUGCUUGAAUCAGAUGCAUUUUUCUUCCCACUCUUCUCUUCUUGGUUAUUGCUCUCUUUAACCAAGGUUCUCCUUGACAUGAGUUCUUCAUCUUGCCUCACCUUAGGCAAGGGUUGGUCAACCUCCUUCCCACUCCUCAAGGUGAUCACAGCUUUAACCUCCCUCAACUUUGAAGACUCCCCAUCUUGGGUUUCAACUUCAUGAACACCCUUUGGAUUUUGGCUUGGUUGAGAGGGAAACUUUCCUUUCUCAAUCACUGUGUUGAGGUUGGUAAGCGUAGAGAUGGAGUAUUGAAUAUUAUCCAUCUUCUGAGAUAGAUCAUUUUGCAUCCCAUCCAUUCUCUUAAUUUGAGAACUUUCAACAUUUUCAAUCUUUUGGUGCAAUUGGGAGUUGAUUGCCUUUUGUUCACCCACAAAGUCACCCAUGACUUUACUUAGGUUCACAAUGGCUUGCUCCACUGAAGAGGUUUGUUGAGGUGCUUGGGUUUGGGCUUGUGGUUGGUAUGGAGGUGGCCUUGGUUUCCAAGAAAAAUUUGGAUGGUUUCUCCAGCUUGAAUUAUAGGUGUUUCCAUAAGGUGCAUUGUUGUUGGGCCUAAAUUGCCCCACAACAUUGGCUUGAUCACCUAACAUUUCCCUAACAGCUGGGAUGGUUGGGCACUCAUCUACCACAUGAUCACAUGAUUGGCAAAUGGUGCAUGGCAUGACAUGGGCUUGUGUCUCGGAAAUGGCUUAGACUUCAUGCAUUUUUUUCAACUCAAGUUCUUCCAACCUCCUUGCCAUUGUUGCUACCUUAGCUUUCAUGUCCAUGUCUUCACUUAACAUGUACAUUCCAACCUUUGGAUUUACAGGAGCUUUCAUCCUUCCCAUUUCUCUUGAGUUGGGUUCAUCCCAUCCUCUUGAUACCUCAGAUACAUAACUUAGAAAGUCCAUGGCUUCUUCCGGAUUCUUACUCAUAAAAUCUCCCCCACACAUGGUUUCAAAAAUUUGCUUCAUGCAGGAAGACAUCUCAUCAUAAAAAUAGCUCACCAAGAGCCAUGUAUCAAAGCCAUGAUGAGGACAAGCAUUGAUGGCCUCCAUAUACCUUUCCCAACAUUCAUAGAACUUCUCAUUUUCUUUUGCAGAAAAAUUUGAGAUUUGUCUCUUCAACCUAUUGGUCCUAUGAGUGGGGAAAAAUUUCUUCAAAAAUUCGGCCUGAAGAUCAACCCAAUUCCUUAUGCUCCUUGGCCUUAAAGAGUUAAGCCAUAUUUUUGCCUUGUCCUUCAAAGUAAAAGGGAAUAGCUUGAGUCUCAUCAAGUCUAUUGAAGCUCCUCCCCCUCCAAAAGUAUUGCACACCUCCUCAAACUCCUUGAUGUGGGCAUAUGGGUUCUCACUCUCCAUUCCAUGGAAAUUUGGUAGGAGGGGCACAAUAUGAGGCCUUAUAAUCAGCUGCUCAAGAGGAGGUACGAUGCAUGAGGGUGCACUCAUCCUUGGUGGGUGCAUUCUAUCCCUCAUGGAUAGAUAUGCAUUUGGAUUAUCCCCUUGAACGUGUUGAGAAUUCUGAUCCUAUUGUGGAGGGUCCAUGAUGUUUACACAGAUAUCCAACUCUGUGUCUUGAGGAUUCUCAAUCCUUACUAGUCUUCCCUCUUGGUUCCGAAUCCAAUAGGGCAUGCACAAGUUACAACUUCCCUGAAAACAAAACAAAGACAACAAAAACAAAAGAAAACUAGAAGAAAAUUAAGGUUAGAAAGAAAAUGAAAGUAAACUUAACAAAAGGAAUUCUACAAUAAAAAAAAAAUGAAGUUAGUGAAAAAGGAAUUCACCAAACUUGUGAUGGAAAUCACAAGUAGCCUCUAAAAAGUUGUAUCACUAUAUCGUGGCACCAUCCCCGGCAACGGCGCCAUUUUGAUUGUGCCCAGUAGGGUAUUUUAAUCAAAAAUAUUUAUAAAUCCUAUGACCUUAUACUAGCGUAGCAAAGCUACUAUAGUAUAGCAUCUAUAGGGUCGAACUCUGGGAUGGGUUUUCAUUCUACCAGUGAUAAACUCAAGAUUAGAAAUUGAAUCUGAUGAUUUCCUUUGUCAAAAACUUAAAGUUUAAAAGAAAAUAAAAUUUGUUUUGAAAGUGGUGUUUGAAACUAAACUAACAUAGAACUAGGUAAAAAUGGAAGAAAGAAAGUCUCCCGGAGCUAGAGGUUGCUAGAAUCAAGUUCAGAAUGCAAAGUGGGAAAUUCCGGAUUUUUCUCCUCGUAUUAGGGACAACAACAUAAAGGAUGGUUGUUUCCCGAACCGGUAUAGAUUUAACAAUGAAGAUUUAAUCCAUAAAAAGUCAAUAGAAAUGGUAGUCAAGUUCCAUUAAUGGCUUUAGACACUAUGGGUCUUCACCUUGAGCCGCUUUCCAAUGGCUCGUACAUGAUAACUAAUGGUCUUAUGUGGAUCUAGCAAUAAGUAUCCACAGAGACCUAAAAGCUUAUCAUGUAUUGGCCAUUCAAAGUGAUUCAAAGGGACUUAAAGCAAAACUUUAGAUUUUAAAAACCAUUUGUGAACUCCAACUACCUGUAUUUAAAGCACUAGAAUUUUCCACUUUUGCAUCUGGACUUUUCACCUAGCUUCUCUCACUCCAAGAAACUAAAGGUUUAGCCUCUCAUCCUCUGGGAAAACAUCCUCAGAGGUUGUUUGGCUUCCAAGAAAAAGAAAAUACAAUAAAAAAGAGAAGGUAAAAGCAGAGCAAAGCUCUGUAUUUUUCUUCAUUUCAAAACUAUACAAAAGAUGCGUCGUCCUCCCUCCCCUGAGAACAGGCUCCCAAGAGAUAUUUAUAUAGAAAAUUACAAAACAAAAUAUCUUUUGGAUAUUCAUCCUUUUUCCAAACUUAAUAACUAAGGAAUCCUGUAAUUGGUGGAUUACAAGGAGAGUUUGGGGAUUUAGACAUCAAAUAUCUAAAGCAAAAUAUCUCACAAUGUCGGUCGCAAAGAUGGGAAGCUUCAGGAGAAAACCACGGCACUGCAAGAUGGCUGCAAAACUCUCCGGGUAAGCGCUAUCCUCGGAUCUGGAUAUGUAUAUCCGGAUAGUUGAAACACCUCCUCUCCCAUCCGGAUAUGUUUACCGAAUGUGAGACAUCCGGAGAAGGUAGAACUUCGGUCGGACUGUGAUACAUCCGGGUAAGCGCUAUUAGAAAAGAGGAUCCGGAUAUGUCUGCUAGAGGAAGUUGAAACGCCUCUUUCCCCAUCCGGCAUGAUGACGGCGUUGGAUGUAAGUGGCGGUAGCCGGAUUCCGGAUGUGAUACAUCCUGGUGGUAAGUGGCGGCAGCCGGAUGGAAUUCUUACCUGGAUGGAAUGAGCUGGAUCCCAUACUCCUUGUAUUCUGGAUUUGCUUAAGGAUUCCAAAGAACUCUCCUCAAUCUCAGAUUGCUUUGGUGAUAAAAAAGCUAUCAAAACACCAAAACUUAACACAAUUUGAUUAGAAUUGAUUGCAAGGUCCUUAACAUGCCAAUUGGGUUAAAAGGUAAUAACUACUACUCAAAAGUGUUUAAAAGAGUUAAUUACCAGUUAUGAAAUAGCACUUUUUGAGUAGUAAUCAGUCUCUUUAUCGCUUAGUCUAUGGCAAAGCAUGCCAUCUCCCUAUGGAAUUGGAAUACAAAGCUUGGUGGGCAAUCAAGAAACUCAACAUGGAUUUGAGCAGAGUUGGGUUGAAGAGGUUCUUAGACCUCAAUGAGAUAGAGAAAUUGAGAAAUGAUGCCUACAUCAAUUCAAAAAUUGCAAAAGAGAAAUUGAAAAGGUGGCAUGAUUAGUUGAUUUCCCGUAAGGAUUUUCGAAAGGGACAAAGAGUCUUGCUCUAUGACUCUAAGCUCCACAUCUUUCCGGGUAAGCUGAAAUCAAGGUGGAUAGGUCCUUUUACCAUUCACCAAGUGCAUUCAAAUGGAGUAGUGGAACUACUCAACUCCAACAGCACCAGAAGCUUCAAAGUGAAUGGCCACCGUCUCAAGCCCUUUGUGGAGCAUUUUUCUCGCGACAAGGAGGAAUUCAUCCUCCUUGAUCCACAUCAAGCUUGACAAGACCAAUCCUUUUGAUGGACUUAGUCUUUCUAAAGACUAUCGAGUCUAUAUCUUUUUGUUUUAUUUUUUAUUUGAGAGUUUUCCUGUAUUAUUACUUAUUUUUAUUUUUAUUUCUCGUUUUUAUUUUAUCUUGGUUUGAUUUAACUUAGGUUUUUGAUGAUCAAUUGUAGGGGGACUUCAAAUAGAGGAAAAACCAAGUAAAUUCGCACACACUGCGAAAUUUUCAUAGGGCAUGCGAAAUUCAUGAAUCAUUUUGCAUGGGGUGCGAAAAUAAAAACACCUUGCGAACUCAUUUUGCACACUUCGUGAAAUUUUCAUAGAGCAUGCGAAAAAUUUCGCACACCUAACACCAUUUGGCACACUGUACGAAAACCUAAGGGGUUUGCGAAGUAAUUUCGCACCCCAUAUGCCAUUUCGCAUGCUGUGCAAAACUCAAGGGACGCUGUGCAAAAAUGAAAAGUCCCUACCAUUCCUUUUUAAACCCCUGAGCCCUAAUUUCUCCAUUUCGCAAACACCAAACACCCUAUGAAUUCCUCAUUUUCCUCUGCCACCUUGCGACCUCAUCCAUAUCCAUUCAAUAUCCUGCCCCGUGCACAUCACUUUGAAGACUCACACUCCAAGCCAUAUUGGAGCACGGACCCGAGGAGCUCUUCCCGCCCCUUCACCGAGUCGCACUUUGAGACAAAUGGCCUCCACUGCUCAGGUAUCUAGUGAUUCUCCAUCUCAGGCCAUGGAGGCCCCGCGGAUUCCACCUUCUGAGGGUGGAGCGCCCACUAGUCCUUCAUUUUCGGCUCCUCAGCGCAGAUAUGAGAUGAAGAGACCACCUACUACACCAGGGGCGACUAUUUUACGCCCUGAGAGUUCAGUACGACGCCCUCCUACCAAGAGGGCUAGGACUUUAGGCUCAGACGAGUCAUCCAAAGCUCCACAGCCUGAGCCUCCGGUAGCUACACAUGCUAGAGCUCCUGCAGAUUCUGAGCUCCUUUUUGACAUGUCACUAGAGUCUAUUAUCAGACGCCCGAUGGUCACAACACCGCCCAUUGAGGGUAACUCAAAUUGUAGAGCGAGACCGUUCCACUCGGAGUUAUAUUUUGAUCAAGAGGUCACGCAACAGUAGCCUGAGCUCUGAGACUCAUAUGGCCUACUACAAAGGUACCAUCUUGAGCACCUUAUGACUCCUCGUGAGUUCUUUUAUCCUAAAGUAGCACUAGACUUUUACCAAUCCAUGACUACUCGUGGCGUCUCAAGUCCUACCGUGAUACACUUCACCAUUGAUGGACGUCAUGGUGUCCUCGAGGCCAGACAUAUUACAGAGGCUCUAUAGAUUCCUUUCGAGCCAGUGGAUCCGUUUGUUUUCUGCCAGUGGUCCCCAAUAUCUCAAAGGGACAUGGUCCGUAUUUGAUCCAGAAAGACCUCUUCAGAUUCAAUCCUUCUACGAAAGGAGCUUCCACCUGGGAUGCUCCUCAUAGAUGUGGUGCUAUGCUCCAACCUCUUUCCCUUACAGCAUUCGGUAUAGAGGUAAGGAGAUAUUUUGGACACUUUAUUUCGUAUAUCAGAGGGCUUCUACUUUGGCCCGCACCACUUGAUCAUGGCCUUUCUUGCCCACUUUGAGGAGAAGGUCCAUAGGUGAUUCGUGCCCAGCUGGUGUACCUUGAUUUUGGUCCUCAGACGGGAGUAAUCAACAAAAUUUAUAACCUAUUAUACCAUGUACUAGGAUAGCCUCAGCUAGCAUAGCAUAGUGCCUCUAGGAUCGUUCACUGGGAUGGGUUUUCACUUUACAAUUGAUAUUAGUUCAAAGCUGAAUUUGUGCUUUUUCAUUUCAAGGUUAGCUCUAAAAGAAAACAUAAAGAUGUUUGAAAAGGUUGGUUUUUAAGUGAAACAAAAAAUAAAGUAACGGGAAUUACUUACUAAGAAAAGCGUUUCUUGGAGUUUUAGGAUCACUGGGGUCAGGCUCCUCAUGCAAAAACAGAGCUCCUGUCACUUGAGUCUUUUCCUCGUGUUGGGGAUUUAACAUAUAGUUAUUUCCCGAACUGGUGUGGUACAGAUGCUUCCCUUUAAUGGGUUCAAACACUAAAUCCCUCUCACUGAUACAUCUUGCAAUGGUUCAUACCUCUCACCUAGCAUUGGCCAUUCAAGAUGAUCCUUAACUUUGGAUUACCCGUCAAAAGCUCGCAAGAGAUAACUAAUGGAUGUCUCCUUAGAGUCCAAAAGCUUACCAAGUGUUGGCUAUUCUAGAAAAUCCUACCUUUAAACCACCUCCCAAAGGCUCGCAAGAGGUAAACUAGUGCAUCUCAAUGGACGGAGAUCACUUGCCUUACCAAGUGUUGGCCCCGGUGAUUUCAAGGCGUUUUAAGUUAACUAAAAAGAUAAAAACCAUUAACGGGUUACACUUUCUCUUCAUUAGUAGCUGAAACAACAAAACUUCCAAUUUUUGCAUUUGGAAACUUACCCGGCUUUCUUCACUCCAAGAGACAAAAAGCUUAGCCACUCAUCCUCUGAGGAAACAUCCUUAGAGUUUGAUUUGUUAGAAAUAAAAAUAACGAGAAAACAAAAAUAUGAAGGAAAAACAGAGCAAGUGCUCUGUAGAAUAUUUUUCUUACUAUCGUCGAUUACAUAUCUGAUAUAUGAUUCCUCUUCUCUUUACAUUGGUUCAAAGAUAUAUAUAGAGAAGAUAUUUUCUAAGAAAUAUCCCAAUAAUAUCUUCGACUGAUUACAAGGAGAAAAUAGAAAUUUACACAAAAUAUCUUGAGAAAAAAUCUAACUUAGUCGGUGGCAAAUAUCUAAGUUUACACAGGUGGAUUUCACAAGUUUGAAUUGUCCAUUUUGCAAGUUGAAUUUGUGAUUUCACAACUUGGAGGUGAUUCCGCAACUUGGAGAUGAUUUGCAACUUGUUUCGUAGCUUGGAGGUGAUUUCGCAACGUGGUUCGCAGCUGCGAAGAUGGAGUUUCAACUUGCGAAGUGGCACACGUGUGCUUGGAGGUGGUUUCGCAGCUGUGAAACACCUUACUAAAUUUCGCAAGUAGAUUUUAUUUCGCAGCUCAUUUCGCAGCUGCGAAAUGGGCUUUGGGCUGUGAAAUUUUCGCAUAGCUUGAUGCAGUUGUCUUCAAACGGCCAUAACUUCUUCAUUUCAACUCCAAUUGACACAUCGUUUGAAGUGUUGGACUCCUGACUUCCUGAGCUUCGAAAAGACAUAUAGUAUGAAUGAAAUGGACUCCAGGAAGUACUCGAAAUGUGUCCAACAGUUGCUGUCCUCUUAAAUUUCUUCAUGUUAGAUUUCUCUCAUUUUCCUCCUUGCAUUCUUGAUUGACUUUGGCAAAGGACUACGAAGCUCCAAAGCUUGGAUUCUUCAUGUAAAUGAGCUUCCAUUUUCUUUGCCAUGGAUUAUAUAAAGCUCUCCCUCAUCUUAGAUUGCUUUGGUGAUCAAAAAGCUAUCAAAAACACCAAAACUUAACACAAUUUGAUUAGAAAUGAUUGCAAGGGUCCUUAACAUGCCAGUUGAGUCAAAAGGUAAUAACUACUACUCAAAAGUGUUUAAAAGAGUUAAUUACAAGCUAUAAAAUAACACUUUUUGAGUAGUAAUCAAUAGGAAGAAGCUUCAGAGGGCGGACACCAUUCCAUUACUAUUCCUAAGGUUGUUGUGCCAGAUAUUGGAGUAUAUGGGCUUUCCUACUAAGCCUCGGCUCAAGCGUCGUCGCCUUUGUCGAGAGCGAUUCACUCUCGACAAAUGAAAUUAGUUGGCGGGAUAUUCUGCACCUCCAGGAGCCCGUCCCAUGGUAUCACCUCCAGUGCCCCCAUAGCCAGAGCAGGGCAAGCUUCUGGCAGAGACUACACCACCAGUGCCCACACCUGAGGCUAUUUCUGCUACUCCCCCUAUGACUCCUACUGUUCCAUCACCAGUCACUCCUACUACAUCCAAGCCUUCCAUCACCAUAUCGGCUUCGAAAUUUCACACCCUUGUGCAUACCUUUUAGACACUGACCACCACACAUGCGGCUCUCUUCCAGUAGAUGGCUGACAUGCGUGCACAUCAGGACCAACAGACUGCUAUACUUCGCCAGAUUCAGCAGCACCUCAGACUUCUACCUCUACCUCAGCCUGAUCUUCUUGCAUCAUCAAAGCCUUUAGCUCCAACUGAGGACACUACCACGGUAGAGGUCCAGAUCCCACCACCUCAAGAGCCCACCACAAAUGCCAUUGCUUCACAUGAUCCUCAGGAUAACCCUCAGACAGUUAACACAAUCACAGCUACACCUGAGAAUGCAUCAUCUCCACCUGAGGCUCCCACUACUUGAUCAUAGGACAUCUCUUUAUCUUAUUGUAUUUACAUAUUAUAUUAGUGGAGAUUUGUCAUUGUUUUGAUGCUUUAUAUUCUGAGACUGGAUGUAUUACCUGAUCAUAUCUCAUAUUGUACUUUCUCAUAUUAGUAUAUAGACAUCAUAUUUUUUAUAUUACUUGGCAUUUUUCUAUUUCCUCUACUCAUUACCUUUUUGUUUUCUGACUCAUGUGGUUUCUCUUAUACAACUUAGACUUCAUUUCACUCAGGAGGUACCACUUUCUCCCUUUAUUUUCAAUUGCUCUUGACACAUUGAGGACAAUGUUGAUCUUGGUUGGGGGAAGAGUUGAGGAAGGAAGUUUUGUUAAUAAUGCUAGGUUAAUUUGUUAAUUUAGUUACUUUUUGCUUAAUUUUAAAAGUUUUUUUACCCUACUCUCCAUGGUUAUUAAGGAAAAAUUCUCAAAAUGAAAUGGGAGAAAUUGAGUUCUUGCAUUUUUACUUGAAUCUUAGAGUUUGUAUUAUGCUUAUUGAAGUUGAUGAAUUAUUGAAAAUCCUAUUGAAUUCAACCUUAUUUCUUCCACUUUAAUCUUACCACACAUUGUGCACAUUAGGUUCCAAUUAUAAGAUGAAAAACUAUCUCACCCCCUGAACUUAGGAAAAUUUUGACUUGGUACCUUUGACCUAAUUUUAAUAGUGUUGGGACACCUUAUAAAAGGCCAAUGAGCCUUAAAAAAAAGAAGAAGAAGAACAAAGUGUUUCACUUGCCUUGAAACCCGAGCAAGGUCCAAGGGGUAUAUAGCGAAAAUCUUUAAAACCCGGUGCCCUAAGCCUUGAUUGGUUGGGAGUCACCGACCUCAAUGCUCGUUACAAGGGUGAAUAGGUGGAGUUUAACAUAUUGUAGGUGCUUAGGUAUUGAAUUUCAAUCUCAAAAGUCCGGGAAAAAAUCUGAGGAGUUAGUGGUCAAAAGAUCCUUAAAGCUUGAUGCCCUAAACUUUGAUUGGUUGGGAGUCAAUGAUAGAUCCCCGUUACAUGGACACUUUAGAAAACAAUUCCUUCAGCAUUGCACUCCUACAAGAAAAAAAUGUGAAAUAAAAGAGGUGCGUUCUUAGCCUAUUGGAGGUUGGUCAGUUUGCUAAAGUUUGAGAAAGAACUAGGUUGGGAGGAGAGAAUAGUUCGACAUACUAUAAUCGGAAACUAAUAAGCUUAACACUUAGAUUUUUGUGUGAGAGUAAGAAUUAGACCUUUGGGAGUGGAAAUUCUUUUGAUGCUUAAAUUUGCAUAAUGCCUACUCUUUAUAAAUUGUGAUUAGGCAAGAAAUUUGAUGACUCUUGUUGAAGGUUGGGUUUUGCCUCUUUGAUAUUCCAUGAGAGAGUAUAAUUCGCAUCAUGCCACUUAAAUUUUUUUUAGAGUAAUCAGCAUGAUAUUGUAAAUUAUUUCACUGUCUAUUUUUCUUUAUCUCUCCUUCAUUGCUAAGGGACUACCAAUGUGUCGGUUGGGGGGAGUGAUUACUACUCAAAAAGUACUCUUUUAUAGCUUGAAACUAACUGUUUUAAACACUUUUGAGUAGUAGUUAAUACAUUUUAACUCAAUUGGCACAUUAAGGAACCUAGCAAGGGUUACUAAUCAGUUUUGACAAGUUUUGGUGUUUUUGGUAGCUAUUUGAUCAUUGAAACAAGCCAAGAAUGAGGGAGAAUUUUGUGAAAUCCAUGGCAAUGCAAGUUGAAGCUCAAAUACAUGAAGAGUCCGAGCUUUGAAACAUUUCAUAGCCCUUUGCCAAGCUUGGCAAUAGGUUGCCAAGCCAAUCAGAGAUGCAAGGAAGAAAACUAAAGGAAAAAGUCCAACAACCAGCAUUUUAGCAUGGCUAUGCGAAAAUUUCGCAUAGCAUGCGAAAUCAAGAGAAAGAGCAGCUGCAGGACUGAGUGAAAGACAAUUUCGCACACCAUGCAAAACCACAAAAAGCAGCCAAAGAAUUUCGUACACCAUGAGAAAUUUCACAUGGUAUGCGAAAUCCUCUUGUGCACCAACUCCGUUAGAUUUUUAUUUCCAGAUAUUUUGUAUAAUUUCCUGUUUUCUCCUUAUAAUCAAGCUAGAUAUUUUCAUAUAUAUCUUUUCUAGUCAUGAAAGAAAUUUAUUCAUGAAACACUUGUAAAAUUCCCGUAGAAGAAAUAUAUAGAGCUUUUGCUCUGCCUUUCCUUCUCAUUUUGUUUUCACUUUUCUUUUUAGCCAAAUAACCUCUGAGGAUGAUUUCUCAGGGGAUGAGUGGCUAGGUUUUAUGUUUCUUGGAGUGAUGGAAGCUAGGUGAAGGACCUGAAUGCAAAGAUGGGAGUUGUCCUUGCUUUAAAUGAAAGUAGUUGUUAACCAUUAAUGGUUUUUAUUUUAAGGUUUAGCUUUAAAUCCCUUAAAAUCACCUUGAAUGGCCAAUACUUGGUAAGCUUUUCAGAUUCUAUGGAUGCUUAUUGCUAGAUCCAUGGAUGUCCAUUAGUUAUCAUUUACGAGCCAUUGGAAGGUGGUUCAAGGUGAGGGUCUUUAGUGUUUGAAGCCAUUAAUGGGAAGCAAUUACCAUUUUUCAUGAAUCCUUUCGAUCAAAUCUUAAUUGCUAAAAAACAAAACCGGUUCGGGAGAUAACCAUCCUUUAUGUUAUUGUCCCCAACGCGAGGAGAAGAUCCAGAAUCUCCCCCUUUGCCUGAGAAACCCGAUCCUAGUGACCUAAAGCUCCAAGAGACCUUUUCUUUAUAGUUAACUUCACUUAUUAUUUUUGCUUAACUUAAAAUCAAUCUUUGCAACCACAAUUCCAUUUUCUUUAAAAGCUAAUUUUCAUAAGGAAAAACACCAUUUUAUUUCCUUCACUAAAAUCAACUGUACGAUGAAAACCCAUCCCUGUGGAUGAUCCUAAAGCCACUAUACUAUGUUAGUUAUGCUACUCUAGUGUAAGGUGAUUUAGGUUUUAUAAUUUUUUUGUUGAUAACACCCGUCUGGGCCAGAAUCAAAUGGCACGACUGCAAUGGGGACAAAUCACAUUGCUGAAAGAAGUGCUUGAGCCGCUCAAGCGUAAACAUUACUUGAGCCACUCAAGCACUAACAUUGUUUGAGCAUUGCAUUUCUUACCUACACUCUCGAGGUUGCUUCUGCACUUUUUUCAACUACCUUAAGCUUUAAAAUCUUGCCUUUUUUUGGUUGAGGAAUAUCCAUUGAACCGCUAUGAUUGGCGAAAUGCUUCCAUGCUCUCUUUGGGUUACAAGAUUGAUUAAAAACCAAAAUUUUACAUAAUCACAAGUCAUAUACUCCUCAAAAUGAGAGUUUAUAGUCAAUCUAGCCAAAAGGAAAAAAACUUUUAUAUCCAAAAAGAAAAUCCUAUGCUCUUAAUCACAAAGCUUACAACCUAAACUAGAAAACAAUAGAUUAAACCAAUAACAAUCAACUAAUCUGAACAUAAUAAUGAUAUUCAUUCAUCCAUUUAGGCCAUGGGAUGAAUAACCAAACUUAAAAAAAAAAAACAAAAAAAAAAACCAUGAGCACCCUCUAGAAUAGAUCUAGCUAACAAGAACAUAACCUGAGGCUCUAAUACCAAUUACCAGGAAUACUAGAUUUCUCUAUUCCCUGUCCCUGGAUCUAGUAGGGUGCAUGCAUCUAUGCUAAGCACCUCUAAAUCUAUUACAAUGGAAACAUAUGGCUACAAAACCAUAUAAAGAUAAAAAUCUAGAGAAAACAAAGCUCAUACCGAAUCUAGAUGUUCCUAGAUCAAUUCCAGAUGGUGAAGAACAUGCUUAAAGGUCUCAUACACUCAAGAUCUUCCACCUGAUGACUCGAACCACAAUCUUGGUACUCCAAAGUGUGGGCUUUGGAAGAGAUGAAGAUAUGACUCUCUCUAUCUUUCUUUAGAGAUGAAAGAUGGAUCUCAUCAAAAAGUGGUGGAAACAUUAACCCCUAAGGGGGUAUUUAUAGGGUUCCCCUACUAAGCUUAAGUGACUUAAGCUCACCAAAGCUUGGGUCACUUAAUCUAACCUAAAACUAGUUCUAAUUGAUUAAUUAACCACAUAGAGUCAUCUAAUUAAUCAAUUAGCCCAAUCUAGAGACCUUGUUCACUAUCUCCUGUGCAACCAUGAAUCAUUACCAAAACAACCUUAUACACAAAAGUGAAUAUUGGCUCUCUUAGAAUUCAAUUCUAAAAUUGAUUCAACAUUCCACUAAAGAUAAUCAAUUGCACUCCAGUACCCUAUGUAAAUAACAACAAAAUGAAGUUUGAGUUCAUGACCUACUAUCCAUUACAUGCAGACUCCCCAUGAAUCGGUAUUUGUAAUUUAACAAGGUAGUAGUAUCACUUAUCAAGAUUACCUCUCCAAUCCUUGAGUUAAAAAUCUCAUUUGGAUCACCCAAGAAGACACAUUGUCUCCAUGAGAUGUCAUGAUGUCUCUAUUGAGAAUACUUGUUGUCACCAGCCUCCAUCAAUAGUGACCCAAUCCAUAAAGAUAUAUAACCACUUUAGGAUCUCACCCACCCACAUGUCCAAUCCUCAUGUUGAUUUUGAGACAGGCUCAAUAUGCUCUCAAGUUUGCAAGUCAAUCCAAUAUAGUAGUUUGUUGAAUCAUGACAAUUAAUAGUCUUGUGUCAUGAUUCAUCAUAGCUCUUUUCUAGUAGGCAUGACAUACACUAGUGCAAACAUCAUAGGAAACUCAUCCCAACAAUCAAGACAAGUAAUCCAUUCCAUUAGGAGAUGGUGUACUACAAUCUCUAAUGGAUUGCACAAAUCUAUGAACCAAUUAUGGACAACUUAUAUAUCUACUUACAAGAAACCCUUGACUUGUAUCUUUUGUGCAACUCCUAAGGCACUCAAGUCAUGUACAAUUUAAGAGAUAUAAACUAAAUGCUCAAAUCAAUGUCAAUACACCAAAGGGAUAACGAUGGGAUAGUCAAGUCUAAUUUUGUUACAUCAUGUCUUACUUUUAGGAUCUCAAUCCCAACAGUAUCACAUGGUAGUAGAAGAUAUAUGUUGAACUUUAUUGAUUAUUACUCUAGAAAGGUCUGGGUAUAUAUAUUCAAACACAAGAAUGAUGUCUUUGGGUAGUUCAAACAAUGGAAAGCUAUGUUCAAGAAGCAAACUAGAAAAUAAAUCAAGCACUUGAGAAUUGACAAUGGUAUGAAAUUUAUAUGGGAAGAGUUUAAUGAGUUUUGCAAGAAUGAAAGUAUUGUGAGACAUUACAUAGUUAGGCAUACUCCACAUAAAAAUGGUGUUGCAAAACAAAUGAAUGGAACUCUUUUAGAGAAAGCAUGAUGCACGCUUUCAAAUGCAGUGUUGUCAAAUGGAAUUUUAGGCUGAAGUGAUAAAUUCUACUUGUUAUCUUGUGAAUAGAUCUCCUUCAAUUCCUAUUAAUUAUAGGACUCCUGAAAAGAGAUGGUCUGGUUCUCUUUCUAAUUAUGGUAAUUUAAGAUUUUUUUUUUUCUUGUCCUACUUAUACUCAUGUAAAUGAAGGUAAGUUGGAACCAAGGAGAAGGAAGUGCAUAUUGUUAGGAUAUGCAGAUGAAGUGAAAGGGUACAAGUUAUGGUGACUAGAGUCAAAAUUCUCUAAAUUUAUAAUUAACAGGGAUGAGACUUUUAAUGAGUUUGAAAUGUUGUAUCCUAGGAAUGAGUAACUUGAUGUAGGAAACAACCCUAGUAUGAGAGAAAAUGUGGAGUUUGUGUCUAAAGCUUUAGAAACCAUAGAAAAAAAAAAUUAAAUAAGGCCAAAAGAGGAAGAAAUGCAACAUCUUAAUGAUAAAGAAAACGCACCAUAAGAGCAACAAUAUUAUUUAGCCAAAGAUAGAACAAAGAGGCAAAUUAAACCACCACAAAGGCAUGCUUAUGUAGAUUUGGUUGUUUAUGCACUUAGUAUGGUAAAGAACAUUAUUGAAAAUGAGGAACCACACACUUAUCAUGAAGUCAUCACUAGUAGAUGGUCUACACAAUGGAAUGUUGCUAUGAAUUAGGAGAUUAAAUCUCUUCAAAAGAACUAUACUUAACAACUAGUUGAGAAACCUAAAAACUCAAAAGAUUGUUGGUUGCAAAUGAUUCUUCAAAGAAAUGAAGGAAUUUCGGGAGUGGAGGAUGCUAGGUUCAAAGCACACUUAGUGGCAAAGGGUCACACACAAAAGGAGGGGGUGGGUUUCAAUGAAGUGUUUUCCCUAGUUGUGAAGCAUAACUCAAUUGGAGUGUUACUUGUUAUGGUUGUUUUAUUUAAUUUAGAAUUGGAGCAACUUGAUGUCAAGACUACUUUUUUACAUGAUAAGUUAGAAGAACAAAUUUAUAUGCAUCAACCUAAGGGAUUCAUUAUUUCGAGAAAAGAAAACCAUGUUUGUUUGCCGAAGAAAUCUCUUUAUGGUUUGAAGCAAUCUCCUAGGCAAUGGUAUAAAAGGUUUGAUACUUUUAUUAUUUGUAAUGGCCACCACAAGAGUGAGUAUGAUAAUUGUGUUCAUCAUAAGGAAUUGUUUGAUUAUUCUUUCAUUUAUUUAUUGUUAUAUGUUGAUGAUAUGUUAAUUUUCUACAAGAAUAUGUGAUAACCCGACUCUUGGUAGCUUGGCAUGUAAGGGUAUCAACAAAAUUUACACCUAAGGUCCUUACACUAAAGUAGCAAAGCUACUAUAGCAUAGUGGCUCUAGGAUCGAACACUGGGAAGGGUUUUUACUUUAACUGGUGAAGUUCGGAGGAUGGAGUGAACUUUUCUUAAUAAAAAUUAGGUUAAGAUGAAAACAUAAAAAGAUGAAGGCGUUGUAAACUAAACUAACAUGAAAAUAGGUUAAAAGAUGGAAAAAGAAGUUUCUCAAAGCUUUGGAUAGCCAUGCUUAACUCACUGUGUAAAAAUGGAGAUUUUGGGACUCUUCACCUCGAGUUGGGGAAGCAACUAAGGUGAUGCUUACUUCCCGAACCGGUAUGAGUUUAACAACUGAGUUUUAGUCCUUGAAAACUUACAAAAAGGGUAGCUGAACCUCAUAAAUGCUCUUUUAUUAGUAUAGGUCAUCUCCUCGACUUGCAAUACAAUGGCUCGUAGGAGAUAAUUAAUGAACGUCAGUGGAUCUAACAAUAAGAAUCCACUGAGACCAAAAGGUUAUCAAGUAUUGGCCAUUCAAAGCAAGUUAGAGGGAUUAAAAGCUUUACUUUGAAUGAAAACAUUUAUGACGCUUAGCUACUUACAUUUAUGGCUUGGAAAUCUUCAUCGUGACACGGGAGCUUCACAUGGCAUCCAUUACUUCAAGAAACUAAAAGGAUUUAGCCUUUCAUCCUUGGGGAUUUCAUCCUCCAAGGAUGUUUGGCUACUAAGAAAAUGAGAAAGAAAAGAGAAAAGAAGCGUAUGAACAGAAGUGCUCUUAUAACUUAUAAAGUUACAGGUUACAAGAUGAUCGUGUCUGAGGCUCUUCACCUCUAUUUAAAGACAAUAAAAAGCUAAAUUACAAGAGCUAUUACAAAAGCAACCUUUUCAUUGGUUGAUUACAAGGGUAAAAUAGAUUUUUACAAAGCUAAAAGUCAAGCAAAAUAUCUUGGAGAACCGGCAGUGGAAUAUCAUCAACAGCGUCUCAAAACAGGGGAUUUCAAAGGCAUUUCGCAAAGGGGGGGAGGGGGAGGGGAAGAUGAAAGGUCCAAAUUUUGCAAGGUGCCUAAAUCCAGCUUGCGAAAUUUCGCAAGGUGGUUUCUUCAUGGUGCGAAAUGGCCAAAUUUCGCACCAUGAGGAAAAUCCCCUUGCGAAAUUUUGGCAAGGCGAAAUUCACCUUGCGAAAUGGUGUUCCCAUUGCUUGUGCUCGUGUUUCCACUUGAAAUUCAAGCCUGUAAACGUCCAAAAUCCUUGCUUAACUCACCCAAGUAGCUCCUCCAUCAAUUGGUAUGCUUGAAUUGGUUCAUAAGCUGAUGAAAAACAUGUAAACUUGCCACUAAAAAUGGUUAGAACUAAUUACUAAGGAGCUUAAUGAAUUAAUUGGGUUAAAUGAAUAUGAUUACUACACAAAGGUGCUUAAAACCCUUAUAAUUAGGUCUACAAAAUAGCACUUUUUGGUAGUAAUCACACCCCCCAACCGACUCAUUGCUAGUCCCUUAGCAAUGGAGGAGAUAAAAACUAAGCAAACAUAAUAAUAUACAUAAAAGAGGUCAUGCAAAUCACUCCAAAAAAUAAUUGAGUGGCAUGACUGAUAUCAAAACACAUCUCACAUGGUGAACUAAAGAUAUGAAGAUUCAAAAUGCAAUAGGAGUUGUCAAAGCUAAAACUUAAACAAAAAGUACAAAGAGUGGAGAUUAUGCAAUUAAGUAUCAAAAGAAUCUCUACUCUCAAGGUUCCGAAUCAAACUCUUCCAUAAUGAGCUAAGUGUUAAUGAGAUUAGCUUCCAGAUAUAGUAUGUACAACUAUCCUCUCCCCCCAACCUAAGCUUUUCUCGAACUUUGGCAAAAUUAACCAACUCUUAAUAGGUUAGGAACGCACCUUCUUAUUCACAAUUCUUUUUAUUCACUAAACUUAACCAAUUCACCUAUGUAGCAAGCAGAGGAUCGAUGACUCCCAACCAAUCAGGGUUUAGGGCAUCGGGUUUUAAAGGCUUUCGCCACCCAUUCGGAUCAUGCUUAGGUUUCAAGGAAAGAAUAGAAGCUUAUUCUCUUUUUUUUUUUUUUUUUUUUUUUUUUUUAAGACUCAUUGGUCUUUUUGAGGUGUCCCAACACUAUUAAAAAGAGGUUAAGUAAUGAACCAAGUCAAAAUUUUCCUAAGCUUAAAGGGUGAGAAAGUUUUACAUCAUAUAUCCGAGAUCUAAUGUGCACGGUGUGUGUAAAGCUUGAAAUGGAAGAAAAAAGUUCGAAAUCAAAGAGGGUUUCAAUAGAUUAUCAACUUUGAAAGCAUAAAACAAACUCUAAGACUUAAGUAAUUAAGUUAAAACUCGACUUAUCCUAUUUUAUUUUGAGAAAUUAUCUUUAACAACCAUAGAGAAUGAAACAAAAAUUUUUGAAAAAGGUCAAAAACUACUAAAUCAACAAAAUAACUAACUAAAAUAGGAAAUACUUACUUCCUCAACUCUCCCCCCAACCGAGAUGAACAUUGUCCCCAAUGUUUCUAUCGAAAAAGACGAGGAAGGAAUGAUAUACCUUAUGGUGAUGUGGUAUUCAAGGCGUGUGAGUGCAUCCACAUGAUUCAAAAACCAUAAGAAACGUGAGAGAGGAAAUAAGAUACAAAAAAUGAUGCUUAUAUAAACUGAGAGAGUUGAGUACAAGAUAUAAGCAUGAGGUACAUACAAUCUCAGAAUAUAAAACAUGUAUCAUAUACAAAAUGGAGAUAGAAAUAUCCAAUCAUGGAUGUGGCUCCUGAGGUGGAGGAGGUGAUAUGCCCAGGUGAUGGUGGAUCUGAGAGAGCAUGGCGGAGUGCUGGUCCAGGAUAGCUGUAUGCUGAGCCUGAAUAGAUGUAUGCUGAGCCUGAUGUGUCUGUAUGGUAUCCAUCUGUCGUCUGAUGGCCUGCAUCUCACGGACUAAGGUGGCCUGAGAGGUGCUCAAUGAGUGAAAGGACGACAUGAGAGCUCUGAACUCUGUAGCGGAGACAGCAAUGGAUGGCCCGGCUGAAGACUCAGCAUAGGCUGGAGCAGGAGUGACUGGUGGUGUGGGAGUAUCAGUAGUGCAAGUCACUAGAGCAGGUACUGAAGAAGAAGGCUCUGUGGUAUGUGGGUCCUGCUCUGGUGAUGUCUGUGCUGUAGGUGCUGAGGUUGCUGGAGAAUCGGGAGGCGCUGGAGAAGCUGGAGGCGCGGGAGCUAAUGGUCUAGGGAUACCCUAGUCCAUGGGUGAGAGGUCUAAGAAAUGGGUCCAACUCUCACUGGUAAAGAGCUCUCGACAAUGAUGACGACGCUCUAGAUGGGGCUGAGAAGGGUAUCCCAUAUCCUCUAAGACCUGAGAGAUCAGCCUUGGAAAUAAGAGUGGAAUAGUACCAGCUCUGUGUAGGCGCUUCCUAUGCACCUUCUCCUCAAAAUAGGUAAGAGUAGCCAUGACUAGAUGGUGGGGUCCAAAGUAGAAUCCCUCAGAGAUGCGGUAAAGCGCAUCUAAGAUAGCACCUCUCCUCUGGACGACAUGCUGGAGGGGAAAAAGAUUGGUGCGGAGCACCAAAUCGAUAAGUAACAUCUGUGGAGGAAGCUCCCUCCUCAAAAUGGUCCUACCAGUGACUCUACCUCCUGAUAAGGUAGACACCAUGUCGGGCUCUGAAUACUGAGACCAAUGCCGGAAGGAACCAAGGUCCUCAAGGAUAGGCGGAAAAUGCAUAGCGGCGGCUAUAUCUCGGGCCUCUAAAAUACCAUGCUGGCCAUCAAUAAAAAAAUGAAUGGCUAUGGGGUCCGGACGCCUCUAGUAGUCAUAGUCUGGUAGAAAUCUAAGACUACCCUAGGGUAAUAGAAGGACCUAGGAGUCAUAAAUGGCUCGAUGUGGUACCUCUACAGAAGGCGGUAUGACUCCUCUAGCUCUGGUAAUAGGCGGAGAGUCUCAUGCUCCAUACAGAUCUCGUAGUGAAAUGGCCUAUCUCUGAUAUCCGUGUUGCCUGGGAGGGGUGGCCCUACUAUCAUAGGCCGCUUGAGGACCUCUGCUAGGUGUGAAGGGCCUGGGAUAGUAGAUAUUGGAGGUGAUGGAGGGGCUCUGGAGGACUCGCCUGGUCCUGAAAUCCUAGUCCUCUUAGGUGAAAGACUGCUCACAAGGGGUGGCAUUGGUGCCCUGGAAGACCCAGAUGAUCGUCUGGUCCCGUACCCGUGCUGAGUAGAGGGAACUGGGGUCUGGGCAGGCUGAGAUGGUGUAGAACGACCACCUCUCUGUGAGUGGGCCCCACGCUGACUAGCUGAAGAGGAUGCCCCCCGUGUCUGUGCCAUGGUAUAAAUACUGAAAUAAGACUGAAAAGCACGAAAAAUAGAGCAUCCCUGAUUACUACCAAAAAGUGCUAUUUUGUAGACCUAAUCAUAAUGGUUUUAAGCACCUUUGAGUAGUAAUCAUAUUCAUUUAACCCAAUUAAUUCAUUAAGGUCCUUAGUAAUUGGUUCUAACCAUUUUGUGGUAAGUUUUGGUGCUUUUUGAUAGCUUUUUGCUCACCAAAGCAAUCCAAGAAUGAGGGAGAGCUGUAUAUAGUUCAUGGCAAAGCUUUUGAAAGCUCAAAUUCAUGAAGAAACCAAGCUUUGGAGCUCAAUAACCCUUUUCCAAAGUCGUUCAAAGUAUGCAAGGAAAGAACAAACGGAGAGAGGAAAACAGAGUAAGGAAAAUAGGGGACAGCAACUGCAGCCUUCCUUCGCACUUUUAGAGCACUUUCCGAAGUUCAUUUUCUACAUGCUAUAUACCAUUUCAAAGCUCAGGAAGUCAAGAAUCUAAAGCUUCAAACCGUGUACGAUUUGGAGCUGAAAUGAGGAAGAUAUGGCCUUAGGAAGACAACUGCAUCAAGCUAAAGGACAAUUUCGCACCUUGCGAAAUUGGAACUCCAACGUGCGAAAUUUAAAGUGGAUGGCAGCUGUGUAGUUGCGGUGAAGCCCAGCAUGCGAAGUUGAUUUUGCAACUUGUGGACUUGGAUCUCAACAUGAGAAAGUGAAUUCUAAGUUGCGAAAUCAACUUGCGAAAUUUUCGCAAGUCACCAUGCAACGUGCGAAACUGGGAUAUUUAUGCCGACUCUUUUUCUUCUGAUAUUUUUGUGUCUAAAUUUCCAUUUUCUCCUUGUAUUCAGCCACUCAUGUAAUUCCUUAGCUAUGAAGUAUCCAAGGAAGGGUAAAUUACCUUCCUAUAUAAACUCUCUUGUAAACACUGAAAAAAGGACUCUCGGGGAGCUUUUUCCAAGAGACCAACUUAUGUAAAUUUUACACUUAGUGAAAUACAGAGAUCUCUUUUGCUUUCUUUUUCUCUCUACUAUUUUCUUUUUCUUGGAAGCCAAACAGCCUCUGAGGAUGUUUUCCCAGGGGAUGAGAGGCUAAACUUAUAGUUUCUUGGAGUGAAGGAAGCUAGGUGAAAAGUCCAGAUGAAAAGGUGGAAAGCUUCCGUGCAUUAAAUUCAGGUAGUUGGAGUUCAUAAAUGGCUUCUAAAUCCAAAGUUUUGCUUUAAAUCCCUUAGAAUCACUUUGAACGGCCAAUACAUGGUAAGCUUCAGGUCUCUGUGGAUGCUUAUUGCUAGAUCCAUAUCAGUCCAUUAGUUAUCAUGUACGAGCCAUUGGAAAGUGGUUCAAGGUGAAGACCCAUAGUGUCUUAAGCCAUUAAUGGACCUUGACUAUCAUUUCUAUUGACUUUUUAUAGAUUAAAUCUUCAUUGUUAAACCUAUACCGGUUCGGGAAAUAACUAUAGGUUAAAUCCCCAAUGCGAGGAGAAAAAUCCGGAAUUUCCACUUUGCAUUCUGAACUUGAUCCUAGCAACCCUUAGCUCCGGGAGACUUUCUUUCUUCCAUUUUUACUUAGUUCUAUGUUAGUUUAAUUUCAGUCACCACUUGCAAAACAAAUUUUAUUUUCUUUUAAACUUCAAGUUUAUGAUAAAGGAAAUCAUCAGACUCAAUUUCUAAUCUAGAGUCUGUCACUGAUAGAGUGAAAACCCAUCCCUGAGUUCGACCCUAGAGCUGCUAUACUAUAGUAGCUUUGCUACGCCAGUAUAAGGUCAUAGGAUUUAUAAAUAUUUUUUUAUUAAAAGACCCGACGGGGUAUGAAUAAAUCCCAGGGGUAAAGUGUCAAAAAUAUAGUUGAAAUGGUAACCAGUGCAAAAUUUGCAAGGCAUGAAUAGUGGUUGCUAAAUUUGGCAACGGGCACUAUUCACGCAACACUAAUCACAGGCACUAUUCAUCUUCUUUUCCAAUGCUUACUUUGAAUUUGAGUUUUCAUUUUUAACGGUUUAAAGUUCAGAAAAAGGGUAUGGUUUUAAUGGAAACAUGAUUCUAAAUGCAAUGGAGUAAGUUUGGGAGCCUAAAACACAUUGCAAGAUAGAGAUUUUUGCAAAAAUGGUGGCCGGCCAUGUGGGUCUUUGAUUUGAAAAAAUGGAUUUUUGAAAUGGUUUUAAUGGAUGAAAAUGCAUGUUUAUGGUCCCUUAAACAUUGAAAUGACAUAAACAAGCAAUUUAAGGAGCCAAAAAUGGAGAAAAAUGAAAAAUUAUUCACCUUGGAACAAUGAAGCACGCGGCCUAGAGAGGAAAUGCAAGGGGAAUAGUGUUUUAUGCAUGAAAAAUGAAGUUGAGAAGGCUUUAAAAAGGGUUUUUGGCCAUGAAUUUUUUUUUGAAAAUUUGUCUAAGUACGGGGAUGAACUGAGGAGUGUUAAAACUACAAAAUUGAAGUUUGAAAAUGAAUUUAAAAAGAAUCAAAUCCUUGGUAAGCAUGAAGAAAAAAUUUCGCAAGGUGAAAAUUCACCUUGCCAAAUUUUCGCACUGGCUACUCCCCUUAAAAACCAAUUCCGAGAGGUUGUAAAUUGCAUCUUGCCAAAAUGUGCAUUUCGCAAGGUGAAAAUUGACUUGCGAAAAUUUUCGCACUGGUUACUCCUUGCGAAAGUGCAAUCCCAGCGAAAGUGCAAUCCCGAGAGGUCGUAAAUUGCAUCUUGCCAAAAUGUGCAUUUUGCAAGGUGAAAUUCACCUUGCCAAAUUUUCGCAACUCACUUUUUGAGUUGCGAAAUGGGCUUUUAAGCUUGGACUUAGAUAUAUUUCUCCCCUAUUUCACCUUUCUCUCCACAUUUAUGAGCUUGUGAGCUUUUGUACCUGCUAUUGGACAUCAAAGCUCCAUUAAAAACAUUAAAAAAUCAAAAUCAAAACUAAGAAACCUAAACAAAAUAUGUGCAAAAGUAUUAAAAAUGCAAAGUAAACAAGAAUGUAAUACUAAAAUUAAAACAAAAAGAGAUGAGCACUUAACUUUUCAUGCUAAGCUCAUCAACUUACCACACUUUCUCAAGGAUGUGAUGGGUCAUGGAGGAUGAGUACCUCCUUGUCACGGGAAAAUGGCUCGAUGUAGGGUUUGAGUCUUUGCCCAUUUACCUUGAAGAUCUUUGCACUUUUUGAAUUGAGUAACUCAAUUACUCCAUGUGAGUGUACUUGGUGGAUGACAAAAGGCCCUACCCACCUUGAUUUGAGCUUUCCCGGAAAUAUGUGAAGCUUAGAGUCAUAUAGCAAGACUCUUUGUCCCUUGAAAAAUUCUUUCUUGGUCACCAACUGAUCAUGCCAUCUCUUUAGCUUUUCCUUAGCUAUUUUUGAGUUGAGAUAGGCAUCAUUUCUCAAUUCCUCAAGCUCAUUCAAAUCCAAACUCCUCUUUAGCCUAGCCUUUGUUAAAUCCAUGUUGAGCUUUUUAAUGGCCCACCAUGCCUUGAACUCAAUCUCAACGGGAAGAUGGCAAGCUUUGCCAUAAACAAGACAGUACGGUGACAUCCCAAGGAUAGUCUUAUAAGUCGUCCUAUACGCCCAUAGGGAAUCAAGGAGCUUAAACAAACCAAUCUUUCUUAUUGGUGUUCACCACCUUCAUCAAGAUGUUCUUAAUUUCCCGGUUGGCUAGCUCUACUUGGCCACUCGUCUGAGGAUGAUAAGGUGUAGCUACCUUAUGCUUAAUUCCGUACUUGGCCAAAAGAGCUUCAAAGGGCUUGUUGCACAAGUGAGUGCCUCCAUCACUGAUGAUUGCUUUAGGCACUCCAAACCUCGAGAAGAUGUUUUCUUUUAGGAACUUGAGAACCACUUUGUGAUCAUUGGUUCCACAGGGUAUAGCUUCAACCCACUUUGAAACAUAAUCAACUCCUACCAAGAUGUAGGAGUGGCCAAAAGACAUAGGGAAAGGUCCCAUGAAGUCUAUGCCCCAAACAUAAAAAAGAUCCACUAUCAAGAUGGGGUUCAAAGGCAUCAUGUUUCUCCUUGAAAGCUUGCCUAGUCUUUGGCACUUAUCACAUCCUUUACUUACCUCAUGGGCAUCCUUAAAAAGUGAGGGCCACCAAAAGCCCGAUUGAAGAACUCUCAUUGCCGUCUUUUGAGAGGCAAAGUGGCCUCCACAUGCAUUCCCAUGGCAAUGAGAUAGGAUCCCAUGCUUCUCUUUUUCAGGCACACACUUCCUUAUAAUUUGGUCUGCACAAUACUUGAAGAGAAAAGGCUCCUCCCAAUAAUAUGCAUGGACCUUGGCAAAGAAAUUCUUCUUGUCCUGAGAGCUCCAUUCACUUGGUAUUUCUCCCGUGACCAAGUAAUUGGCAAUGUGUGCAAACCAUGGCACUUCCUCCACAAGCAUCAAGGAUUCCUCAGGGAAAUCAUCAUUUAUGGGAAGUCCAUGGGUGUCAUGAGCGAUGUUGAGCCUUAACAAGUGGUCAGCUACCACAUUCUCAAUACCUUUCUUAUCUCUGAUCUGGAGGUUGAACUCUUGAAGCAAAAGUAUCCACCUAAUCAACCUAGCCUUGGCAUCUUGCUUGGUUAGCAAAUACUUCAAAGCUGAAUGAUCCGUGAAUACCACAAUGGAAGACCCUAUCAAAUAAGCUCUGAACUUAUCCAAAGCAUACACCACAGCAAGUAAUUCCUUCUCAGUGGUGGUGUAAUUCCUUUGAGCAUCAUUCAAAGACUUGCUUGCAUAGUAGAUCACAUAAGGUUUACCAUCUUCUCUUUGUCCCAAAACAGCCCCAAUGGCAUAAUCACUUGAGUCACACAUCACUUCAAAUGGCAACUCCCAAUUUGGUGCUCUCAUAAUGGGCGCUGAUGUCAAGAAUUGCUUAAGAAGCUCAAAACUCCUUUGACAUUUAUCAUCCCACUCAAACUUGGCAUCCUUCACCAAUAAUUCACAAAGAGGUUUGGCAAUCUUGGAAAAAUCCUUUAUAAACCUCCUAUAGAACCCGGCAUGCCCAAGGAAUUGCCUUAUUCCUUUUACAUUGGUGGGAGGUGGCAACUUCACAAUUAGUUCCGCCUUAGCUCUAUCUACCUCUAUACCCUUCUUUGAGAUUACGUGCCCAAGAACAAUACCUUGAUUUACCAUAAAAUGGCACUUCUCCCAAUUGAGUACUAGGUCUUUCUCUAUGCAUCUUUUCAAAACAUCUUCAAGAUGUGACAAACAAUCCUCAAAAGAAGUCCCAUACACAGUUAUGUCAUCCAUGAAGACUUCCAUGAUUCGUUCAACCAUGUCACUGAAGAUGCUAAGCAUGCAUCUUUUGAAGGUAGCAGGAGCGUUGCAUAAUCCAAAAGGCAUCCGCCUAUAAGCAUAGGUGUCGAAUGGACAAGUGAAGGUAGUCUUCUCCUGGUCCUCCACAUCAAUCUCUAUUUGAAAAUACCCGGAAUACCCAUCCAAGAAGCAAUAAAAAGGAUGCCCAGAUACUCUCUCAAGGACUUGAUCCAUGAAAGGUAAAGGGAAGUGAUCCUUUCUCGUUACUGUGUUCAACUUCCUGUAGUCAAUGCACACCCUCCAACCAGUUGUGAGGUGUGUGGACACUUCAUCUCCAUUUUCCCCCUUGACUACGGUUAUCCCGGACUUCUUUGGAACAACUUGGGUUGGACUCACCCAAGUGCUAUCUGAAAUGGGGUAAAUGAUGCCCGCUUGAAGAAGCUUCAACACUUCAGCCCUUACUACCUCUUGCAUAUGAGGAUUCAAUCUCCUCUGUGGCUGACGAGUUGGCUUAGCUCCCUCCUCCAUAUAAAUAUGGUGCGUGCAAAUCAAUGGGCUUAUCCCCUUCAAAUCAGAAAUUUGCCAUCCGAUGGCCUUCUUGUGCUUUCUAAGGAUUCUUAGAAGAUUGUCCUCUUGUGAAACGGUUAAAGAAGAAGAAAUUACCACUGGGGCUUUAUUGCCUUCCUCCAAGUAAGCAUACUUCAACUCGGCAGGAAGGGUCUUCAAUUCAAGCUUAAGGAUUGCAUCCUUAGCUUCUUUCAUCUCUUCCUCAUCCUUGAACAAAGGGAGGAUCACUGGCUUUUGUCUCCAGUUUGACAUAACAGCAUUCAUUCCCAUGGGUUCAGCUAACCCAUCAUUAAGAUCUUCAUGGAUUUCAUCUGGAUUCUCUUCAAACUAAUCAAGCAUACUCUGAUUACAAUGCUCCUCCACCAGGGUAUCUAUCAUACACACUUCUUCUAGGCCCUCAUCUUCUUCAGGAUGGAUGUGCUUUUGACAUAGAUGGAAGAUGUUGAGUUCCAAUGUCAUAUUCCCAAAAGUGAGUUGCAUGACCCCGUUCCUACAAUUGAUGAUUGCAUUGGAUGUUGCAAGGAAUGGUCUUCCAAGGAUGAUUGGAACAUAGUUGAUCCCUUUGACAAUGGGAUCCGUAUCAAGCACCACAAAAUCUACUGGAUAGUAGAAUUUGUCAACUUGAACCAAUACAUCCUCUAUUACCCCCCUGGGGAUUUUCACUGAUCGGUCAGCUAAGGAUAGGGUGAUCGAUGUUGGCUUGAGUUCUCCCAACCCCAGGUCCUUGUAUAUAGAGUAUGGAAGCAAGUUAACACUUGCCCCCAAAUCAAGCAAUGCCUUCUCCACUUGGGUUCCUCCAAUAUUGACUGAGAUUGUAGGACACCCCGGAUCUUUGUAUUUGAUUGGAGAGUUGCAUUAGAUUAUAGCACUCACUUGCUCGGUUAGGAAGGCUUGCUUUGUAACAUUGAGUCCUCUUUUCACAGUGCACAAGUCCUUCAAAAACUUUGCAUAUGUGGGUACUUGCUUGAUCAUAUCAAGUAAAGGAAUAUUCACCUUCACUUGUCUUAGCACAUCAAGAAUCUCAGAAGCAUUCUUGAUUGGUUUCUUCCCACGCAAGGCUUGAGGAAAUGGAGGAGGCAUGUGCUUCUUCAUCAUGCCUUCCUUUAAAAGAAUUUGAGGUUCCUCAUCCAUGCUAGGAAUGAUGCUUUCUUUCAUCUGAACUUCCUUACCCUUUUGUUCUUUCUUCUUUUCUUCUUUUCUAUCAGCCUUGUCUUCGUUGGCUUUCCUCUGAUCAUGCUCCGGCUGAUGCACUUCCUUACCACUUCUCAAAGUGAUAAUAGCUUGCACGUCCCUCACCUUUGAAGAAUCCUCAUCUUUAGAUUCCACUUCAUGUAUCCCCUUAGGAUUUUGGUGAGGCUGAGAGGGAAACUUCCCUUUCUCAUUGACAGUGUUCAAAUUUGUAAGCCUUGAGAUGGAAUAUUGGAUGUUGUCAAUUUUCUGAGACAACUCAUUAUGCAUCCCAUCUAUCUUCUUGUUCAAUGUACUCUCUACGUUGUCAAUCUUCUGAUUUAGUUGAGAGUUGAUGGAUUUUUGGUCACUCACAAAGUCACCCAUAACCUUGCUAAGGCUUAUGAGUGCUUGCUCAACUGAGGAUUGACCUUGACUCUGUUGGCUUGAUUGGGCUGGUGACUGAUAUGGGUUUGGCCUUGGCUUCCAUGCAAAUUUUGGGUGGUUCCUCCAGCUAGAGUUGUACGUGUUGCCAUAGGGAGCAUUUGAAUUUGGCUUCCAUUGGCCAAUCAGGUUAGCUUGUUCCUCGAACAUUUCUCUUGCUGCUGGAAUGGUGGGACAUUCUUCCACCAUAUGUUCAAAUGACUAACAGAUGGAGCAAGGAUUGGCUUGUUGUUGAGGUUCUGAAAUAGCUUGGACUUCGUGAACUUUUCUCAACUCCAUUUCCUCCAUUUUUCUAGCCAUGGCAGCUACCUUGGCUUUCAUCUCCAUGUCUUCACUCAGAUUGUACAUCCCCCCUCUUGACAUUUGCUGAACUGGCCUCUUCCCCAUUUCUCUGUUAUUGGGCUCAUCCCAUCCACGGGAAACCUCUGAGACAUAACUUAGGAAAUCCAUAGCCUCCUCAGGGUUCUUGCUCAUGAAAUCACCCCCACACAUUGUCUCCAAUAUCUGCUUCAUUGAAGAUGACAUGCCAUCAUAAAAAUAGCUCACCAACAGCCAUGUAUCAAAGCCGUGGUGAGGACAUGCAUUGAUGGCCUCCAUAUACCUCUCCCAGUAUUCAUAAAAUUUUUCAUUCUCACGUGCUGAGAAGUUGGAGAUUUGUCUCUUCAAUCCAUUUGUUCUAUGAGUAGGGAAAAACUUCUUCAAAAAAUCAGCUUGAAGUUCUGUCCAUGUUCUUAUGCUUCUCGGCCUCAAGGAAUUGAGCCAUAUCUGGGCUUUGUCCUUUAAUGUGAAUGGAAAGAGCUUCAACCUCAUAAGCUCAAUAGCUGUUCCCCCUUCUUGAAAAGUAUUGCACACAUCUUCGAAUUCCUUUAUGUGCGCAUAUGGAUUUUCACUUUCCAUCCCAUGGAAAGUAGGAAGCAGAGGCACGAUGUGUGGCCUGAUAAUCAAUUGCUUUGUAGGAGGAAUGAUGCAAGAUGGUGCACUCAUCCUCGGAGGGUGCAUCCUGUCCCUCAUGGACCUAUACAAGUUCGGAUCAUUCUACUGCCCGUGUUGUGAAUGUUGAUCCUCUGGCUGAUUCUCCAUGACUUCCAAAAUAAUCUCUAAUUCAGUAGCUCGUGGAGUCUCUAUCCGCACUAACCUUCCCUCUUGGUCUCUAAUCCAAUAGGGCAUGCACGGAUUCAGCUGGAACAAAACAAAUAAACAAAACAAAGAAAAAGAAAAAAAAAACAGAGCAUGCGGAAGGAAAAACAAAGUAUGAAAAAUAAACUAAAAAUGAAAGUUAAAAGCUAAAAGAAACUUAUCUAAACUAAGUUAAAAAUGUUCUAAAACUAAAAUAAAAAGUUAGUAAAUGAAAAAUGAGAUAGAAUUCACCUCACUCAUGAGAAGUCUCACAAGUUACCUCCGGCUGAUCUAUUCACAGUGAAGUAGCACCCCUCCUCGGCAACGGCGCUAUUUGAUAACCCGACUCUUGGUAGCUUGGCAUGUAAGGGUAUCAACAAAAUUUAUACCUAAGGUCCUUACACUAAAGUAGCAAAGCUAUUAUAGCAUAGUGGCUCUAGGAUCGAACACUGGGAAGGGUUUUUACUUUAACUGGUGAAGUUCGGAGGAUGGAGUGAACUUUUCUUAAUAAAAAUUAGGUUAAGAUGAAAACAUAAAAAGAUGAAGGCGUUGUAAACUAAACUAACAUGAAACUAGGUUAAAAGAUGGAAAAAGAAGUUUCUCAGAGCUUUGGAUAGCCAUGCUUAACUCAUUGUGUAAAAAUGGAGAUUUUGGGACUCUUCACCUUGAGUUGGGGAAGCAACUAAGGUGAUGCUUACUUCCCGAACCGGUAUGAGUUUAACAACUGAGUUUUAGUCCUUGAAAACUUACAAAAAGGGUAGCUGAACCUCAUAAAUGCUCUUUUAUUGGUAUAGGUCAUCUCCUCGACUUGCAAUACAAUGGCUUGUAGGAGAUAAUUAAUGAACGUCAGUGGAUCUAACAAUAAGAAUCCACUGAGACCAAAAGGUUAUCAAGUAUUGGCCAUUCAAAGCAAGUCAGAGGGAUUAAAAGCUUUACUUUGAAUGAAACAUUUAUGACGCUCAGCUACUUACAUUUAUGGCUUGGAAAUCUCCAUCCUGACACGGGAGCUUCACAUGGCAUCCAUUACUUCAAGAAACUAAAAGGUUUUAGCCUUUCAUCCUUGGGGAUUUCAUCCUCCAAGGAUGUUUGGCUACUAAGAAAAUGAGAAAGAAAAGAGAAAAGAAGCGUAUGAACAAAAGUGCUCUUAUAACUUAUAAAGUUACAGGUUACAAGAUGAUCGUGUCUGAGGCUCUUCACCUCUAUUUAAAGACAAUAAAAAGCUAAAUUACAAGAGCUAUUACAAAAACAACCUUUUCAUUGGUUGAUUACAAGGGUAAAAUAGGUAUUUACAAAGCUAAAAGUCAAGCAAAAUAUCUUGGAGAACCGACAGUGGAAUAUCAUCAACAGCGUCUCAAAACAAGGGAUUUCAAAGGCAUUUCGCAAAGGGGGGGAAGAUGAAAGGUCCAAAUUUCGCAAGGUGCCUAAGUCCACCUUGCGAAAUUUCGCAAGGUAGUUCUUCAUGGUGCGAAAUGGCCAAAUUUCGCACCAUGAGGAAAAUCCCCUUGCGAAAUUUUGGCAAGGCGAAAUUCACCUUGCGAAAUGGUGUUCCCAUUGCUUGUGCUCGUGUUUCCACUUGAAAUUCAAGCCUGUAAACGUCCAAAAUCCUUGCUUGACUCGCCCAAGUAGCUCCUCCAUCAAUUGGUAUGCUUGAAUUGGUUCAUAAGCUGAUGAAAAACAUGUAAACUUGCCACUAAAAAUGGUUAGAACUAAUUACUAAGCAGCUUAAUGAAUUAAUUGGGUUAAAUGAAUGUGAUUACUACACAAAGGUGCUUAAAACCCUUAUAAUUAGGUCUACAAAAUAGCACUUUUCGGUAGUAAUCAAUAUGUCUGAGAUUAACAAGUUGAAAACUCAACUUCAAGGAGAGUUUGAAAUAAAAGACCUUGGAGUUGGGAAGAAAAUAUUAGGUAUGAAGAUUCAUAGAGACCGAGAAGUAUGGCAAUUGUACUUAUCAUAGAAAAAGUAUAUUGAGAUAGUGUUGGAACAGUUUGGAAUGCAAGGGUAAAAACCAAUGAGUACUCAACCAGCAACUCACUUCAAACUUUCAAGUUCUUUAUUACCAUAGACCAAAGAAGAAAUGGAGUACAUGUCACAUGUUCCAUAUGCUAGUGCAAUUGAUAGCAUUAUGUAUGUCAUGGUUUGCACUAGGCCAAACAUUUCACAUGUAGUUAGUGUGGUAAGUAGAUAUAUGGAUCACCUUAGAAAGAUCCAUUGGGAAGCAAUGAAUGGAUACCUUGGUACUUGAGAGGAACAUCACAUAUUGACUUAGUAUAUGAUAAAAGUAGUGACAUCUCUGAGGAAAUCGGUGGUUAUGUUGAUUCUGAUUAUUCUAGAGAUUUGGAUAGAAGAAGAUUUUUAAUAGGGUAUGUAUUCACUUUAUGUGGUAGUGUUAGUAGUUGUAAAGCAACUUUGUAAUCUACAAUUGUUUUAUCAACCACUAACGUAGAAUACAUGGUGGUCACAGAAGCAGUGAAAGAAAUUAUUUGCCUUAAGGGUUUGGUUGGUGAUUUAAGCUUACAAUAGGAGUUGAUUGUUAUGUAUUGUGAUAACCAAAGUACCAUAUUUGACUAAAAAUCAAAUGUUCCAUGAGAUGAGCAACCAUAUUGAUGUCAAUGCAUUUUAUUAUGGAUGUGAUCGCAUAGGGUGCUAUUAUAGUGAAAAAAAAAUCCUUAUAGUGGAUAAUCUCAUAGAUAUGAUGACUAAGUCCAUUUCUAUAGUUAAGUUUAUGCAUUGCUUAGACUUGGUGUUAAUAGUAUCUAAAGGCCCUUUUCAGGUGUGAGGUCGAAGUAACAUGGAAGACUUUUGAGUUUUUUUUUUUUUUUUUUUUUUUUUAAUCUUGAGAAUUUGAGCCAAGGUGGAGAUUGUUGAAAAAUAUUUCAAAUUCUAUUUUUGAGUCAAUUGGACAAUUGUAGAUAGUUUUCUAAUAGAAAAUAUUCUUGUAAGUGAGUUUCCUAUUAUUAUAAAAGAAAUAUUCUUUUAGUAAAAGACAUCUUUGACAAUUAUACACUUAGUGUUUUAUAUGGAAUAUUUCUAUGUAAUUAGGAAAAUAUAUGUAUAGGAAGAGAUUUUGACCAAAAUAGUGGAAGUCUCUUUUUAGGUGUAAUUGGGACUUUGGGAUUUGAAAGCUCUAAGGUUGUAAUCUCCUUCAACAAUAGUGGAAAUUCUUCUUUGUCAUCACCUAUGGAUGUAGGCUUGAGGCUAAACCACAUAAAUUGUUAUGUACUUUGUGUGUUUUGUUUUCAUUUUCUUAUUCUUUUAUCCCUAUUAUUAUUCUUUGUCAUGAUUUUUCCCAAUAGAAGUAUAUAUAUACCAUGAGACUUGCAUGGUGGGAAGGGUAUAUUUCAUAUUAGUGACAAGAAGCAGAGCUUACUCAAUUGUGCUUUUUCUUUCAGAAUAUGGAAGGGGUUUCCUUAUGCUCAAGAAAUGCAUAGAUUCAAUUGAAUAAAUUGAGGAAUGCUUUACUCAAUUGUGUUUUUCCUUUCAGAAUAUGGAAUGGGUUUCUUUAUGCUCAAGAAAUGCAUAGAUUCAAUUGAAUAAAUUGAGAAAUGCUUACUCAAUUGUAUUUUUCCUUUCAAAAUAUGGAAGGUGUUUCCUUAUGCCCAAGAAAUGCAUAGAUUCAAUUGAAUAAAUUGAGGAAUAUGAUUGUUCUUUUUCUUUUUCUUUUUAUUUUUUAAAUAAUAGAUGAGCCAAGAUGGAACUUACGUGGAACACAUUGAUUCCAGUCAUUUUCUUGGACAAAGAUAUGCCCAAAAUAUGGGAAAAAGGCAUUUUAAAAUUAAAAAUGAUUUUAAAUUUAAGAGUUUCUUUUUUAUAUGUUUAAAAACUUUUUAAUGGGUAGAUUUGAAUUGUAACUUGCAAUUUAAUCUAAAGAACAUUCGAAAAUUAAAAAUUACAAUAAUGAGAUUCUCAAUCCUUCAAAAUGAAAUUAAUUUAAUCCUCUUUCUUUGUAAAUUAUCCCUCAAUUAAAUCAAUCUUUUAAAAAUUGAAUCUACUAAAUGAUAAUAUUCAUAUUUAAUCAAUUUAUUGUUGGAAUUUAUAUAGGUGAAUGGAAAUUAGGACUUCUUUUUUUUUUUCCCCCUUGGAAAACAUGCUAUUUCUUAACAGACACAACUUGUUUUAAAGAAUAUGUCUUGUAUUUAAAAGACAUCUUAAGAUACAAUCCUUCAAAGGAUACUAGACACAUCUUUUCUAAUAAGUCACCUUCAAAUCUUUAAAUAGGGACCCCACAUAGCAUUUUCAUUCAUUCAUCCAUUCUCUCCACUCUUUCUCAUUUCUUGUCAUUCAAGUUCUCUUUAACUUCUAGUCUAGUCAUUUAUCUUUUCUACCAAAUAUUUGGUAUACAAGAGAGUACAAAUCACCAAGUGAUUCAUUGUUUCUUGUGAUUUGAAGUACUACUAUCACAAGAAAGUGAUCGUUGUAUCCUGGGAGACGAUUGUCAAUAAACCGUAAGCACCUAAGCGGGACAAAUUCGUCUUAAGAACACAGAGUCAAACUCUUGUUUCGAUCAACCUUAUUUGUAAGUUCCAAUUUUCUAAUUACUUCAUUUUAUUUGAAUAUUUAUUACACACACUUAUUAUCCAUAUAUUUUGAGUGAUAUGGAUAACAUUUAUCUUUUUGUAUAAAUUCCUAAAUUUAUAUAACAUAAUUUAAACUUAAUUUCAUUUUGAUUCAAUUUUGUUUCAUGUUUUAUAAUUCUAUAAGGUUGAAUUUAGGGAUGGCAAUGGGCGGGUUUUUUCGGGUACCCACCCCGUCCCGCCCCUAAUGAGACGGGGUUUAAAUUUAAUAAACGGGUUUGGGACGGGUAUGAGAUUUUUUUUUAAACCCGGGGCGGGUUCGGGUAUUGCUCCAUCCCACCCCGCCCCACCCCGUUUACAUAUAAAAUUAAUUUUAAUUCAACGAGCUUAAUUCCACCCAAGAAUCCCUCUUCCCAAACCCAGAAACCCCACCAUUUUUCCUUCACGAAAGCUCUCAAAACUCCACCUAAUCAGAUCUGUUCAAGAACAAUUUGAUCACCAGCCUCUUACUCGGUCAACACCCAGAUGGGAAAACAUGCUUUCCACUGCAGCAAGCUUGUACCCUCUCUAUGUCACUGCUGGAGGGGUUGUUGCAUGUGUGAAGCCAUCUGUUUUUGCUUGGUUUGUGGCGAGAGGCCCAGCUUCUUAUAGCUUAUCACUUGGGUUAAUCAUGUUGUCCAUGGGUAUCACAUUGAAGCUCAGGGACUUCUUCAAUUUAUUGAUCCAGAGGCCUUUUUCUGUGAGUUUUUUAUGGUUUGGAGUUUUUGGGUGUUUUGGUAUUUGAUUGUUUUUGAGACAUGGNNNNNNNNNNNNNNNNNNNNNNNNNNNNNNNNNNNNNNNNNNNNNNNNNNNNNNNNNNNNNNNNNNNNNNNNNNNNNNNNNNNNNNNNNNNNNNNNNNNNGUUGAAUUCCAAUCAUAAUUAAAAAUUAAAUUGAUUUGUUAUAAUAUUAAAUAAGAUAUCUUUUGAAAAAAUUAUUAUAAUCAUUUAACAUAAUACAAAUUUCACCAAGUUUUUCUAACUAUGGUUCUCUAAUAAUUACCUUGUAAUAAUAAAAUUAAUUCUAACAAUAUAUGUCAUAAUCAAAUUUCAAAAAUCCAAUCUCAAAUAAUUUAAUAGCUGAGUUUAAAUUUAAUUUUUGAAAUUCUUAAUUUCCAAAUGUGACUUGACAAGAAUUUAAACUAUUGACUUUCGACUAAGGUUUUACACAUUUUGCCUAAUUAAAUAAAAUAUUGACACGUGAAUGUUCACUAACAUCACGUGAUUCAUUGAUUUAGACGAUUCAUUUUGGUUGAUGUUGAGGAUAGUCAUCGGCAGUAGACUAACAUCUUCUGGACCAAUUAACAUACCAGUAGUGAUUAGGCCAAGGUGGUGAUCCAAUUCCAUGGAAGAGCAGCAAGAAAGGAGGAACGUUGGAGAGAUAGAACCAGAAGGCGGCCAACCAAGCAGGAACAGUGGCCAAACUGGCCUCGAGCCUGAGGAGCAUAGGAUUGACAUUGUUGAAAUCAGUCAUAGGGAUUGGAUUGAGUCUCUCAGAACGGCAGAAGAAAGAACUCAAUCUCAAAGUCAAUGGCCAAGGAUACCAAAGGUUCCUCAGAUGCUGAGGGGGACCCAGGAUUUCAAGAAAUUCUACGAACCGAGGGUAAUUUCGAUCGGUCCUUACCACCAUGGCAGGCCCCACCUUUACCCAGGGGAAAUGAUCAAGCCUCUAUGCGCCCGAAACUUCCUGGCUGAUAGUAAGCAGGACAUCGAAGCUUUGUACACAAAAAUUGUAAGUAAUAUCGAGGCAGUGGAAAAGUGCUAUGAUUGGAGUAGUACAAAAAAGUAUGAUGAUGAGAAACUCGCCAGGAUGAUGCUUCUGGAUGGGUGUUUUUUACUAUAUUUCAUCUGCAGGGAAGGUAUGAUAAACGUUCUUAAAGUUCACGAAAUAGAUUUUGUGGAGCAGGACUUGUUCUUGCUGGAGAACCAACUUCCCUUUGGAGUCCUCAAGUUGAUUUUUGAGGGAGCAAAUUUCAAGGUUGAUCUACCAAUGGAAAAGAAUAUAAUAAAAUUCGUCACUGUCAUCGGAAUGCCAGAAGGGUUGUCAUCAGAAAUACAGCUGAAAGAGGUGAACUAAGAGCCCUCUCAUCUCCUCGACCUUUUGCGAAGUGCUCUCCUAGGCAGGUUCCACAUGAUUAGGAGUCAGCCCGAAAAAGAGCAGCAACCUAAGAAAAAAGGAAAGUCGUCGUCGUCGUCUCAAGGAGGAAAGUGGGGGCUCCGUUGGCCAUGGAAAAAAGGCAAACAACGGGGCAUUAGGAAGUCUUUUCGACACAUCAAGGAGCUUAAAGCUGCCGGCAUCUACCUCAAACCGAGUAGAACGUGUUUCUUGAGAGACGUUUCUUUCAAAUCCUACUUCUUCUUUGGCUACCUGAAACUUCCCCCAAUAACCAUUGAUGACUUCACGAAGACCAAGUUCUUGAACAUGGUAGCCUAUGAAAUGUAUCCAGAUGCCCCAGAUGACUAUGCGGUCACUUCUUAUGUAUGCUUCCUUUACGACUUCAUUGAUGAUGCAGACGAUGUCAAGCAGCUGAGAUCUAAGCACAUUCUCCACAACCUUCUUGGCAGCGAUGAAGAUGUGGCCCACAUUUUCAACGAGAUCGGCAAUGGCUUGGUAGAUCCCGAAAUUUAUGGAGAUGUGAAAGCUCGUAUUCAGAAACACUACGACAAGAGAGUGAAUACUUGGAUAGCUGAAGCCCUUCACGGCCAUUUCAGGUCUCCCUGGACUUUCAUGGCUCUCAUUGCAGCUGUUUUAAUACUAAUUCUUACUGGGGUUCAGACCAACUACGCUCAUCCCGAUAACUAUAUAAAAUAUUUAUAUAUAUCGUCAAUUAUAAUUGGGAUUUGUUUUUUUCUUGUUCGGCAUGUUUGUGAUUAGACAAAUAAAGAUGUAUAAAUUAUUAAGUUGUAUCACUGGAUUUCAUGCAUGCAAUAUUAUGAGUCUUUUCCUCUCCACAUGAAUUUGCUAUAAUCUAUAAUGUCUGUUUGAAUUCAUAAUUUCCAGCUUGCUUUUUUCCGUUCUUUUUCAUAGACCAGGAUCAUACAUAACACAACAUUCACAUAGAAAAUUUUCGGUCAACAAUAUGUGAUUCCGUGGAUGGGAUGGGAUUGGAUUUACUCACACACUUUUUUAUCAAAGGAGAAAAUUAUGGAUAAAAUUAUAAUUUUGAUAUAUUUAUAAAUUGAGGGCUCUCUAAUUUUUAUUUUUUAUUUUUUAUAAAAGACAAAAAUAUCCAUUUUUAGGUAAUUUAAUGUUUAAUUUUGGAUUAAAAAAAUUUCAUAAAUAAAUACUACAUUUUUUAAUGAAGUCUUCCGAGCUUCAUUGAAAAAAUCUUCAAAUUUUCAACUUCUUUGAGAAAUCUUCGAAUACUCUCCAACUCUUCCAUAAAUUUUUUAUCUUCUUGGAAUCUCUUUUAAGAGCUUUAGGGCUUUUCUUUAGUUUUGAAAAAAAAACACACACACACAGAUUGAGUUAGAAAUGAAAGUGGAGAAAAGAAAAGUACUCGACAGUUUUGCAUACUGCUUGAUAGAACUCGUUAAAAUUGUUUAUAUCUCUGGCACUAAAAUACAUCUUGUAGCACUUAGUGAUCAAAGCCUGUUUUUCCUCCUUACUUCCAAUUUAGACAUGGAGAGGUGACACAAACUUUGAGAUAUUCAAUGAUUCAACAAAGCAUUCAUCAAAUAUUAUACUGUUUGCUUUGAUGGAGGGGCAAAGAAGAUGAUACCAGAAGUUAGCUUCAUGAGGGAUGCGCCUACCUUUUGAAUGGUUGGAUAUGAUGAUAUUGUUGGAAAGUGUCUCAAAAAUUAUUUUUGAGUCAAUUGUAAAAUUAUAGAUAAUCUCCUAAUACAAAAUAUUAUUGUAUUUAAGUUUCCUAUUAUUAUAGUGGGAAUAUUAUAUUAUAAAAUUUUUUUUUUUUUUUUUUUUAGGGAAAGAUAUCUUUGAAAAUUAAUAUACAUUUAGUUUUCUGUAUGCAAUCUUCCUAUAUAUGUAAUUAGGAAAAAAUACAUAGGAAGACAUUUUGAUCAGAAUAGUAGAAGUCUUUUUUUUUUUUUCGGUGUAAUUGAGACUUUGGGAUUUGAGAGUUAUAUGAUUGUAAUCUCCUUUAAUAAUAGUGAAAGUUCUUCUUUGUCUUCAUGGGUAGAUGUAAGUUUGAGGUCGAACCACGUAAAUCAUUGUGUACUUUGUGUGUUUUAUUUUCAUUUUUUUUCCUAAUAUUUUUUCUUUGUCAUGUUUUUUCACUAUAAAUUGGUAUAAGAGCAUAGGUUCUUAGACAUGGAAUGAUAAUAGAGUUUGAGGUUGAGAAGUUUGAUGGAAGAAAUAAUUGAAGUUUGUGGCGCGUUAAGAUGCUAGCCUUAUUAGUUCGACAAGGAUUGUCCAAAGCACUGAAAGGUGGAGAGACUCUACCAACAACAAUGUCUAAUGAAUAAGAGGAUGAACUUAUGGAGAAAGCGCACAAUGCUAUUCUAUUAUGCUUCGAUAAUGGGGUAUUUCGUGAGGUUGCAAAAGAGGAUACGACUACUGAGUUAUGGUUGAAGUUAAAAAGUUUGUGUAUGGCGAAGUCUCUUAUAAAUCACUUGUAUUUAAAAAAGCGAUCAUUUACUCUCUAAAUGACCCUUAAUUGUUAGGUUAUUUAAAUUGUGUUUUCUAAAAGUUUCAUGGUAUAAAUGGUAAACUUUUACAAAGUGAAAAGUAGCGAUGAUGUUUGUUAAAAAAAUGAUUUAAUUAACUUGGUAGUUUAUGAUGUUCACUAAUUUUGUUUUCAAACAUACACCAUAUUUUAUUAAUUACAUAAAAUUUGCUUAAGCUUGAAUAAGAACAGCCCCUUUUAAUCACUACUUUAAAAUUAAUGAAAUCAAAGUUCUUAAUUAAGAAAUAAUUGAUCUUAAUUUAUUUCUAUAAUUAUGAAAGAUUAGGGUGACCCCAAUCACAUUAAGUACUUUUUCAAAUGCAUUAUGAUAAGUGAUAACCACUAUGGAGGCAAUAAUUUAAUUAAUUUAUUUGUAUGCCCUAUCAUGCAAAAUGAGAGUGACCCUAAUUAAUAUAUGUAUAUAAAUGGGCACUUGAUCAAUUGAGAAAUAUCUAUUGAAAUAACUUCUUUUUUUUCCAAAAAAUUAUUUUUUAUUUUUAUUUUUUAUUGGGUAGGUAGACUUAAAGGGUCAGUAACCAAAUGGGUUGGCAAAAAAAUUUAAAAUUUAGUUAAAUGUAUAUUUCAGUUAAUUAAUUAUCUUAUAGCUGUCCAAUUAAUUCAUUAUUGAUUAAUUAUAUUAAACAUAAAUAAAAGUCACUUUCUUAAAGUGGAGAGUCCAACAUGCAUGAACGCCUUUUUUUAUUUUCUAAUUUUAUUGUUUAUUUUUGGAUAGAAAGAUAGCUUUUGACUGUUGCUCUUUCUUUUAUUGUUAUUAUUGUUAUUAUUAUUAUUAUUAUUAUUAUUAUUAUUUUGGCUCAGAUGCAGUGGGCUAAGACAAAUCUCCAUUCAAAAUUGAACAAAAUCCUCCAUUUCAACAUUUUCUUAAGCCCUUUAUUCAUUUUCAUUUUUUUUUCUCUAUAAUUUAUAACAUGCUAUAUAUAAUUAUAAUCGAUUUUUUUUUGGGUUAAAAUAUGACAAAAUUUCUAGAUCCCUUUUAAGUUAGUUAAUGAAAACUUCGUAGAAAGACAAAUAUACUCAGUGUCAUGAAAAUCAUUUUUUAACUUAUUUGAGAAAUUGUUUUAUAUUUAAUAAAAAAAUCUUUUCUAAUUUACUUGAGAAUUUAUUUGAGGAUUUAUUUAAUAUUUAAAGUGUGUUUGAUAAUAUUUUUACUUAAAAUAUUAUUAAUAAAAGUGUUUUUUUUAUUAAAGUGUUUUUUAGAAUAAUCACUUAUCAAAUGUUUCUUCAAAAUACAUUAAGUAAUUUUUCAAUAUUGCAAAUGAUUUUUCAAAAUUUUGAAAAUAUUUCCUAAAUUUUACCACAUAUCUAUUUUUAAAAAAAUAUUUUUUAGACUAAAACCAUUUUCUAAAAUCAUUAUCAAACGAUUAACUUCCACAUCAACAAAAAUUACCCAUUAACAUCAUACUUUAAACUUUGACUUUAAUUACUUAAUACACUCAAAAAUAAGAAGUUAUCUAAAUAUAAAACAAAAUUAAAAAAUUAUUAAAUUUCAACCACCCUACAUACUAUCAAACCAAAGUGGACACAAAAAUUUUGCUCACACUUUUAUCAUAUCAUGGAAUUAAAUUUAUAAGCUAUGGAUGUGAAAUAUGGGUCUACCAUGGUAUAAAUUAUAAAAAUAUUAAAAAAAAAAUUAGGGUAGGGGUGAAGCCCAAUUCAAAUUGAAGUACAAAAAUAUCAUACAUGGUGAGACAACUACAAUUCACAGCUAAGAUCCAUUUAUUUGUCUUGUAUGGAAGGUUAAGGGUCACUAUCUUUCUGGUCACCCAAUGGAUAUAUAGACCAUCACAGCUAAGGUCCCAGCCCCACCAAUCCACCAUGGACAACAUUCUCUUAUCAUAGUACUGUUUGAAUGCCUAGAUCACAUGCCAUUGUAUGCCUUGAUAGAUAAAAGAAAAUUUAUGAUAAUUUGUAUAAGAAACUUAAAUUUAUUAUUUUUAUUUUUAUUUUUACUAUUUACUAGUAUUACUAUUAUUUAGGUUCAGGUGUAAAUAGAUCUUUGAUUUUAUAAAAAAAUUAUUGAACGUUAUUUUAUCAUGUAAUUUAGUUUUAGAAAGCAAUUCGAAAACAUUAAGAUUUUUCUUGGUUAAACAUCUAUAUUGGCUAGAUAGUGAUUAUAAUGUUUACAAUAAUAUUUAUUAUAAGUUUAAUGCUAUGACAUGGAAUCGUAUUGUGCAUGGCAGGUUAUUUAACCUUGAUGUUACUAAUUUAGACUAAUAAAUAAAUAAAAGAUUGGUUAAUAUUGGUCUUAAUAUUAUUUAAAUUGAAAAUUAUUUAAUUUGUUUAUAUCAAUAAAGGUAUCUUUGAUUGCUUAAUCUCAAAUCCUCAUUUCAAUCACUAAUUUUGGGUUAUGUGAAUAUCAAAUUAAUGUAUUUUUGUAUUUUAUCGAUCUUCUAACUAACGUACUUAGCAUAUGUGUUUAAUAAUGUAAAUCAUAAAUAACUUGGUUUAUGAGAUAGACAUUUUGAUAUUGAUGUGUUAAUUAAAAAGUCAAACAACAAGUAUCUCUUUGUCGUGUUGUCUCUCAUGGAAAUGACCCUAACAUUAUCUUUAAGCUAGGUUUAUUUCUAAGCUCAUCAAGCAUUAUUAUUUGUUUAAUUAUUCCCUUUAAUAUGAAAUAAAUAAAUGAAGAUUGAAUCCAUUAAUAUAUUUUUUAUCACUUGAUUAUUAAUUGAUUGAGACACUUAAACCAAUCUUACUAUGCCCAAUAGUAAGAGAAUUGAUUUCAUAAAGAUACACUAAAUUUUUAUUAAAACUUCACACUUAGCUCUUUAUUUAAGUUGACGUAUUAGUGUUAUUAGGAGACGAAAAAUAUUAACCUAUCUUAAAUAAGGAAGUGAUGACUUGAAAAUGAAGUAAAACAACUAAAAAAUAAGCAUACAUACUUCGAUUUUAUAAUAUUUUUAACACAUGGCACAUGAAUCUUAGGAUAACGAUGUAUUGUAUUUAUGUAAAUUAUAUUAAGGCUUUAGCCCUAAUUGACCCAGUACUCGUUAUUUGUAUAAUAUAUACAGGACAAUGUGAAUUUUUAGAGAAUCAAAUAACAAAUUAAAUGUCGAGUUAUUAAUCAUUUGAGUCAUACACAAAUAAGUAUAUAAAUUUUUUUGCCAAAGCAUGCAUUACCAUGCAAGAAAUACCUAGUUUGCUUACCCUAAAAAGGGGUCAAAUUUGUUAAUUGAGAAUGAGAUCUCUUUUACAAAGACUCAACACGUAUAAUCAUGGCUCUUGGGAAAACAUUGAAUCUAUGGUAUUAAUUGGUAAUGUUCCCAAUUAAUACCAAUUGGAAUAACACUUUAAAAUAGUACGAAGAAAAGGAAAAACCCUAUUUAAAAUAUUGCAUGGUACCCACCAAUACCAACUAGAUUCUUUAUCAAAAUUAUUACCACCUAACUCAAAUUCAUACACUAAAUUUUCUGAUAAUAUUCUUUGUCUAUGUAAAUAAAAAUGUUAUAUCUAUAAUUAAUUUUUAAGUAAAAGUAUGGACUUUUCAACAAGAUGUAUGUAUAUUUAUUGUAUCAUACAUCAAGAUUGAAGAUAGUCUUCAAUCAUUGCAUAAAAAAGUUUAAUUAUUAUUAGAAAUGGAUCCAUGAAUGAGCAAAAUAACUUGAAAUAACCUUACACAAUGUAAAAUAUUUAAAAGAAUAAAUUAAUAAAUAAUAAUCCAAGUGUUUAACGAUUAGGGUUUUGACGAUAUGUUAAAUCAUCGCUUAUUUUUAGAGAUUAAAUAGAAUGUGUUUGAGAGUGUUUUUACUCGAAGUAUUUUUAAUGGAAGUUUUUCCUCAUAAAGUGUUUUUAGGAGAAUAACGUAUCAAUUAUUUCUAAACAAACACUAAAAGUAUUUCCUUAAUCUUGUCAACCAACUAAUAUUUUUUCAAAAACACUUUUUGUAAAAACCCACACCCUACCGUGUGUAGAUAUUGUCCGCUUUGUCUCUAAAAAGGUUUUUAUAACUUUAAAACACGUUUACAGGGUUAAGAAGAGCUUAUACUCAUAUGGUAUAAGAAACUUUUUUUUCUAUUUGAUGUGAGAUAUCACAAACAUCCUCUUAUGCAGACAUGUUCUCGUUGUAUCUCUUGGGAUUGUGGGGUCAAAUAGAUAGACACCCCUCAUAGGGUUAGACUAACUUCCACACUAUGGUUAGAAAUUAUCUCUAAUACCAUUUGUAAUAACCUACAUCCAACCAUAUAGAUAUUGUUAAUGACAUAUACCCAAUUAUAUAGAUAUUAUCCGUUUUGGGCUCAAAAGAUCCUUAUAACUUUAAAAUACGUCUACAAAAUUAUAAAGAACUCAUACUCAUAUAGUGUCAAAAAUUUUCAAAAUCACUAUUAAACAUACUCUUGAUUUAAAACUCGGAUAUUUAUACCUCACAAUUAAGUGAUUCAUUUACCAUUUCUUCCAUCAUGAGUCUAUUUCACUAUCCAUUGAUCCCUUGUUUAUUGACAAAAUAUUAUUUUCUAACCAUUUUUAUCCCUUGACACUAUCUUCGACUAUUUCUUUUUUUAUUAAAAUUGAUUAGAUAUAUAUAUAUAUAUAUAUAAUAUUGUUUGUCGAAUUUCCAAGGAAAUUAGGUUGAUUUGCCAUUCGAAUUAGUCAAAGGUAAUGUUUUAAGGGAACAUCCCACAUCAAUAAGAAAAAAGAUUUACUGUCUUCUGGCAGAUUUACUCUUAUAUUAGCUGUUAAUUUUCUUUAAAAAUUAUUAAAUUAUCUUAAUACUUAAGCAAUGAUUAUAAAUUGGGUAGUCAUAUUUGGAUUAGUCUUACACAUCACCUCAUAAAGAGUGUAUGACUUUGUAUUUAAGCCAAUCUAUAAGUUUGAAGCCGGCCUAUUAUUUUAAUUUCUUUAGGUUGAACUUAAUUCAACUUAAAUAAUUACCACUUGCACCUCCACCCCAAUAGGAAAACUCCCCCCAAAAAAAAAAAAGAAAAAAAAAAGGGUUUUUCUACUUAGAAUUAGGAAAUCACUACUUUUUCUUACCUUAAUUUUCUAUUUAAAAAUGGGAAAUGAUAAUAAUUUUAUCAUAACAACACUACUUUGAUAACAAACUAAAGCCCUAUUUGGCCAUAUUUUCUCAAACUUUGUUUUAAAAACUAAUUUUAAAUUAAAGAAUAGAAAACGGUUUUUAAAAAUAAAUUUUUGGUCAAGGGGGCCAUAUUUUCCUUUCGUUUUUAAAAAACUGAUAAAAACAAUUUCUACUUUUUCCUAAAAAUUAUUCUAUAUUUCACUUUAUUUUUAAAAAUUAUUUCCCAAAAAUAAAUAGUAUUAGAAAAUUUUAAAAACGGGUUUCUAUUUUUAAAAACAAAAAACUGUUUUUAAAUCAUUAUACCAAACAGACUCUAAGUUUUAAAGAAUUUAAACAAAAAAUGAAUAAUAAAAUUUGAUCACUCAACGAUUCUCCAUCGAAGUCAUUAACUCUUUUCCUCUAAUUCCCCUCAUUUAAACUUACUUCCAAUAUUAAUCACAACAAAUAAGUAAAAUUUAAUAGUUCUAAACAAAUUUUAAGUUUCGUAUUACUUCAACUUAAAUAGUUAAGAACAAAUUAAACAAAAUUUGUAUCAAGUUAAUUUAAACUAUUAAGUAUUAAUUUAAUCUAUGCCUACAAUAAGAGACAUAUUUGAACUUAAAUCCUAAAAAUUAAAAAAAGAAAAAUAAAUAAAGACUAACAAUGUUGACCAUGAUUUUUAAGUGGUUUUAUCAUCAUUAUGAGAAGUUUGUAAAUGAUAUCAUUUUUUUUCUUUAAAUUUGAAAGUUUGUGAAAAAUGUUUAGGAUGUUUGUUUCCAGUGAUGAAUUCAGAGACGUAGAGAACUCCAAAAUGUGGGUCAAAUAAUUCAAAAUCAAAUUGAUGAUAAAGAUAUGGGCAAAUAAUCCAAAAUGUGGGAAGACAAUGAUGAUGAUGGCUGCCUAAUACAUACUUAAUCAUCAAGAUUUUGGGCAAAAAUCUCAAUUGGUGGGCCCAAUCAUAAAAUGGCUUUUCACUUUUUGUUUGUUUAUUUAUUGGGUGUCAUUCAAAUAAAAGAAUGCUCUACAAGGUGCCACUUUGUGUUUUGGGUCUAAUUGGGCCCAAAAAUUAAGAUAUGGUCCAUAUAUAUUCCAUAUUUAAUAGAAAAGAUAUGAGAUAUUAACUAACCAAUAUACCCUUAAAAUUUCCGGCUCAGAUUGUUGUAAAUUAAUGGGUUUGACAGGUGGUAAACUUGAAAUGCCAUGUCACUUGACUGAAAAAUCUGAAAUAAAGGGCAUAAGGGUCACCACCCUCCUACCCCUUUCUCUCCCUUCGUAAACAACAUGCUCACAGACGAUGUCAACUGUGAUUGUCCUCCUAUUGGUUUCUUCAGCAGUUGAGGAUUGUGAGCAACUUAGAAAAGCCUUUGCAUGUAUUUUAUCAUCAUCAUUCCCAAAUCCAAAUGACGGUGAGUCUGAAUUAUUUUCUCACAUUUUGAUUUGAUCAUGUUGGUUCCUUUGAUGAUGUGGUGGAUGUUUGUUUAUUGGGUUAGUACAAGGUUUGAGGAAAGACAUUUGUUUUGAUCUCGUGUUGGGGUGUUUAAAAAAAUUUUGAACUUAAUAACAUAGUGUUUUUGGGUGCAGGGUAGGGGAUAAAUGAGGCUUUGAUCAUAUCCAUCUUGGCUCAUAGGAAUGUAGAACAACCUAAGUAAAUUCAAGAAACUUACAGUGAAUAUUAUGGAAAAGAUCUCCUCAAAAAUGGCAUUUCACAAGUCUUAAAAUUUUUCACUUUAGAAUCUGCUUGUUAGGUUUAUAGUCCAGAGAAGAAAUGGGUAUCGUCUAGACGGUGAGCUUUGGGGAUGAGCUAGCCCACUUAUGAUGAAUAAGAAACUAAAUUGGGUUUCAUUUUUCCCCUUUUCACUUAGCUAUGACAUUGGAAUGUGGUUAACUCGCCCAUAUGCACUCGUUAAGUUGUAGCUAGAUCGAAUUCCUGCAACUGUACAAGGCAUUUACACAAAGUGUGUAAGGCUAAUGUACUAAAUAUACAAGGGUGUGUAUUUUAAGGGGUUUUAAGUGAUUUUAAUGAACUUACUCAUUUACUUUUUCCAAUCAUGGGGACAUUCCUAACACAUAUUGCUUGACAACACACUAAUUGUAUGCAUUUUAUUUGAUGUUUAUCAUGUUAAUUCAUUCUAUUAGCUCCCAUACUAAUGAUGAAUAUGAACCGAAAUGAGGGUAAACUUUUUCCUCCUUUUCCCUAAUCCAUGAGAAUGAAAACAUUGUUUACACACCCAUAUGUACUCGUUCGUUCGUACCUAUUUUGGAUUUCGUUAUUGUACAAGGCAUUUACACUAAGUGUACAAUGCAAAUGUGUUAAUUAUACAAGUGUGUACAAGACUUUCUAUCUUGAAAGAUUUCAACUGCUUUUGAAAAAAUUGCUUGCUCAUUUCUUUUUUCUAAGGGGUACAUUCCUCAUAGUCAUUGCUCAUAGGAUAUAUGUUUGAUAAUUUUUGUCAAAAGGAACAACAUAGCAUACUUAUUUUUAUCAGAAUUUGCACUUUAGAUAUUGGUAGUUAAGACCUUAGAAUCGGCAUUCAUGAUGAGAAAAUUAACAUGAAAAUAUCAUUAUGACACAUUAUCAAACAUAUAUCCUACAUCCACCAUUACUAUAAAAAGAAACAUUAAUAUUUUGUCUGUAACCUGAAAAACAACAUAGAGUCUAGCUGAGGGUUCUCUUCCUCUUAUGCCUCCAUUUUUCUGGAAACAAAAUCAACUCAGAAGAUAAGACUUAAGUUCAAAAUAUAUAAUUUCUUAGUUAUCUCAGCAACAAAUAGAUCUAGUAUUAUUGAUUUCUGCAAAGAACCCAAUAGAUCUAGUAAAGCCAGAAUCCCAAUUAGGAUAUCCCCACCAAAUAAUAGUACAGAAAGCAAGAUUCAAUUUUAAAAACGGGUUUCUGUUUUUAAAAACAAAAACCUAUUUUUAAAUCAUUAUACCAAACAGACCCUAAGUUUUAAAGAAUUUAAACAAAAAAUUAAUAAUAAAACUUGAUCGCUCAAUUAAUUUCCAUCGAAGUCAUUAACUUUUUUUCCUUAGUUCCCCUCAUUUAAACUUACUUCCAAUAUUAAUCACGACAAGUAAGUAAAAUUUAAUAGUUCUAAACAAAUUUAAAGUUUCAUAUUACUUCAACUUAAAUAGUUAAGAACAAAUUAAACAAAAUUUGUAUCAAGUUAAUUUAAACCAUUAAGUAUUAAUUUAAUCUAUGCCAACAAUAAGAGACAUAUUUGAUCUUAAAUCCUAAAAAAAUAAAAAAAAUAAAUAAAGACUAACAAUGUUGACCAUGAUUUUUAAGUUGUUUUAUCAUCAUUAUGAGAGACAUGGACCCCAAUGGGAGUCACUUGAUGGAGCCAUUGACAAAGUGAUCAAUUAUUACUUGAUUAAGAAGAAAGUUUGUAAAUGAUAUCAUUUUUUUUCUUUAAAUUUGAAAGUUUGUGAAAAAUGUUUAGGAUGCUUGUUUCCAGUGAUGAAUUCAGAGACGUAGAGAACUCCAGAAUGUGGGUCAAAUAAUUCAAAAUCAAAUUGAUGAUAAAGAUAUGGGCAAAUAAUCCAAAAUGUGGGAAGACAAUGAUGAUGAUGGCUGCCUGAUACAUACUUAAUCAUCAAGAAUUUGGGCAAAAGUCUCAAUUGGUGGGCCCAAUCAUAAAAUGGCUUUUCACUUUUUGUUUAUUUAUUUAUUGGGUGUCAUUCAAAUAAAAGAAUGCUCUACAAGGUGCCACUUGGGCUAAUUCAAAAGGGUUCAUUUCAUUCUCAUUAUGAUAGCGCUAAUUCAAAAGGGUUCAUUUCAUUCUCAUUAUGAUAGCUUAGACUCCAGUAUGGGAAAAAGCAUGAGAUUUAAAAACAAUUUCCAUGAAAAAUAUGGUUAAGUGGAAAAAAAAAAAAAAAAAAGGGAUGGAUAAAUAAUUAGGGUUUUUAAAUUAGCAAAAUAAUUUUUUUUUAAUGUUAAGGAAUUUAUUUAUAAAUCAAGAUAAAUUUGCCUUACGGAGAGUCUGUGCAGUGUUUUUAGUUCAUAAAGUGUUUUUAAAAAUAAAUUAGGUUUUUUACAAAAUUAAAAAAAAAAACAUUUUUUUAAAAUUAGAAAAAUCACUUAUAAUAUUUUUUUUUAAAAACACUUGAUUUUCCUAAAAACACUAUCAACACUGUCAAUGGCACUCAAAAGUCACAGGUUUAUACCACUUCCCCAAAAUAAUUUUUAUAUAAUUAAUAUUUGUAUACAUGUUAGAAUUUUGUUUUAAAAUUUUAAAAUAAAUAAAUAAAAUUUAAAAGAAAAGAAAUUUAAUCUGCAUUUUUAUAGUAAUUACCACAAGUUCCUCCUCCGACCCCAUUGAUCCCACACAUGUUCCUGAUUUUAUUUUCUCAAGAAACAAACAGAACACAAGAAAAUUGCAACCAACCCUCUCUCAACUUCUUAAUGACCAAAAGAAGUAACCCUUUUGUGGGCUGUUUAGGCUCUACCAAUACAUUUAUCUGAAAACUUUCAACCAAAUCAAAACUCUGGAGCAUUGUACUACAAGAUUAUGGAGUGACCUAAAAAGAAAAAAUGAAAAGAAAAGAAACUCUGAAGCGCAAGAGAAGCUUCAACAGACUCCCAAAAUGCAAUAAGCAACAAGAAAAUAACUUCUACUCUAUGAGUUUAGAGCUAAGCAUAAGAAAUUAGAGAACAAAACGGAAUUGGUUAAUAAAUUUCAAGCAACAGAGUUCAACCAUGGGCAGAAAAAAGAGGGUGUAAGAAAUGGAAGCCAUUGGAUUCCGCGUAAAAUAGCACCUGCUGCUCUUGAAUUGGUUCGUCAAACAAGUAUAUAAGAGAGUUGAAACUGUCAGAAAAAUCAUUGAAGAUGGAGAAAUCCUCCUCAACAAUCACAAGGACACCCAUUAUGUCAAGAGUAAGAUAAUUACAGGAAUCAUACAAUACUGAAGAAUUGCAGAAACUUGGAUUAUAAAAUGACCACUUGAAACUGGAAAUCCUAUGAAGGGCCACAGCAAGUUGCUAUCAAAGGGGAGGGGAGAGCACCCUAUUCCUCGAGUAACCCAAUAUUUCAUUAACAAGAGAGGCCUUUCUCCUCUUCCCAGAUCAAGAACCAGACUAUGAUUAAAAAGGAUUACAGUUUAGUGUUCGAGUUUCACCCGCUAUAUAUACUUUCAAACCAUUAGAAAACUGAAGGAGAUUGUCGUAUGUUUUGUAUAGCAGACUCACCUCCUCAACAGCUGUUUCUCUAAGAUGGAAAUUCCAAGUUGACAAGCUGCUACUUAUGAAGUACCAUUAUCACAGUGCUGAGUGAAGCUUCCAUCCUUUUGCCCAGAAACUUAUUUUUGGUAAUGAUGUUCUGUACUGUGAUGUGGUCAUUUUCUAAGAUUGGCAACUAGUUAAUGUCGUAAAGACUAUAGAAAAGUUCUAAUUCCAAAUGUAUUUUUGCAUCUAAAAAUUUAGUACAAGAACUGCCUGUCAAUCAAGUAAUAAUUUCAUACUUGAGCAUCUAUAAAUUUUAAUCUCUUGGCCGAGUAUUCAAAACCAAAUAUUAGUCUUCAUGGCCUCAGCACUUGGCUUCCAGACAGAAUGUCUGCCAAUUUCACCUUUCCCAGUCACAAUAAUUAGAUGAAUUCCAUCAUCCAUGAUGUUAACUAAAAGACCCACAUAUCCAAUUUACCCUCCAAAUAAUUGACCUGGAAAAUAAGGAGAAGAAAAAAAGUGUCAUUUGAAAUGGAAACAGAUAAACGAUGUAGAGUAGCAAAGUAUAAGAAGCUCAUGCUUCUGAAUUCUCACAGGAAAAAGUAGUAUUUGUUUUGGCUUCCUUUUUCUUUUCCUUUUUUAGUGCAUUUAGUAGUUCUUCUUUCAAUAGUUCCUCUCAGGUUUGUCCACUGACCAAUCACUGCCAUGAGAACACAGUAUGAAGAGGCAACGCUGUUGCCUUUCUAAAUCGUGUAACAUUCAGUAUGGCUGCUGGCAAGCUGCAAGAUCUAAAACCUAUUUCCAUAAGCGGAUUCAAGUUGAGUUAGCAUGCUCGGAUCAAUUCUUGGGUCUUUUAGGCAAAAAUACACUAUAUUGGGAGCAGUCACAACAAUCUGAAUAUGGAUAUUUAUAUCAUGUUGUCAGCUUCUAGAACAUUACAGUUAUAGCAUACCGCAGUUGACCAUCAUAAUUGAAGUUGAAAAUCCACCAAACAAUACCUUAAGAAAAAAAACUUCGAGUGUUUAUCCAUCCAUCCAUGAUUGACUCUCCAAAUGUUUAGAUCUGUUUUUAUCCACUAGGUUUGUCAUCACAAGUGCAUGAAUGAACAAUUGCAAGACAUAUGAAGACGUUGAAUCUUUAUGCAUAAUAAUGCUGAUGAUUCCCUUCAUUUCCAGCAGCAAAUACUUAAAAAGCCCAGAAGAGAAACAAAAACUAAACUGAGCCAGAAUUUUUGGUCCAAAAUCAUCCCUAUGAAAAUACUAGCUAGUGCUCAACCUUUCUUAUAAUGAGAUUCUGCAGAACAUAAGAGGUCUGCCCUGUUUGGCAAAGACAAGUAUGAAUCAAUUUUCAGUUAUCGGCAUGAUAAAAUGCAUUAAGCAGCCAUGGUUAGCAGGAGCAGCUCAGAGUCAUUUGUAUUGCACAGACUUAAGAAGAUUUGGUCCAAGCUGAAGAGGCAUUGAGAUAUGGAAAAUAGUAAUUCGAUGGUUCUAAGAGGGUUCCCCAGUACAUCAUUGAAGAAAAGAGACUGAAAAAUUGGCAUUCUUAAAAUUGCCAUGUUUCCAGUUGGCAGAGUAAACCUUGCACCUGAGGCAACCCUGAUAUUUAGUGCAUAAGCUUAAUGGACUCAAAAACUCACAUUUCCAGACGAUCAAGUGAGGAGACCCGCAUAGCCAUCCGUCUAUGUAGAGACUUUGCAUUCUUCAAGCUCCAUGAUGAGGCCCAUAAAGGUAGAACAUGUUCCAUCUUAGAGACCUCUUGUGGGGAUAGAACUGGAAACAAAUAGAAUUGUAAGAAUUCAAAAAACAUAAAUCCUGGUUCAAGAUACAAGAUUAUGGAUAUAUGUUUGGCUAAAGCAAUAAAGUUAAAGAGCUGCCUCCAUGUGGAAGCCCAGAUGGAGACAAAUAUGCAUACUUCCAAAAGUUGAGAUGUUUAAGGUUAGGAAGCAGUUUUUGCCGGUUAAGAAUUAUUAGACCAAGCCUCUUCCCUAGUACCAGUAAAACAUUUCAUAGAACCAGUAAAUGAUUUGACCCCUUAUGAAGUGGACAAACCAUGUUCAGUCCUGGUCUUUUCUGGCAGUGGUGUUUCAGUUUCUUCGAAUAGUUAAGCGUAGAAUGUUAAUUCACACGAAUGUUAAUUCAAUUUUUUCCUCUGCCCUAGUUGAUGAGGAAAUUGCAGCGUUUGCAAAAAGAAUUUAGGAAAUUCUUUAAAAAUAGAAAGAAGAAAAACUUUUAAGUAUAAAGAAGAUCUCAAAAGAUCUAAAGGAUCUCCACCUUGGGCUUGUGCUUAAGCUCCUAAAGAUUCUAAAGUUUAUUUUUUUGCAACAAACAUUGAGUAAUGCUAUCUAUAAAUCCGAGUUCAUACAUGAGCAUCAACGGUAGAUGCUUAUAACAUUGUAGACAAAUUGCUACAAAAUUGGGUUUUGUCUUAGAUCGCCAAAACAGGAGACUACUAGGACUCUGUGUGCAUGAAUAAUAUCGUAGGCAAUCCUAUUCCAGAUUAAUUUGUAACUUGAGUCCCGUAAGUAUGACUAGUUCACCAAAAUACAUUCACUUAAAGUUUAAAGUGGCUGCAGCCUACGUGAACACUGAAACACCUAUCCUAUUCUGUCCUUGAACACACGUUAGGGACAGUGAGUAAUCUAGAGAUCCAGUUUUUGUGCAUGGAAAAUAAAAAUGUUUUUUGUAAAUUCUAAAAUUGGUUAAUCAAGGCUACAAUUGAAGAAGACCAGAAUUUGAUAUCCACUUGGUGGCUUAGUGGAUCAAGAAGGAAAUUACACUUUGUCCAAUCAAGAUAGAGAUUUGAUUGGUUAAGUGAAAAAGUUGCACCUAGAUUGAUCAAGUGUUGGUUCACCAAGCUUAUAAAUUCAACCAAUUUAUUGAAGUGUUAUAAUUGGGUUUGAACUCUCUUAAAGAGUUCUGGACUCCAUAAAUAUUGUUAAAGUAUAUUAUGUUAUGGGCUUUAGGCCCAGUUAGGUUAUAGUACACUUUACUUGUACCGCACACUUGUACCGCACACAUAUGCCUCCUAUAUAAAGGCGCUGAUGUAUAUUCUUUAAUCAAGAAAUAGAAUACAAUUAUUCUAUAUUUCAAACAUGGUAUCAGAGCCACUGCUCUGACCUUUUCUUAGCAGUCUUGUCUUCAUUAGUGUGACUUCCUUUAAACGCUUCCGCCAUCACAACUGCCGCCGCAGCCUCUUGCCGUUGAACCUCCGAUGUCAUCCAGCCGUCGUCCUUGGGUUCUGGACCUGUAGCCGCCGUCGUUAAGGAGUUUCACACUGCACAGACCACUGCUCUUUACAUCACCGCUGCGAAUAUUGCUCCGAUUUCAUUUUUGAAGGUACCACUGAGAUCGUCCAGCGCCGAUCUACACAUUCGUGGAACCCUUGCCACCAUCGGAGACCGCACGCGCCCCCACGCACCGCUCAAAGAUUCUGCGACGCUGAUCACGCGCCUCCACGCGCUCUCACGAGCCAGGCCUGGUCUGCUGACAUCAUCAUCUCUGCCACGUCAGCCAUAGCUGUGUCAGCAUCCACUGAUCUGCUGACGUCAUCUCCACGUCAUCUUCAGCCGUUGACCGUUGACUUUGACCGUUAACUUUUCCAGUUGACUUUUUUUCCGACCAGGUUCUCCUUACCCAGUUUUUCAUGUAGAUUUCAUUUCUGCAGUCGGUUUUUGCAUAUUGUGUCUCUAAAUGGAUAAAAAAGAUGUUUUUCUUCCUCACCCCAUCAAUUCUGUAUUGAAGGGGAAUAAAAAUUACUUAUCCUGGUCUCAAGCUAUGCGCAGUUUUCUUAAGAGUCGCAUGCUCUGGCAUUAUUGUACUGGUGCAAUGACUAUUCCUGUCAAGGGAGCAAGUGAAGAAGAUGUUGUCUUUCUUAGUCGCAUGAUUGAAUGGGAUAGUCACAACCACAUGAUCCUCACAUGGAUCCAGAACACUUCCAUUCCCUCUAUUUCCAAUCUAUUGGGCAGCUUUGACGAUGCAAAAUCUGCAUGGGAUAUGUUGACCAAAAGGUACUCCACUACUCAUGGAUCCAUGAAAUAUCAGUUAGUGGUUGAAUUGCAUCAACUCAGGCAAGAACCGGGGCAAUCCAUCAAUGACUAUUAUGAUCAGCUUCGCUUCAUUUGGGACCAAAUUGACCUUUCUGAUCCAACUUGGGCAUGCUCAAAAGAUGCUCAGCAAUAUGCUUCCAUCAGAGAUGAAUUUCGCCUCUAUGAAUUCUUGAUGUCACUUCACAAGGAUUUUGAGCCCAUUCGUGGUCAGCUGCUAAAUCGCAGUCCUGCUCCCUCUCUUGAUACUGCUGUGAAUGAGUUGGUUAGAGAAGAAGCUCGUCUUGCAACCCUUCAAGCCCAGAAUAAGCUCAAUGUUUUGGCUAUUGCUCCAUCUACUCCACUCAUAGAGCAACCUCAGCAAUUAGGUGAUUUUUCUGGCUCUAGCAAUUGUCGCAAGCAAACCAACAAGAAGUUCUGCAACUAUUGCAAGCGUCCUGGGCACACCAUUGAGACUUGUUACCGUCGUAACAAAUCUACUGCUGCUGUUGCUAAUACUAAGCCUACUCCGCCAACGGCUUCCACCUCAGUUGAGUCCUAGUCUUCUGGAUCUACUAUCAAUCUCUCCUCCACUGAACUACAGGAGAUCAUAGCUCAGGCUGUUCGUAUGGCUGGUAAUGCAUCUCUUUCCACUGCUUUAUCUGUUCUACCUGGUAAGUCUCAAACUUGGCUUUUUGAUUCUGCCUGCUGCAAUCACAUGACACCUCACUCAUCCCUAUUCUCCAACCUUGACCCUGCACCACAUCCUCUAAAUAUUCAUAUAGCUGAUGGUUCCACCAUGCAUGGAAAUAGUCUAGGUUUUGUUUCAACCUCUAAUCUUUCUGUUCCUGGAGUCUUCCACGUACCUGCCCUAUCCUAUAAUUUGUGCUCUGUGGGACAAUUAGCUGAACUAGGUUAUCGCUUUAUUUUUUACUAUUCUGGGUGUAUUGUGCAGGAUCCGAGGACGGGGCAGGAGCUUGGGACCGGUCCUAGAGUUGGGCGUAUGUUUCCCAUGAACAAUCUUCAUCUUCCACCUGUUGCUCCUGUUUCUGUUGUUGCUGCAACGGCUGCAAUUUCUUCCUUACCUUUUCUUGCACUUUGGCAUUCUUGUCUUGGUCAUGCACCAUAUUCUCGGGUACAACAGUUAGUGUCUAGGGGUCUAUUGGGUUCUGUGUCUAAAGACAAUUUUGAUUGCACUUCAUGUCAGUUAGGAAAACAGCCAGCUUUGCCUUUUAAUAACAGUGAAUCCAUUUCUAAUAGUAUUUUUGAGUUAAUUCAUUCUGAUGUUUGGGGACCUUCUCCUGUUGCUAGUAUUGGUGGAUCUCGAUAUUUUGUUGUUUUUAUUGAUGAUUAUUCUCGUUAUAGUUGGAUUUUUCCUAUGAAAUCUCGUUCCGAAAUUUUAUCAAUAUAUAGCAACUUUGCAAAAAUUGUUGAAACUCAAUUCUCCAAACGUAUCAAAACCUUUCGAUCUGAUAAUGCUCUUGAAUAUACUCAAUAUGCAUUUCAAGCUCUGUUACAUUCCUAUGGCACUAUACAUCAUCUAACUUGUCCAGGUACCUCUCAGCAAAAUGGUCGAGCCGAAAGAAAACUUCGUCAUAUUCUUAACACUGUUUGUGCUCUACUUCUUUCUGCCAAAGUUCCUGCCCCAUUUUGGGGUGAAGCUAGUCUUCAUGCUGUUCAUGCAAUUAACCGCAUUCCAAGUGCUGUCAUCCAUAAUCAGACUCCGUAUGAGCGUCUCUUUGGGUCACCCCCUAACUAUCAUCACCUUCGUUCCUUUGGAUCUGCUUGUUUCGUUCUUCUUCAGCCUCAUGAGCACAACAAACUUGAGCCUCGAUCUAGACUCUGUUGUUUCCUUGGUUAUAGCGAAACUCAAAAGGGGUAUAGGUGUUAUGAUCCUGUCUCUCAUCGUCUUCGUGUUUCUCGUCAUGUUGUCUUUUGGGAACACCGAUUGUUUGUUGAACUCUCUCACUUUUGUUCUUCCUUGACUAACUCCUCUGUUUUAGAAAUCUUUCCAGAUGAGUCUCUUAUUCCUUCUACAAAUACUUUUGAUCCUCCUUUGGACUUCUCUCUAGAUAUCUUUGAUGCUUCUCCUAGACAAGUUGCAGAUGAACAGAUUAAUGACGAGCUACCCCACUUUGAGCCUAGGUCCCCUGCUCCUGCUCUACCUGAAGAUCCUCCACAAGACAUUCCACCUCGCCACUCAACCCGGGUAAGAUCCAUUCCUCCACACCUCCUUGACUAUCAUUGUUACACUGCCCUUGCUACACUUCACGAGCCUCAAACCUAUCGUGAGGCCUCUACUGACCCUUUAUGGCAGAUUGCAAUGAAAGAGGAACUUGAUGCAUUAACCAAAAACCAUACUUGGGACCUGGUUACUCUCCCUCCUGGACAGUGUGUGGUUGGUUGUAAGUGGAUCUAUAAGAUCAAGACUCACUCUGAUGGAUCCGUUGAGCGCUACAAGGCUCGUCUUGUUGCCAAAGGUUUUACACAGGAGUAUGUGAUUGAUUAUGAAGAGACGUUUGCUCCAGUUGCUCGUAUCUCAUCUGUUCGUGCUCUCUUAGUUGUUGCUGCUGCUCGUAAAUGGGAUCUUUUUCAGAUGGAUGUUAAAAAUGCCUUCCUUAAUGGGGAUCUGAGUGAAGAAGUCUAUAUGCAACCUCCUCCUGGUUUCUCUGUUGAAUCAAACAAGGUUUGUCAUCUUCGACGUGCACUUUAUGGUCUCAAACAAGCCCCACGAGCUUGGUUUGCCAAGUUCAGCUCCACUAUUUUUCGCUUGGGUUACACUGCCAGUCCAUAUGAUUCUGCCUUAUUUCUUCGUCGUACUGAUAAAGGCACUAUUUUGCUUCUUCUAUAUGUGGAUGAUAUGAUCAUAACUGGUGAUGACCUUAGUGGCAUUCAAGAACUCAAGGAUUUUCUCAGUCAGCAGUUUGACAUGAAAGAUCUUGGACAUCUCAGCUAUCUCUUGGGUCUUGAAAUUACUCAUUCCACAGAUGGUCUUUAUAUUACUCAAGCCAAGUAUGCUUCUGACCUGUUGUCUCAAGCUGGACUCACUGAUAGCAAAACUGUUGACACUCCAGUUGAACUUAAUGCGCAUCUGACACCCUCGGGGGGGAAACCAUUGUCUAAUCCUUCUCUUUACAGACGAUUGGUUGGCAGCUUAGUUUAUCUCACAGUUACUCGUCCAGACAUCUCCUAUGCUGUUCAUCAGGUGAGCCAGUAUUUGUCUACACCACGAUCAACUCACUAUGCUACUGUUCUGCGUAUUCUUCGAUACCUGAAGGGUACCCUUUUUCAUGGCCUUUUCUACUCAACUCAGUCUCCUCUUGUACUCCGUGCAUUCUCAGAUGUUGAUUGGGCAGGAGAUCCUACUGAUCGCAGGUCCACUACAGGUUAUUGCUUCCUCCUUGGUUCUUCUUUGAUUUCUUGGCGAAGUAAGAAACAAACUUUUGUGGCCCGUUCCAGUACUGAAGCAGAAUAUCGUGCCCUUGCUGAUACCACUUCUGAGCUCCUUUGGCUAAGAUGGCUUCUUAAAGAUUUGGGUGUGUCCACCUCCUCUGCUACUCCUCUUUAUUGUGACAACCAGAGUGCUAUUCAUAUUGCUCACAAUGAUGUCUUUCAUGAACGGACUAAACACAUCGAGAUUGAUUGUCAUUUUAUCCAUUAUCAUCUUGUCCAUGGUGCUCUUAAGCUUUUCUCCGUCUCCUCUAAAGAUCAACUUGCAGAUAUCUUCACCAAGUCUCUUCCUAAGAGACGCACUCGUGAUUUAGUUGACAACCUCAAGUUGGUCUCACAUCCACCUUGAAGUUGAGGGGGGCUGUUAAAGUAUAUUAUGUUAUGGGCUUUAGGCCCAGUUAGGUUAUAAUACACUUUACUUGUACCGCACACUUGUGCCGCACACUUGUACCGCACACAUAUGCCUCCUAUAUAAAGGCGCUGAUGUAUAUUCUUUAAUCAAGAAAUAGAAUACAAUUAUUCUAUAUUUCAAACAAAUAUAAUUUUUUUUAUAGGCAACAAGAACAACAAAGUACACACUAAGUGUCAAAGGACAGGUACGAAGAAGACAGAGGAAGGAACAAAAAUCAAUACCCUUUCUCCUCCAUACUCAGAACUAAUCAAGUUCACAAAGCCUAUCAAGGACAUGAGAUUAACAUCAACAUAUAAUUUAGCCCAUUCAGCAAAAGUAUAUUCAUAAAUGAUAGUUUAAUUGCUUAUUCUGUCUUUUCUGAAUCUUCAAAGGUCUUUUAGUUUCUUUCCAUCCAAAGCAUCCAGAAUAGAACAUGGAGCUGCCCUCCAUGUUUUUUUCUGCUUCUUGCCCAGAAAGGAGCCAUGUUAGCUUAACAAAGCUUCCCUCACCAAGGAAUGGAACACCUAAACCACACUAAAAAUAGAAAAAAUCAACUACCACAGAAUACUAGCCAUCGAGCAUUGAAGGAGCAAAUGAUUAGUCGACUACUUGUCCUUUUUACACAUGUAGCACCUAUUCUGAAUACUCCAUCCCCUCUUUUUAAGUUGCUCAAUUGUCAAAAUUCUGCUCCAUGAAGCUUCCCAAGCCAAAAAAACUCACAUUCAUGGGGAUCCAGGCAUUCCAAACACAGGUUGCAGGGCAAUGCUCCCUUCUACCCUAUAGACUAAAGAGAGGUAGAAGGAUUUAACAGAGAACUUGCCACCUUUGGAUUCCUUUUACUCCAAACUAUCAUCCUCCUCUCUCCUAACUGAGCAAGUUUGGAGUUUUUGGAAAAAGUUUGUCCCUACUUUAAGCUCCCAAUCACAAAAUUGUCUAGAAAACCAAGGGCUCCACCAACCACUUUUGCCAUAUCGCUCCCAUACAUCCACAACCUAAUGUAUCUUUGUCUGUGGCAAAAGAGAACAAUGAUGAAAAAAAACCUUCUAGAGAUGAGUCACCAUAUCAUCUAUCUUUUCAAAACUUGACCCUUCUACCAUUGCCAAUAAAGAACUGAUCUCUGUCCCAUUAUUUUUUGAUCGCUUUCCACUCACUCACCCCAUAACCUUGAGCACCAUCCCCCUUCUUCUCUAAACUUUUGAGAAAUAACUUGCUUCUAAAAGAAUCCCUCUGAAUCACAAAUGUCCAAUACUACUUGUUGAGAAGAGCCUCAUUUAGAACAUAGAGGUUUUUGAUACCUAGGUCUCUUCUCUCUUUGUCUAAGCAAACUAUAGGCCACUUAAGAAGAGGGUUAUUUUAUAAAUAUUUAACUUAAGAAGGUUAUUUUAUACAAUCAUUCUAUUGCAUAUUGAUUGGAAAAAUCCCUCGUAACUUGCCCUUUCACAUUCCUCGAGUGUGACUUGCAAGUUGUGCUUCCAAUGACUUCUAGAAAGAGUUUUUAAUAUCUGCUAAAAGACAAACAAGGAGUUGUCCACAGCACGACAUGAAUGUGCAAGCAUCGAGUAAGGAUUGGGUGCUGUGAUCCAGGACUGGAUGGUGUGGAUGCCUCAUCUAUAUUUUUGUACUCUAGCUUUGACUUCUAUAGGAUUAGUUUCAAAUGGUUUACUGUCCAACCACGUAAUAAUUUGAAGAGUUCUUCACAUACACAGAAUGCCUUCUCUAUAUAUACUUUUCCUGAUUUAUUUAUUUAUUUAUUUAUAUUUUUAUUUUUAUAGGUGUAUGCUUUCCUGCUUGUUGUGUCAAUCAGAUUGAACGUGUUAGAUUAAUUAAAAUUAAUUCCACUAAUUUUGAAUUGAUUCAUUUAAAUUUUUUUAAAAGUAGACCAAUUCAACAACACUCCACCCACCAUCCCCCCAUCCCACGGUACACACAACCGAAAGGUCUAUCUAGGCUACCAAGAGUGUACUCAUAAGCGCAUACACAAAAUUAUAAAUGAAUUGCAGUAAUAUUCACAAGUCAACACUUUCAUCCAUGAAUUUUCAGUUUCAAUAUGUUGUGAAUAAGCACAAAUUUGAGCAUCAGAAAUUGAACACUACAACAAAAAUAAUUUAUGGUGUCACUAUUUAUGGUGUCACUUUUCAAAUAAUGACACCAUAUGACAUAAAAUUCAUAAAGGUGACACAUCAUAUAAAAAAUUUUAAUUAGGAUAGAUGAUAUUAAUUUUAAGUUUAGUGUCAGUUUUAAAAAAGUGACACCAUAUAAAAUAAAAAUUUUAAAAUAUUAUAACUAAAUGGGCCCACAUUGAGAAUAAUGAUAAUAUCUAAAAAAAACUCAUUGUUUCCACAUUCCCACAAUCCAAAAAAAUCUCAUUCCAUAACUCAUAACCAUAACUUUCUUCUAUCUCUCUUCUCACACCCAUAGUUCACACACAACUGCUCUUCUCUACUUCGUGGACUCUUAGGUAACGCAAAAUCUCUUAGAUAUAUCAUUUUCUUUUUUUUUUUUAUUAAUGCCAAAAUCUUUAUUAGCACAACUGAUUUACAUUCAUUGAUUUGGUAUAUUUGUAAUGUAGAUUGUGUAAAUAAUGUUUUUUUUAUUGAGUUGCAGGAAAGUAAAAAUUAGGUUUAACAUUCCACCAUAUCUUUUGUUUCAUUGUUAAAUCCAUAAACCCCAAAACGAAUGAAAAUAAGAUAAAUGAAUGAUUUUUUAAUAUCUUUGAUACUCAAAAUGAGGGAUAAAUAUUUUACAGUAUGAAAUUUUCUUUUGAUCUUACAAGAAAUUUCUUUUGGUGAGAUUUUCUGUUUGUUUUCUAGGAAUAUUAUAGUAUAUUGUGAUGAGGAUAUGUAUCGGUGAUAUUUGAAAAAUAAUUUUUUAGAAAAUUAUUCUCAAUAUUGUCAUCUCCCACAAAAGGAAAAAUGAAAUAGUUUCCAUAUCAUGUUAGAGUUGAUUUAGAAUGUUGGAAUUAACAAUGAGAAAUUAAUUUUAUUUUCUAUUUAUUAAUGUAAAUGAAUUGUUUUUUAAACUUUAAAUAGGAAUGAAAAUUUUUAUAAUUAUAAAAAUGAUCAAAUCUCAUAUUUUGAUUUUUUUUUUUAAUUCUUUUACAUGGUAUUAUGGUUAAUAUCUCAUCUUGUUCUAUUCAUAUUUUUUUUUAAUUCUUAAAAUAUGUUUUUUGUUUUUUAUUUUUACUUUCUUUUCUUAUUGUUUUUAUAUGCGUUCACCAAAAUUUAGAGUAAUUUGAGAUUGAUGAUGAAAUUUCCCUUUCAAGGUUAAAAAAUUUCUAUAAAAUCCUUUUAUUACAUAAAUUUUCCUUCCCUAAAACUUUUUUUUUUUGAAAAAGAUAUUUUAUAAUUUUCUUUUGAUUUUCUAUGAAAUUUCCUUUAAUUUGUUUAUUUUCUAAGAAUAUUAUAAUAUGUUGUGAUGAAGAUAUUGGUUGGUAAUAUUUGGAAAAUAAUUUUUGAGAAAAUUAUUCUCAAUAUUGUCAUCUCCCUCAAAAGGAUUCUAAAAAUUUGUUUUAUUUUUGUCUUCUUUUCUUAUUGUUUUUUUAUGCAUUGACCAAAUUUUGGAGUAAUUUGAGAUUGAUGAUGAAAUUUUCCUUUCAAGGUUAGGAAAUUUCUAUAAAAUCCUUUUAUUACAAAAAAUUUUCCAAUCAUUUCCAUAAAACUCUUCAUUUUCUUCAUUUUUCUUUUUUCUGAAAAAGAUAUUUGAUAAUUUAUUGAUCUAAAGAAUAUCAAAAGUAAAAUUUAAAAUAUUGAAUAUCUUUUCCUUUGAUGUUUUUAAUCUUUUAUUAUUUUUAUUUGAACAUAUUUUUCAUAUCCAAAUUUUUUAUUAAUUAUUUUAAUUAGAAAAAAUAAAUAUUAAUUGGAGUUAUGACUGAAAAAUUAAUAAUUUUUAUGAAAGUUUCUUUAAUUCUUUCUCAUACUAAUUUUUCUCUUAACAUUUUUUUAAUAAUGAAUUAGGUUUUUUGUCUUAUAUACAGAAUCUUCAAGCUUGUUAUAAUAUCAUGUCCUCUCAUAUUAGUAGUUGAAAACAUUUUUAUAUUUUGUUGCUAAAAUUUUAUUUUAUAUAAUUGAGAUGAAAUUUAAUGGACAUUGUUAUUUCACAAAAUGAACAUUAAAAAAAAUAUUGAAAUUAAAAAAAUCCUUCCAAGAAAUAAAAAAAAUAUAUAAAAAGAAUUAAAUGUUAAAAAUGAUUUUUAAAAGCGCAAUGAAUUAUAAAAAAUUAAAAUUAAAAAGUGCAUAUUUUAAGUGGAAGAUUACUAUUUUCUAAAAUUUUAGAUUUAUUUUUUGAUUUUCUAGUUUUGCUUUAUUUUUUAUUUUCUUGAAUUGUUUUUAUUUGAGUUCAAAUGUGAUUGCUUUGUUAUGAGAUUCAUUAAAGAGAUAAUUGUUGAUUCUACAAUUAUUGUAUUAAAGUUUUUACUCAUUUAAUGAAUUGUACUUAGUUUCAUACUUCCAAUUAUUAUGAUAUUAAUGUUAUUCUCAUUUGAUUUUAGUUUUAUGAUAUAAAAAAAAAAAAAAACAUAUUCUCAGGUAGAAUUUGAUGAAAUUAGAGGAGAAUUAACUUCUUUUGUGUUAUAACUAAUCAUGAAUCAUAUUGAUAAAUCAUGAUUAUGCAUGGUGAGUCCCUUAGUUGUUAUAUGAAUUUUCCAUUGGUAUUGUAUAACAUUACUUAUUCUUUACAAACUAUUUUUAUAUCAAAAUGGGAAAAAGAAAAAAGAAAACAUUAGUACUUAGAUUCGUUUAUUUUUUAUAACAUCAAUUAAUUUUUAUUUUCAAUAAAAUUCUAAAUCUCAUUAAACUAUGAAAUGCAGGUAUACACUCUUGGGAAGACAUUAUGAAGAAUAAAAAGAAAGGAGAAAGAAACAACAACAUUUUGGGUUUUUAGAUGUGACUCUUAUGUCAUACAUUAUAGGACAUCAAUGUUACUUUAUUUGGUAUUGAGAAUUUUGGGUUUUUGGAUGCAACUCUUGUGUCAUUUUAUGAUUAGCCGGUUUUAUGCAUAUGAAAUGCAGGUAUACAUGAAUGUUGGAAUGCUUAACAUUUCUAAAUCAUAUUUUAAUAUGUAUUCACUUUUCUUUUUUAGUUUUGAUGGGUUUGAUGUACUAUCAUUUUGUAAACAUUUGAUAUACAAAUAUCACUGGAUGAUGUAAUGUAUUAUAGGUUAAUCCAUAAGCAUUACGAAAAUAUAAGUUAAAUGUGAUAUGAUUAUUAUAUUUAUGGACAAAAUAUAUACAAGUUGAUCUUAUUUGUUAAUAAGCAUUACAAAAAUCAACAGACUAAUUAAUAAAAAACAACCAUAUCUUUCAUAAUCAUUUACAAUGAUGUGACACCAUAACUCAAAGGUGAUGCAUUUAACGUGACACCGUAACUAAAAGGUGAUGCAUUUAAUAUGACACCUUAUAUAUCUCAUGCAACUCUAUAUCAAAUUAAGUAUAACUAAAAAUAUAUGGUGUCGCUUCUGAAUAUGUCACCAUUAAUCUCCUUUGGUGUCGCUUCCAAAUACGUCACCAAUUGGUACCCUCUAUGGUGUCAGUGGAUAAGGUGACGCUAUGUUGUAGUGACACCCUAUGUUUAUAGUGACUCAUUAUAAAUGUCACCAUAUCUCUUUUUUCUUGUAGUGGAAUCAGAACUUACCAUACAUAUGAAACAUGGUGACCAAAUAGCUACAGAGUUUCCCAUUGUAAUGCAAGCAAGAAGCAUUCCGAAAGCCAUGACAACCAUUGUCUCUACUGUCUCCUGGCUUCCUUCCUAUCAAAGUAUAAAACAAUUUGAUGGUUGAAACUAGUUGCUUAAUCAUAAGUUCAUAUGAUUUCCAUCCAGCUCAGAAUACUUAUAGUCAUACCUCAGCAGAUAUACCUGCAGCGUUUAUGUUGUGUCAAUGCAGCUGUAGUUGCUCCGCCUGCAACACCAGCUAAUUUUGAAGAGUGUAAAAUUGGAUUUUGAUUAGAAACACCAACACAAUGUGCAUUAUUCUUAUUCAACAGAAAUUUUUUUCAAUUCCACUGACAAUAUUGACUACCAAACAAAUGUUAAGAUCACAAACAGUAUUAACAUAUUAACCUGUCAUGUUCACCAAAAUAGUAGCACUUACCAAUAGAUCUUAGUAGCUUUUCAUUUUGUAAUAAUGAAUUGGAGUAUACAGAACCUUAAUGAACAAUCUUGAUAGGCUCCCUAAGCAAACUAUGAACACAAAUGCUGAAGGGAACAAAGGAGAAACAAGAUCCAUUAACAUUCCUGCAACCAACACAGAAGCCUCUCAUAUCAUUUUAAGACACAGAAUGAAAAUGAUAACAAAAUUAUAACCAACUAUAUGGCAACCAUAUUUAAAUUAAAUUAAGUUCCAAGUUCAUGGGGAAUCCAAUACUGUACACUGAUAUGGUAGUCCUCUUACUAGUUAACAUACGGUAUUAUAGCGUUGAUUAUUUGGGGGAGCAAAAGCCUAACUCCAAUCACUUUAUUACAAAUUGAUGAAUACCAAUCCAGAAGUUAGGAGACAUUACACAACAAACUAGUAGCUAAAUUGGUACUUAGUGGCCCCAACCAUAAACAAUGCUCUCCUUAACCAUGUGAAACAAAGAGAAAAUUAAGGGAAAAUAUCCAGGCCAAAUGAGAAAACAGACAUGGGAGAAACCACGGAGGAGAAACAAAACUGCAAGUGCAUACAAUUAGUCUAGUUGAAAAACCAAGAGAAAAUUGAAAUAAUUUUUGUCAGAAGGAUUAACAUAGCAUACUUCUUUUUAUCAGAAUUUGCACUAUAGAUAUUGGUAGUUAAGACCUGAGAAUAAAAAAUUAACAUGAAAAUAAUGAUAAAAUAAUAAUAAUAAUAAUAAUAAUAAUAAUAAUAAUAAUAAUAAUAAUGAUGGUGAUGAUGAUGAUGAUGGUGUUAGAUGUUAAGUUAAUAAAUGAAAUAAAAUAUAAUUAAUGAAAUAAAAUUAUAGUUUAAUUAAAUAAACUAUAUAUUCUUAGAAACAUUAUAAAUUAGAAACUUAUUAAUUUUACUUAAAUAAGGAAUAAAUGAAUUAAAUUAAUAUUAAUAAUUAGGAAUAAAUUUUUUAAUAAAUAAUAUGAUUAGGAUUGUAGAAUCUAUAUAAUUUUAGUUAAUUGUCUAUAGUAAGAAACUCAUUGAUUUUAGUUAAAUAAGGAAUAAAUUAAUUGAAUUAACAUUGAUAAUUAAGAAUAAUAAUAUUAAUAAUUAAAAUUAUUAAGAUUGUGGAAUCUAUAAUUUUAGUUAAGCUUCUAUUUUUUUUUUUCAAAUAUAUUAACUUUAGAUAAUAAGCUAUCUACUAACCAUUUAUUAUUUAAUCAUUCAACUUACAAUAAUGAGAUUCUCAAUCCUUCAAAAUGACAUUAAUUUAACCCACUUCCUUAAUCAAUUAUACCUCGAUUAAAUUAACCUUUCAAAAAUUAAAUCUACUAAAUGAUAAUAUUCAUAUUUAAUCAAUUUAUCCAUUUUUGUAUAAAUUCUUAAAUUCAUAUUUAAUUUCAUUUCGAUUCAAUUUUAUUUCAUGUUUUAUAAUUUUAUAAGGGUUAUAAAAAUUAAAUUGAAUCAUACCGUAACAUUAGAUUAAAUAUCUUUUGAAAAAUUUAUUAUAACCGUUUGAUAUAAUACAAAUUUCAUCAAGUUUUUCUAAUUAAGGUUUUCUGAUAAUUACCUUAUAAUAAUAAAAGUAAUUCUUGUAAUACAUAUAAUAUUAAAAUUUCAAAAAUCCAAUCUCAAAUAAUUUAAUUGCUAAAUUUAUAUUUAAUUUUUGAAGUUCCUAAUUUCGAAAUGUGACUUGGCAAGAAUUUAAACUAUUAACCUUCCACUAAGUCACUAACUUCUCAAAAGUUUCGCCUAAUUAAAUAAAAUAUCGACACGUCAAGGUUCACUAACAUCUUUCAUUUAUUUAGACCAUUCAUUUUGGUUGAUUUUGAGGAUAGUCAUCGGCAGUAGACAUACAUCUUCUAGACCAAUUAGCAUACCAACAGUGAUUAGGCUAAGGUGGUGAUCCAAUUCCAUGGAAGUGCAGCAAGAAAGGAGGAACUUUGGAGAGAUAGAACCAGAAGGCGGCCAACCAAGCAAGAACAGUGGCCAAAUUGGCCUUAAGCUUGAGGAGCAUAGGAUUGACAAUGUUGAAAUCAAUCUUAGGGAUAGGAUUGAGUCUCUCAGAAUGACAGGAGAAAACACUCAAUGGCUAGGGAUACCAAAGGUUCCUCAGAUGCUGAGGGGGACCCAGGAUUUCAAGAAAUUCUACGAACCGAGGGUAAUUUCAAUCAGUCCUUACCACCAUGGCGAGCCCGACCUUGGCCGAGUGGAAAUGAUCAAGCCUCCAUGUUGUCACGGACUUAGUCGUUUCCUAAGCUCGUGUGGCACUUAGACAAGUCAAGACCCUUGAUCUUGUUAAGUCAACCUUACUCCCAAUACUUAGCUUGCUAGGUUAAGACGCUUAUGACUCGGAAGCUUUAGAAGGCGUAGUAGGCAACUCUUAAAGAAUGGAAGCUUUAUUGCUUUCAAAGGAAGCUAUACAAGGCUUGGAAGGUCACUUGCUUGGUUGGUUAGGUUCUUGGGUGGUGCCUUGGCCAAAUGAGGCCCUCACCUAUUUAUAGGCACCAUUGAAACUCUCUGGAACCUUGGAGGGUUCCUUACAAAUCAAGAAGAUUCUAGAACACCCUACAUAAUUCUAUGUACAAACUUAUGUACAAGAAUAUACAAGAGAUUCCUAGAAUUCUCUAGAAAACCUUGAACUCCUCUCAUGCCUUUCACCAUAGUGUAGAGAUGUGUGGACAUCUCUAGGCAUCUUUAGAACCUUCCAUACUCUUCCCACAAAUGGCUUAGUGUGGAUGACUCCAGGAGUCUCUAGAAGCUUCCUAUAUAAACCCAUGGGGAGGCUCAUUUGAGGCAUCCUGUGAUAAUGUGCCCAAAAAUUCCUAGCUGAUAGUAACCAGGACAUCGAAGCUUUGUACACAAAAAUUCGAAGUAAUAUCGAGGCAGUGAAAAAGUGCUAUGAUUGGAGUAGUACAAAAAAUUAUGAUGAUGAGAUACUUGCCAGGAUGAUGCUUCUGGAUGGGUGUUUUUUACUACAAUUCAUCCGCUGGAGAGGUAUGAUAAACAUUCUUGAAGUACACGAAAUAGAUUGUGUGGUGCAAGACUUGUUCUUGCUAGAGAACCAACUUCCCUAUGGAGUCCUCAAGUUGAUUUUUGAGGGAGCAAAUUUCAAGGUUGGUCUACUAAUGGAAAAGAAUAUAAUAGAAUUCGUCACUGAGAUCGGAAUGCUAGAAGGGUUGUCUUCAGAAAUACAACUGAAAGAGGUGAAUGAAGAGCCCUCUUAUCUCCUCGACCUUUUGCGAAGUGCUCUCCUAGGCAGGUUUCAAAUGAUUAGGAGUUAGCCCGAAAAAGAGCAGCAACCUAAGAAAAAAGGAAAGUCGUUGUCGUCUCAAGGAGGAAAGGGGGGCUCUGUCGUCCAUGGAAAAAAGGUAAACAACGGGGCAUUAAGCAGUCUUUUCAACACAUCAAGGAGCUUAAAGCUGCCGGGAUCUAUCUCAAACCAAGUAGAAUGUGUUUCUUGAGAGGCAUUUCUUUCAAAUCCUACAUCUUCUGUGGCUACCUGAAACUUCCCCCAAUAACCAUUGAUGACUUCACGAAGACCAAGUUCUUGAACAUGGUAGCCUAUGAAAUGUGUCAAGAUGCUCCAGAUGACUAUGCGGUCGCUUCUUAUAUAGGCUUCCUUGACGACCUCAUUGAUCAUGCAGACGAUGUAAAGAAGCUGAGAUCUAAGCACAUUCUCCACAAGCUUCUUGGCAGCGAUGAAGAUGUGGCCCAAAUUUUCAAUGAGAUCAACAAUGGCUUGGUAGAUCCCGGAAUUUAUGAUGAUGUGAAAGAUUGUAUUCAGAAACACUAUGACAAGAGAGUGAAUACUUGGAUAGUUGAAGCCCUUCACAACCAUUUCAAGUCUCCAUGGACUUUCAUGGCUCUCAUUGCAGCUAUUUUAAUACUAAUUCUUACUGGGGUUCAAACCUACUACGCUCAUCCCGGUAAAUAUAUAAUAUAUAUAUAUAUAUAUAUAUAUAUAUAUAUAUAUAUAUAUAUAUAUAUAUAUAUAUAUAUAUAUAUAUAUAUAUAUAUAUCGUCAAUUAUGAUUGGGAUAUGUUUUUUUCUUGUUUAGCAUGUUUGUGAUUAGAGAAAUAAAGAUGUAUAGAUUGUUAAGUUGUAUCACUAGAUUUCAUGCAUGCAAUAUUAUGGGUCUUUUCUAGUUUUCCUCCCCACAUGAAUUUGCUAUAAUCUAUAAUGUUUGUUUGAAUUCACAAUUUCCAGCUUGCUUUUUUUCGUUGGUUUUCAUAGACCAUGAUCAUAGAUAACACAACAACCACAGAAAAUUUUCAGUCAACAGUACGUGAUUCUAUGAAUGGGAUGGGGUUGAAUUUGCUCACACACUUUUUUAUCUAAGGAGAAAAUUGUGGAUAAAAUCAUAAUUUUGAUAUAUUUAGGCUAUGUUUGGAUUCCGAAAAAUGCUAAGGAAAAGAAAAAAAAUUACGUGGAAAAUUAUUUUCUUUAGUUUGGGUGACAUGAAAUAUACGAUGGAAAAAAAUAUUAAAGAAAAUAUCAUAAUAUUUCUUUUACUAUUUUCCUUAAAAAAUAAUGAGGAAAAAAAAGGAGGAAAAUAAGAGGAAAAAAGAAGGGAAAAGUUUGGGGAAAUUUUAUCAGUUUCAUCAGGAAACUCAUUUUCUCGCUAUUUCACUUUCUAGGUCUCUCCGAUUUCCUGGAAACUGACGUUUCGUGGUUCAAAACGUAGAUGCAAGUGUCGGAAUACCCGUCGGUAUUGACGGUUCUGAUCCGUGAAAUCCUGCCGGUGAUGAAGUUCGGGGAGGUGGUUUGCAGUGGCGACGCGCCGGAGAGUUGCGUCGUAUGUCUGUACGACUUCGAGGUAGGAGAAGAGAUCAGGCGGUUGACCAAUUGUAAAAACAUUUUCCACCGGAGCUGUUUGGACCGUUGGAUGGACCACGAUCAGAAGACCUGUCCACUUUGUAGGACCCCAUUUGUGCCUGAUGAGAUGCAAGAUGAGUUCAAUCAACGGCUCUGGGUUGCCUCUGGGAUCACUGAUUUUUACAGUGAAUACGGUACCGUUUCAGGCUUGUAGGUUGGAGAUUUUUCAUGGGUUUUAUUUCAUUUUUUAAAUUUUGGUAUGGUGAGGGUGAAAGGGUUGAAUUGUAUAUACAUGAAGAAAAAAAAAUGCCACGUACCCAUUAAAAAGGGGUAAGUUUUCAAUAGUUAUUGAACGAUGGGCUCCCACAAAAUGCGUUCUUCUAUAAUUAUUUUUUAGAAAAUAAGAGUACAAAAUUUAUUUUAUUAUUCAAUAAAUUGAUAAUCAUUUAAUAUAAAUUAUUGAUUUUGUUUUUCUUCUAUUUUUUCUUGACUUUUUUUUGUGGUUAACCAAACAAAAAAAAUGAAUUCUUUUUAUUUUCCCUUGAAUUUUUCAUGGAUAACUAGACAAGUGAAAAAUUUUAUAUUCCUUUCAUUCCAUUUUUCCUCCUAAUUUUCUUUCUCUUGCAUUUUCUAGGACCAAACAUAGCCUUAUAAAUUGAGGAAGGGCUCUCUAAUUUAUUUAUUUUUAUAAAAGAUAAAAUCAUAAUACAUCACUGAAGGAAGGAGAGCGAAGGCAUUUUUAUUUCAUUGUUGAACUUGUUUGAAAAAAAACACCCACACACAGAGAUUGAGUUAGAAAUGAAAGUGGAGAAAAGAAAAGUACUCGACGGUUUUGCAUACUGCUUGAUAGAACUCGUUAAAAUUGUUUAUAUCUCUAGCACUAAAAUACAUCUUGUAGCACUUAGCGAUCAAAGCCUGUUUUUCCUCCUUACUUCCAAUUUAGACAUGGAGAGGUGACACAAACUUUGAGAUAUUCAAUGAUUCAACAAAGCAUUCAUCAAAUACUAUAUUGUUUGCUUUGAUGGAGGGAAAAGAUGAUGAUACAAGGAGUUAGUUUCAUGAGGGAUGAUGCGCCUAUCUUUUGAAUGGUUGGAUAUGAUGAUGUUGUUGGAAAGUGUCUCAGAAAUUAUUUUUGAGUCAAUUGAAAAAUUAUAGAUAAUCUCCUAAUACAAAAUAUUUUUGUAUUUGAGUUUCCUAUUAUUAUAGUGGGGAUAUUAUAUUAUAAGAUUUUUUUUUUCUUUUUAAGGAAAAAACAUCUUUGACAAUUAUACAUUUAGUUUUCCAUAUGCAAUCUUCCUAUAUAUGUAAUAAGGAAAAUAUACAAAAAAAGACAUUUUUAAAAGAGUUAUCUAUGAAAUGUUUUUCUAGAAAACACUAUAAGUGAUUUUCCAAACACUAUAAGUGAUUUUUUUUAAAAUUUUAAAAGUGUUUUCUAACUUUUGCCAAACACCUUUAAAAAAUAAAUAAAUAAAUAAAAAACCACUUUUUAGGGUAAAAGUGUUUUUAAAAAACAUUGCCAAUUGGAUUUUAAAUAAUCUAGAUUGUCAUUUUUUUUAUUUCAAUUAUAUAUAUUAUAUCAAAUAUUUCUAAUUUUUUUUUAUACAAAGUAAAUAAAUUAUUUAAUAUAUCCAAACAUAUGGUUGAUGUCAUUCAAUCGAUCGAUAUAAAUCAAUCUUUCUUUUAAAGUAAACGUGGUGCAAAUAAUUACAUAUAAUCAAGCAAUGAACUAUCGUUUUGGGAUUUUCAUCGAGAGAUAUGCGUCCAUACUCAAACGCAUUUUUCAUUUGGAGUCUUCUUGAUGUAAACUUUUAUAUCUUUCACAUUAAUGCUUCUUAAUUUAUUCUCUUUGGUCAUUUCAUUUCUUUUUUUUUCAGCCCUUUUUCGAGGUCUUUUUAUUAUCAUUUCUAUUUCAUAUAACAAUUUCUUUACUUUUCUUUCCAUAUAACCAUGGAGGCAAAAUGAGUGUGAUAUAAUACGAUUGUCCAAUAAUAAUAUCUAGUAAUAUAAAAUAAUUAUUUUAAAUAUAUAACAACAUUUAAAAUUUUAGACAAAUAAUUUCCAUUAUUUUUAAUAUUGAUGUCAUUGUACGCACAAAUUUCGUAAUUUUGGUCCUGCAAAAUUAGCAAAACAAAAUAGGAAAAUAAUGCGAACAAAAUAUUUAUUGAAAUUAAAAAUAUUAUGGAUAGAAUCUAAAAAAAAAAAAUAAUAUUCUUUCCAAAAGAAUAUUUUCCCUAUGAUUCUUUUGCUUUGAUCACACUUUAGAAGACGAUGAUGACAUUUUCUUGAUUUCGAAUAUCAAUCGAGGGCCACAAGUGGCUUAUUCCCGAAUGACCUUGUUGAAUGGCGAAGAAUGCGUGUAGCAGUUCUUUUGUUGCUUAUCAAACUUGUAGGGAGAUUUGAUGAAGUUUUUUCUUUUGUUGUGAAGCCCCUUUUCCUGUAUGAAGUUACCUUUGGAUUUUCUCCUUAGGAUUUUCCUUUUUGGAUUUUUUUUAUUUUUUAUUUUUUUCUGAAUUUUCUUCCCUUUUCUAAAUAGAAGACACCUUUAUUUAUAGGUGAAGAUAGGGAAUUUGAAUUUCAAAUUCUCGAAUUUUAGUUGCUUAAUUCAAGGGAUUUAGUUCAUUGAUUUUAGCAAAUUUUCCUCUUUGGGAGGUUUUACCAACAAAAUAAUAAUAAUAGUAAUAAUUUUCUUAUUAUUAUUAUUAUUAUCCUUUUUAUAGUUGGAGAUUAGGGAAACUCAUCCAUAAGAGGAAUUUUUUUUAAUUUAUUCAUUUUAAAGACCAAAUUAGUGGUAAUUUAAUCCCCUAAUUUUUUUUAUGUCUACAAAUGCCCCCAUUUCAAGACGCAUCACGUACAUGCUUUGUCAUGUGGAUGGGGUGAGUCUUGAAAUAUAUUUUUUUUCAAAUAAAUAUUUUAAUAGGAAGUUUCCUAUUUUUUUCAAAAAAUAUUUCUUUCCCACUUUUUUUUUUUUCAAACUCCACUUCGUUUUCCUACUUGCUUUACACUUUGAAUCCUCUUCCAAUUCGUUUUCCUUCUUGCUUUACACUUUCAGUCCUCUUCCAAUUUGUCAUCCCUAUUUAUACUUUUUUUCUUAUAUAAAGGGGACAAUAGUUGAAAAACUUGACUUGAACCUUAUUAGAGAGCUCUUUUGAUCUUUGGGUGUUCUUCAAUCCAACUUGAGAAAUCUGACUUGAAUUCACUGCGAAAAAUCUUCACCUCUUUAAACUUGUAAGUGUUUUUUUUUUUUUUUGAAUAUAUAUAUAUAUAUAUAUAUUGAAGCUUGGUGGGAUGGAGCCACAAUGUUGGUGGAGACGUGAGCCAUGAUAGUGGUUGCCUUGGGGCGUCAUCAUUGGCAUAUAUAUACAUAUAUAUUGGUGUAAGGAUGAAGAUUUAAUAUAUGGACAUUUACGUGAUCUCCAAAAAAAGGGAAUGAAGAUUUUCUUUUAAUAUAUAAAACAUGCAUGGAAAAAGUCAAACAAUUUCCAUACAUAUUUAUAUAUAUGUUGACACGUGAAUCCACUUUCCAAUUUCCAUGUACAUACAUGUUAACACGUGUUAUUCUUAUUUAUUCAUAUAUAUAUAUAUAUAUAUAUAUGUAUAUUUAUUUUUUAAGGAAGAAAAAGACUUACAUUUUUCGAACACAUGUCCGCCUUCAUUAUUUGCUUUGAUUUUAGGUAAUUUAAUUAAUUAAUUUUUAAAUUACCUUAAUACUUGAGGGGAAUUUUUAAUAAAAUUAAAUAUCCAUAAAAAAAUAAAUAUAUAAAAUUUGACCCUCAUGUAAUCAAGGCUCUAAGGCGAAACAGUAUCAUAUUUUUGGCACUUAUGUGCUAAAGUCUUCACCCAUGCAAAUUGGCUUAACUUGAAUUCAUAGUGGUGUUCAAGUUAUAAUAUUUAAUUAAAACUUGGAAUAAUACUUGGUAUCUAUGCAAACAAGUUAUAGCCUUGAUGUUACGCGGUGUUGUAUUUUUGGCACUUAUGUGCUAAAGUCUUCACUCAUGCAAAUUGGUUUGACUUGAAUGCAUUGUGAUAUUUCAAGGGAGAAAAAGACUUUCCUUUUUUGAAUGCAUGUCGGCCUCCAUUAUUUGCAAAGGUGAAUUUGAUUUCAGGUAAUUUAAUUUAAUUUAAUUAAUUAAUUAAUAAUUUAAAAAAAUUUACCUUAAUAGGGGAAUUUUUAACAAAAUGAAUACCCAUAAAAAAAUAUGAAUAUUUAAGAUUUGACCCUCAUGUAAUCAAGUCGUAGCCCUGACGCGAAGUGGUGUCGUAUUUUCGGCACUUAUGUGCUAAAGUCUUUACUCAUGCAAAUUGACUUGACUUGAAUACAUUGUAAUAUUUUAAGGGAGGAAAAGACCUUCCUUUUUUGAAUGCGCGUCGCCUCCAUUAUUCGCAAAGGUGAACUUGAUUUCAGGUAAUUUAAUUUAAUAUAAUUAAUUAAUUAAUAAUUAAAAAAAUUGCCUUAAUAUUUGAGGUGAAUUUUUAAUAAAAUUAAAUAUCCAUAAAAAAAAAUGAAUAUUUAAGAUUUGACCCUCAUGUAAUCAAGUCAUAGCCCUGACACGAAGCGGUGUCGUAUUUUUGACACUUAUGUGCUAAAGUCUUCACACAUGCAAAUUGGCUUGACUUGAAUGCGUAGUGGUGUUCAAGUUUUAAUAUUUAAUUAAAACCUGGAAUAAUACUUGGUAUCUAUGCAAACAAGUUAUAACCUUGAUGCUACGUGGUGUUGUAUUUUUGGCACUUAUGUGUGAUUCGUGCCCAAUUGGUGUCUCAGCUGAUUCAUGUCCAGCUGGUGCUCCUUGAUUGAGGGAGUAAUCAACAAAAUUUAUAACCUAUUACACCAUAUACUAGGGUAGCAAAGACAAAGCUACUAUAGUAUAGUGGCUCUAGGAUCGUCCACUGGGAAAGAUUAACAAGCUAUCAAUGAUACCAAUUCCAAGUGAAUUGGUUUUGUUUCAUUUCAUGGUUAGCUUAAGAAGUAAAACACAAACUUUGAUUGGUAAAGGUUUAGACUUAAACUAACUAACAUAACAGAAGUUUGGAAUAAUUUAGGAAGAAAAGCAUUCCCUGGAGAGUUAUGUUCACUGGGGUGGUUCCUCAUGCAAAAGACAUAGCUCCAGUCAGAUGGUUCAUUUCCUCGCGUUAGAGAUUCAACAUAUAGUCAAUUCUCUAACCGGUGUUGUACAGAGACUCCUUCAAUUAGAUUUCACUUUAAUUCUCUCACUGAUGCAACUUGCAAUGGUUUAAGCCUCUCACUAAGCCUUAACCAUUCAAGGCGAUCUUCAACCUUGGACUUCCCUUCACAAGCUCGCAAGAGAUAACUAAUGGAUGUCUCCUUGGAGUCCAAAAGCUUACCAAGUGUUGGCAAUUCCAGAAAAUCCUACCCUAAAGUCACCUUUCAGAGGCUCGCAAGGGGUAAACUAGUGCAUUUCCAUGGUUGGAAAUCACUUGCCUUACCAAGUGUUGGCCCAGAUGACUCUAAGGUGUUUUAAGUUAACUAAAAACAUAGAAAUCACUAAAGGAUUUCACUUCCUCUUCAUUAUUAGCUAAAACCACAAAGCUCUGCAUUUUUGCACUUGGAACCUUCCCCGGCAACCUUAGCUCCAAGGAAUUAGAGGUUUAGUUACUCAUUCUCUGGGGAAAACUCCUCAGAGAAUUCAUAACUUAGAAAGAAAAUAAAAAUACAAAGUGAGAAGGUAAGGCAGUAGAAAGAACUGAACUUUACUUGCUUACCAAAAACUUUACAAAAGGAUCUCCUCUCUUGAGAACAGGCUCCCGAGAGGUAUAUAUAUGAACCUAAUAUAAAACUAAUUAUUACAUAGAUAUUUAGUCUUUUUACUAACUUAAAAGCUAAGGAAUCUUGUAAUUGGUGGUUUACAAGGAGUAUUUUGGGAUUUAGACAACAAAAAUCUGAUGUAAAAUAUCUCCCAAUGUCGGUAGCAAAUAUCGGGAUGCUCCAGGGACCAUUUCGCAAGAGAAAAUGGUGUCUGCGAGAUUUCGCAGACACUCAAGAGGGCUGCGAAAUAAUUUCGCAACACCAAGCUAUCUUCACAGGGCUGCGAAGUUGGCUUCCACCUUGAGGUUCCCAGCUUCCUUCUCACGGCAUAAAUUGGGCAUCGUCAGAAGGAGAAACAUCACACUGUUCAAAAAGGCUGCGAAAUCACUUCGCAACAAAAGGGUGAUUUCGCAGCACUUUGCAAAAUGCUUCCUUCAGCUCGGAGUGAUUGGCUUGUAACGGCUGCAACUUCUUCGUUUCAACUCCGAAUUGCGCACCGUUUGAAGCAUUGGAUUGUUGACUUCCUGAGCUUUGAAAUGGUAUAUAGAAUGCAUCAUUUGGACUUCAGAAAGUGCUCCAAAAGUGGCUGCUACGACUAUCAUCAAGAAUAGGCUUCAUGGCAGAUUCUCUUUGCUUUUUCUCCUUGCAAUACAAAUUUACUCUUGGCAAAUGACUUCUAAGCUUUGCCCAAGAUUCCUCAUAGCUCUCCUCAGUCUUGACUUGCUUUGGUGAUCAAAAUACUAACAAAAACACCAAAACUUACACAAAGUGAUUAAAAUUGCUUUAAAGGAUCCUUAACAUGCCAAUUGAGUUAAAAGGCCUAAACUACUACUCAAAAGUGUUUAAAAGGAUUAAUUAUAGGCUAUCAAAUAGCACUUUUUGAGUAGUAAUCAAUGUGCUAAAGUCUUCACUCAUGCAAAUUGGUUUGACUUGAAUGCAUUGUGAUAUUUCAAGGGAGGAAAAAACCUUCCUUUUUUGAAUGUGCGUCAGCCUCCAUUAUUCGCAAAGGUGAACUUGAUUUCAGGCAAUUUAAUUUAAUUAAAUUAACUAAUUAAUAAUUAAAAAAAUUACCUUAAUACUUGAGGGGAAUUUUUAACAAAUUAAAUAUCCAUAAAAAAAAUGAAUAUUUAAGAUUUGACCCUCAUGUAAUCAAGUCUAGCUCUGACGCGAAGCGGUGUCCUAUUUUUGGGACUUAUGUGCUAAAGUCUUUACUCAUGCAAAUUGGCUUGACUUGAAUACAAUGUGAUAUUUCAAGGGAGGAAAAAACCUUCCUUUUUUAAACGCGCGCCGGCCUACAUUAUUCGCAAAGGUGAACUUGAUUUCAGGUAAUUUAAUUUAAUUUAAUUAAUUAACUAAUAAUUAAAAAAAUUACCUUAAUACUUGAGGGGAAUUUUUAACAAAAUUAAAUAUCCAUAAAAAAAUAUGAAUAUUUAAGAUUUGACCCUCAUGUAAUCAAGUCGUAGCCUUGACGCGAAGCAGUGUCGUAUUUUCGGCACUUAUGUGCUAAAGUCUUCACACAUGCAAAUUGGCUUGACUUGAAUGCUUAGUGGUGUUCAAGUUUUAAUAUUUAAUUAAACCUGGAAUAAUACUUGGUAUCUAUGCAAACAAGUUAUGGCCCUAAUUCUAAAAAUACAAGUGAAUGUCACUUCAAAUGCCGAAAUAUUAAACCAAACCUUGUGUACUAUGAUGAGACCAACUCUCAUCCUCUUGAUGCAGAUGUCUUAUUUGCUAACGUCCCAACUUCAACUCAACCAAUAGAACUUGAUGAUGAAGAGGUAAUUUUUUUUUUUUUUAGCAUUGAUACUAACAAAAAUAAAUAUUUGCCUUAGGUGGUAGGUGACAACCAAUUUGUCAAUGAAGGGGAUGAGUCUCUCCUAAGGAUCAGUUUGAAAAUGUUGUUGCUACUAGGGAGUCGACGCCCUUUACAUUGACUAUGCAAUGAGAUAAUCACCCUAUCCUCUCAUUACCUUUGCCUCAUUCUCGUUUGGGUGAUGAUUCAUGCCCAGUCGGUGUAUUAGCUAAUUCAUGUCCAGCUGGUGUCCCUUGAUUUUGGUCCUCAGGGAGUAAUCAACAAAAUUUAUAACCUAUUACACCAUGAACUAGGGUAGCAAAGACAAAGCUACUAUAGCAUAGUGGCUCUAGGAUUGUUCACUGGGAUGGGUUUUCACUUCACAAAUGAUAUUAAUUCAAAGCUGAAUUGGUGUCUUUUCAUUUCAAGGUUAGCUUUAAAAGAAAACAUAAUCUUUAGUGGAAAAAGGUUUGGUUUUAAACUAACCAAAAAUAGUAACUGAUUUUACUUACAAAGAAAAGUGUUUCUUGGAGUUUAGAUCACUGGGUUCAGAUUCCUUGUACAAAAAGGAGAGUUCCGGUCACUUGUUUAUUUUCCUCGCAUUAGAGAAUUAACAUAUAGUUAAUUCUCUAACCAGUUUUGUACAGAUGCUUCCCAUUAAUGGGUUCAAACACUAAAUCCCUCUCACUGAUGCACCUUGCAAUGGCUCAUACCUCUCACCUAGCACUUGCCAUUCAAGGUGAUCUUUAACCUUGGAUUUACCGUCAAAAGCUCGCAAGAGAUAACUAAUGGAUGUCUCCGUGGAGUCCAAAAGCUUACCAAGUGUUGGCUAUUCUAGAAAAUCCUACCUUCAAACCACCUCCCAAAGGCUCGCAAGAGAUAAACUAGUGCAUCUCAAUGGAUAGAGAUCACUUGCCUUAUCAAGUGUUGGCCCAGGUGAUUAAAAGGCGUUUUAAGUUAACUAAAAAGAUAAAAACCAUUAACGGGUCAUACUUUCUCUUCAUUAAAAACUAAAACAACAAAACUUCCAAUUUAUGCAUGUGGAAACUUACCUAGAUUUCUUCACUCCAAGAGACAAAAAGCCUAGCCUCUCAUCCUCUGAGAAAACAUCCUCAGAGUUUGAUUGGCUAGAAAUAAAAAUAACAAGAAAAAAUAUAUAUAUCUGAAAAGCAGAGCAAGUGCUCUGUAUUUUACUUACUUCCCAGAACUGUACAAAGGAUAUAUGAUCGAUCUAUCAUCGAUCCCCCCUUUCUUUAUCAUGAUUAUUACAAACUAUAUAUAAGGGGUUAUUCACCCUUUUGUUUUUACUUAAGGACUAAGGAAUCAUAUGAUAGGUGGGUUACAAGGAGAGUUUGGGGAUUUAGACAUCAAAUAUCUAAAGCAAAAUAUCUAAAGAAAAAUAUCUAAAGAUAAAGAUCUAAAGAAAAAUAUCUAAAGAUGUCGGUUGCACAUAUCGGGAAGCUUCAGGAGAACAUCGCAGCACUGUGCAAAAUGGCUGAGAAACUCUCCGGGUGAACGCUAUCAGCACUGUGCAAAAUGACUGCGAAACUAUCCGGGUGAGCGCUAUUAGAGGAUCCGGAUAUGUAUAUCCGGAGAAGUUGAAACGCCCUCCUCUCCCAUCCAGCUCCUGAAUUCCGGAUGUCAUCCUGGUGGAAAUGGCGGCGGCAACAUAAUUCCGGAUGCCAUCCGGGUGGAAUGGCAGUAGCCGGAUGGAAAGGGGCGGCAGCCGGAUGGAAUGAGCAGGAUCCCAUACUCCUUGUAUUCUGGAUUUGCUUAUGGAUUCCAAAGAACUCUCCUCAAUCUCGGAUUGCUUUGGUGAUCAUAAAGCUAUCAAAACACCAAAACUUAACACAAUUUGAUUAGAAUUGAUUGCAAGGGUCCUUAACAUGCCAAUUGGGUUAAAAGGUAAUAACUACUACUCAAAAGUGUUUAAAAGAGUUAAUUACAAACUAUGAAAUAGCACUUUUUGAGUAGUAAUCAGGUGAUGAAGGUAUUACUAACAUCUUAAGUGAUGUUCUAAUCGAAUCUCAAGGUCAAAAUACCAUAAUUGGAGAUAUAACAUAUGAUGAAUUGAUACUUUUAAUAGUUGCAGGUUUAAUUGCUGAACAACAAUCUCCAUGCUCUACUGUGGUUGCUCUUUAUACUUCCACUCACACAUUCGAUGUCGAACAAAUCAUCCUUAAUGCUCAACACCAAGCAGCGCUUAUGAUAGGAGAAGACAUUAAGGAGAUGAUUAUCAAAACUUCUAAUGAGUGUCCCAUUAUUGAGAGGAAAACUUGAUGAGCUUUUCAAUGCUAUCACGAAGAUUGUAGUGGACCCUUCACCAUUGAAGUCUCAGAUUGAGAAGUACAUGGAAAGUGUAGAUCACCUCGAUGUAGUGCAACACACCCAUUCUAUGAAGAUAUCUCCGGAAGUACAAAGCAAACGUUUAACUAUUGUUGUGUCUCAGAUUGUGGAUGCUCUAAACUUUGAAGGUGUACAGACAAACCGUAGUCAAUCAUUAAAGUUUGACUUAGCUACUCUCGAUGCUAAAUAGGAAGCACUUAAGAAGGAAUUGGAGCAACUAGGUAUACAAAAGGAGCGCCUUCACAACUCAAUAUUGGAGAUCGAUGAGAUUAUAGCCAAUAAACAAAGUGAUGUUUCUCGCUUGAGGUGCUUAUUGAUGUCGAUGUCAAGACUUUAGAGACACUUCAAGAAGCCUUAAGGAUUCAACGUGACGAGUUUACAUGCUUGGUGUGGAUGUGAUCAUUGUAUCUUUUUACUUAGAUUUAGCUCUCAUUCUUUUCCUUCAUUCAUUAUUUUAUUUUUAUUAAGAUGUAAUAAAGUCUAGCAUUUGUUAGCCAGAUUAUUUAUUAAUAAAAAUGAGACUUUAUUUUUUGGUAGUGACUGAACUCAAGUGGUUUCCCUGAGUUGCCUACAUACCCUUCAAAGAGAGGGAAUCAAGUCAAACGUAGUUCCAAAUUUUUAUUUUUUUAUUUUUUUAUUAUUAUUUUUUUUUACGCUCUAACUUUUGCCAAGACUAAAAUAAAGAUUUAAUCUUGCGAGCAUAUGUCCUAACUUUUGCCUAAGUCGCCUUUUCAGGUUUUCAACUUGACAUUUUUUUUUUUUGCGUCGUAUGCAGUUUAUGCUCAUGCAGGCCAGGAGCACAGUGUGACUCAAGCAUAAUAACGUUUUAAGAAUUUGCCAUUGAUAGGGUCAAUUCUUAAUCCGUCUUCAGCAAUGAUCUUAUAAGCACCAUUGGUGUAAACUUCUUACACCACAUAAGGUCCAUCCAAUUUUGAUGUAAAUUUGCUCCCAGUCUUAUGUGUGAUGAUGAUGGGUCUAUGAAUGGCAAGAACUAGAUCACCGAUUUGAAAAGACCGAAGACGAAUCUUUUUGUUAAAAGCUCUUGAAAGGCGUGCUUGAUAACACUCUAAGAGUUGUUGGGCUUCAAGUCGCUUUUCAUCUAGUGUUUCUAACUCUUGAAGACGUAACUUGGCAUUAUCUUCAUUAGUUAGUCCUUCAUGUAUAGCAAUCUUUAAUGAAGGGAUCUGACGCUCAAGGGGCAAUACAACUUCUACACCAUAAACGAGGGAAUAAGGGGUUGCUUGUGUAGGUGUUCGAUAUGUUGUUUGAUAUGCUCGAAGUGCUUCUCCUACUCGUUCAGGCCAAUCCCUCUUUGACUUAUCAACAAUUUUCUUCAAUAAGUUGCAAAAGGUCUUGUUCAAUGCUUCUGCGAGACCAUUGGCCGGUGCAUUGUACAUUGAUGAAUUGUGUUGUUUGAAACUGAACCUCUCACAUAGAUUACUCAUCGAUUUUUUUAUAGAAGGGUUUCCCAUUGUUAGUGAUUAUGUAUCGUGGCACCCCAUAUCAAUAGAUAAUAUUACUUCGAAUGAAGUUCACUACAUUUUAUGUCUUCACUUCUUUAAGUGGCACAUCUUCCGCCCAUUUUAAAAAAUAAUCUGUUGCUACUAAUAUGUAAGCAUGCCCAGCGGAAGAUUUAGGAGUAAUGGGUCCGACCACGUUAAGUCCCCAUGCAUCAAAUGGCCAUGACGCAAUCGUAGGAUGGCGUGGCUCAGGGGGUUGGUGUAUAAAAUUUAAGUGGAAUUGGUACGAUUGACACUUGUUUGCAUAUUCCAUACAAUCCUUAACCAUAGUUGGCCAAUAUUAUUCCAUCAUUUUGAUUCUAAAAUGAAGUUUUAGCCCUAACUGGUGAGCCCCACAAAUCCCAGAAUGGGCUUCUUCAAUUACUUGAUUUGCCUCUUCUCCUCCUAGGCAUCGAAAAAGUACUCCAUCGAAUGAGCGUCGAUAAAGUGUUUCUUUGUAGUAAAUGAAGCGUGGAGCUCAACGUCGUAUUUUUGUUCAAUGUCUUAGUUCAUCAGAUAACUUCCCAUGCUCUAAGUAGUCAAUUAAUGGUUGUUGCCAAUCUUCGCUGUCAAUAGUGAAUACUGAUGUAGCGUUUACUUCUUCUUGUUGUAAUAUUGGCAAUGGUGGUAGUACCCACUUAUGGCAAAGAGGGACAUGUACAAUCUCAUCCUUAAGCAGUGUCAAACUUGCAACUAGAUUAGCUAGAGCAUCUGCCAUUUGGUUUUCUUUUCGUGGGAUAUGAACUAAAGAAAUUCGCUCAAACUUUUCCAUCAAUUGGGUAGCAUAUUGGAAGUAAGGAACUAAGUCAUCACUUUUAACCUCAUACAAGGCUAACAGUUGAUUGAUUACCAACUUAGAAUCACCACAUAUCUCUAAGCUUGUGAUAUUCAUUUCAAUCGCCAUUUUUAAACCUAUAAUUAAGGCUUGGUAUUCAACGACGUUGUUGGAGCAUCUCUCACUAAGAACAAAUGAAUACGGUAGUAUCUGUCUUUGUGGUGAGACAAAUACAACACCUGCACCUGUUCCAUCAUAGCGUGCUGAUCCAUUGAAGAACAUCAUCCAUGAAAGAAAAAUGUCAACAUAAAAGAUCUCCUCAUCAAGAAAGUCAUCUGAAAUUUCCCAUGUUAUAGGGAUAGGAUUAUCUGCCAAGAAGUCUGCAAGUGCUUGUCCUUUGAUUGUCUUUUAAGGGAUGUAGAUUAUUUCAUACUCAGUGAGUAACAACCUCUAUCUUGCUAAUCAUCCUAAAAGAACUGGCUUUGAUAGCACAUACUUAAUGGGAUCACGUGUGCUAUUAAGUGUACUAUGUAUGCCUGCAUGUAAUGUCUUAGCUUCUUUGUCGAGAAGAUUAAAGCAAGACAAGUUUUCCCUAUUGGGGAGUAAUUUAGUUCCGCUCCCAUUAGAGUUCGACUUAGGUAAUAUAAUGCCCUUUCUUUGUUUUCCUCAUUUUCUUGUGCAAGUAAUGCUCCAAGAGAGCAUUCUUGUGCGGCGAUGUAGAGUAUCAAUGGCUUCCCUGCCAUAGGAGCACCUAAGAUUGGUGGAUUAGCCAAAUAUUUUUUUUAUGCUCUCAAAGGCAUUAUGACAAGCUUCGUCCCAAACAAAUGGGACAUUUUUCUUCAUAAGUCGGUUGAAGGGUUGACAUCGUCCUGCAAGGUUUGAAAUAAACCGUCAAAUGAAAGCAAGAUGUCCUUGAAGACUUCUAAGUUCUUGAAGAUUCCUUGGCUCUGGCAUAUCUCGAAUGGCUGCGAUCUUAGAUUGAUCCACUUCAAUGCCAUAGUGUCGAACAAUAAACCCUAGAAACUUACUAGAAGUAACACCAAAAGCACAUUUAAGCGGGUUCAUCUUGAUUUGGUACCUUCUUAACCUGUCAAACACCAUACGGAGAUCUCACAGGUGGUCUUCUCUCUUCCUAGACUUUACAACUAGGUCAACAACAUAGCACUCAACAUUCUAAUGGAGCAUGUCAUCAAAGAUUUUCUGCAUAGCAUGUUGAUAUGUUGCACCUACAUUCUUUAGUCCAAAAGGCAUCCCUUUGUAACAGUAAAUACCCUUUGAGGUAUGAAAUACAGUAAGUUCUUCAUCCCUUGGCGCCAUUCGUAUUUGAUUAUACCCUGAUGAUCCAUCCAUGAAGGAUAAAGCUUCAUGACCAGUAGUUGCAUCAACCAUAAGCUCGAUGAUUGGUAAUGGGAAGUCAUCUUUUGGGCAAGCAUUGUUUAAAUCUCUGAAAUCCACACAAACACGGAUCUGCCCAUUCUUUUUCUUAACUAGAACGAUGUUUGCAAUCCAUGUCGGGUACUUUACCUCCCUAAUGAAACCAACUUCAAUCAAUUUGUCAAUUUUGGUUUCUAUUUUCAAAACAAGUUCUGGUCGAAAUCGUCUUUGGGCUUGCUUAAUCAGUCGGACACCAUGCUUCACUAUGAGUUGAUGUACUGCAACUUUUGGAUCAAGACUUGGCAUUUCUUUGUACGACCAUGCAAAGACAUCUUUAUAAUCAAGUAACAACUCAAAAUAACUUUUCUCUUCAGAAGAACUUAGAAACAUACUUACAUAGAUUGGCCUUGGGUUUUCAUUUGUUCCUAAAUUGAGCUCUUUUAAUUCAUCUACAUUGGCUUGCCCCCUAUCUUCAAAUACUUGAGGAGCUUUCCCUGGUUCAUCUUCUGAAAAUUUUGAAUUAAAGUCAACUUGCACUGUAAUAUGGUAGCUAGUGUGCGUCGAACUUUCUUCAACAUCUUUAGGGCAUCCCUUGUCCGACAGCUUGGUAAUCACAAUGAUACAUCAUUUUACUUUUAACGAACCAUUAGUACAAAUUUCCCAAGUUGAAUGGCGCUUCAUCCUUGAUGGGAUUAAAUUUCUUGUCUUUGCAUCCUCCUUUAGUUCAAUACACUGUUUCAUAUUGGGAUUUCAUUGCCAUGAAUUUCGAGGUAAAUUCCUAAUCCUUUGUUGUAUUGACCUUUGUGGAAUAUAUGUUAAAUUCUGUUCUACUUGGUUAAAAUCGCUCAACCUAGUGAACACUGAAAUUUGAGGAGGAGAAUUUGACCCACUACUAUCUUCCAUGUCUUCUAUAGUGAUAUGUUGUGUACUUGCCUUAGUCUUCUUGGUCUUAGCUAAAAUUUUGAUAGACUCGAAAAGUACAAACCCUAAACCUGCCCUAGAAGGUUUGACUGCAUACCCUUGUUGUUUCAACUUCUUUUGAGUUUCGUUAAGGCCAUGCAUCUUUUCACUUGUAGUCUCGGGGCUAAGUUCUCCUAAUUGUGAUGACAAAGUGAAGUCAUACCCUGCCUUGGCUAAUAACUUAUAAGCCUUAGGGUUGAACCCCUCAUCUAUUAUUUUACCAUGAAUGAAUUCUUGCUUUGUUUGAUCUUUUGAGGAUUUGACGGAUUUUUGUGACUCAUCCCUAGAGAUAAGUUGUAAGUUUGGAAGGGGAAUGGUCGCAUCUUCUUUCAAGACCUGAAGGUCCCCAUUUUCCAAUAUUCGAGGUUGUACUUCACUUUUGUCUUCUAUGAAAGGUGGUUGACCCUCACUUCGUCAAGAUCUUGGGAUGUACCUAAAAACUGGGGAAGUAGUGACAAUCGUUGAGUCUAGUGUAGAUUUUUUUUAGGAUUUCUCUUUUUCUUCAAUUCGAGUCAUCAUUGGUUGUGAAAUUUCCUCUACUAAUGUCAAAUUACAUUGCUCAACUUUUCCCUUAAAUUUAGCCUUCCCAGAUGAUUACUACCCAAAAAGUGCUAUUUUACACCUUUAAUGCAUUAUGUUUUAAGCACUUUGGUGUAGUAGUUCUCCAUCUUUAGUCCAAUUGGCAUGUUAAGGACCUAGCAAUGUCUUCUAAUCAUAUUUGUGGCUAGUUUUAGUGUUUUGACAUCUUUUUGGAUCAUUAAGACAAGCCAAUCAAAGGAGAAAAGCAAAGAGAAGCAAGGAGGAAAGCAGAGGACAGCAGCUGCAGUCUUCGUUGGCACUUUUGGAGCAAUUCCCGAAGUCCAUUUUCUACAUGCUAUAUACCAUUUCAAAGCUCAGGAAGUCAAGAAUCCAACGCUUCAAACCGUGUAUGAUUUGGAGCUGAAACGAGGAAGAUGUGGCUUUCGGAAGACAACUGCUCCAGGUGUGCGAANNNNNNNNNNNNNNNNNNNNNNNNNNNNNNNNNNNNNNNNNNNNNNNNNNNNNNNNNNNNNNNNNNNNNNNNNNNNNNNNNNNNNNNNNNNNNNNNNNNNNNNNNNNNNNNNNNNNNNNNNNNNNNNNNNNNNNNNNNNNNNNNNNNNNNNNNNNNNNNNNNNNNNNNNNNNNNNNNNNNNNNNNNNNNNNNNNNNNNNNNNNNNNNNNNNNNNNNNNNNNNNNNNNNNNNNNNNNNNNNNNNNNNNNNNNNNNNNNNNNNNNNNNNNNNNNNNNNNNNNNNNNNNNNNNNNNNNNNNNNNNNNNNNNNNNNNNNNNNNNNNNNNNNNNNNNNNNNNNNNNNNNNNNNNNNNNNNNNNNNNNNNNNNNNNNNNNNNNNNNNNNNNNNNNNNNNNNNNNNNNNNNNNNNNNNNNNNNNNNNNNNNNNNNNNNNNNNNNNNNNNNNNNNNNNNNNNNNNNNNNNNNNNNNNNNNNNNNNNNNNNNNNNNNNNNNNNNNNNNNNNNNNNNNNNNNNNNNNNNNNNNNNNNNNNNNNNNNNNNNNNNNNNNNNNNNNNNNNNNNNNNNNNNNNNNNNNNNNNNNNNNNNNNNNNNNNNNNNNNNNNNNNNNNNNNNNNNNNNNNNNNNNNNNNNNNNNNNNNNNNNNNNNNNNNNNNNNNNNNNNNNNNNNNNNNNNNNNNNNNNNNNNNNNNNNNNNNNNNNNNNNNNNNNNNNNNNNNNNNNNNNNNNNNNNNNNNNNNNNNNNNNNNNNNNNNNNNNNNNNNNNNNNNNNNNNNNNNNNNNNNNNNNNNNNNNNNNNNNNNNNNNNNNNNNNNCAAUACAUGGUAAGCUUCAAGUCUUUAUGGAUGCUUAUUGCUAGAUCCAUAUUAGUCCAUUAGUUAUCAUGUACGAGUCAUUGGAAAGCGGUUCAAGGUGAAGACCUAUAGUGUCUAAAGCCAUUAAUGGACUUUGACUACCAUUUAUAUUGAUUAUUAUGGAUUAAAUCUUCAUUGUUAAACCUAUACCGGUUCGGGAAAUAACUAUAGGUUAAAUCCCCAAUGCGAGGAGAAAAAUCCGGAAUUUUCCACUUUGCAUUCUAAACUUGAUCCUAGCAAUCCUGAGCUCCGGGAGACUUUCUUUCUUCCAUUUUUAAUUAGUUUAUGUUAGUUUAGUUUCAAACACUUUCAAAACAAAUUUUAUUUUCUUUUAAACUUUAAGUUUUUGAUUAAGGAAAUCAUUAAAUACAAUUUCUAAUUUUGAGUAUAUCACUGGUAGAAUGAAAACCCAUCCCAGAGUUCGACCCUAGAGCCACUAUACUAUAGUAGCUUUGCUAUAUUAGUAUGAGGUCAUAGGUUUUAUAAAUGUUUUUGAUUAAAUGACCCAUUUGGAGUUACACGCGAAUCAAAAUGGCGCCGUUGCCGGGGAUGGUGCCACGAUACAGUGAUACAACCUUUUAGAGGCUACUUGUGAUUUUCAUCACAAGUUUGGUGAAUUCCUUUUUCACUAACUUUAUUUCUUUUUUUUUUAUUGUAGAAUUUCUUUUGUUUUCUUUCUAACUUUAACUUUCUUCUAGUUUUCUUUUGUUUUUGUUGUGUUUGUUUUAUUUCAGGUAAGUAAUAACUUGUGCAUGCCCUAUUGGAUUCGGGACCAAGAGGGAAGAUUAGUAAGGAUUGAGAAUCCUCAAGACACAGAGUUGGAUAUCUGUGUAAACAUCAUGGACCCUCCAGAAGAGGAUCAGAAUUCUCAACAAGGUCAAGGGGGUAAUCCCAAUGCAUAUUUAUCCAUGAGGGAUAGAAUGCACCCACCAAGGAUGAGUGCACCCUCGUGCAUCCUGUCUCCUCUUGAGCAGUUGGUUAUAAGGCCCCAUAUUGUGCCCCUUCUACCAACUUUCCAUGGAAUGGAGAGUGAGAAUCCAUAUGCCCACAUCAAGGAGUUUGAGGAGGUGUGCAAUACCUUUAGAGAGGGAGGAGCUUCAAUAGACUUGAUGAGACUCAAGCUAUUCCCUUUUACUUUGAAGGACAAGGCAAAAAUAUGGCUUAAUUCUUUAAGGCCAAGGAGCAUAAGGAAUUGGGUUGAUCUUCAGGCCGAAUUUUUGAAGAAAUUUUUCCCCACCCAUAGGACCAAUGGGUUGAAGAGACAAAUCUCAAACUUUUCUGCAAAAGAAAAUGAGAAGUUCCAUGAAUGUUGGGAAAGGUAUAUGGAGGCCAUCAAUGCUUGUCCUCAUCAUGGCUUUGAUACAUGGCUCUUGGUGAGCUAUUUCUAUGAUGGGAUGUCUUCCUCCAUGAAGCAAAUUCUUGAAACCAUGUGUGGAGGAGAUUUUAUGAGUAAGAAUCCGGAAGAAGCCAUGGACUUUUUAAGUUAUGUGUCUGAGGUGUCAAGAGGAUGGGAUGAGCCCAACUCAAGAGAGAAAGGGAAGUUUCCCUCUCAACCAACCCAAAAUCCAAAAGGUGGAAUGUAUGUAUUAAGUGAAGACAUGGACAUGAAAGCUAAAGUGGCAACAAUAGCAAGGAGGUUGGAAGAACUUGAGUUGAAAAAGAUACAUGAAGUCCAAGCCAUUUCCGAGACCCAAGCCCAUGUCAUGCCAUGCACCAUUUGCCAAUCAUGUGAUCAUGUGGUAGAUGAGUGCCCAACCAUGCCAGCUGUGAGAGAGAUGUUAGGUGAUCAAGCCAAUGUUGUGGGGCAAUUUAGGCCUAACAACAAUGCACCUUAUGGAAACACCUAUAAUUCAAGCUGGAGAAACCAUCCAAAUUUUUCAUGGAAACCAAGACCACCUCCAUACCAACCAUAAGCCCAAACCCAAGCACCUCAACAAACCUCUUCAGUGGAGCAAGCCAUUGUGAACCUAAGUAAAGUCAUGGGUGACUUUGUGGGUGAACAAAAGGCAAUCAACUCCCAAUUGCAUCAAAAGAUUGAAAAUGUUGAGAGUUCUCAAAUUAAGAGAAUGGAGGGGAUGCAAAAUGAUCUAUCUCAGAAGAUAGAUAAUAUUCAAUACUCCAUCUCUAGGCUUACCAACCUCAACACUGUGAAUGAAAAGGGAAAGUUUCCCUCUCAACCAAGCUAAAAUCCCAAGGGUGUUUAUGAAGUUGAAACCCAAGAGGGGGAGUCUUCAAAGUUAAGGGAGGUUAAAGCUGUGAUCACUUUAAGGAGUGGAAAAGAGGUUGAUCAACCCCUGCCUAAGGUGAAGCAAGAUGAAGAACUCAUGUCAAAGAAAACCUUGGUCAAAGAGAGCAAUAACCAAGAAGAGAAGAGUGGGAAGAAAAGUGCAUCCAAAUCAAGCAUUGAAGAAGAGCCAAGGGUAGUGAUUAAAGAGGAUAUGAUGAAGAAACAUAUGCCUCCCCCUUUUCCUCAAGCUUUACAUGGAAAGAAGGAAAUCAAGAAUUCAUCAGAAAUUCUUGAAGUCUUGAGACAAGUGAAGGUGAAUAUACCCUUACUUGAUAUGAUCAAGCAAGUCCCCACAUAUGCAAAGUUUCUAAAGGACUUGUGCACGGUCAAGAGAGGGUUACAUGUGACAAAGAAUGCAUUCCUCACUGAGCAAGUAAGUGCUAUCAUUCAGAGUAAGUCUCCAGUUAAGUACAAAGAUCCGGGAUGCCCCACCAUUUCAGUCAACAUUGGAGGGACACAUGUGGAGAAAGCUUUACUAGACUUGGGGGCAAGUGUGAAUUUGCUCCCAUACUCUGUGUACAAGCAACUGGGACUUGGAGGAUUGAAGCCCACAGCUAUCACUCUCUCCCUAGCUGACAGGUCAGUCAAAAUCCCAAGAGGGGUGAUAGAGGAUGUUCUAGUUCAAGUGGACAAAUUCUACUAUCCUGUGGAUUUUGUUGUGCUUGAUACUGAUCCCAUUGUCAAGGAAGCAAACUAUGUACCAAUCAUCCUUGGGAGACCUUUCCUAGCUACCUCCAAUGCCAUUAUCAAUUGUAGAAAUGGGGUGAUGCAGCUCACAUUUGGGAAUAUGACCUUGGAAUUAAACAUAUUCCACCUAUGCAAGAGGCAUCUUCACCCAGAAGAAGAGGAAGGAUUGGAGGAGGUGUGCUUGAUCAACACCUUGGUUGAAGAGCAUUGUGACAAGAAUUUACAAGAGAGCUUGAAUGAAAGCCUAGAAAUGUUUGAAGAAGGGUUACCUGAACCCUCUGAUGUUCUACCUAUCAUGUCUCCUUGGAGGAGACGGGAAGAGAUCUUACCACUGUUCAAUCAAGAAGACUCACAAGAAGCAACUGUGGAGGACCCUCCAAAACUUGUUUUGAAGCCACUUCCUGUUGAUUUGAAAUAUGCAUAUUUGGAGGAAAAUGAGAAAUGUCCAGUGGUGAUUUCUUCAACUCUUACUAUUGAUCAAGAGGAUAAUCUUUUGGGAGUCCUCAGGAAAUGCAAGAAAGCCAUUGGAUGGCAAAUUUCUGAUCUGAAAGGGAUUAGCCCUUUGGUGUGCACCCACCAUAUCUAUAUGGAGGAUGAUGCAAAACCAGUGAGGCAGCCCCAGAGGAGGUUGAAUCCUCACAUGCAAGAGGUGGUGAGGGGUGAAGUUCUGAAGCUACUCCAAGCUGGGAUCAUAUAUCCCAUUUCAGACAGUUUGUGGGUGAGCCCCACCCAAGUAGUCCCAAAGAAAUCUGGAAUCACUGUGGUCCAGAAUGAGAAAGGGGAGGAAGUCUCUACACGUCCUACCUUAGGAUGGAGGGUGUGUAUAGACUAUAGGAGGUUGAAUUCAGUGACUAGGAAGGACCAUUUCCCUUUGCCUUUCAUGGACCAAGUCCUUGAGAGAGUCUCAGGACAUCCUUUCUACUGUUUUCUGGAUGGGUACUCGGGGUACUUCCAAAUAGAGAUUGAUUUGGAAGAUCAAGAAAAGACAACCUUUACUUGCCCCUUUGGUACUUUUGCGUAUAGGAGAAUGCCCUUUGGGUUAUGCAAUGCUCCUGCAACUUUCCAAAGAUGUAUGCUAAGCAUCUUCAGUGAUAUGGUGGGACGCAUCAUGGAAGUCUUCAUGGAUGACAUCACUGUUUAUGGAAGUUCUUAUGAGGAGUGUUUGUUGCAUUUAGAAGCUGUUCUCCAAAGAUGUAUUGAGAAAGACCUAGUGCUAAAUUGGGAGAAGUGCCAUUUUAUGGUACAACAGGGAAUUGUCUUAGGACAUAUCAUCUCCAAGAAGGGCAUUGAGGUAGACAAAGGCAAAGUGGAGCUAAUUGUUAAGUUGCCACCUCCCACAAAUGUUAAAGGAAUUAGCAAUUCUUAGGACAUGCCGGGUUCUAUAGAGUUCAUUAAGAUUUCUCAAAAUCUUCAAAGCUCUUNNNNNNNNNNNNNNNNNNNNNNNNNNNNNNNNNNNNNNNNNNNNNNNNNNNNNNNNNNNNNNNNNNNNNNNNNNNNNNNNNNNNNNNNNNNNNNNNNNNNNNNNNNNNNNNNNNNNNNNNNNNNNNNNNNNNNNNNNNNNNNNNNNNNNNNNNNNNNNNNNNNNNNNNNNNNNNNNNNNNNNNNNNNNNNNNNNNNNNNNNNNNNNNNNNNNNNNNNNNNNNNNNNNNNNNNNNNNNNNNNNNNNNNNNNNNNNNNNNNNNNNNNNNNNNNNNNNNNNNNNNNNNNNNNNNNNNNNNNNNNNNNNNNNNNNNNNNNNNNNNNNNNNNNNNNNNNNNNNNNNNNNNNNNNNNNNNNNNNNNNNNNNNNNNNNNNNNNNNNNNNNNNNNNNNNNNNNNNNNNNNNNNNNNNNNNNNNNNNNNNNNNNNNNNNNNNNNNNNNNNNNNNNNNNNNNNNNNNNNNNNNNNNNNNNNNNNNNNNNNNNNNNNNNNNNNNNNNNNNNNNNNNNNNNNNNNNNNNNNNNNNNNNNNNNNNNNNNNNNNNNNNNNNNNNNNNNNNNNNNNNNNNNNNNNNNNNNNNNNNNNNNNNNNNNNNNNNNNNNNNNNNNNNNNNNNNNNNNNNNNNNNNNNNNNNNNNNNNNNNNNNNNNNNNNNNNNNNNNNNNNNNNNNNNNNNNNNNNNNNNNNNNNNNNNNNNNNNNNNNNNNNNNNNNNNNNNNNNNNNNNNNNNNNNNNNNNNNNNNNNNNNNNNNNNNNNNNNNNNNNNNNNNNNNNNNNNNNNNNNNNNNNNNNNNNNNNNNNNNNNNNNNNNNNNNNNNNNNNNNNNNNNNNNNNNNNNNNNNNNNNNNNNNNNNNNNNNNNNNNNNNNNNNNNNNNNNNNNNNNNNNNNNNNNNNNNNNNNCUCAACCAAGCCCCAAUUCUUCAAACGCACGGGUGAAUAGUCCCCUGUGCGAAAAUUUCCCCCCCCCCCCCUCCCCUGUGCGAAAAUCUCGCACACCACCCCCCCCCCCGGUGCAAAAAUCUCAGCUUCUCCAUCCCUACCUUCCCUAAUCCCAAGCCUCUGCGCCUCAUUUCAUCGCUCCAUCAUGCCAAAGACCCGAGGAGGAUCUACCACAGCCCCCCAGAGCAGUCAGAGAGCUGCCCCUGUGCGGGCCCCACUAGCUGCACCCUCACAUUUACCUGAUUCUGCCCCUCAGAGCAGAUACCAUACGAGGAAAGCAUCUGCCACGUCUGUGGCCCCACCACAAGUUCCGCCUCGGAGUCCUCCUACAAAGAGAGCCAAGACUUCAGAGCCAGGAGAUUCCUCCAGAGCACCUCGGGAUUCACAGUCUCAGCCUUCUUCCGCCAGGCGCCGUAGACCCAGCUUGCCCAUUGAGGGCAAUUCAGAUUGCCGAUUGAGAGACUUUCAUGUCGAGGCAUAUUUCGAUCACUCUCUUAUGCGACAGCAGCCUGAGUUGCGGGAUUCAUACCGCCUACUUGAGAGGUACCAUCUUAUACCCUUUAUGACUCUGCCCCAGUUCUUUUAUCCUCGAGUAGCUUUAGACUUUUACCAGUCUAUGACUACUCGUGGCGUCCCGGUACCUGCCUCGAUCCUUUUUACCAUUGAUGGACGCCAGAGUAUUUUGGGGGCUAGACAGAUUGCCGAUGCCUUCCAUAUCCCUUUUGCACUAGUAGAUCCCGCUACAUUUAGACGCUGGGUCCCAUUUUCUGAGUGGGACAUGGUUCGUAUCCUAUCUCGAGGGACAUCUUCCCAGAGGACCAUUUUGAGGAGAGAGCUUCCCCCAGAGAUGCUCCUAGUUGAUGUGGUGCUUCGCGCCAAUCUUUUUCCUCUUCAGCAUAAAGUACAGAGACGAGGGGCCAUUAUGGAGGCAUUAUUUCGUAUCUCUGAGGCCUACUAUUUUGGCCCCCAUCAUUUGAUUAUGGCCGCUCUCCUCCAUUUUGAGGAGAAGGUGCAUACGCGGCAUCUUGCGAGGGCAGACUCCAUUCCUUUACUUUUCCCUCGGCUGCUAUGCCAUAUUUUGGCGCAUAUGGGUUUUCCUACAGACCCUCGUUCAGAGCCCCGCCGCCAUUGUCGAGAGAGCUUCUCUCUUGACCAAUGGACUCAGAUAUGGCUCCAUCGCCAGUCCCCAGAACUUCCCGAGCCAAGGGAAGUCCCUCCUGCUCCGUCCACUACAGACCCUCCACAGCCAGUACCGGAGGCAGCAUCAUCUGAUGCCCCACCUGUUGUUCCUCCUACAUCAGAGCCGCCCAUUACUAUCCCUGGUCCAGAGUAUCGUGCCUUGCUCACUUCUUUCCAGACUUUGACCACUACUCAGACGGCCAUUAUGGAGCGCAUGGACCACUUCCAGACUCAGCAGGACCAGCAGACUCUCAUUCUCCGUGAGAUUCAGCAGCACCUCGGUCUUGUGCCACCAGCUCCACCUGUAGCGGUGCCUUCCACAGUUGCAGCGGAGGACCCCUCCUAUCCACCAGAGGAGCCUACUACUUGAUCAUACGAUCACUCAUCUCCUUUUUUGUAUCUAUAUGCUACGUUUUGGGAUGUCUUAUAUAUUUUGGACCACUUUUAUACUGGGAUUGGAUGUAUUCCAUGUUUAUUUUGUAUAUUGUACUUUCUCAGUUUAUAUAGACAUCUUCUCUUUUAGUGUAUUUUAGCUAUUCCAUUUUAUUUCCUCUUUUCAUCACUCUUAUGAUUUUCCUUUUCUUAUGCAACAUGUGGUUUCUCCUGUUCAUUCAGAGUCCCUUACUAUCAGGAGGUAUCACUUCCUCCCUUAUUUUAUCGCUUGCUUUUGGAACAUUGCGGACAAUGUUCAUCUUAGUUGGGGGGAGAGUUGAGGAAGUAAUUUGUUGAAUUUGUUAAGUUAUUUUGCUAACAAAUUUUUUGCAAACUCUCUUUGUUUUCUCAAAGAUAAAUUCUCAAAAGUAAAUGGGAGAAAUUAAAUUCUUAUCUUAUUGCCAUAGUCUCAGAGUUUGUAUUAUGCUUAUUAAAGUUGAUAAAUUGUUGAAGCUUCUUUUGUUUUCAAGCUUAAGUCUUCCACUCUAAUCUUUUCACACACUGAACACAUUAGAUUCCAGUUAUAAGAUGGAAAACUUUCUCACCCCCCNNNNNNNNNNNNNNNNNNNNNNNNNNNNNNNNNNNNNNNNNNNNNNNNNNNNNNNNNNNNNNNNNNNNNNNNNNNNNNNNNNNNNNNNNNNNNNNNNNNNGAUAUUCAAAUUUGCAUAAUGGUCGCUCUUUUGAAUGUUGUGAUAAGUAAGUUAUUUGAUGACUCGUGUUGAUGAUUGAGUUUUAUAUCCUUGACUUGCCACGAGAGUGUUUGAUCCAAUCAUGCCACUUGGUUAUUUUUUGGAGUGAUCAGCAUGAUUUUGUAAAUUAUUAUAUUAUCUAUUUUUCUUUCUUUUUCUCUCCUUCAUUGCUCAGGGACUAGCAAUGUGUCAGUUGGGGGGAGUGAUUACUACCCAAAAAGUGCUAUUUUACACCUUUAAUGCAUUAUGUUUUAAGCACUUUGGUGUAGUAGUUCUCCAUCUUUAGUCCAAUUGGCAUGUUAAGGACCUAGCAAUGUCUUCUAAUCAUAUUUGUGGCUAGUUUUAGUGUUUUGACAUCUUUUUGGAUCAUUAAGACAAGCCAAUCAAAGGAGAAAAGCAAAGAGAAGCAAGGAGGAAAGCAGAGGACAGCAGCUGCAGUCUUCGUUGGCACUUUUGGAGCAAUUCCCGAAGUCCAUUUUCUACAUGCUAUAUACCAUUUCAAAGCUCAGGAAGUCAAGAAUCCAACGCUUCAAACCGUGUAUGAUUUGGAGCUGAAACGAGGAAGAUAUGGCUUUCGGAAGACAACUGCUCCAGGUGUGCGAAAAUUUCGCACACCCCCUUAGCUGUGCGAAUGGUGUGCGAAAUUCGCACACCUUCUUCAGGUGUGCGAAAAUUUCGCACACCCCUUGCGUGGUGCAAAUUUUGCUCUGUUUUUGCCGACUCCACUUUAGAUAUUUUCCUAUGUAUUUUUUUGAUGUAAUUUCCUUUCUUAUCCUUGUAACUAACCAAUCACAAGCUUUUGCUUUUGUAAAGACUAUAUAAGGGGUGGAAAUUACCUCUUGGAAUAUAUGGAAUACGUAUUACGUUUUUACACUUAGAAUUUUACAGAGCUCUCUCGUUCUCUUUGCUCUUUACUAUUUUCUUUUUCUUGGAAGCCCAACAACCUCUAAGGAUGUUUGNNNNNNNNNNNNNNNNNNNNNNNNNNNNNNNNNNNNNNNNNNNNNNNNNNNNNNNNNNNNNNNNNNNNNNNNNNNNNNNNNNNNNNNNNNNNNNNNNNNNGAAGCCAAACAACCUCUAAGGAUGUUUGCCCGGAGGAUGAGAGGCUAAACUUUCGGUUUCUUGGAGUGAUGGAAGCUAGGUGAAAAGUCCAGAUGCAAGGUGGAAAACGCUCGUGCAUUAAAUUCAGGUAGUUGGAAUUCAUAAAUGGCUUUUAAAUCCAAAGUUUUGCUUUAAAUCUCUUAGAAUCACUUUGAAUGACCAAUACAUGGUAAGCUUCAGGUCUUUAUGGAUGCUUAUUGCUAGAUCCAUAUUAGUCCAUUAGUUAUCAUGUACGAGUCAUUGGAAAGCGGUUCAAGGUGAAAACCUAUAGUGUCUAAAGCCAUUAAUGGACUUUGACUACCAUUUAUAUUGAUUAUUAUGGAUUAAAUCUUCAUUGUUAAACCUAUACCGGUUCGGGAAAUAACUAUAGGUUAAAUCCCCAAUGCGAGGAGAAAAAUCCGGAAUUUUCCACUUUGCAUUCUAAACUUGAUCCUAGCAAUCCUGAGCUCCGGGAGACUUUCUUUCUUCCAUUUUUAAUUAGUUUAUGUUAGUUUAGUUUCAAACACUUUCAAAACAAAUUUUAUUUUCUUUUAAACUUUAAGUUUUUGAUUAAGGAAAUCAUUAAAUACAAUUUCUAAUUUUGAGUAUAUCACUGGUAGAAUGAAAACCCAUCCCAGAGUUCGACCCUAGAGCCACUAUACUAUAGUAGCUUUGCUAUAUUAGUAUGAGGUUAUAGGUUUUAUAAAUGUUUUUUAUUAAAUGACCCAUUUGGAGUUACACGCGAAUCACCAGAUGAGGGAAUGAUAAUAAAAAAGACUUCCUCUAUAACAUCAUUUUCUAUGUAAAAUUUAGCAUCAGCAAAAUAAGACUUGACUUCUGUAAAUGGCUUAGCUUCAACCUCUGCUUUCUUUACCACUCCUAUAUAGAAUUUGAAACACUAGUGUAGUGUUGAAGGAAUUACCCCAUUCUCAUGAAGCCAUGGUCGCCUGAGUAAUAGGUUGUAAGAUGUUUUUACAUCAAUUACAUGAAACAAUGUGUUUGAACUCAAUUCACCCGUAACAAGCUCUAGGUGAAUCAUACCAAUAGCUCAUUGUCCUCCUUGAUUAAAGCCCUGGAUCAUUAGGCGACUUUGAGUUAGUUCUUUUGUAGCAAUCCCGAGUCGUUUCAUUGUUGUUUUGGGCAUGAUAUUUGCUGCAGACCCUCCAUCAAUUAAGAUGCGAGUGAUAUUUUGUUCUCGUAUGUACCCAAUAACAAACAGAGGUCGAUUAUAUGGUUUUGACCCUAAUUGAAGGUCUUCACGGUAAAGGUGAUGACUGCACAACAUUUGACACAAUUGUGGCUUUCAUCCUCAAGUCCUUUUGUCCCCUUUAUUUUGGUGGCAUAGAGUGUGGGAUUAUUAAGUACUUGAAUCAACACAUUUUGUAUCUCAUUAGGAAGUUGUAGCAUUUCGUGGCGACUAAAUAGUGAGGGUAGGUGUUGUAAGCUUGUUACUACCCCCUCUUCUUCCUUAGUUUUUCUUGACUUAACACCAAGAAUGCUUUUCUCAUCUUCACUUAACCCCUCUUCUUUUGCAGUCUCAUUGCAAGAGACCAUAUGAGUUGAUAUUGUCACCCUUUUAUAAAAGAACCCUAAGGGGAAUUAUUCCCCUAGGGUGAUAGGGGUGAUGAGUUUCUGGAUCAAAAGGUUGUCUACUUGUACAAUUGCUUGUUUUCUAUCAGGAUUCUUUUUUUCUUUCUUUUUUAGAUGUUGACAAGUAUUCCACUCAUGUCGUCCCUUCCUAGGAAGGUUAGGGUAUGAAUGCGACAUUUGCUUCUUGCGAGGUCUUCUUUGUGUCACUAAUGUCCAACCUUCUUCGUUAUAUGACAUUGAUUUUUUAUCAGAGCAAAGACGAAGAAAGCUAUCUUGACACGACACUUGUGUUUGCUUUGGUUUCAGUGACUCGCAUUGAAUAGCACUGGCACAUGCUCCCAGUUUCUUAAGCGGAACAUGUAAUGGAAUAGGAUCAAAUGACCCAAAUGUGACUGUAGCAUGAUUUGACUCUACUACUUCAUCUAGAUCUAAAUGAAUUAUUCCUUGCUUUGCAAGUUUCAUUAUGAGAUCUUUUAAAACGAAACAUUUCUCCAUAGGAUGACUGCACAUUUGAUGGUAAUGAUAGUAGUUUGGAUUAUUAACACGACCCAUUUCUUUUAGACGCUUGCACUCAAGUAACUCAAUAACUUUUUUCUGGAGCAAGUCUUCCAACAUGUUAGGCACAUCAGAGUCAAGAAAAGGAUAUUUCUUCUCCUCUAAUUCCUUCAAGGUGAAUCAAUGUCUCUCAUUUUCCUAGAUUGGUCCAGUCUCUUUUACUUCUUUCUUUUUAUCCUUUGCUGAGAUUUUGACGGGAGCCGUAUUUAUCGUCAUUGACUCCUGGAUGGGUUUCUUCGAGGUCUUGUCACUCAUUUUCCCAUUAUGUCUCUCUUUUUGCCGAUCAACGGUAAGUUCUUUCUUAGAACAAUGGUUGGCUAUGCUAAGCUUCAUGUCAUGUGCUCGGGUAGCUAAUUCUUCAAAGUUAUGGGGUCGUAUCCCUUAGAGAAUGUAUAGGAGACCCCAAUGCAUUCCUUGUAUGCACAUCUCCACGGCUGAUACCUUAGAUAAUCUAUCUUUGCAAUCAAAGCUUAAGGAACGUCAACAGUUGAUCUAGUCUACAAUUGGGUCGUCUUUCCAUUGCUUAGUGUUAAUAAGUUCCAUCAUACUUACAAUUCAUCGGGUGCUAUAGAAACGGUUAAGGAAUUCACGUUCCAUUUGGUCCCAACUAUCGAUACACUCAGGUGCAAGGUCUAUGUACCAAUCAAAAGCAUUCCCUCGGAGAAAACAAGUGAAUUAUUUAACUAAUAAGUCACCAUCUAUACCUACAUUGUUACAAGUUUCAACGAAAUGGGGAACAUGUUGUUUUGGAUUUCCUUUCCCGUCAAAUGAUUGAAAUUUUAGAGGUUGAUAACCCACAGGCAUACGUAGGUUAUCAAUCCUCUUAGUGUAAGGUUUAGAGUACAUGCACGUACUCUGUGAGGGUCCACCGUACUGCGCUCUAAUGGUGUUAGUUAUCAUAUCCUGAAGUUGUUGGACAAAUAAUGACACCACUGAGGCAGAUUCCGUCGUUUGUCUCUCACUUUGCAUUGUCCUAUACGUAUGUGGUGCAUCAUCGAGAGGAGAUGCAACAUUCGAAAAGUGGUUGAGUCCUUGACUUAACUCACACGUAUUUUGUACUUGUGCCUCAACCUUGUUUAUGAGAGAGGUUAUCUACAUAUCCUUCUCUUCAACCGUCUUGGUGAGUUUGGCGAUGGCACGAGCCAUCUCUGCUAAUUGUUCCUCUACGAAUGUAGUGUCGAUUGCCAUUACCGGCAUAGUCAUCGAGAAAGGAGAAGUAAAAGAGUCGGAACAAUUGAAGUAGUUUUCCUCCUUUGACAUUCUAGUUGGCGAUUCGGAAUGUGAGUCGGUGCUAGAGUUGGCAUUGGUAACAAAGCAAGGAGAUUUAUCCCUAAAGUCCUGUAGUGUUGAAGGGAGUUUCCCUCUGCUAUGAGGACUAUGGCUCUUUGCCCCCAGAGAAACUAAGGUGAUGAGUGGUUGGUUUUCAUCGCAUGUUCUUACCUGUUUUAGCAAACAAGCAGACUCACUUGUUUGUUUUGUUGAGAUUGAAGAUGUUGAUUUUGCUUUGCUACGAGUCAUGGGGCUCGUAGCAAUGUCAUGUGUCGAUUGUGCAAUGACAAUCUUGUCAUUGCCCUUGUUGACAUGCACAACUUAAGUUUUUUUGGGUGUCAUCAACGUAGUAGAGAUCAAUCUUCUAACAAAAGAGAUGAGAGGCAGAAAUGUCCCACCGGGCGUGCUAGAAAUUUGUCAGCACAAAUUUCAUAAAUUUUGGUCCUGCAAAAUUAGCAAAACAAAAUAGGAAAAUAAUGCGAACAAAAUAUUUAUUAAAAUUAAAAAUAUUAUGGGUACAAUCUUAAAAAAAAAAAAAAAAAUUCUUUCCAAAAGAAUAUUUUUCCUCUGAUUCUUUUGCCUUGAUCACACUUUAGAAGACAAUGAUGACCUUUUCUUGAUUUUGAAGAUCAAUCGAGGCCCACAAGUGGCUUAUUCCCGAAUGACCUUGUUGAAUGGCGAAGAACGCGUGUAGUAGUUCUUUUGCCGCUUAUCAAACUUAUAGGGAGAUUUGAUGAAACUCUUUCUUUUGUUGUGAAACUCCUUUUCUCGUACGAAGUUACCUUUGGAUUUUCUCCUUAGGAUUUUCCUUUCUGAAAUUUUUUUUUUUUUUUCUGAUUUCUGAAUUUUCUUCCCCCUUCUAAAUGAAAGACACCUCUAUUUAUAGGUGAAGAUAGGGAAUUUGAAUUUCAAAUUCCCGAAUUUUAGUUGCUUAAUUCAAGGGAUUUAGUUCCUUGAUUUUAGCAAAAUUUCCUCUCCAGGAGGUUUUACCAACAAGAUAAUAAUAAUAAUAAUAAUUUUCUUGUUAUUAUUAUUAUCCUUUUUAUAGUUGGAGAUUAGGUAAACUUAUCCAUAAGAGUUUUUUUUUAAUUUAUUCAUUUUGAAGACCAAAUUAGUGGUAAUUUAAUCCACUAAUUUUUUUUUAUGUUUACAGUCACUAAUAAAUUUCAAUUUUAUCUUCCUAACGUACAAUCCAAAUAACUCUAACACUUCACUCAAAUAUUUAUCUUUCAUUCACAUGAAUUGAAUUUUUCUCCAACAUCAUUUCCACUAAAAAUCAAUUAUUGCAAAAAAAAUAUUAAAAUGAUAACUAUACAUGUAGAAUCCCUUACAAGUAGAAUCACUUGCAAAAUAACACCAUAAUAAGUAAAUCUAAAUCCAAAAAUAAUAAUAACAAAAUUCUCAAUUAAAAUAUAUUAUAUGAAAGUUUUGGGGAAUAAACUACUCUACCAAAAAUCGAGAAUCUAAUCGUUAAUUUUGAAAUUAGACUUCAUGAUAUUUCUCACAUAAAAUAAAUAUCCUCAUAAAAUUUCAAGCAAAAAAAUCAAAUUUAUUUGCUUCAUCAAACAACCUUCUGAAGAUCUAUGAUACUCAAUGCUCUGUUUUUUUCUUUUUUGCCCUUUUAAUUCUUUCUACACCUCUUUCUCUCUCCUAAGACUAGACUUCUUCUUUCUAUUUAUUAUUAUUAUUAUUAUUAUUUCCCUUAGUUGAUUUUUAUCGUUUCCCGUUCUUUUUUUAAGAUUUCACACCACUCUCAUAUGCCACCCCAACACCCCCCUCCUUUUCUCAUUUUCCUAUACAUUUACUAAUUUAAUUAAAUUUCAUAUCAUAAUAAAACUAUAUUUUACCAUAUUCCCAUUUUAAGCUUUUAUUUUUUCAAAUAUAUCAACUUUAGCUAAUAAUAUAAUAAUCCACUAACCUUCGUUCAAUUUACAAUAAUAAGAUUCUCGACCCUUCAAAAUGACAUUAGUUUAAUCCACUUCUUUUGUUAAAUAUACUUCAAUUAAAUCAACCUUUUAAAAAUUAAAUCUACUAAAUGAUAAUAUUCAUAUUUAAUCAAUUUAUCUUUUGGUAUAAAUUCCUAAAUUUACAUAAUAUAACUUCAUUUUGAUUCAAUUUUAUUUCAUGUUUUAUAAUUUUAUAAGGUUGAAUUCCCAUUAUAAUUAAAAAUUAAAUUGUUUUGUUAUAAUAUUAAAUUUUAAAUAAAAUAUCUUUUGAAAAAUUUAUUAUAACCAUACGGCAUAAUACAGAUUUCACCAAGUUUUUCUACCAAAGGUUUUCGGAUCAUUACCUUAUAAUAAUAAAAUUAAUUUUUACCAUAUAUUUAAUAUUCAAAUUUCAAAAAUCCAACCACAAAUAGUUUAAUAGUUAAAUUCAAAUUUAAUUUUGGAAAAAAAUGUGACUCGGAAAGAAUUUAAACUUUCUAUUAACUUUGUAAAAAUUACACUCAGUUAAAUAAAACGUUGACACGUGAAUGUUCAGUAACAUCAUGGCAAUAGACUGACAAAUAUGUGAAUUUUCAGCAUUCAUUUUGGAUGAUCUCGAGGGAUAGUCAUCGGCAGUAGACCGAAGUUUAUGAAGAUGUGAAAGCUCUUAUUCAGAAACACUCCGACAAGAGAGUGAAUGCUUGGAUGGCUCGAGCCCUUCAGGACCAUUUCUGGUCUCCAUGGACUAUCAUGGCUUUUAUUACAGUUGUUGUGAUACUAUUUGUUACUGGGGUUCCGUACUACGCUCUUCCCGGUAAUUAAAUAUAAUGUGAUGUGUUGUUUUUUUUUUCUUGUUUGGUGUGUAUGAUUAGAGAAAUAAAGAUGUAUAGAUUGUUGAAGUUGUAUCACUGAAUUUCAUGCAUGCAAUAUCAUUAGUGUAGGGACCCCUCCCCCUGAUGACACGUGGCAUGCAGUGCUAUCCGGAUCAAACUCCAUCCGGACUCCCCAAAAGGAUAUGCGCUUCGCUAUCCGUAGCAACUCUAUCCGUACUUUCCCAAGAGGAACACGUGGCAUGCAUUGCUAUCCGGAUCAAACUCCAUCCGGACUCCCCAAGAGGACAUAUGACGCGCUCCCCUAUCCGGACUCCCUCAGGGAGAAGCACACGUCACUCACGAAUGUCAAGUCCGGACGAUAACAUACCCUAUCCGGAUCAUUGACUGAAGUGAGCAAGUCUUGCUACAUCAUUUCAACAGCCUGCCACAGCCCACCAUCCGCCGCCUGCAGAGCGAAAGGACAGGGAUGGUGGCAGGUUACCUCCAACGAUCCGUCGCCUACAGAGCGAAAGGACAGAAAUGAUGGCAAGUCACCUCCCGCGAUCUCUAACAGCCGUCUAUAAGGUCAUGAUGGCUCUGCCACCACCUAGAGGCAUCAUGACAAGCCAAAAAGUAUUUCCAUCAUUAAAGAGGGAGGACGAGCUUCUGACACUAUAUAAAGGAACCUUCACACAAGGAAGAAGGUAAGCUUGCUAUACCCAGUAAAAGGCCAACUGCUUAAUCUCUCUAGACAUGGCUGACAAAACCAUCGGAGGGUGUGUCCGGACACCUUGUCCAGACAUCUUUUGCAGGAACGACUGAACCAGAACUCUAUCUUGGUUGAAAGCGUGCGUCCACUUGGCAGGUACUUGGAUCAUCGGGACGCAAGGCCUCAACAUUGGCGCCGUCUGUGGGAAAAUCGCUGAUUUAGUCGCCGGCGAAGAUGUCCACUCCGUCCAGUAGCUGCUUGGGGAGAAGAAGAUAAUACCGAAUGGCGCCGAGCCAUCGAGAGAAGACAGUUGGCAAGCGAGCGACAAAUGCAAGCUCUCCUCCAGGAAACAGAGAGGUUGAGAGAUGAAAACGUCGUGUUGCGCAUCCAGGCUUCAUCGAUGAGGCCUCCUCGUGAUCAGCGCUCAAGAGGUCAGGUAGCAAACUCAAGGCCUGACCCAGAGUCGAUAUACCCUGAGACAGCAGGAGCCAUCCCCGAAACAUGCAACGUUAGGCCGCAAGAGCGACACACGCCCCUGCACCAAACUCCCCAGGAGGAAAGCUCGAACUAUACUCGUUUCUCGUCAAAGAAACAACGAGACAAAAGAACCCAGUUGUCAGGCGUGAUGUGCGCGAGACUAGGCCCAUAGGAGCCUAGGAAGCCACUCUAUGAUGCCCCUGACUAGCAUAGAGCCAAAAUAUACUCCGCGGCCCAGCCCGGACAAAAACAGGAGCCUGAAAGACCACUCUGUGAUGCCCCUGACUGGCACAGAGCGCGCCCUGACCCAAUGGUCACCCCUUUGGUGUCGAACGUUCCCCUGCACCAAGCGGUACCUGACCAUCCUGGGAGGCCACUUUGUGAUGCCCCUGACUGGCACAGAGCGCGCCCUGACCCAAUGGUCAACCCUUUGGUGCAGAACGUUCCCCCGCACCAAACGGUACGACAAGCUGGGAGAAACCUCCCAAACAAGCCACCCAGUGGCUCCAUCAGCAAAAGGCUGGACGACAUGCUCUCCAUGCCUUUUUGCUCUCAUAUUAUUCAGUACGACCCCCCAAGGGGAUUUCUCGUGCCUAAAUUCUCCACGUACGAUGGGUCCAACGACCCCUUCAACCAUAUCAUGCAUUACCGUCAACUCAUGACUCUUGAUAUAGGAAACGACGCGCUGCUAUGCAAAGUAUUCCUCGCCAGCUUACAACGGCAGGCCCUCUCAUGGUUUCACCGCCUACCUCCCAACUCUGUUGAUAAUUUCAGGGACCUGUCAGAAGCUUUCGUGGGACAAUGCUUGUGCUCCGCUUGAUUCAUGCCCAAUUGGUGUCUCAGCUGAUUUGUGUCCAACUGGUGCUCCUUGAUUGAGGGAGUAAUCAACAAAAUUUAUAACCUAUUACACCAUUUACUAGGGUAGCAAAGACAAAGCUACUAUAGCAUAGUGGCUCUAGGAUCGUUCACUGGGAUGGGUUUUCACUUUACAAAUGAUAUUAAUUCAAAGCUGAAUUUGUGCCUUUUCAUUUCAAGGUUAGCUUUAAAAGAAAACAUAAAGAUGUUUGAAUGAAAAAGGUUUAGAUUUAAACUAACCAAAAAUAGUAACUGAUUUUACUUACAAAGAAAAGUGUUUCUUGGAGUUCAGAUCACCAGGCUCAGGUUCCUCAUACAAAAAGGAGAGUUCCGGUCACUUGUUUCUUUUCCUCGCAUUAGAGAAUUAACAUAUAGUUAAUUCUCUAACCGGUGUUGUACAGAUGCUUCCCAUUAAUGGGUUCAAACACUAAAUCUCUCUCACUGAUGCACCUUGCAAUGGCUCAUGCCUCUCACCUAGCAUUUUCCAUUCAAGGUGAUCUUUAACCUUGGACUUCCCUUCAAAAGCUCGCAAGAGAUAACUAAUGGAUGUCUCCUUGGAGUCCAAAAGCUUACCAAGUGUUGGCUAUUCUAGAAAAUCCUACCUUCAAGUCACCUCCCAAAGGCUCGCAAGAGAUAAACUAGUGAAUCUCCAUGGACGAAGAUCACUUGCCUUACCAAGUGUUGGCCCAGGUGAUUUAAAGGCGUUUUAAGUUAACUAAAAAGAUAAAAACCAUUAACGGGUCACACUUUCUCUUCAUUAAAAACUAAAACAAUAAAACUUCCAAAUUAUGCAUGUGGAAACUUACCCGGAUUUCCUCACUCCAAGAGACGAAAAACCUAGCCUCUCAUCCUCUGAGGAAAAAUCCUCAGAGUUUGGUUAGCAAGAAAAUGAAAAUGAAAGAGAAGGAAAAAACAGAGCAAGGCUCUGUAUAUUCUAUAUAUUUAUAUAUCUAUAUACAUCCCGUUGGAUUACAUGAUUCCAUGAGAACAAGCUCCCGAGAGCUAUAUAUAAAGAAAAUUACAAAACAAAAUAUCUGAGGUUAUUCACCCCUUUUCCAAACUUAAUAACUAAGGAAUCCUAUAAUUGGUGGGUUACAAGGAGAAGAAUGGAAAUUUAUACAAAAAUAUCUGAAGAAAAGAUCUAAAAGAGUCGGUCACAACUAUUGGGAAACUUCAGGAGAACACCCGUGCACUGUGCAAAAUGGCUGCGAAAUUCUCGCAGCAAAAGGCUGAUUUCGCAGCUGUGCAAAAAUCUUCCUUCAGCUUGGAGUGAUCUUCUUGCAAUGGCUGUAACUCCUUCGUUUCAACUCCGAAUCGUGCACUGUUUGAAGAGUUGGAUUCUUGACUUCCUGAGCUUUGAAAUGGUAUAUAGCAUGUAGAAAAUGGACUUCGGGAAGUGCUCCGAAGUGUGAAAGAAGACUGCAGCUGCUGUCUUCUGUUUUCUUCACUCUGUUUUUCCUCUCUCCAUUGUUCUUUCCUUGCAUACUUUGAACGACUUUGGCAAAGGGCUAUGGAGCUCCAAAGCUUGGUUCUUCAUGAAUUUGAGCUUCCAAAAGCUUUGCCAUGAAAUAUAUACAGCUCUCCCUCAUUCUUGGAUUGCUUUGGUGUAGCUAAAAGCUAUCAAAAACACCAAAACUUAACAAAAUUUGAUUAAAAACGAUUGCAAGGGUCCUUAACAUGUCAAUUGAGUUAAAAGGUAAUAAUUACUACUCAAGAGUGUUUAAAAGAGUUAAUUACAAGCUACAAAAUAACACUUUUUGAGUAGUAAUCACCCCCCCAACCGACAUAUUGCUAGUCCCUUAGCAAUGAAGGAGAGAAAAAAUAAAAAUAAAAGUAAUAAAUUUACAAAACAUUGCCUCAUGCAACCACCCAUUCUAUUUACUACAUCAGCAGAGCGUUGGCGGACGUAGAAACAAGGUACUCAAAAAUGGAGCUAACGGCCUUAACUCUUCGAAGUGCUGCCCAGAAGCUACGCCCUUACUUCCAAGCCCACCCGGUGGUCGUGCUAACUGACCAGCCCCUUCGCAACAUCCUGCAUAAGCCGGACUUAACCGGAAGAAUGCUUCAAUGGGCCAUAGAGUUGAGCGAAUAUGGAAUCGAGUUCCAACCCAGGUUGUCCAUGAAAGGCCAAGUGAUGGCUGACUUCGUGCUGGAAUACUCCCGAAGGCCUAUCCAGCGCAAGGAACCAAGUGAAGAAGAGUGGUGGACUUUGCGAGUUGAUGGAGCCUCCCGGUCAUCAGGAUCCGGAAUAGGGCUCCUGCUGCAAUCCCCAACAGGAGAACAUCUGGAGCAAGCCAUCCGACUGGGGUUCCCUACGUCUAACAAUGAAGCUGAGUAUGAGGCCAUCCUAUCCGGAUUGGACCUCGCCCUGGCUCUAUCCGUUUCCAGGCUCCGGGACUAUAGUGAUUCCCAACUCGUGGUAAGGCACGUCCAGAAGGAAUACGAAGCUAAGGAUGAGCGCAUGGCGCUAUAUCUGACUAAAGUAAGGGACACCUUACAACGGUUCACCGAAUGGACGAUCAAAAAAAUUAAACAGACCGAGAAUGGGCGUGCCGACGCCCUGGCAGGCAUAGCUGCUUCCCUCCCCAUCAAAGAAGCCAUAUUAUUGCCUAUACAUGUGCAAACCAAUCUUUCCGUCGCGAAAGCCCCUACUUGCAAUACCAUUGAGGCAAACCAAACAGAAGGCCAAGAGUGGGCGAAAGACAUAAUAAGGUAUCUCCGGACAGGUACCCUACCCGAAGAGCCCAAGCAGGUGCACAAGACCCGGGUACAAGCUGCCCGUUUCACCCUGAUCGGGGGGCACUUGUACAAACGGUCCUUUACAGGUCCCUAUCUCAGGUGCCUAAACCACUCAGAGACCCUCUAUGUAUUAGCUGAGUUGCAUGAGGGGGUAUGUGGGAACCAUUCCGGAGGUCGAUCUUUGGCGCACAGAGCCCAUUCACAAGGGUAUUACUAGCCCACGAUGAAAAAGGAUGCGGCAGCCUAUGUCAAGAGAUGUGACAAGUGUCAAAGGCAUGCCCCCAUACCACAUGUGCCGUUCGAGACGUUAAAACCAAUUUGAGGCCCCUGGCCCUUCGCACAAUGGGGUAUGGACAUAGUAGGACCCCUACCAGCCGCAGCUGCCCAGAAAAAAUUCCUGCUCGUCGCCACGGAUUAUUUCAGUAAAUGGGUGGAAGCUGAAGCAUACGCUAGCAUCAAAGACAAAGAUGUCACCAAGUUCGUAUGGAAGAACAUCAUCUGCCGCUUUGGAAUUCCCCAAACCAUUAUAGCUGACAACGGUCCACUUAGCAUCACUUUUGAAAUUUCUGUUCGGAACUAAACAUCCAGAAUUCAUACUCCACACCGCGUUAUCCUCAAAGCAACGGGCAAGUAGAGGCCACAAACAAGACCCUAAUAACUGCCUUAAAGAAGAGGCUCGAGCAAGCCAAGGGGAAGUGGGUGGAGGAGCUACCCGGCGUCCUAUGAGAGUAUCGAACCACACCCGGACGUCCGACAGGCAACACUCCCUUCGCCCUCGCAUACGGUAUGGACGCAGUCAUUCCUACCGAAAUAGGGCUACCCACUAUCCGGACCGAGGCAAGAAGCCAGGAUGAUGCAAGUGCGGAGUUAGGAAGAAAUUUGGACUGGGCGGACGAAGUAAGAGAAACCGCAUCCAUCCGGAUGGCGGACUAUCAACAAAGAGCAGCCACUCACUACAAUCGCAAGGCAAGGCCCAGGAGUUUCAAAAGUGGAACGCUGGUCCUUAGAAAGGUUUUCGAAAACACUGCUGAGACAGGAGUAGGAAAGUUUCAAGCCAACUGGGAAGGCCCCUAUGUAGUGUCCAAGACAAGUGAAAGUGGAGCCUAUCAUCUACAGAGGCUAGACGGAACUCCAUUGCCUCGACCAUGGAAUGUAUCCAAUUUAAAGCAGUCUUACCAAUGAAAGAAAGAUAGAAGUACAAGGUGAAUGAGUAUGUUUUAUUAAUACUUGUGAAAAUUGUAUACAAAAGGUUCUCCGGACUACUAAUACAGAGAGAAAUAGCAGUAAAAAUUACAAAAAGAAAAGCUCUCAUUGGGAGGGCUUGCGACGCAACUUUUCUUCCUCGCUCGGGGGAAUCGAAGGGACGUCCCGUUUGAUGCCAUGCUUCUUCAUGCAGCAACGGUAACCAAAGAGAUACAUCUCGUCUACCUGCUUCUGGUAAUCCGUCUCGAGUUCCUCCCUUUCCGCAGUAAACUCAGCCUCUAGCUCUUCUUUUUGCGCUGAUAAAAGCAACUGCAAGUCCUGUCUCUGCUUUUUCUCAAUUAACACCUCUGUCCGGAGUUGCCUUACUUCCCCUCUCAGCUGGGCCGUCUCGUUUUCCGCCUCGUGCAGGCGGGCGUCCGUAGCUUCCUCCCUGCUCUUCGCCUCUGCUAGCUCUAUCCGGAGAGCCUCCUUGUCAUCCUGGGACCUCUUCAAGGCUUCAACACUCUCUUCAGAGGCUCUCCGGGCAGCGGAUAAGCUGGCUUCGGCCUGCUCCAAUCUCGAGCGCAAUUCCUCUUCACUGCUCAUACGCUGGGAGACGAAGGCCUUCAUAUGAUCGAAAAUCCGCAGCAGGUCUAUAAAAAGAUCAUGUUGUCGAACCAUGCCGCGAAUACCGCUCACCAGCUGCAGAAAAACCCACAACAAGAGGUCCAAAUUACAAGCCAUGUACAAAGCACACCAGUAUGGCAAGAAAAAUCAAAUGAGGAUAAGCUAUACCAUUUCCGCCGCUUCAAACAUCUUCGCUGAAGGCACAGCAACAUCUGAGCGGGAUGGAAUUCGUUUCAACAUCUCUCCCAACUCCGCAUAGCUGAAAGGGCUAGCGGAGGUGCAAGCUGCAUCAUCAACGUGACUCCCCCCUGACGAGACACUAGGGCGUGACUCCUACCCCGGCUCCGGGCCCCCAUCAUGCACGACCGGUUGGAUCUCUUCGGGCGAACCCUCAUCCGGGACCAACACCGGGUCGGUUAGGUUCUCUUCAGCCAUCUCCGUCUCACUUUCCUCCGGAUGAUCCUCCUGGGUGGAUGAGCAGUUGACUUCGAUGGUUUCCAGAAGAAUAUCCUGAAGCAGCCCGCUGAUGCCAGACUUUAAAUCACGGGCCGGACGAGACCUCCUUGUAGCUGGCCCCUUCACCGGUACAAGGGCAAGGGAGCUUGGUUCGCAAGGAGGCAAACCCUGACUUUCAGCCCCCGUUUCUUCCGUUAAAGGCGCCAUAGAAGGCAACGUUUCAGUACAAGAGGCCCCGGCUACAUCCGCGUUCGGAUGGGGAGAGCCGGGCUGAUUCACUGAAGUCGCUUCCUCAGCCAGAAGAGCCAGUCGUCUAGCCGCUGGCACUGAAGGCCCCGAUCCAUUUAGACAUGCGAUAUGUCCGGAGCCGCUUGAAACAGAGGACAAGACGGAAGGAUCGGGCAUUCUUAUUAUUAUUUCCUUUACGAAAGUUGGAGGUGGUAUUACAACUUCCUUUGGGGGAGUUGGGAGUCUUAUUUCUUUUCCCUUGUUGAGAACCUUCUUCUUCUUCUUUCUCACUGGGGCGCCAGCAGGAGGAGAGGGCGCGUAGCGUUUAUCACCAGGGGCCUUCCGCAAAGUCCCCUCUUGCCUUCUUUCCUCCCGUUCGUUGAGAAGUGCUUUACGUGCCUGGGCGUCUGCCUUUCGCACCGCCGUGAAGAAUGGGAGAUCUUUGAGAAUAAAAUGCUCCCCAUCCACCACCUCUUUGGGCAGCCGCCUUGGGAGUAUGUUGAGUACAUACGGCUAGGGCUCUUGGGUAACCAAGAGGAGAUUCUGCGCGGAGAGAAGCGUUUCACAGCUCUUCUCGUCCGCCGUAAUCUCAAAUAGCCUGUUCAGCCGAUCGAAUGAGACUUUUUCCACCCACUCUACCAACUUCCCCCUCCUAUCCUUGCCUGCACCCAAGAAAACAAAGCAUGUCAAACGCCUAAUAAUGCUGACCUAACUCGCAAUCGGGGGAGGACAGGGAGCAACUUAUUUCAUACCCGGGACCUUCAAUGAAUGAUUGGGAGCGAACUGCCUGUCCGGAUGCGCCGACAAACCAGCCCAUAGGCCCUUGACCAGCACGUGUCCUCUAGCGGCCCCCUUGGUCGAGUCAAGAAGGCUGGUCACCAACUGAAGAGAUGGAAGGCAGGCGACAAAGCUGUGGAUAUCAUUCUUCCCCUUCUUGAUGGAGUAGAUAAAAAGAACCUCCAGUAGUGAAAGGUCCAGGUUGAAUAGCAUGCUCAAAAUGCUGUACCCCAUCAGCACCCGGACCAUGUUCGGAUGGAUGUAAGCCGGGGGAAUCCGGGUGACGUGGAGAAAUUCUUUGAACAACGACGGGAGAGGGAACUGGAACCCAACAUUGAAUUGCUCCUUGGUGAAGUAGAUAGCGUGGUCCGUAGACUUCUCAAUCGACACGGCCUCUCCGUCCACAAAGUGAACGGACACGUCAUUUGGAAUGCAGAAGAGUUCGUAGAACUCCUUCACAUUCAGCUUAUCCACAGAUUUUUUCGCAUGGACCUCUCCGGACGCACCUUUGCCACUCUUCCCGACCGCAGUAGACGAAGCAACGUCCUUGUUUGCAGACAUCUUUGAGAGUGGGGUUGAAACAGAACCUGCAUGGCAAAAAUCCAACAGUAAAAAACAAGCACCCGGCCCCAUAACCCUAAUGGCAAAAAAGCCCAGAAAGCCUACCAUCACCAGCAUACCCAUCCCAACCCUUGGCUCUACCACAAAGAAGAAUCGGCAACCCACAAAAGUUGCAGGGGGCAACAGAAACCCUAAACGCACCCAAAACACAACAGAAUCCCCCGAAAAAGCCCUAAAGGCCAACACCAACCCCAAUCGCAAGAAGCUUGCCCAACAAGCCAGAAGCAACCGCCAAGCAAACACAACGAGAAGAAGGCAAGAAUAGAGAACGUACCGAGCGUAAACUGGGAAAAUGAAGAUGAAAUCCGCGGUACAGUCACGGUCACGACAUGAGUAUUGCUAGUAGAAAACCCUCGAGCCUGACUCACAGACGAAUAUACGCAGAAGGCUAAAGAGAAAGCACUACCAGUAGAAAAUGCAGAAGAAAAAAAUGCAAAAGUGAAGGACUCGGUCUGCUAUUUAAAACGAAAAACAGCCCCUCGGUAUUCUAACCACUCAGCCGCGCCAUUAUUAAAAAGACACGCUGCUUGGGAAAUCCCCGAGACGACGGCUCAUCAUAAAUGCUCUUAUUCCUCUUCGCCCCCGCGCACCACGUGGCCCAAUGAGCGCAAAAGGUAACCUCAGUUUCAAAAACAAUCAUUUUUAACCCGCCCAUUCUGCCCAGGCAAAAUCGGCAGGUUAAAAGGGGGGCAUUGUAGGGACCCCUCCCCCUGAUGACACGUGGCAUGUAGUGCUAUCCGGAUCAAACUCCAUCCGGACUCCCCAAAAGGAUAUGCGCUUCGCUAUCCGGAGCAACUCUAUCCGUACUUCCCCAAGAGGAACACGUGGCAUGCAUUGCUAUCCGGAUCAAACUCCAUCCGGACUCUCUCAGGGAGAAGCACACAUCACUCGCGAAUGUCACGUCCGGACGAUAACAUACCCUAUCCGGAUCAUUGACUGAAGUGAGCAAGUCUUGCUACAUCAUUCCGACAGCCUGCCACAGCCCACGAUCCGCCGCCUGCAGAGCAAAAUGACAGGGAUGGUGGCAGGUCACCUCCGACGAUCCGUCGCCUAUAGAGCGAAAGGACAGGAAUGAUGGCAAGUCACCUCCCGCGAUCUCUGACAGCCGUCUAUAGGGUCAUGAUGGCUCUGCCACCACUUAGAGGCAUCAUGACAUGCCAAAAAGUCUUUCCAUCAAUAAAGAGGGAGGACGAGCUUCUGACACUAUAUAAAGGAACCUUCACACAAGGAAGAAGGUAAGCUUGCUAUACCGAGUAAAAGGCCAAUUGCUUAAUCUCUCUAGACAUGGCUGACAAAACCAUCGGAGGGUGUGUCCAGACACCUUGUCCGGACAUCUUUUGCAGGGACGACUGAACCAGAAAUCUAUCUUGGUUGAAAGCGUGCGUCCACUUGGCAGCUGCUUGGAUCAUCGGGACGCAAUGCCUCAACAAUUAGUCUUUUCCUCCCCAUGAAUUUGCUAUCAUCUAUGAUAUCUGCUUGAACUCACAAUUUCCAACUAGCUUCUUUUUGUCUUCUUUCUCAUAGACCGGGAUCAUAGAUAACACAAUAUCCAUAGAAAAUUUUCUCUCAACGGUAUGUCUUCUUUCUAAAAUGCCUUUAUCAUCCCAGCAAUAUAUGAAUAUAAUAAGAUAAUAAAUAUUAAUAUUAUAUAAAUGAUUGAAAAUUAUAACUUGAAUAUGAAUUUAUUAUUAAUUUAUUUAUUAUAAAAAUAUAUUAAUAUUAAUUUAUUUAUUAUAAGAAAUAUAUGGAUAUGAAUUUAUUUAUUAUUCAUAAUUUAUUAAUAUUAAGAGUUAGUCAUUUAAUGAUAACUUUUUUUUAUUUAAAUUUUUUUCUUUAUAAGAUAUUAGAAAAUUAUAUUUUACAUAUAAAUUUAUUAUUAAUUUAUUAAUCUUCUUUAUAUCAAAUAAAUAUUAAUAUGAUGUAAAUAAAUAUAAUAUGAUAAUAAGUAUUAACAUUAUGCAAAGAAUAAGUAUUAUAAAUUUAAAAUAGAAUGUAUAUUAUUAACUUUUCAAUAUCUAUGAAAAUCGUUCAAGGUACAUAAAUGUAAAUUUAUUAUUAAUUUAUUUAUAAACUCUUUUAUUUAAUUUUUUUUCAUUGUAUUUUACAUAUUUUUUUCUCUUUUAUUUAAAAUUUUUCCAUUAUAUUUUAUAAAAUAUUAAAAAAUGAUUUUUUAUUACCCCACAUGUAAUGCACGUGUUUUUAGACUAAUAUAUAUAAAAGUGUCCACUUGAAUAGAAGUCGUCAAGAAAUAAAAUGAAAUCUAAUUCAAGUAAAUUUAUUAAACUUGGAUAUACUAUAUGGGUUUUUUAUUUUUUAUUUUUUAUUUUUCAAACCCAUUAUCACCCAUUCACGGGUGUAAUAAAUUUGCUAAUUAUCUCACCACCCAAGGUGAUUAUUCAAAUUUCUAUGGUAAUUUCUAUAAGAAAAUAUUCCCAAAGGUUAUUUGUAAAAUAAUAAAAUAUAGAUUAUAUUACAAUAAUCCAUAUAACUCAAAUUAAUAUAUGACAGAAAAAUUAAUAUAAAUUAAGAACAAUAAUUUGGAUUGUUCCUUCACUACUUAGGACUUUAUGGAACUCUUCCUAAUCUUGUGGUUUUUCGUCAACCAUAAAUUUGUAUCUAAUUAAAAAUUUUAGGGAAAAGUGGGUGAACAUUUUUACAUUGCUCAGUAAGACAUCUUGCACCCAAAGGAGUUAAAUAUUCCAGGUCAAUGCAAUAGAAUCCUAUGCUAAAAAUAUAAUAUUUUAUUUACAUUAUAUUACAUUAAAUGAAAUCUCCACCAUACAAAAUUAAGAGUAUGCUUGACAAUGUUUUUAUUUGAAACAUUUUUCCUUUAAGUUCUUUCUCAAAAAAAAAAAAUUUAAGAGAAUUAUCUAUCAAAUGUUUUUCUAAAAAAUAUUACAAGUGAUUUCCUAACAUUAUAAGUGAUUUUUCAAAAUUUUAAAAGUGUUUACUAACUUUUGUCAAUCAUUUUUUUUAUUAAAAAAACACUAUUCAUGCUAAAAAUGUUUUUAAAAAGAACUACCAAUCACAUUCUAAAUAAUAUGGAUUGUCACUUUUUUUAUUUCAAUUAUAUAUAUUAUAUAAAAUAUUUCUAAAAUUUUUAUAAAAAAAUAAAUUAUUUAACAUAUUCAAGCAUACGAUUGAUGUCAUUCAAUUAAUUGAUACAAAUCUUUUUUCUAAAUGUAAACAUGAUGCAAAUUAUUACACAUAAUCAAGCAAUGCACUAUUGUUUUUAGGUUUUCAUAGAAAGAUAUGCAUUCAUAUUCAAAUACGCUUCCCAUUUAGAGUCUUCUCGAGGUAAAUCUUUGUGUCUUUUACACUAUGGAUCUUAUUCUCUUCUUAAUUCAUCGUCUUCUUUUCAUUUCUCAUAUUCUUUUCUUUUUAUUUUUUUUCCAUUCUCGGACUCUUUUCAUUUUCAUUUCUAUUUCUUAUAACAAUUUCUUUACUUUUCUUUCCAUACAAUCAUGGAGGCAAAAUGAAUAUGAUAUAAUAUCAUUCUUGAAAUCUAGAACUUGUGACAUACAUACACUUCAUCAAUAAAACCCACAAAAAGUAACAUGAGGGAAAAAACCAAUAGAAUGAUAUAAUAUAAUCACAACCCAUCUUGUUUGGACAGAUAGAUAAAUCUAAGCCAUCUAGAAAAAUAAUCAAAUAUCUUUGCUUAUAAAUAUUAAUCCAUACAAAUUUCUCCUUGUCUUAUUACAAAAAAUGACAAAGACAAAUAAAUAAGGCAAGAAAAACCAAUAUAUCCAAAAAUACAAAAAAAAUAAAAAAAAUACAAAGGAAGUUAAUUCAUAUACUUAUAACUUACAAAAUAACAUUGGAAUUCAAUAUAUUAAAAUAAUUAUAAAUAAUUUGAGUAAUCUUACCAAAAAAAAAAAAAAACCCCAAAUCAUGUAAAUUAUUCAUAAAAAUUAUUAAGAAAAUCAAGUUAAUCUUAAUUAGGACUGAAAAUUUUCAAGUACAAAUAAGAUAUAAUAAUAGUAAAAUCCUCUUUUGUGCUCUAUUCUUCUUUACUCUUCCAAAGUUCUUCUAGACAUCUUCAACUAAAGCUCUUCCAAACAGCUUCAACCAAAGUUCUUUCAGACAUUUUCAACCAAAGCUUUGAUACCACCUAUUAUGCUAGUGGAAGUAUUAAUUUAAAUGUAUUAAAGGAAGAACACAUGAAUAAAUCAAACCACACACAAAGGUACAUGAGGUUUAACGUGGUUCAACCAAUCAUGCCUACCUCCACAAAUGAAAGAGAACAUUCCAUCAUAUAAUAGAAAAUAUUACAAAGGACAUAAAUAGAUACAAUUAUUGAGUCCUAAAACAUCCCACUUUUCCCUACUCUUUAUAUCUUCACCCUAAAUCAUAAGCAUUUUUGCUCCACCAAGUGUAUGUCAUGCUGGGAACCUUAGAUCUCUUUGUUCCCAAGCCCUAGAUCAUAUAGAUGCAUGCAAACGACCCUAAGUCUAAAGAUCUUAUGCAAUGGAAGCAAAAAAUAAUUUUUUUAACAUUCUAGGAUCUAGAGAAAAGUCAUUAGAAAACUUUACCUUUGAUUUAGACGUUCCCAAAUCAAUUCUACUUGGUGAAGGUGAAGCCUGAAUGGUCCCGAAGGUCUCAUGCACCUAAGAUCUUCCUCCUAAUGACUUGAAUCACGAUCUUGGCACUCCAAAGUAUGAGCCUUGGAAUGGAGGAAUCUUAGGCUCUCUCUUUGGAGGUGGAAGAUAGUUCUCGCACCAAAAGUUAUAGAAACCCUAACCUCUAAGAUGGUAUUUAUAGGAUUCCCUUAUUAGGCUUAUGUGACUUGAGUCCAAGGCUUAAAUCACUAAAUCUAGCCUAAACAAGUCCUAAUUUAUUAAUUAACCACGUAGAGUCAUCUAAUUAAUCAAUUAGUCCAACCCAAAGAACUUAUUAAUUAUCCCCUAUGCAACCUUGCAUAAUUACCAAAGCAUUUUUAUACACAAAAGUGAACCUAAAGUCGAUUCAAUCCACAUAAACUGCAUCAUCAUGCUAUAUGAGCUUAGAGUGGGGACCAUUGGGAUCCAUAGGAGUACUGGCUCUCUUAGAAUCCAAUUAUGAAGUUGAUUCAACAUUCUACUAAAAAAAAAUCAACUACAUUCCAGUACCCUAUAUAAAUAACAACAAAAUGAAGCUUGGUUCCGUGAUCUAUUAUCCACUACAUGUAGACUCCCUAUGAGUUGAUGUCCAUAAUCUGACAAAGUAGUGUUAUCACCUAUCAAGAUAACCUCUUAAUCUAUAAGUUAUAGAUCACAUUUAUUAUGUGAUCAAUUAACAUAUUCUAACUCUAAGGUGCAUAUGUCAAAUUUCCACUAAAGAAAAUGUUAUGGUCAUAGUCUUUUACAUCACAUGUCUGUUGAAUCACCCAAGGAGACACACUAUCUCAAUCCCAUGAGAUAUCAUGGUGCUUCUAUUGAGAAUAGUUAUUGCCACCAGCUUCCAUCAAUAAUGACUCAAUUUAUAAGGAUAUAUGACCACCUUAGGGUCUCACUCAUAGGUCAAAACCUUUUAUUGACUCCAUGCAGUAUUGUAGUUUGAUGAAUCAUGACAAUUGGUAGCCUUAUGUCAUAAUUUACUAUAAGUCAUGUCCAAUGUGCAUUACAUAUAUUAGUGCACUUACCAUAGGAAAACUAUACUGACAAACGAAAUAAGUCAUCCCUCUAAUUAUGAGGUAUUUCAUUAUAGUCUCAAAUAGAUUGCCCAAAUCCAUAAACCAAUUGUGGGCAACUCAUUACUUUCUAAGGAACCCACGACUUGAAUUUUCUGUACAACUCCUAAAUCACACAAGUCAUGUACAAUGCAAGUGAUGUGAGACGUGUAUUCUCAAAUAAUUUAUUAAUGCAAAUGGGAUAGAGAAAAACCAAAAAACAUGAUUAUAUUAAAUUUAUAAAUGUAUCUCAAACUGUUACAUCAUAUCAUGUUUUCUAGGACUCAAUCCCAGCAUCUCACUUUUCCUCACAUCUACACCUUGGUGAGCCCUCUUCCUCCAUCGGGAGUCUGUCACUUUUCCUCACAUCUCUAUUCGGCACCUAUGGUCAUCACAAGUCUAUCUCUCUCCCAUAAUUUUUUCCUUUCAUGACCUAAAAUGUUAAUAAAGAUAUUCCUAUUAGUUUUCCUUAUUAUAUAAGAAAUCUAAUUACAAUCAUUUAUAAACUUUGGAAAUAUUCUAUGUAAUAUCACUUUCAUCAAAAGAAUUAUAUUCCAAUUAGAAAUUCAAGACAUCUCCAAACAUGGUUUUUAAGUUUCUUCUUGUUUUUCUAAUUAUUUUUUAUGAUGGGGUUGUUGAAAUUGGAGGAAACUAAAAUGUAGUACAUUGUUAUAUGAGGGUUAGAUGGGUUUUGAAUUUUGACGAUAUUGAGAUAUUGCCGCACAUGUGUACUAAAAAGUAUUGAGAUAUUACAUGGAAGGCACGAAGACAGCCUUUCAAUGCUGCUACUCAUCAAUUCCUGAAGGGCCAACUCAAUUAGAGGGCGAUAGCUGCACAUUCUAACAUUUUCCAUGAAAAGACAAUGUUUGAACUUUCUACUCAUCUUGCCGCAUAUGUGUACAAAAAAGUAUUGAUAUAUUGCAUGGAAGGCACGAAGACAACCUUUCAAUGCUGCUACUCAUCAAUUCCCGGAGGGCCGACUCAAUUAAAGGGCGAUAGCUGCACAUCCUAUCAUUUUCCAUGAUAUCACCAUGAUAAGAGUCUGUUAGACCAUGAUGGUAGAAAGUACUAGCUUUAACCUUUUUAAUGCUUGAAAUUUUUUGGUAAAAGAUAUAUUUUCAAGUACUAGAAAAGUUUAAAACGUUUUAAAAAUUAAUUUUAAACAAGAUGAAAGAGUUUAUUCGUAGUGAUUCUAGGAAUCCCUUUUAAACUUACCGAUAUUUGAAAUUUUUUAGCAAAAUAGUUGUAACCUUUCCAACCUUCCGUUUGCUAGGAAGCGCUGGCAAUGAUUAUUAGUAUCAGUAAUAAUCACUAGACAAAGUCAUCCGUCUUGGUUGGAAGCUCUUUUAACACCUAGUCAUCGGCAGUAGACUUACAUCUUCUGGACCAACAUACUAACAGUGAUUAGGCCAAGAUGGUGAUCCAAUUCCAUGGAAGAGCAGCAAGAAAGGAGGAACGUUGGAGAGAUAGAACUAAAAGGCGGCCAACCAAACAAGAACAGUGGCCAAACUGGCCUCGAGCCUGAGAAGUAUAGGAUUGACGUUGAAAUCAGUCAUACGGUGAAAAUUUGGAUUGAGUCUCUCAAAAACGCAGAAGAAAACACUCAAUCUCAAAGUCAAUGGCCAAGGAUACCAAAGGUUCCUCACAUGCUGAGGAGGACCAAGGAUUUCAACAAAUUCUACUAACUGAGGGUAAUUUCUAUCGGUCUUCACCACCAUAGCAAGCCCCACCUUCACCCAGGGGAAAUGAUCAAGCCUCUAUGUGCCAAAAAAUUCCUGGAUGACAGUAAGCAGGACAUCAAAUCUUUGUACACAAAAAUUGAAAGUAAUAUCAAGGUAGUGAGAACUUUCUAUGAUUGGAUCAUUACAAGCAUGUAUGAUGAUGAAGAACUUGCCUGGAUUAUGCUUCUGGAUGAGUGUUUUUUACUAUAUUUCAUCCACUAUUUAGUGAGAAAAAAUAUGAGUGAGUUGCAUGGUUUGAAUGUGAAAGAUCAUAUGAUUACUUUUGUGAACCAAGACUUGAUCUUGCUUGAGAACCAACUUCCCUUUGGAGUCCUCAAGUUGAUUCUUGAGGAAGCAAAAUUCGAUGAUGGCCCAACCGUGGAAGAGAUGAUACAAAAAUUUGUCACUGACACCGCAUGGCCAAAAGGGUGGACAUAAAAAAAUACACCUGAAAGAGUCUCAUCUCCUCCACAUUUUUCGAAGUGCUUUCCUAGGCGGGUCUGAAAAGAAUAGCAAGCAAGAACCUUAGGGGUAACAAGGCGAUAGGAAGUCUUUUCGACACAUCAUGGAGCUUAAAGCAGUUGGGAUCCAUUUCAAAUGGAGUACGACUUUUUUUACAGACAUUUCUUUCAAAUCUGACUUCUUCUAGGGCUACCUAACAUUUCCCCCAAUAAUCAUUGAUGGCUCCACGAAGCUCCUGUUCUUGAACAUUGUAGCCUAUGAAAUGUGUCUAGAUGGCCCAGGUGACCAUAGGGUCACUUCUUAUAUGCGCUUCCUUGACAACCUCAUUGAUCAUGCAAACGAUGUUAAGGAGUUGAGAUCUAAGCACAUUCUCUACAACGGUCUUAGCAGUGAUGAAAAGACGGUCCAAACUUUCAACGAGAUCUACACUGACUAGGUAGAUCUCGAUGCUUAUGAAGAAGUGAGAACUAAUAUUCAGAAACACUACGACAUGAGAGUGAAAGCUUGGAUAGCUGAAGCCCUUCAUGACCAUUUCAGGUCUCCAUGGACUUUCAUGGCUCUCAUCGCAGCUAUUUAAUUCUUACUGGGCUUCAGACCUACUACGCUCAUCCUGGUUAAAGAUGUUUAAGAAACAAUGUAUAAUGACUGAAAUCCUCCUUGCCGUGUGCAGGAGAUAACAUCAAAUAUAUAUAGAAUAAAUAACAACAAUGUGAUCCUAUAAAAUAGGAAAGGUUUGAAAUAUAAAUAUUGAAAACAUAUCUACAUAUAUUUAUAGUUAUACAUUCGGAUUUUAUGGAACCGAAUUGGGAUAUAGAAAAUCUUAUGGAGAAUCAAAUUAUUCUCCUUUAUCACCCCCUGCAAGGUGAGCGUGGGAGAAGGGAUAAUGCUGAGCUUACUUCAGAAGAGAAAAAACUGAGGCUUGGUGACGCUUUUGGUCAAUGAAUCAACAAAUUGUAGAUGUGAAAGGAUAAAAUCAACUUUCAAAGUGCCAUUAGCAACAAGUUCACGAACCAAGUGGUAGUCGAUCGCAAUAUGUUUUGAGCGAGGGCGAGUAACCGGAUUGAUUGCCAUAAAAAUUGCACUUUGAUUGUAACAAAGAAUUUUAGGUGUUGUUGAGAGUGUAACAUGGAGGUCCCAAAGUAGUUGAACAAUCCAGGCAAUAUCAAUAGUGGCAACGGCUAAAAAGCGAUAUUCUGCUUCGACACUUGAUCGAGAGACAGUGCUUUGUCUCUUAGAGGACCAAGAAACCAAAUUGGUAUAAAAAAAAAAAAUAGCGUAGCCAGUAAUGGAACAACAUGUAUCAAGACAGCCUACCCAGUCUGCAUUAGAGUAAACAAGAAUAUCAUGAGUAGAUUGUUGAUGGAGUUGAAGUCCAUGAUGAGGAGUGCCUUUGACAUAACACAAAAUGCGCUUGAGAGCACGAAAGUGGUCCUCGGUGGGAGCAUGCAUGAAUUGGCAAAUAGAAUUCACACUGAAAGAGAGAUCCGACCUAGUGAUGGUCAGGUAUUGAAGAGCACCUGCAAGUGAACGAAUUAUAGUAGGAUUGAAGAACAAUUUUCCUUCAGUUGAGAGAUGUUGACCGACAACACAGGGUGUAGAAAUAGGCUUUGCAUCAAUCAUGGAAGCAUAUUGCAACAGAUCAAGGGCAUCCUUCGUUUGACUGAAAAACAAACCCUUCUCAUUAACUUGCACUUCAACGCUAAGGAAAUAAUGAAGUUCACCCAAAUUCUUCAUGGAGAAUUCCUUGGAAAGCCGAGUAAUGAGGGUUUGAACCAUAGAAGAAUUACUUCCAGUUAUGACCAUGUCAUCAACAUAAAGAAGUAAAUAAACAGUUCCAACCGAGAAGUGAUAGACAAAUAAUGAAGAAUCAACAUGAUUGGAAAGAAAUCCAAGUUUGAGCAAAAAUGAGCUAAAAUGAUGAAACCAAGCUCGAGGAGCUUGUUUCAACCCAUAAAGAGCCCUCUUUAGGCGACAAACAUGCUGAGGGAACUGUGGAUCUGUGUAACCAGGUGGUUGUUCCAUAUACACCUCUUCAUUGAGAAAACCAUGUAAAAAGGCAUUUUUAACAUCUAACUAAUGUAAACGCCAUCCAGAAGUAAUAGCCAAUGACAAAAUAAUUCGGACUGUAGUAGGGCGCACUACAGGACUAAAUGUGUCACCAAAGUCAAGACCAUGAAUCUGAGAAAAUCCUUGAGCCACAAGACGUGCCUUGUGAUGCUCAAUGGACCCAUCCGAUCGAAGUUUGGUUUUGAAAAUCCAGUGACAACCCACUACAUUGUGAUUGUUAGGACGAGGUACAAGAACCCAUGUAUCAUUUGUCUUCAAAGCUUGAAUCUCAUCAUCCAUAGCCGAGAGCCAUUCAAGGUGUUUUGUAGCAGACAUAAAACCCCGAGGUUCUUUGAGAGCAAGAAGUGCCUAAAAAUUUUGAGAAAAAGACAAAACAUUCAUAGCAUGAUAUAACCGUGGUUUGAAUAUACCAGUUUUUCCUCUGGUAAUCAUCAGGUGGCUGAAAGUGGUCACACGAGGAACGGAAGACACCGACAGUGGGAAAGUUGAGUCUGAAGCUGCAGAUCCAAGAGGUGUUCCACAGAAAUAGGACCUUGCAGAUCAGGGGAAGGAUCUAAGGACAAGUGUGGAGAAUCACUGCAAGGUAAACAUGGUGAACUCGAAAAAGAAUGAGAAGAACCAAUAUUAGAAUAACUAGACACAUAGUUCGGACAUUCAGAAAAAUGGGUAUAGUCAAUGUUGGUUUGUAAAUUUUGUACAGAAUCACCAUGAUAAGGAAAAGUAUUUUCAUAAAACUACACAUGUUGAGAAACAUAGACACGAUGUGUCGUUCGGUCAAGGCAUCGAAAUCCUUUAUGAAGUGUACUGUAACCUAAAAAGAUAUAAGAAGCAGAUUUUAGAGACAAUUUAUUUGGUGAGUAAUCUUUUAAAUGAGGACAACAAAGACACCCAAAAGUGCGAAGCAUAGAGUAAUCCAGUUGCUUACCAAACAAGAGCUCAUAAGGAGUUUUGCCAUCAAGUAAUGGUGACGGGAGUCAGUUAAUGAGAAAGACAGCAGUUGAGAAGGCCUCAGCCCACAAAGAGAGCGACACAUGUGCAUGGAACAUAAGGGUAAGACCCGUUUCUGUGACAUGGUGAUGCUUGCGUUCGGCAAUGCCGUUUUGACUAAGAGUGUAGGGGCAUGCCAAAUGGAGAACAAUGCCACAAGAUUGCAAGUGAGAUUGAAAUUUAUUAUUUGUAAAUUCGAUUCCACCAUCACAUUGAAAGGAUUUUAUUUUAGAUGAAAAUUGAGUCUCAAUAUAAUGUUGUAAAUGGAUGAAGGUAUCAAAAAAAUCAGAUUUUUGUUUUAAAGAGAAUAUCCAACUAAAUCUGGUACAAUCAUCAAUGAAUACCGCAUAGUAUCUAUAUCUAGUAAAAGAGAGAACUAGUGACGAACCCCAUAAAUCACAGUGUAAGCGAUUAAAAGGCAUGGCACAACGUUCAUCAUUUAGAGAAAAAGGUAAACGAUGGCUUUUGCCAAGUCUACAACCAACACAAAUUUUAGAAUCAAUGUUCACCAAUUUAUUACUACAAGAAAUAUAUCCUAAUCUAGAAAAAGAAGCGACAGUAUGAUAAUUGGGAUGACCAAGGCAAGCAUGCCAUAAACGAACAGAGGCUCGCGGUGAAGGAGAAGUGGUGGACAUAAGGGCAUGAUGACAACAAUCCAACACGUAGAGAACAUUUUCACAUAUUCUGACUCCCAGUACGAUUCUUAUGACAUGAUCCUGUAUGGUAAAACCAGAGGAAGAGAAGGUAACGAGACAAUUAUUGUCUGUAGUAAGUUGACUAAUCGAAAUAAGAUUUUUCUUAUUGCCGGGAACAACUAAGACAUUUGAUAAAAGAAGAGAACUAGACAGAAUAAGAGAUGAAAUGGAACCAGUAUGAGAAAUUGCUAAAGACUGACAAUUUCCAACCAUGACACAUUCAUUACCAGAGUAGAGAGCUGGUUGAUCCACAACCUCGGUGGCACUUGUCAUAUGAGAUGUUGCACCAGAAUUAGGAAACCAUUUAGAGUCAUUCAGGUCUUGAAUCGAGCAAGCUGAAAAAACUUCAACAAUAUUAGCCGACUACUUCUUCUUGAGUUUCAAGAAGCUCUAGCAAUGUUUGGCUAGGUGUCCAUCUUUGUCACACAACUGGCAGUGAACGGUGGAUGAGGACUUCGAAUUUGUAGAAGAGCUAGACGAAGUGGGAGGCCGAUUCUUCCCUUUCUUAGCCCCUACAGAUUUGGAAGUCUGCUGCACAUAAUAAGCAGAGUUAGAAGACGAGUGGGAAAUCGACCUUUCAAAAAUCUCAUGACUCAAAGCUUUUGGAACAAUCUCGACAAAGGAGAGUAGUGGAAGACCCUAAUGCUCGUAAAUACCAAUGAACUUUAUCUGUGUCGUCAAUGGGAUGACCGAUCACAACCAAUUGAUCACAAAGACCUUUGAAGGUACGGGAAAACUCAGCAAUGGACUGAGAGUCGCGUUGCAUCAGUUGGAGUUCAUCCUUAAGUUGCAGUUCAUGAGUCUUCGACCGAUGCGAGAAUGAGACUUCAAGAGCGCGCCAAGCCUCAUGAGAAUGGCGUAAACCCAAUACUUCACUCAUAGACUCCUCGGUAAGAGAAGAGUAGAGUAAACCGAGAAGCGUCUGAUUAGUAUGUAGCCAAGAAGUGUAUGCUGGAUUUGACUUGGUGGUGCCAUCAGCUGCAAGAAUUGUGGCUGAUGGAGCUCCGAUGCUACCAUCCAAAUAGCCAAACAAAUCUUGACUAGCUAACAGUGGAACAAAUUGAUUUUUCCACAAUAAGUAAGUUGAGGAAGCCAGUUUAAUGGUGAGCAUAUUCACUAUUAUGUUAAGUGGAAGAGAAGGAGAUGAAGAAGCUGAAUCGGCCAUGGUUAGAAUCAAAGAAAAAAAUCUUGCUCUGAUACCAUAAAGAUGUUUAAGAAAUGAUUACUACCAAAAAGUGCUAUUUUGUAGACCUAAUUAUAAUGGUUUUAAGCACCUUUGAGUAGUAAUCAUAUUCAUUUAACCCAAUUAAUUCAUUAAGGUCCUUAGUAAUUGGUUUUAACCAUUUUGUGGCAAGUUUACAUGUUUAUAUCAGCUUAUGAAUCAAUUCAAGCAUGCCAAAUGAUGGAGGAGCUACUUGGACAAGUUAAAGCAAGCUUUUAGCUACACCAAAGCAAGCCAACAAAAGGAGAAAAGCAAAGAGAAGCAAAAAGAAGCAAAGAGGAAAACAGAGGACAGCAGCUGUAGUCUUCUUUGGAACUUUUGGAGCACUUUCCGAAGUCCAUUUUCUACAUGCUACAUACCAUUUCAAAGCUCAGGAAGUCAAGAAUCCAACGCUUCAAACCGUGUACGAUUUGGAGCUGAAACGAGGAAGAUAUGGCCUUCGGAAGAAAACUGCUCCAGGCUUGUGCGAAACUCGCACACCCCCUCAGCCGUGCGAAUGGUGUGCGAAACUCGCACACCCCAUGCGUGGUGCGAAUUUUCCCCUGUUUCUGCCGACUCCACUUUAGAUCUUUUCUUUUAGAUAUUUUUGUAUAAAUUUCCAUUCUUCUCCUUGUAAUCCACCAAUCAUAAGAUUUAUUAGCUAGGAAGGUUGGAAAAACUUCUCUAUUUAUAUCCCCUUGCAUCCGUUGUAACAUAUAUUGAUAUAUAGAUAUAUAAUACAUAUUACGUUUUACACUCUCUCGUUUUCUCUUUUCUCUUCACUAUUUUAUUUUCUUGGUAGCCAAACAGCCUCUAAGGGCUUUUCCUCAGAGGAUGAUUGGCUAAAACUUUUAGUUUCUCAAAGUAUGGAUGUUAUGUGAUGACUUGGAUGCAAUCCCAUGGAAAUUUCUCACACCCGGAAGGUAAGGUAGUCGUUUUUCAUUAAAGGUUCAUUAAUGCAAAGUUUGGUUUUUAUUUCCUUUGGACAACUUCCAACGGCCAAUACUUGAUAAGCUUUUGGAUUUCUAUCCAUUAGUUAUCUCCUACGAGCUAUUGGAAGGUGAGGUUUUCAAUUCCAAGUUUUGUAUUAAUCCGUUAAAACCAAUUUCAAUGGCCAUUGAAAGGUGAGUUUAUCACCUGGAAUGACUUUGAGUUGCCAAUAUUUGGUAAGCUUUUGGCUUUAGACCAUUAGUUAUCUCUUACGAGCCAUUCAAAAGAAGUCUAAGGUGAAUAACCAUUGAUGAAAUUCACUACCAUCUAUUUUGCCAUUUUAAAGGAUUAAAACGUGAUUUGCUAAAUCCAUACCGGUUCGGGAAGCAAGCAUCACCAUAGUUGCAAACCCAACGCGAGGAGCCUAUCCUGAGAUUUCCAAUUUGCAUAAGAGCCAGAGCAUAGCUAUCCUAUCUUUGAGAAACUUGUUUUUACACCCUUUCAUUUUAGUCUUUAAUGUUAGCUUAGAUUAGUUUAAAUCUUUCUAAAACAUUUACAUCUUCUUUUAAAGCUAACAUCCAUAAGAAAAUCACCUAUUUUCCUAACUUGAAUAUCACUUGUGUUUGCGAAAACCCUUCCCAGUGAACGAUCCUAGAACCACUAUGCUAUAGUAGCUUGGCUACUUUAGUAAUAGUAUUCAAGGCAUAAAUUUUGUUGAUACGCCUUUAAAGCUAAGCUACCAUGAGUCGCAUCAAGAAACAAUGUAUAAUGACUGAAAUCCUCCUUGCCGUGUGCAGGAGAUAACAUCAAAUAUAUAUAGAAUAAAUAACAACAAUGUGAUCCUAUAAAAUAGGAAAGGUUUGAAAUACAAAUAUUGAAAACAUAUCUACAUAUAUUUACAACUAUACAUUCGGAUUUUAUGGAACCGAAUUGGGAUAUAGCAAAUCUUAUGGAGAAUAAAAUGAUUCUCCCUUAUCACUGGAAAACAUAUAAUACAUAUAUAUGUGGUUAUUUGGUGUUGCGAUUUUAUUUUUUCUUGUUUGGUAUAUUGUUCCGCGUCUUUGGGAUAAAUUGUUAAGUUUUAUACCGUGAUGUGUUUUUAUUCUUGUUUGGCGUGUUUAGGUUUGAGAAAUGAAAGAUUGUAUGAUUAAAGAAAUAAAGAUGUAUAGAUUGUUAAGUUGUAUGAUUGGAUUUCAUGCGUGCAAUAUUAUUCGUUUUUUCCUUCCCAUGAGUUUGCUAUCAUCUAUAAUAUAUGUUUGAAUACUCACAAUCUCCAACUAGCUUCUCUGUGUCCUUUUUCAUAGUCUAGGAACAUAGAUAACAUUGUAUCCACACACAAAAUUUUCAGCCAACAAUAUGUAAUUCCGUGGAUGGGAUGGGAUUGAAUAUUGCACACACAAUUUUUUGUGGAGCGAGAAAAUUGUGAAUAAAAUCAUAAUUUUGAUAUAUUUAUAAAUUGAGGGAACAAUCUCAAAUGUGCCCUUUGAUUUUUUAUUUUUUUUUCACAAAAGACAGAAAUAUCCUUUUUAGGCAAUUUAAUGCUAGAUUUUGGAUGAAAAGAGAUUUCAUAAAUAAAUGCUACAAUUUUUUAAUGAAGUCUUCCAAUCUUCAUCAAAAGAAUCUUCAAGUUUUUAACUUCUUUAAGAAAUUUUUCAAUAUUUUUUAACUCUUAAAAAAAAUUUAAACUUUUUAGGAUUUUUUAAGAACUCUUGGACAAUAAAGAAACAAAUUAUUUAGACACUUUCAACUCGUGAGGCAAAAUUUGUUUAACAUCAUGUGUAUGUCAUGCAAUUUAGUUCAACAAAUUAUUGAAGGAGCUUAAUUUGCCAUAAAAGGAAUUGAUAGAGAUAUACAUACACAACAAAUGAGUGAUUACAUUAUGAAAAAAAAAUCCAACUUCCAUGAUUGAAGUAAAUACAUUGAUACAAGAAAUAUAUAUAAUAUUUUAUUAGAGAGUAUUAUGAAAAAGGAAGAAUAAUUAAAAUUUAUAAAAUCUUAAAGAUCAAAUUAUAAAUAUUUUUAUCAAAUAUAUUGAUUUUAAAGAUUUUAGAAGGUUAAGAAUGCUAUCCAAAGAUAUAAAUAAGUUUUAGUUUUUAUGCUCGAGUAGUAAAGUCGUAAAAAACUAAUAUAUUUUAUUAUGAGGAAUCUCUAUUCGGCCAAGUUCAAGUAUUUAUAAAUAAGAAAUUAUGUAAUAUUCUAAUGAGAGUGACAAAAUCUAAUAAAUUUUUAAUUCUUUCCGCUUUUUAUCUCCUUUUACAUAAUUAUUUGUAUUCCACUUUCAAUCUCAUCACUUGGGCACAAAUUGGCGCUAACUAGGAGAGAAUUUUUUGUAGGAUGAGCUCUUGGACAUAAGUUCCUGAUGUGUCAGCAUCUUGGAGGUCCAUGCUUUCAAUAUCUGCACUCAUCUUGCCUCACAUAGAAGCCACGAAGGAUAGCCUUUCAAUGCUGCUACUCGUUAAUUCCUGGAGGGCCAACUUAAUUAGAGGGCGAUAGCAGCAAACCCUGACAUUUUCCUUGAAAGGACAAUAAUUGCAUCUGAUUAUAAGUAUACCUUGAAUCCAUCCUGACAUUUUCCUCGUGAAGUAAUCCUUUUUAAGGGUAUGUUUGGCUUAGGAAAAUACUAAAAAAAAAAAAUUAAUUUCUUUUUUAUAUUUAAUUUUAUCAUAAAAAAUUUGAAAUAGCGUAAAAUAUAUUUAAAAUUAUUAAAAAUUUUGUACAUUUUUUAAAUUGUUUCAUCUUUAUAUAAAAAAAAGUUAAAUACAUACAAAAAAAAGAGGUAGUAUAUAAAAAUAAUUCAUUAAUUUAAUUUUUUUUUCUUUCCUUAUACCUUUCCUCUCUAUUUUCUUUUCCUUGUAUUUUUUUUUUUUUUACUUUUUGAAACCAAACAUAACCUACUAAUUUGGUGUUUUUUUUACUUAAUCUAAAUAGAACUUAAUUUAACUUAAUUUUAAAUAUAACUUAAUAGUAUUAAGUAUUAAGUUAUUUAUUUUUUAUUAUUUUAUUUCUAUUAAGUACUAAGCAUUAAUAAGGUAAGAGUUGUGUUGAGGUUGUGUUUUGGUUAUUUUAAAAAGUUAUUUUUAGCAUUAAGUAAAAAACUAUGUGGUGUUUGUUUUUUACUUAAUUCUAAAUAGAACUUUAAUACUUAAUAAUAUUAAGUAUUAGAUUCUUUGUUUUUUUUUUAAAUAUUUUAUUGGUAUUAAACAUUAAAAAGUAGAGAAAAACUAAUAUGUUGCUUUUUCCACUUAAAAAAAAAUCAAAUAUUUUGGUUUUUUUAUUCAAAAAAAAGUUUAUAAUAAGUCAAGAAAAAAUAGAAAAAUAAACAACCUAAAGUUUAAAAGUAAAUUGUUUCUAGCAAAAAGUUUUUUUUUUUUAAAAGGCCCUCUAAAUGUUUUUGCUUUUUUAUUGAGUUAAAAUUUUUUUAAAAAUAAACAAUAAGUAAGAAAAAGUUAAAAUAAAUCAUUUAAAGUUUUAAAGCAAAUCACAUUCAACAUUAAAUGAAAAAAAAAACCAAACCCCACGUAAGAUUUAAGAUUCAAAAUGAUUAUAAAUGUGUGACACUAAGCUUAAUGCACGUACACUAAUGUUAUUCAUGGGUUUCCCAUGAUGGGAAGCUUGUAAAAACACUAAAACUCAAGCCUCCAUAUAUUCUACUUUCUCUUUUUAGACAAAAGAGCUUCUGUGGCAGUUUCAAGAUAUGAUCAUGGACUAUGUUGUGAGAAAAUCAUAUGUUUUAGGAUUAUUGUUAAUUUACUAUGAUAGUCCAAAAUGAUCCCAAAACAUAUGGUUUGUUGUAAGACAAGAUGAUUUACGUUUACUAAGUUAAGCUUUUUGAAAGGUUUGUAAUAAUAAAAUAUGACAUCAAAAAUAAAAUAAGGUAUUUAUGUAAAAUAAAGAAAAUAGGUUAAAAAAUUCAUUAAGGCUAUGUUUGGUUUAAACUUGAGGAAAGAUAUGAAGAAAAAAAAAGUGGAAGGAAAAUGAAAAAUAAAUUGAAAGUCAAUAAAUUAUUUUUAUAUGUUUGAAACCAAGGUUUGGUUAAUCUUGAUUUUGAUGAUAACAAAACAAGGUUUAGAACUAAUGAUCAUAUUUCAAGUGUGAUUAGGCAAGACGAUUUCCAAAGUGGCAAUUACAAAGACAAAUCAAGCCAAGGAGAAAUCAUGAAGAAGAAGACCACCUCAAAGAGAAGAGUUUUUCAAGACUAAAGCUUCAUAAGAUCUCUUUGUAAGGUUGUUGGUGCACUAGGACUUUCAUGCAUUUCAUUCUUUAUUUAUGCACCAAAAUCAUCCAAGAGUAAUAUUGUUUUAAAUAUCUUAAGAAUUAGAUGAUUUCAUGUUUUCAACUAAAACCUUGUGUUAAAUGAUUUUCAAACUUGUGUUAAAAGGUUUUAAGUUGAAAAAGGUUGGGUGUUGAGCCAAAAAAUGGCUCAACCGGUUCAAUCGGUCGACCGAUUGAGGGAGGCCAAAAAGUUUCUCUCUCUCCCAGUGGCCUUCUCUUCCUGAUCAAGGUUGAACCUCAACCGGUUGAGGUCAAGUCGAGGUCCGGUUGAGGCCCAACGGUCACUUGCCAAGCAUUAAAUGCUAACGGCUAGUCAACCGGUCGACCCCUAGCUUGACCAGUCGAACCCCCAACGGCUAGUUUGGCUUUUUUCUUCUAUAAAAAGGCUACAAUCUUCAUUGUUUCAUGAGCUUAACCUUCCCAAAUCUUUUUUGAUUAUAUUUAAGCCUUGGAAGAGUAUUUUUUAGUAACCAUUGUUUCAUAACUUGCAUAUCUUUAGUACACCAUUCAAUCCUAGUUUUUCUUGUAUCUUUGAGCCUAAAGUUCUAUUACUAGGAUUUUUGUGAGAUCAUUAUUUGUAUAUCUUUGUGAGGAAUUUUCUCAAGUGAGGGGUAUCACUUGAGAGGUUGUUCAAGAGAGGGAUAUCUCUUGAAGAAGAGUAAAGGGUGCUUGGAGCCAAAAGUCCAAGAGGGUGAAUUGGAACCAUAAUCCAAUUGUAAAGAGAUUGGAAGCUUGGUUGAAGCUUCAAGAUAGUGGAACCCUCACUCGGUUAGGAGGUUGAGGAGAGUGGACGUAGGCAAAGAAGUGCCGAACCACUAUAAACUCUCUUGUUUGCACUCUCUCUUCCCUAACUCUUUUAAAUUAUAUGCAAUUGUCUUUAUUUUGUUUAUUAUAUACUUACAUAUAAUUGUCUCUUAUUUUUUCAUAGUUUAAAUUUGUGAAAAAGAGACCAUCACCCUAUUUACCCCCCCCCCCCCCCCCCCCCCCCCNGGGGGACCCCCCAACUUGGGUUAACCCCNNNNNNNNNNNNNNNNNNNNNNNNNNNNNNNNNNNNNNNNNNNNNNNNNNNNNNNNNNNNNNNNNNNNNNNNNNNNNNNNNNNNNNNNNNNNNNNNNNNNUUUUUAAAAUAAAAAAAAAUUUUUUUUUUUUUUUUUUUUAAAAAUUAAAAAAAAAUUUUUUUUUUUUUUUCAUAGUUUAAAUUUGUGAAAAAGAGACCAUCACCCUAUUUACCCCCCCCCCCCCCCCCCCCCUCUAGGGUGACUACCAUAGUUUGGAUUAGCCUCAAAUUCCUAACAAUAUGUUUAUUUAAAUUCAUUUCAUUUAUUCUCCUUCAUUAUAUAAAGAUUAAAUAAUUUUAAAAUGCAUAAAUUUUUAAUUAAUUUUAAUCAUAUUUGAUUUUUUUAUUGUAUUUUUCAUAGUGAAACCAAAUAUGAGAAAACCAUUUUUCUUAAUAUUUUUUUUUCUUUUCUUAAUACUUUUUGGAAGCCAAACAUAAUAUAAUUUUUAACUGGUUUAAAUUAUAUUUGAUAUUAAAUAUAUGAUUAUGUAAAUAUUGAAAAUAAAUAAAAUCUAAAUAAUUUUAUAUUUUCCUUUUCCAAGUUUUAAUUUAUUUUAAUAGAGAUUGAAUAUGAUUUUUAAGAUUGUCUUAAUUUUUUAAUUAUGAAAAUAAGAAUUGAAAAAGAAAAAUUGGAUAGCUAAUAUUGGUAGGCAUAUGUAAUUUUGAUAGUGGGGAGAAGAGAAGACGUGAGUGGUGUGAGAAGGUCAUUUUUGCCCAAAUUUUUGUGUUUUCAAAAUCCAAAGCAUUUCCUUACCCACCUUUUUCUCCAUGUUUGAAGUAAACAUGGGAAAAGAGUUCCAAUAAGAAAUUAAUAAAAGAAAAGGAACAUAUCACUAUUACCUUUGUAGAUAUCAGGAUGGAUUCAACAUUUAAGAUACAUUUAUAAUCAAUGGUGGAAAAUGUCAAGAUGAAAAAUAUCCUUUCAUCAAGGCAAGAUGGAAAAUAUAAUUUGAUAAGUAUUACAUUUACAGUACUGAAUGAAUGGAUGAAAAAAUAUCAUCAAUCAAUCAAGUGGUGUCAAAGUAUAUAUAGAAAAGGACCAUACCACUAUUUCAUCUGUGUAUUUGUGUUCCAAGUAAAAGUGGGAAAAAACUUGCAACAAGAAAUUAAUAAAAGGAAAUGACCAUACCACUAUUUCCUUGACAGAUGUCAGGAUAGAUUUAAGAUACAUUUAUACUUAAUGGUGGAAAAUGUCAAGAUGGAAAAUAUCCUUUGAUCAAGGUAAGAUUGAAUAAAUUGUUUGGUAAGGGCUAGAUUUACAGUACUCAAAUAUGUUUUUUUCAAUAGGUAUGAGAAAGACAUCAUCAAUUAACUGGUGUCAAGUAUAUAUUUUUAAGUCUCAUUAUUGUAGCUCAAUCUCAUUUGUUUGUACUUGAUACGUUCCCAAUUAGUGUCUCAGCUGAUUCAUGUCCUCUCAAUGGUCCCUGACAGUGGUGCCAUUUGAUUCGUGUCCAGCUAGUGUCUCUUGAUUUUGGUCCUCAGGAAGUAAUCAACAAAAUUUUUAACCUAUUACACCAUGUACUAGGAUAGCCUUAGCUAGCAUAGCAUAGUGGCUCUAAGGUCGUUCACUGGGAUGGGUUUUCACUCCAUAAUUGAUAUUAAUUCAAAGCUGAAUUGGUGCCUUUUCAUUUCAAGGUUAGCUUUAAAAGGAAACAUAAAGAUGUUUGAAUGGAAAAGGUUGGUUUUAAGCUAACCAAAAAUAGUAACUGAUUUUAAUUACAAAGAAAAGUGUUUCUUGGAGUUUCAGAUCAUUAGGCUCAGAUUCCUCAUACAAAAAGGGAGUUCUGGUCACUUGUUUCUUUUCCUCGCAUUAGAGAAUUAACAUAUAGUUAAUUCUCUAACCAGUGUGGUACAGAUGCUUCCCCUUAAUGGGUUCAAACACUAAUUCCCUCUCACUGAUGCACCUUACAAUGGCUCAUGCCUCUCACCUAGCAUUUGCCAUUCAAGGUGAUCUUUAACCUUGGAUUACCCGUCAAAAGCUCGUAAGAGAUAACUAAUGGAUGUCUCCUUAGAGUCCAAAAGCUUACCAAGUGUUGGCUAUUCUAGAAAAUCCUACCUUCAAACCACCUCCCAAAGGCUCGCAAGAGAUAAAAUAGUGCAUCUCAAUGGACGGAGACCACUUGCCUUAUCAAGUGUUGGCCUAGGUGAUUUAAAGGCGUUUUAAGUUAACUAAAAAGAUAAAAACCAUUAACGGGUCACACUUUCUCUUCAUUAAAAACUAAAACAACAAAACUUCCAAUUUAUGCAUGUGGAAACUUACCCGGCUUUCUUCACUCCAAGAGACGAAGAGCCUAGCUUCUCAUCCUCUGAGGAAAAAUCCUCAGAGUUUGAUUGGCUAGAAAGAAAAAUAACGAGAAAACAAAAAUAUGAAGGAAAAACAGAGCAAGUGCUCUGUAAAAUAUAUUUCUUACUUAUGCAAAAGGUUGUCUCUGAGAACAAGCUCCCGAGAGUAUUUUUUUUUUGUAAAGAAAAUUACAACUAUAUAUAAGAGGUUAUUCACCCUUUAUUCUUGCUUAAAGACUAAGGAAUCCUAUGAUAGGUGGGUUACAAGGAGAGUUUGGGGAUUUAGACAUCAAAUAUCUAAAGCAAAAAAUCUCAAAAUGUCGGUCGCAAAUAUCGGGAAGCUUCAGGAGAACAUCGCGGCACUGUGCAAAAUGGCUGCGAAAUUUUCGCAGCAAAAGGACAACAUUUUCGCAGCCAAAGGCUGAUUUCGCAGCCGUGCAACAUUCUAUCUUCAGCUUGAAGUGAUCUACUUGCAAUGGCUGUAACUCCUUUAUUUCAACUCCGAAUCGUGCACCAUUUGAAGCAUUGGAUUGUUGACUUCCUGAGCUUCGAAAUGACAUAUAGCAUGCAUAAAUUGGACUUCAGGAAGUGCUCCAAAAGUGGCUGAAAUGACUGUCAUCAAGAAUGCUUCAUGUUAGAUUUCUCUUUGCUUCCCCUCCUUGCAUUCCAGAUUUGCUUAUGGAAAAGGACUUUAAAGCUUCAGUUCUUCAUGUUUCUGAGCUUUCCAUUUGCUUUGCCAUGGAUUCCAAAGAACUCUCCUCAAUCUCGGAUUGCUUUGGUGAUCAAUUUACUAACAAAAACACCAAAACUUACACACUUUGAUUAGAAAUGAUUGCAAAGGUCCUUAAUAUGUUAAUUGGGUUAAAAGAUGAUAACUACUACUCAAAAGUGUUUAAAAGAGUUAAUUACAAGCUAUCAAAUAGCACUUUUUGAGUAGUAAUCACUCCCCCCAACCGACAUAUUGCUAGUCCCUUAGCAAUGAAGGAGAGAACAAUAAAAAUAAACAAUACUAUAAUUUACAACAUCAUGCUGAUCAAAAAAACAAUUUUCAAGUGGCAUGAUGAUCUAACUCUCACAUGGAACAUUAAAGAAAUAAAACUCAAACUUCAACAAGAGUUAUCAAACAACUUGUCUAAUCACAAUUCUUAAAGAGAAGGCAUUAUGCAAAUUUAAGCUUUAAAAGAGUUUCCACUCCCAAAGGGUCAAACCUUAUUCUUCCACAAAAAUCUAAGUGUUAUUUAUUAGUUUCCGAAUAUAGUAUGUUGAACUAAUCUCUCCCCCCAACCUAGUUCUUUUUCAAAGCUUAGUAAGCUUAUCAACCUCCAAUAGGCUAAGAACGCACCUCUUUUCUCACAAUUUUUUUUUUUUUUUCAUUGUAGGAGUACAAGGCUUAAAGGUAUUAUUUUCUAAAUUGUCCAUGUAAUGAGGGUCCAUUGAUGACUCCCAACCAAUUAAGGUUUAGGGCAUCAAGCUUUAAGGAUCUUUCAACCACUAACUCCUCGGAUUUUACCCCGGACUUUUGAGAAUGAAUUUUAAUACCCAAGCACCUACAGUAUGUUAAACUCCACCUAUCCACCCUUGUAACGAGCAUUGAGGUCGGUGACUCCCAACCAAUGAAGGCUUAGGGCACCAGGUUUUAAAGAUUUUCACCAUAUACCCCUCACACCUUGCUCGGGUUUCAAGGCAAGCAAACAUUUUUCUUUUUCUUUUUUUUCAAAGGCUCAUUGGCCUUUUAUAAGGUGUCCCAACACUAUUAAAUGAGGUCAAAGGUACCAAGUCUAAAAUUUUCCUAAGUCAAGAGGGAAAUAGUUUUUCAUCUUAUACUCGGAACCUAUUGUGCACAGUGUGUGAAUAGCUUAAAGUGGAAGAACUAAGGUUGAAUUCAAUAGAGGUUUCAACAAUUCAUCAACUUUAGUAAGUAUAAUACAAACUCUAAGUCAAGUAAAAAGACAAAAAUUCAAUUUCUCUCUAUUUCAUUUUGAAGAAUUUUCCUUAAUAACCAUGGAAAGUAGAUUAAAAAAUUUAAAAAUCAAGCAAAAAGUAACUAAAUUACCAAAAUAACUUAGCAUUAAUAACAAUACUUACUUCCUCAACUCUCCCCCUAACCAAGCUGAACAUUGUCCUCAAUGUGACAAAAGCGAUUGAAAAAUAGGGAGGAAAUGGUACCUCCUGAGUGACAUGGAGUCUGAGUCGUAUAGGAAAAACCACAUGUUUAAAAAAAAAACAAAAGAGUUAGUGAGUAGAGGAAAUAGAAAAAUGUCAAGUUUAAACAAAAAAUGAUGUUUAUAUAUGAUGUAUCAUCAGUAAUACAUUUGUGGAGCUGAUGCAUCUGUGGUGGCCUCUUGAGUGGGUUGGAUCAGGACUUUGACCUCUGAAAAAUUUGGUAGUCUCCUUAGGUUCAUAGUGUCCUCAGCUGGAGUUCUCAAUUGAAGCUAUGGGCUUUGAUGGUUUAAGGAGGUAAGAAAUGGAGUGAGAGGCUUCGUGUGUGUGAUCUCAGUGAGAGGGCUCUCCUCUUUAGAUGCAUGGUUGCGGGGCUCUAUUGGCAUUUUUGCAACUUCCCUUGGCUUUGCAAAGUGUUUUUGUAAACCUCACUUCAUUUCACAAGUCAAUUUCGAAGCCUGGAGGUCAUUUUGUAUUUUGGAGAUCAUUUUGCAGCCAAAGGGAAAAAAGAAAAACAUUUUUGCAGCCCAUUUCGAAGUUUGGAAAUCAUUGGACAACCAUUUUGAAGUUUGGAAAAUCAUUUCGCAAUCAAAAGGCCAUUUUCACAGCAAAUGGAGGAUUUCGCAGGGGGUAGCUAUGGGGCUGCGAAAUCAUUUCACAGCCAAAGGGGAGUUUUAGUAGCCCACUUUGAAGCCUGGAGCAUUUUCGUAGCCAUUUUGAAGCUUGAAGAUCAUUUUGUAGCCAUUUCGAAGUUUAGAAAUCAUUUGGCAACAAAAUGGGAAUUUCGCAGCCCAUUUUUUAAGCUUGGAGCUCAUUUCACAGGGGGUAGCUAUGGGGUUGCGAAAACAUUUCGCAGCCAAAUGGGAAUUUCGCAGCCCAUUUUGAUGUCUGGAGCAUUAUCGUAGCCAUUUUGAAGCUUGGAGCAUUUUCGCAGCGGGGGGUGGAUUUCGCGGAGGAGGGGAAUUUUCGCAGCCCAUUUCGCAGCUGUGAAAUGGGUGGACGGCGCUGCGAAGUGGCACUCGUGUGCCAAAGGGUGGUUUCGCAGCUGCGAAACACCCUUCGAAAUGGGGUCGCGGCUGCGAAAUCCCUGCGGGUGCUUUGCGCGUUCGUCUUCAAACGACCAUAACUUCUUCAUUCCAAAUCCAAAUUGCUCACCGUUUAAAGCAUUGGACUCUUGACUUCCUGAGAUUCGAAACAAAAUAUGAUAUGCAUUAUUUGAGCUCCAGGAAGUGCUUCAAAAAUGUGUCCAACAGUAGCGAAAUGGGGGUGCGGCUGCGACAUUUCAGCUCAUUGUUUGCACACUCGUCUUCAAACGGCCAUAACUUCUUCGUUUCACCUCCAAAUCACGUACCGUUUGAAGCACUGGACUCCUGACUUCCCAAUAUUUGAAACUACAUAUGGUAUGCAUGAAAUGUACUUCAGGAAGUACUUCGAAAUGUGUCCAACAGGGGUGCAGCUGCAACAUUUCAGUUCAUGGUGUGCGCACUCAUCUUCAAACAGCUAUAACUUCUUCGUUUCAACUCCAAAUCGAGUACCGUUUGAAUCUUUGGACUCCUGGAUUCCUAAGAUUCAAAACGAGAUAUAGUAUGCAUAAUUUGAGUUCUAGGAAGUGCUUCAAAAAUGUGUCAAACAGUAGCAAAAUGCAACAUUUCCUUUCAUGGUGUGCACAGUCAUCUUCAAACGGCCAUAACUUCUUUGUUUCAACUCCAAAUAGAGCACCGUUUGAAGAUUUGGACUCCUGGCUUCCCAAGCUUUGAAAUGACAUAUGGUAUGCAUAAAAUAAACUUCAGGAAGUGAUCGAAAUAUGUCCAACAGUUGCCGAAAUGGGGGUACGGCUUCAUGGUGUGCACGCUGAAGGAUUUUAAGGCAUGGAGGAUUUCGCAACCAUUUCGCAGCUGCGAAAUGAGUGUACAGGGCUUUGAAAUGGUACUCGUGGGCCAAAGGGUGGUUUCGCAGCUACGAAACACCCUUCGAAAUGGCUCAUCGAUUGCGAAAUGGAGGAUCUCGAGGCGUGAAAAAUUCGCAGCCAUUUCGUAGCUGCGAAACGGGUGUACGGGGCUGCGAAAUGGCACUCGUGUGCCAAGGGGCCUCUUCGCAGUUGCGAAAAGUUUCGCAGAGGGUGCUAAGAGGCUGUGAAACCAUUUCGCAACGGGAAGCGAUUUUCGCAACGGGCCACUUUCGGCUGUGAAAUUUCGCAGGCCAUGCUCUCUCCUUGCUUUUUAAGCUCCUCUUGAUUCCCAACUUCCUUCUUUCACUUUUUUUUUACAUUCCUCUUGAUUUUAAUCAUCCAAAAACCUAUAUUACAUCAAAACAAAUUAAAAUUAAAGCAUUGAAAUCAAAAUUAAAGCAUUGAAAUCAAAAUUAAAACAUUGAAAUCAAAAUUAAAACAAGUAAUAAGUAAAACAAAAAGGUAUGGACUAGCUAGUCUUUAAAAAGACUAAGUCCAUCAAAAAAAUUUGAUCCUGAUUUAGCUUGCCCGGAUCCCAUAUGAAGUUUGCAUCCCUCACUUGAGACUUGCUUUGUAUGAUUUUUCCAUACAAAGCUUGGGGGAAAAGUGGAGACAUGUGCUUCAUCAUUUCUUCCUUGAUGACUAUCCUCUGUGGAUCUUCAUUUACAUUAACAUCAUAGCCAUCUUUCUCUAUACUUUUCCCAUUUUUCUUUCCUUUGAUUUCCUCCCUCUUUUCUUUCUCUGCUUCACUCUCUACCUUAUGCUCUAGCUUGCAUGUGGGCGGAUCAAUCUCUUUACUACUCCUCAAAGUGAUAACCGUUUUAACUUCCUUCACCAUUGAAGAUUCUCCCUUUUGAGCCUCCACUUCAUGGAUACCCUUGAAAUUUUGAUAAGGUUGAGAAGGAAAGUUUCCUUUUUCUUGCAUUGUGUUGAGGUUGGCAAACCUUGAGAUUGAAUAUUGGAGAUUAUCUAUCUUCUGAGAUAGAUCAUGUUGCACUUCAUCCAUCUUUUUGUUCAAUGAACUCUCUACACUGUCAAUUCUUUGAUUGAGCUGAGCAUUGAUGGAUUUUUGAGCUCCAACAAAGUCUCCCACGACCUUGCUAAGAUUCACCAUAGCUUGUUCAAGGUUCGAGGCUUGCGGAAGUGCUUGAACAUUUUGCUUGUACUGAGGUGGCUGUGGUUUCCAAGAGAAAUUUGGAUGGUUCCUCCAAAUGGAAUUGUAGGUGUUGCAAUUACCAAACAUUUCCCUCACCACUAGAAUGGUAGGACACUCUUCCACCAAGUGCUCAAAAGAUCGACAAAUGGAAUAGGGCAUAGGUUGCAAUGGUGUCUAAGAGAUGGCUUGCACUUCUUGCAUCUUCUUCAUUUCUAUCUCUUCCAAUCUCCUUGCCAUAGCUGCAAUCUUUGCCUUCAUGUCUAUGUCUUCAUUCAAAAUAUACAUCUCACCCUUAGCAUUAGGUUGAGACUUCAUUCUUCCCAUAUCUCUAGCAUUUGGUCCAUCCCAUUCUCUUGAAACUUCAGCCACAUAACUCAUGAAGUUCAUGGCUUCCUCUGCUUUCUCGUAUUCAAUAUGGAAUGCACAACUAGCAAUUUGUGAAUUAAAAACAGAGAAAACAAAAGAAAACAAAAGAAAAACAAUUCUAAGAAAAAAAGUUAAGGUAAACUAAAAACUAAAUAAAAGGUAUACUAAAAUAUGAGCAAAGAAAAAGAAACAAAUAAAAAGAGUUAGUAAAAAGAAAAGAAAAGUCACCAAACUUGUGAUGAAGAUCACAAGUACUCUAGAAAGGUGAUAUCACUGUAAAGUGGCACCAUCCCCGGCAACGGCGCCAUUUGAUACGUUCCCAAUUGGUGUCUCAGCUGAUUCAUGUCCUCUCAAUGGUCCCUGACAGUGGUGCCAUUUGAUUCGUGUCUAGCUGGUGUCCCUUGAUUUUGGUCCUCAGGGAGUAAUCAACAAAAUUUAUAACCUAUUACACCAUGUACUAGGAUAGCCUUAGCUAGCAUAGCAUAGUGGCUCUAGGGUCGUUCACUGGGAUGGGUUUUCACUCCACAAUUGAUAUUAAUUCAAAGCUGAAUUGGUGUCUUUGCAUUUCAAGGUUAGCUUUAAAAGAAAACAUAAAGAUGUUUGAAUGGAAAAGGUUGGUUUUAAGCUAACCAAAAAUAGUAACUGAUUUUAAUUACAAAGAAAAGUGUUUCUUGGAGUUUCAAAUCAUUAGGCUCAGAUUCCUCAUACAAAAAGGGAGUUCCGGUCACUUGUUUCUUUUCCUCGCAUUAGAGAAUUAACAUAUAGUUAAUUCUCUAACCGGUGUGGUACAGAUGCUUCCCCUUAAUGGGUUCAAACACUAAUUCCCUCUCACUGAUGCACUUUGCAAUGGCUCAUGCCUCUCACCUAGCAUUUGCCAUUCAAGGUGAUCUUUAACCUUGGAUUACCCGUCAAAAGCUCGCAAGAGAUAACUAAUGGAUGUCUCCUUAGAGUCCAAAAGCUUACCAAGUGUUGGCUAUUCUAGAAAAUCCUACCUUCAAACCACCUCCUAAAGGCUCGCAAGAGAUAAAAUAGUGCAUCUCAAUGGACGGAGACCACUUGCCUUAUCAAGUGUUGGCCCAGGUGAUUUAAAGGCGUUUUAAGUUAACUAAAAAGAUAAAAACCAUUAACGGGUCACACUUUCUCUUCAUUAAAAACUAAAACAACAAAACUUCCAAUUUAUGCAUGUGGAAACUUACCUGGCUUUCUUCACUCCAAGAGGCGAAGAGCCUAGCUUCUCAUCCUCUGAGGAAAAAUCCUCAGAGUUUGAUUGGCUAGAAAGAAAAAUAACGAGAAAACAAAAAUAUGAAGGAAAAACAGAGCAAGUGCUCUGUAAAAUAUAUUUCUUACUUAUGCAAAAGGUUGUCUCUGAGAACAAGCUCCCGAGAGUAUUUUUUUUUUGUAAAGAAAAUUACAACUAUAUAUAAGAGGUUAUUCACCCUUUGUUCUUGCUUAAAGACUAAGGAAUCCUAUGAUAGGUGGGUUACAAGGAGAAUUUGGGGAUUUAGACAUCAAAUAUCUAAAGCAAAAAAUCUCAAAAUGUCGGUCGCAAAUAUCGGGAAGCUUCAGGAGAACAUCGCGGCACUGUGCAAAAUGGCUGCGAAAUUUUCGCAGCAAAAGGACAACAUUUUCACAACCAAAGGCUGAUUUCGCAGCCGUGCAACAUUCUGCCUUUAGCUUGGAGUGAUCUGCUUGCAAUGGCUGUAACUCCUUUAUUUCAACUCCAAAUCGUGCAGAGUUUGAAGCAUUGAUUGUUGACUUCCUGAGCUUCGAAACGACAUAUAGCAUACACAAAUUGGACUUCAGGAAGUGCUCCAAAAGUGGCUGAAAUGACUGUCAUCAAGAAUGCUUCAUGUUAGAUUUCUCUUUGCUUCCCCUCCUUGCAUUCCAGAUUUGCUUAUGGCAAAGGACUUUAAAGCUUCGGUUCUUCAUGUUUCUGAGCUUUCCAUUUGCUUUGCCAUGGAUUCCAAAGAACUCUCCUCAAUCUCGGAUUGCUUUGGUGAUCAAUUUACUAACAAAAACAUCCAAACUUACACACUUUGAUUAGAAAUGAUUGCAAAGGUCCUUAAUAUGUUAAUUGGGUUAAAAGGUGAUAACUACUACUCAAAAGUGUUUAAAAGAGUUAAUUACAAGCUAUCAAAUAGCACUUUUUGAGUAGUAAUCAAUACUCUUAUACCUUAAUAUCAUUAAUAUGUAUCCUCAUUGUAAGUAAAAAAAAAAGGUAUUUUACUUUAGUUUUAUUUAUUUGUAUUUCAAAAUCUAAAAGAUUUCCUUAGGUUUAUAUAAGCCCUUACAAUGAGGUAUUAAUAAAAGAAAAGGAUCAUACCACUUUUUCCUUGAUGGAGGUCAGGAUAGAUUCAAGAUACAUUUAUAAUCAAACGAAAUUAUUGUGUGUUCAUGGAAAAUAUCAUGGUGGAAAAUGUCCUUUGAUCAAGGUGACCCUCUCGUAAUUGACAUCGGAUUCAAUUGUUGUCCGUCAAUGGAAAUUGAAUUCCCAACCAUAUAAAAUUAAAUUAAUAUAAAUAGUCCCUUUUUUUGUUUCAAUUAUUUAUAUUAUGUCAAAUAUUUCUAAUUUUCUUGUACAAAAUAAAUAAAUUAUUUUAUUCUCUAAUUAUAGAUUCAACCAUAUAAUUGAUAUCAUUCAUUCAAUUGAUACAUAAAUCGUUCGUCCAAAUUUAAACAUAAUGUAAAUGCAUACACACAAUUAAGCGGUGCAAUAUUGUUCCUAGGUUUUCACUAAAGAAUACACAUCUAUACCAAAAUACACUUCUCAUUUGGAGUGUUCAUGGGGUAAGUUUUUGUAUUUUAUAUUAGAGAUCUCACUCAUUUCAUAAUUCGCCCUCUUUUGGUCCUUUCAUUUCUUAUUUUCUUUUCUUUUCAUUUUUUUGCCCUCAUUCUCAUUUCCAUUUCAUAUAACAAGUUCUUUACUUUUCUUUCUAUACAACCAUGAAUGCAAAAUGAAUCCAAUAUAAUAUUAUUGUGUAAUCCAAACUCAAAUUAUAAUACCAAAUAAUAUAAAACAAUUAUUUUAAACCUAUAACAAUACUAAAAAAAUUUUACUAAUAAUUUCCCUUAUUUUUAACAUUGAUAUAUUACUAACGAGAAAUUACCUUGAUCUCAUUGGUUUGUGUUUUAGAACGUAAAAGAAAUCCUCGGGUUUAUCCAAGUUCUUACAAUAAGGAAUUAAUAAAAGUAAAGGACCAUGCCACUUUUUCCUCCAUGUUCCAAGUAAAUAUGGGAAAAGACUUAUAACAAGAAAUUAAUACAUGUUCCAAGUAAAUGUGGGAAAAGAUUUGUAACAAAAAAUUAAUAAAUGUUCCAAGUAAAUGUGGGAAAAGACUUACAACAAAAAAUUAAUAAGAGAAAAGGACGAUUGGAAAAGACUUACAACAAGAAAUUAAUAGGAGAAAAUGACCAUACCACUAUUCCAUCUGUGUAUUUGUGUUCCAAGUAAAAGUGGGAAAAAACUUAGAACAAGAAAUUAAUAAAAGGAAAGGACCAUACCACUAUUUCCUUGACAUAUGUCAGGAUGGCUUUAAGAUACAUUUAUAAUUAAUGGUGGAAAAUGUCAAGAUGCAAAAUAUCCUUUGAUCAAGGUAAGAUUGAAUAAAUCGUUUGGUAAGGGCUAGAUUUACAAUACUCAAAUAUGUUUUUUUCAAUAGGUAUGAGAAAGACAUCAUCAAUUACCUGAUGUCAAGUAUAUAUUUUUAAGUCUCAUUAUUGUACCCUAAUCUCAUUUGUUUGUACUCUUAUUCCUUAAUAUCAUUAAUAUGUAUCCUCAUAAGGUAUUUUACUUUAGUUUUAUUUAUUUGUAUUUCAAAAUCUAAAAGAUUUCCUUAGGUUUAUCUAAGCCCUUACAAUGAGGAAUUAAUAAAAGAAAAUGAUCAUACCAUUUUUUCCUUGAUGGAGGUUAGGAUAGAUUCAAGAUACAUUUAUAAUCAAACACAAUUAUUGUGUGUUGAUGGAAAAUAUCAUGACGUGGAAAGUGUCCUUUGAUCAAGGUGACCCUCUUGUAAUUGAUAUCGGAUUCAAUUGUUGUCCGUCAAUGGAAAUUGAAUUCCCAACCAUAUAAAAUUAAAUUAAUAUAAAUGGUCCCUUUUUUUGUUUCAAUUAUUUAUAUUAUAUCAAAUAUUUCUAAUUUUCUUGCACAAAAUAAAUAAAUUAUUUUAUUCUCUAAUUAUAGAUUCAAACAUAUAAUCGAUGUCAUUCAAUCAAUUGAUACAUAAAUCCUUCUUCCAAAUUUAAACAUAAUGUAAAUGCGUACACACAAUUAAGCGGUGCAAUAUUGUUCCUAGAUUUUCGUCGAAGGAUACACAUCUAUACCAAUACACUCCCCAUUCUGAGUGCUCUUGGGUUUUGUAUUUUACAUAAGACAUUUUACUCCCUUGUUAAUUCGUCCUCUUUGGUCUUUUCAUUUCCUUUUUAUUUUUUUCCCUCAUUCUCAUUUCCAUUUCAUAUAACAAGUUCUUCACUUUUCUUUCUCUAGAACCAUGGAUGUAAAAUGAAUGCGAUAUAAUAUUGUUGUGCAAUCCUAACUCAAAUGAUAAUAUCGACUAAUAUAAAAUAAUUAUUUUAAACCUAUAACAAUACUCAAAAUUUUUGAUAAAUUAUUUCCAUUAUUUUCAACAUUGAUAUAUUACUAAUAAAUUUUAAUUUUAUCUUCCUAACACAAUCCAAAUAAUUAUAACACUUCACACAAAUAUUUAUCUUUUAUUCACAUGAAUUGAAUUUUUCUCCAACAUAAUUUCCCCUAAAAAUCAAUAAAAAAUUCAUAUCAUCAUUAAAAAAAUAAAAUAACUACAUAACUAGAAUCACUUGCAAAAAAAUAUUAUAUUAAAAGUUAGUUUGAUAGUGAUUUUAAAAAAUGUUUCUAACAUUUUUAAUACUUAAAUUUUUUUAUUAAAAUAAUUAUGUUGAAAUAUUAAAAAGAUUAAAAAUGUUUGCAAAAAUCACUAUUAAACAAGCUAAAAGAAUCUGUUCUACAAUGAUUUUAGGAAUCCCUUUUAGUCAUCCCAACAUUUGAAAUUUUUUAGCAUAAUAGUUGUAACCUUUCUAUCCUUCCAUUUGGUAGGAAGCAUUGGUAGUGAUUAUUAAUAUUAAGGUCGAAUGGGAAGGUGCUGCUCAUGAUGCGCGGGUCUUUUUAGAGGCAUUAAGAAGGCCAGAAUUGGGUUUUCCUCCUCCACCUAGAGGUUUGUGAAUAACAAUAUCAACCUUGUUUAUGUGAUCGAAUAUUUAUUAUCUAAUAUAUAUUUUUGUUUUUGUUUUGUUGGUAAAUAUUAUUUGGUCGAUGUUGGUUAUCCUCAAAUGAGUGGAUAUUUAGGCCCUUAUAAAGGCGAGUGUUACUAUCUUCUAGAUUUUCGAUGAGCACCUUGAGGUAAAAAGGAAAUAUUUAAUCAUAGGCAUUCAUCAUUGAGGUGCACAAUUGAAAGAACGUUUGUCAUUUUGAAGAAUAGAUGGAGAAUGCUACGGGAAAUGCAUAGUUUUUCUCUUGAAAAACAAGUAAAGAUUGUUAUUGUUUCCAUGACUCUUAAUAACUUUAUAAGGAUUAAUGCUAGAAUGGAUAUGGAAUUUAAACCUUAUGAUAAUGAUCAAGGGUUGCUUCCACUUAAUGAAGAAGAGAGUCGAAUGGAUUCACUUGUUGAGGAAGAUGAUUCACAUCAUGCAAGAGAGAUGGAAGAAGAAUGUGAUCGAAUUGCAAAUCUUCUUAUAUCUCAUUGAUGUUUGAUUAUGACUCUAAUAUAUAAUAAUAUAAUUUUCCCUCUAUGAAAACAUUUGUCUUCCAAUUUACUUUUAAUUAGAAAAGUUUUUUUUUUUGAGAAAUUAAUAGGUAAUCAUAUAUUGUUUUACUUUGAAAAUUAUCUUUUAUUCAAUGUUCUUUUUUAUUGAUUUAGAUGUUUUUUGUAAAUAUUUUUUAAAAAUUUAUUAUCGUGAUAAAAAAUUAUUAAUUUUAAACUAAUAUAUAAUCAAAUAAUUUGUUAUAUUAUGAUUGAUAUUUAUUUAUUAAUCCGAUUCUUUUUGUAAACAUUUUUCAAAAUUUUAUUUAAUCAUAAAAAAAAUAUUUUUAGAUUUUUUUAACAAUAUAAAUGUAUAUAUAUUCUUUUAAGAUAGAUGUUUAUAUAUUUUGUUGUAAUGUAAAGUUUUUUGUUUAUCAUACUAUUUUCUUUUUGUAAUUAAAAUUAUGUCCUUUUUGGGAAUUUAUUAAUAUUAAAAGUGUUUUUAUACUUAUACAACAUAUUAUUAAAAACACUAUUAGAAUCAUUUUUUCUAUUCUUAAGAAUCACUGUCAAUCGAACUCUAUGUUUAUAUAUUCUUUUAAGAUAAAAAAAUACUAAUAGUCAAUGCAUAUUUGCAUACAUGUUGUUCUAAGAAAUUCACUGAGUUAAAAGGGGCUCAUAUAUUAUAACUUAGACUCGCAAGUAGUAAAUCGAUUUUACAACCACUCUGCUCUGGCUUUGCUGCAAGAAAUUUCAGAAAAUGUGGCUGUUUUUGCAGGCAUUUGAUGAUAAAAUUUUGAGAAAUAUUUCAAAACAAUGCAUCUCCUUGGUUUAUGGCAACUCUUUCUCUUUAUCCCAAUAGGGGCCAUCCUCAAAUUUCCUGUCAAAUUCAGUUUAUUACAGACUAAAAAAUCACCCAGAUUCUAAAGGCUUCGAAAAAGGCAGCUGCAGCUGCAAGGGAAUUUCAUAUGUAUUUGAGUUAGGUGGGUAUGUGGGUCCGUUGAGUGGAUGAUGAAAUAUCAUCUCACUUAUAUAGGGAUGGCAACGGGGCGGGUUCGGGGCGGGGCGCCCCCCUCCCAACCCCGCCCCGUUUAUUUAAAGCAAUUCUCAUCCCCGUCCCAUUUAAAAAAUUAAACGGGGCGGGACGGGUAUGCUACAUUCCCAUACCCGCCCCGUUUAACUUUUUAUUUAAUUUUAAUUUUUUUUUAAUUAAUUUUAAAUUUUUUAAUUAUAUUAAAAUAAAUAUAUUUUAUAAAUAAUUAAAUUAUUAUAUUUUUUAUAACUUAUUUUAUUAAAAAUAAUUUAUUAUUAUCUAUAUAUUAAAAAUAAUAAAAUAAAAAUUAAAUUAAAAUAAUUUUAAAUUUUAAAUUAAAUUUAAUUUUAAUUUUAAUUUUAUAUAUAAUCGGGGCGGAACGGGGAAGAGCAAUACCCGAACCUGCCCCGGGUUUCAAAAAAAAUCCCAAACCCGUCCCAUACCCGUUUAGGAAAAUAAUAUCCCACCCCAUUAGGGACGGGGCGAGGCAGGUACCCGAAAUGACCCGCCCCAUUGCCAUCCCUACACUUAUAUGCUUACAUGCGCAAUGUCUUAUCAUUAUUUUAUUUAAUUAAUUCGAAUAAUAUUUUUCUUUUUUCAAGAAAACCCUAAAACUUGAUUAAAAUCAUUAUUUUCGGAAAACAAUUAUAAUAAUUUAUUUAAAACAGUAUUAUCAACUCUCUUUUUUUCUUUCUAAGAUACCUUCAUCAUCUCGAUGAUAUAUGAAUAUAAUAAAAUAAUAAAUAUUAAUAUUAUAUAAAUCAUUGAAAAUUAUAACUUGUAUAUGAAUUUAUUAUAAAAUUAGAUUAAUAUUAAUUUAUUUAUUACACAAAAUAUAUGGAUAUGAGUUUAUUUAUUAUUUAUAAUUUAUUAAUAUUAAGAAUUACUCAAGGAUAACUUUUUUAUUUAAGAUUUUUUCUUUAUAAGAUAUUAGAAAAUUAUAAUUUACAUAUAAAUUUAUUAUUAAUUUAUUAAUCUUCUUCACAUCAAAUAAAUAUUAAUGUUACAUCAACAAAUAUAAUAUGAUAGUGAGUAUUAAUAUUAUGUACAGAAAUAAAUAUCAUAAUUUUAAAAUAGAGCAUAUAUUUUUUAACUUUUCAAUAUCUAUGAAUAUCGAUUGAGAUAUAUAAAUAUAAAUUUAUUAUUAAUUUAUUCAUAAACUCUUUUAUUCAAUUUUUUUAUUUAUAUUUUAUAUACUUUUCUCUUUUAUUUAAAUUUUUCCAUUAUAUUUUAUAAAAUAUUAAAAAAUUAUUUUAAUUACCCCACAUGCAAUGCACGUGUUUUUAGACUAGUUUUCUAUUUGACACGUGAAUGUUCAGUAACAUCACGGCCGUACACUGACAUAUAAAUGUUCACAAUUCUUUUACUUAGAACAUUCAUUUUAGAUGAUGUUGAGGACAGCCAAGGGCAGUAGACUAACAUCUUCUGAACCAAUUAACAUACCAGCAGUGAUUAGGCCAAGGUGGUGAUCCAAUUCCAUGGAAUAGCAACAAGAAAGGAGGAACGUUGGAGAGAAAGAAGGCGGUCAACCAAGCAGGAACAGUGGCCAAAGCAGCCCCGAGCCUAGGGAGCAUAGGAUUGACAUUGUUGAAAUCAGUCCUAGGGUGAAAAAUUGGAUUGAGGCUUUCAAAAAUGCAGAAGAAAGGACUCAAUCUCAAACUCAAUGGCCAAGGAUACCGAAGGUUCCUCACAUUUUGAAGGGUACCCAGGAUAUCAAGAAAUUCUACUAACCGAGGGUGAUUUUAUUCUGUCCUUACCACCAUGGCAAGUCCCACCUUCGCCUAGGGGAAAUGAUCAAGCCUCCCUGUGCCCUAAACUUCCUGGCUGAUAGUAACCAGCACAUCGAUGGUACACAAAAAUUGAAAGUAAUAUCGAGGCAGUGAGGAAGGGCUAUGAUUGGAGUAGUACAAACGAGUAUGAUGAUGAGGCACUCGCCUGGAUGAUGCUUCUGGAUGGGUGUUUUUUACUACAAUUCAUCCGCAGCACAGAAGACGGCAGCACAAUCAAUUUGAGUAACGUUCUUAGAUGUCACCAAAUUUAUUUUGUGGGGCUGGACUUGUUCUUGCUGGAGAACCAACUUCCCUUCGGAGUCCUCAAGUUGAUUUUUGAGGAAGCAAAAUUCAAGGGUGGUUCAAUAAUGCAAGAGAAGAUAAAAAAAGUUGCCAGAUGGGUUUGUAGGGACCCCCUCCCCCCUGAUGACACGUGGCACGCACCGUUGUCCGGAUCAACUCUAUCCGUACCCCCCAAGAGGACACGUGGCGCGCACCUCUAUCCGGGUUCCCCAGGGGGGGCAUACGACACUCUCAAAUAUCAUACUCGGGCGAUGCUCUAUCCUAUCCGGACCUUUUGUCCGGAUCAUUGACUGUAACGAGCAAGCCUUGCUAAGUCAUCCCCGACAGCCUACCACAACCCACGUUCCGCCGCCUGUAGAGCGAAAGGACAGGAGCGAUAGCAAGUCACCUCCUACGAUCUCUGACAGCCGCCUGCAGGGUGAUGAUGACCCUGCCACCACCUUGAGGACAUCAUGACAAGCCAAAAAGUCUUCCCACCAUUAAAGAGGGGAGCAGAGCUUCUGACAUUAUAUAAAAGGGUCUUCACACAAGGAAGAAGGUAAGUCUGAGACCCUAAAAAAGCCAAUAGUCUGAUAUCUUAAGCCAUGACUAACAAAACCAUCGGAGGGUGUGUCUGGACAUCCUGUCCGGACAUCUUUUGCAGGAUCGACUGAGCCAGAACUCCUUCUUGGUUGAUAGCACGCGUCCACUUGGCAGCAGCAGGGAUCCUUGGGACACGAGGUAUCAACAUUGGCGCCGUCUGUGGGAACUCUCUGAUUCAGUCGACGGCAAAGAUGUCCACACCUUCCAGAAGCCGCUCGUCGGCUAGGGGAGACGAAGAUUAUUUCGAAUGGCGCGAAGCCAUCGAAAGGAGACAGUUGGAGAGCGAGCGACAAAUGCAGGCUCUCCUCCAGGAAACAGCGAGACUGAGAAAAGAAAACGCUAUGUUACGCAUCCAGGCUUCAUCGACGGGACCUUCUAUUGGUCAGUGCUCAAGAGGCCAAGGAGCAAACUCAAGGCCUGACCUAGAGUUAAUAUACCCUGGGACUGCGGGGGUCAUCCCCGAGACGGGCAAUGUUAGACCACAAGAACGGCACACGCCCAUGCACCAAGCCCCCUAGGAGGAAAGCUUAGACUCUACUCGUCUCUCAUCAAAGAGACAACGCGACAAAAGACCCUAAUUGUCGGACGCGAUGCGCGCGAGGCUAGGCCCACAGGGACCUGGGAAGACAAGGCCGCCAGUAGCCACAACCUGGGGAACGCAACCUGACCCCUUGGUCACACCCAUGGUGCAAAACGUCCUCCCGCACCAAGCGGUACGACAAGUUGGGAGAAACCCCCCAAACGAGCCACCCACUGGCUCCAUCAGCAAAAGGCUAGACGACAUGCUCUCCACACCUUUUUGCCCGCAUAUUAUUCAUUACGACCCCCCGAGGGGAUUUCUCGUGCCUAAAUUUUCCACGUACAAUGGGUCCAGCGACCCCUUCGACCAUAUCAUGCAUUAUCGACAGCUCAUGACUCUCGAUAUAGGAAACGAUGCGCUGCUAUGCAAAGUAUUCCUAGCCAGCCUACAAGGGCAGGCUCUCUCAUGGUUUCAUCGCCUACCCCCCAACUCUGUUGAUAAUUUCAGGGACCUGUCGGAAGCUUUUGUGGGACAAUACUUAUACUCCGCUCGGCAUAAACAGAACAUUAGCACUCUGCAAAACAUAAAAAUGCAAGAGAAUGAGUCUUUAAGAGAGUUCGUGAAGCGGUAUGGUCAGGUCGUCUUACAAGUAGAGGCUUACAGUAUGGAUGCUGUCCUUCAGAUCUUCAAACGAAGCAUUUGUCCAAGUACCCCAUUCUUCGAGUCGCUCGCUAAGAAACCUCCUACGACGAUGGACGACUUGUUCCAACGCACGAGCAAAUACUCAAUGCUGGAGGACGAUGUGCGCGUAGCCACCCAGCAAAUCUUGGUUGCCGGUCAAACAUCCAGAAGUGGUGCGGAAAGAAGUUCCAAACUUCCGGACCGGCCAAGGCUGUCCGACCGAAAGCAGGAAGAACAAAGCCGCCCAGAACGACCGCCCCUCACACCCCUUUCCAUAUCCUACAAGAAGCUCCUCCCUAUGAUCCAAGAUCUGUCCGACUUCAGGUGGCCCGAACCCCUCAGAACGGACCCAACCCAAAGGGAUCAUAGUAAGAAGUGUGCCUACCAUAAGGAGCACGGUCACACUACGGAGACAUACAGGAGCCUCCAUUAUUUGGUGGAAAGGCUCAUAAAGGCGGGACAUUUGAAGCAAUACCUCCGCUCCGACGCCAGAGUUAGAGACACUUCCCAAAAUCAUAACUCAGAAACCCCCAGGAUCCCAGCCGCCCCCAAAGCCAUUAUAAACUAUAUCCACGGAGGACCACUGGAUGAGGAGUACGACUCCAAACGAAAGAGACAGGGGCUGUUGCGGGCAGCAUCGGUACGUGAGCGCGUCAACUCCAUACAACCUGGGAUAACUGGUGGGGGCCCCUGGCCCAUAGAUGGGACAAUCAUUUUCCCCCUAGUAGACCCCACAAGGAUAUUACAGCCUCACUACGACGCCCUCAUCCUAUCCCUAGGGAUGGGAGACUUUGACGUGAGACGCAUCCUAAUUGACCUGGGCAGCUCGGCCGAUCUUUUACAAGCGUCGGUAAUCAGCCACAUGGGAUGCGAUCUAUCCGACCUCGAAAACCCUAGGUGAAUCUUGUCCUGAUUCAACAGAGUGGUGACUACCUCCUUGGGAGAUAUUGUGCUGUCAGUCCAAGUAGGCCCAGUCACUCUCAACAUACAAUUUUCGGUGGUACAAGAUUUAUCACCCUUCAAUGUUAUCUUGGGGCGCAUAUGGCUGCACUACAUGAAAGUCAUCCCCUCUACGUACCAUCAAAUGGUAAGCUUUCUCACUGAGGACGGGCAAAUCGACCUAUACGGCAGCCAGUUAGCCGCUCGCCAAUGCUAUCAGAUAGCGCGAGAAGUAGGGACCAGUCAGGAGGAUAAACCCCUUCCUGAGCCCACCCACACACUUGACCAUUAUCAAUUACUGAGUCCGGCGGACAAAGAUCCCCCGGCAGCGGAUCCCUUGCGGACGAUCCAGAUUUCGGAAGAAAGUACUCACCUCACACAUAUCAGUUCCCUCUUGACACCGGAAGAGGCCAAAAGCAUCCAAGAUGCUCUCCAACAAAGCUAUGACAUUUUUGCAUGGGCGCAUUCUGAUAUGAAGGGAAUUCACCCCUCCAUCGUCUCUCAUAGGCUUAACGUCUUGCCAAUAGCAAGACCCGUCCGACAGAGGAUCAAACGUUUCCACCCAGACAGACAAAAGAUUAUCAGGGAUGAGAUUGACAAAUUGCUGGAAGCUGGAUUCAUUAGAGAGGUGGAAUAUCCAGACUGGUUGGAAAAUGUGGUAGUGGUCCCCAAAAAGGAAGGCAAGUGGCGGGUGUGCGUCGAUUACACCAACCUCAAUAAUGCAUGCCCAAAAGACAGUUUCCCUCUGCCGCGGAUAGACCAAAUUGUAGACUCCACCGUCGGACAAGGAAUGCUCUCCUUCUUGGAUGCCUUCUCACGAUACCACCAAAUCCCUAUGGCCCCGGCCGACGAAGAAAAGACGGCCUUCAUAACGCCGCAUGGGCUUUAUUGCUACAAAGUCAUGCCAUUCGGACUCAAAAAUGCUGGCGCCACUUAUCAAAGACUGAUGACGAAAAUCGUCAAACCUCUAGUCGGCCGCACAGUGGAAGUGUACAUCGAUGAUAUCGUGGUUAAAAGCAAAACCCGAGGAGAACAUGUCCUCCACUUAUAAGAAGUCUUCCACCUCUUAAGGAAGUAUGGCAUGAAGUUGAAUCCAUCCAAAUGCGCUUUUGGUGUAAGUGCUGGCAAAUUCCUGAGAUUUAUGGUCAGCCAAAUGGGGAUAAAGGUUAGCUUGGAUCAAGUUAAGGCAGUCAUGGAAACACCACCCCCCAGGAGCAAAAAGGAAUUACAGCGCCUCAUAGGCAAGCUCGUCGCGCUAAGACGCUUUAUAGCCCACUUCACUGAUGAAUAGCGACCUUUCUUCCUGGCAAUACGAAAAGCCGGUGCAAACGGGUGGACGGACGGCUGCCAGAGCGCUUUCGAAAAAUUGUAUAUGUAUCUGGCUGUAUCAGAGUGGGCAAUCAGUGCUGUUCUAUUCCGCUGCCCCUCGCACAAUGAGCAGAAACCUAUUUACUACGUCAGCAGAGCGUUGGCGGACGUAGAAAUAAGGUACUCAAAGAUGGAGCUAACGGUUUUGGCCCUUCGAAGUGCCGCCCAGAAGCUCCGCCCUUACUUCCAAGCCCACCCGGUGGUCAUGCUGACCAACCAACCCCUUCACAACAUCCUGCACAAGCCGGACCUGACCGGAAGAAUGCUUCAAUGGGCCAUAGAGUUGAGCGAGUAUGGAAUUGAAUUCCAACCCAGGUUGUCCAUGAAAGGGCAGGUAAUGGCCGACUUUGUGCUGGAAUACCCCCAAAGACCUGCCCAACACAAGGAACCACGCGGGGAAGAGUGGUGGACUUUGCAGGUUGAUGGAGCCUCCCGGUCAUCAGGAUCCGGAGUAAGGCUCCUGCUGCAAUCCCCAAUAGGAGAACAGCUGAAGCAAGUUAUCCGAUUGGGAUUCCCCGCGUCUAACAAGCAGAGUAUGAGGCCAUCCUAUCCGAGUUGGACCUCGCCUUGGCCCUGUCUAUUUCCAGGCUCCGAGUCUACAGUGAUUCCCAACUCGUGGUAAGGCACGUCCAGAAAGAAUACGAAGCUAAGGAUGAGCGCAUGGCGCGAUAUCUGACUAAAGUAAGAGACACCCUACAACGGUUCGCCGAGUGGACGAUCGAAAAAAUUAAAUGAACUGAAAAUGGACGUGUCGACGCCCUGGCAGGCAUAGCUGCUUUCCUCCCCAUCAAAGAAGCCAUAUUAUUGCCUAUACAUGCGCAAACCAACCCCUCCGUCGCAGAAGCCUCCACUUGCAAUACCAUUGAGGCAAACCAAGCAGAUGGUCAAGACUAGACGGAAGCCAUAAUAAGGUAUCUCCGGACAGACACUUUGCCCGAAGAGCCCAAGCAGGCACAUAAGACCCGAGUACAAGCCGCCCAUUUCACCCCGAUCGGGGGGCACCUAUACAAGCGGUCCUUUACAGGCCCCUACCUCAAGUGCCUAGACCACUUAGAAGCCCUGUAUGUGUUGGCUGAGUUACAUGAGAGGGUGUGUGGAAAUCAUUCCGAAGGUCGAUCUCUAGCGCACCGGGCUCACUCGCAAGGAUAUUAUUGGCCCACGAUGAAAAAAAAUGUUGCAGCUUAUGUCAAAAGGUGUGACAAAUGCCAAAGGCAUGCCCCCAUACCGCAUGCGCCGUCGGAGACAUUAAAACCAACUUCUGGCCCUUGGCCCUUCGCGGAGUGGGGCAUGGACAUAGUAGGACCCCUACCAGCCGCAGCUGCUUAGAAGAAAUUCUUGCUUGUCGCCACAGAUUACUUCAGUAAAUGGGUGGAAGUUGAAGCAUACGCUAGCAUCAAGGACAAAGAUGUCACCAAGUUUGUAUGGAAGAACAUCAUCUGCUGUUUUGGAAUCCCUCAAACCAUUAUAGCUGACAACGGCCCACAGUUUGAUAGCAUCACUUUCUGGAAUUUUUGUUCGGAACACAACAUCCGGAAUUUAUACUCCGCACCGCCACGUGGCCCAAUAAGCGCAAAAAAAGUAACCUAAGUUUCAAAACCAUCAUUUUUUAACCGUCCAUUUUGCCCGGGCAAAAUCGCCAAGUUAAAAGAGGGGCAUUGUAGGGACCCCCCCCCCCCUCUCCCCGAUGACACGUGGCACGCACCGCUGUCCGGAUCAACUCUAUCUGUACCCCCCAAGAGGACACGUGGCGCGCACCUCUAUUCGGGUCCCCCAGGGGGGGCAUACGACACUCUCAAAUAUCAUACCCGGGCGAUGCUCUAUCCUAUCCGAACCUAUUGUCCGGAUCAUUGACUGUAACGAGCAAGCCUUGUUGAGUCAUCCCCGACAGCCUGCCACAGCCCACGUUCCGCCGCCUGUAGAGCGAAAGGAUAGGAACGAUGGCAAGUCACCUCCCACGAUCUCUGAUAACCGCCUGUAGGGUGAUGAUGACCCUGCCACCACCUCGAGGACAUCAUGACAAGCCAAAAAGUCUUCCCACCAUUAAAGAGGGGAGCAGAGAUUCUGACAUUUUAUAAAAGGGCCUUCACACAAGGAAGAAGGUAGGCCUGAGACCCUAAAAAAGCCAAUAGUCUGAUCUCUUAAGCCAUGACUAACAAAACCAUCGGAGGGUGUGUCUGGACAUCCUGUCCAGACAUUUUUUGCAGGAUCAACUAAGCCAGAACUCCUUCUUGGUUGAUAGCACGCGUCCACUUGGCAGCAGUAGAGAUCCCUGGGACACGAGGUAUCAACAGGGUCCACAUAAAAAAGUAAUGAAUUAUUGCGUACAAGGCACGAAGACAACCUUUCAAUGCUGCUGCUACUCAUCAAUUCCUGGAGGGCCAACUUAAGGAGUUGAAGGGCAGUAACUGCACAUCCUGACAUUUUCCAUGAAAGAAUGUAAUUGCAUAUGUAUUUUGGAAUCUAGAAAAUUUCCAAAAUUAAAAUGAUAAAAAAAAAAUUUUAAAAGUGAAAUGAUAGUAAUUUUUAAAAAUAGAAUUAAUGAGAUAAAUGAUAACAUCACAUUUAACAUUUAAACUAUAAUUUAUUUAAUUCAAAUGUAUUUAAUAAUUAAUGUAAAAUAAAUGGUGAUGAACUUUUUAAUAUUUAAUUAUCAUAUAAAUGAUAUUAAAAAAUAUUUGUUAAGAAAUUAUAAUAAUGGUUUUUAUACAUUUAUCAAUUAAUUAAAUAAAUUUUAAAAUAAAAUACUUCAAAUUUAUUUAUUUAUUUUUUAAUAAUAAACUUUAAUAUAUUUAUUAUUAUCAUAUAUUAACAAAUGAGAACUUGGUCCAAACACAUUCGUCCAGGGAGAUUCUGAAAUUGCGGAAGCUUUGUUUGAUCAAGUCGUUGAGUAUUGGAAACAAGCUAUAGCAAGCCGCUAAGUAUUGGAAACAAGCUAUAGCACUUACUCUUGGUAAUUAUAUUGAAGCGCAUAAUUGGUUGAAGAUCACGAGACGUUUCGAAUAAAAACACUCUGUUUAUUAUUUAGAAUUUUUUAUAUUUCUUAUUAUUUGUUGGACCGAUCAGUCAAAUAAAAUGGAUCAUUCCUAUGCCUAUGGGAAGAACCAAUCAAAGAAUUUCAUUAUAUCCCUUCUAAGAUCGUUCUAUUUCAUUUAGUAUCUCAUAGGGAUAAACGAUACAUUAGAGAAUAUAUUUCUUUAUUUUAUGCUAUUAACGAUAAUUGCUAUUAAUAAAAGUAAUUAAAACUACUAUUCUAGCCAACCUUCAUGCAAAAGAUAUUUUUUUAACAUCAAGCGUGUACAAUCAAACUUGAACCCAAGCCUUUUGGUGUGGUUCGAAUGAUUCCCCUUUGCAAGCCACUUUAAUUUAAAGUGGUGGAUUGACAACCACCUUAAAUUUGAAAUUUGAAACAUGACAGCAUGGGCAGUGUUAAUUUGAAGCGCGGGCAGUGUUGACCGAUUAUCCGUGGUGGAUUUCAUAUUAGCCAUCCUCGAUAAAUGAUUUUUUAUCGAUAUUUUGGUGAAAAAUCCUGAUUUUUCAAACACCCAUGGUCUUGCACUUCAAAAGGAUUGAACAAUAAAUAAUGGGUACGGAGAAAUGGGUGAAAUACAAAGUAACAUGACACUAUAAUGAUAAAAUAAUAAUAAUAAUAAUAAUAAUAAUAAUAAUAAUAAUGUUAGAUGUUAAGCUAAUAAAUGAAAUAAAAUUAUAGUUUAAUUAAAUUAGCUAUAUAUUCUUAGAAACAUUAUAAAUUAGAAACUUAUUAAUUUUACUUAAAUAAGGAAUAAAUGAAUUAAAUUAAUAUUAAUAAUUAGGAAAAAUAAUAUUAAUAAAUAAAAUUAUUAGGAUCAUCAAAUCUAUAUAAUUUUAGUUAAUUGUCUAUUACAAGAAACUUAUUGAUUUUAAUUAAAUAAGAAAUAAAUUAAUUGAACUAAUAUUGAUAAUUAAGAAUAAUAAUAUUAAUAAAUAAAAUUAUUAAGAUCGUGGAAUCUAUAAUUUUAGUUAAGCUUCUAUCUUUUUUUCAAAUAUAUUAACUUUAGAUAAUAAGCUAUCCACUAACCAUUUAUUAUUUAAUCCAAUGUUUUCAGAACCGGACCGGUCAUCGAACCGGAAAAAUUACCGGUUCACGGUUCACUGGUCGGACCGGCGGUCGAACCGGUUGAACCGGUGAUGUAAUAAAUAUAUAAUUUAUAUAUUAUAUAAAAUUAAAAAUAAUUAUAAAAAUUAAAAAUAUAUAAAAUUAUAAGUUUUAAUAAUGCUUGGUUUUUAUAUUUGGUAUAUUAAAUUAAAUGAUAAAGUUUAAUAUUUUAAAUUUUAUUAAAUAGAAAUAUGUAAUAUUUAAGAAUGAAGAUAUAUUUAAGAUAAAAAAUUUUAUAAUAUUUAAUUUUAUCUUUCUUUUUUGUAUUUUAUUGUUUUAAAAUUAUUCUAUUAAUUAGUUUAUAUUAUUUUUUAUAAUUAUUAUUAUAAAAAUAAAUAGGAAUUUAAAUAUUUACAUUUCUUUAAAGAUUUUAUAUGAUAAAAAUUUGAAAUGAAAACAUUAAUCUUAAGUCUUAUUAUAUAUAUAUUUUAACAACAUUGCAAAAGUCCAGCCCUCAUGCAGUCAUGCCAUGCUUCCAAUCGGACCAGCCCUCAAAGAGGCCAUGUACUAUUCCAGUCCCACAUCGGAAGCACAUGAAUUCCAUGUGCUUCAAGUGCUCUAUAAAUAGAGACCUUGCAGCAUGCUUUUCAAGCCAAGUAAGCCAGCAAAUUGGGCUUGGAGGCAUGGCCCAAGAGAAGGAUAUAUAAGUUAUAAUUUUAUUGGAUUGGGCCCGGUGGCUUGAACCAAUUAUGGGUUUAUAAUUUGUUAAGUUUUAAAAGUAUUGGGCAAGGAAUUGGGCUCGUUAAUGGGCCUCAUAAUAGUAACAAAUAUUUGUAGAAUAGGGAAAAAAAAAAAGCUUGGCCGGUUCGUAAAAAACCGGAUGGUUUGACCGGUUUGGCGGUUCAACCGGUGGUUUGACCGGUUUAAUACCGGUUUGAUUAUUAAACGGUUCAUUGGGCUGGACCGAACCGGAAAGGUCACCGGUCGACGGUUCGACCGGCCGGUCCGGUCCGGUUUUUAAAACAUUGAUUUAAUCAUGCAACUUACAAUAAUGAGAUUCUCAAUCCUUCAAAAUGACAUUAAUUUAACCCACUUCCUUAAUCAAUUAUACCUCGAUUAAAUUAAUCUUUCAAAAAUUAAAUCUACUGAAUGAUAAUAUUCAUAUCUAAUCGAUUUACCUUUUUGUAUAAAUUGUUAAAUUCAUAUUUAAUUUCAUUUCGAUUCAAUUUUAUUUCAUAUUUUAUAAUUUUAUAAGGGUUAUAAAAAUUAAAUUGAUUCAUACGGUAACAUUAAAUUAAAUAUCUUUUGAAAAUUUUAUUAUAACCAUUUGAUAUAAUACAAAUUUUAUCAAGUUUUUUUAAUUAUGGUUUUCGGAUAAUUACCUUAUAAUAAUAAAAUUAAUUCUUGUAAUACAUAUAAUAUUCAAAUUUCAAAAAUCCAAUCUCAAAUAAUUUAAUUGCUAAAUUUAUAUUUAAUUUUUGAAGUUCCUAAAUGUGACUUGGCAAGAAUUUAAACUAUUAACCUUCCACCAAGUCACUAACUUCUCAAAAGUUUCGCCUAAUUAAAUAAAAUAUCUGACACGUCAAUGUUCACUAACAUCUUUCAUUUAUUUAGACCAUUCAUUAUGGUUGAUUUUGAAGAUAGUCAACGGUAGACCUACAUCUUCUGGACCGACAGUGAUUAGGCUAAGGUGGUGAACCAAUUCCAUGGAAGAGGAGCAAGAAAGGAGGAACGUUGGAGAGAUAGAACUAGAAGGCGGCCAACCGAGCAGGAACAGUGGCCACACUGGCCUCGAGCCUGAGGAGCAUAGGAUUGACAUUGUUGAAAUCAGUCAUAGGGAUUGGAUUGAGUCUCUCAGAACGGCAGAAGAAAGCACUCGAUCUCAGAGUCAAUGGCCAAGGAUACCAAAGGUUCCUCAGAUGCUGAGGGGGACCCAGGAUUUCAAGAAAUUCUACGAACCGAGGUUAAUUUCAAUCGGUCCUUAUCACCAUGGCAAGCCCUACCUUCACGCAGGGGAAAUAAUCAAGCGUCUAUGAGCCCGAAAAUUCCUUGCUGAUAGUGAGCAGGACAUCGACGCUUUGUACACAAAAAUUCAAAGUAAUAUCGAGGCAGUGAAGACGUGCUAUGAUAUGAUACCGACGAACAAGUAUGAUGAUGAGAAACUCGCCCGGAUGAUGCUUCUGGAUGGGUGUUUUUUACUACAAUUCGUCUGCGGGCAAGGUAAUGAAAAGUUUCUUAGAUGUCACCAAAUAAGUUUUGUGGAGGAGGACUUGUUCUUGCUGGAGAAACAACUUCCCUAUAGAGUCCUCAAGUUGAUUUUUGAGGGAGCAAAUUUCAAGGUUGAUCUACCAAUGGAAAAGAAUAUAAUAAAAUUCGUCACUGACAUCGGAAUGCCAGAAGGGUUGUCAUCAGAAAUACCGCUGAAAGAGGUGAACGAAGAGCCCUCUCAUCUCCUCGACCUUUUGCGAAGUGAUCUCCUAGGCAGGUUCCACAUGAUUAGGAGUCAGCCCGAAAAAGAGCAGCAACCUAAGAAAAAAGGAAAGUCGUCGUCGUCUCAAGGAGGAAAGUGGGG